GUAGGCGCGGGUGAAGGGGUCAGUAAGGAGGGCGCCGUCGGAGUGGAAGAGGCCCCUCCGCUUGCUCACCAGCUUGAAGUAGUCGGUGUCGAAGGUCUUGAAGCUACCGGGGUCCAUCUCCACGAGGGUGGUGUUGUCGUUGAGGCUGGCACACUUGCUCUUUAGCCGCAUCAUGUACUGCGGCUCCAGCGUGGGGUCGAUGUCGCUGGGGUUCUCCAUGCCGGUGAAGUUGUAGAGCCGGUCGGAGAAGGAGAAGCAGUGCGACGUCCCGAUCGUGUGCCCGGCGGAGAGGACGACGAGGUCCUUGGCGUCGAGGUUCACGGCGGCGAAGAGCUGGGUGAGCACGGUGAAGUUGGCGGUAGGAGGUGGCAGGGCGUCGGUCUCGUUGGAGAUGGACACGCUGCCGUCUCUCCGGCCGAGGGGAACUUCCCAGAAUGGCCCCUUGCUCUAGAAAAACGAUGAUCGAGCAGCAGUAGAAGUUUAGAACUCGGCGCCUUCCACAUGUACCGCGUGACGACAUUUGCGAAAUCGGCUAGUACUCACCAGCCAGACCGCGUCCCUGGCAAUGAGGGCGAGCACGUCGGCGCAGGAGACGGUGUCGGGGCAGGCCUUCUCCACGGCGGCCUUCACCCUCUCGACGAAGCCGAAGCCUCGCAGCGUCUGGUUCGGCUGUGCGUCCUUCUCCGCUGUCUUGUUCGCCGAGUCCAGCAGAACAGACCCGUCGCACCCCUACAUUCACGGUGAUCAGGCCAGAUGCAGUGGGAGUAGAGUACACAUGCAUGCAAAUGUAGCUUACCCUGACGAAGCAGUCGUGGAAGUGCAUCCUGAGGAGCGGCCCGGCGAGGCUGGGCGCCAGGGACAGCGCCCUCACCAUCUCCCUCCUCACGACGUCCUCCACGCUGGGGCACGACUCGCUGUAGAACUUCUCGUGCAGCUGCGCCCGCGCGCACGUCGCCGCCACCGCCGCGAGCAGGAGCGCCACCAUCAAAGACCUCGACGCCAUCUUCACACGCCCCGAGGAUGAGGGUGGCUAGGUAGCUAAUUAGUCAGGGGAAGCUUGUGCUGCUGCUGCUGUUGCUAGACUGGCGCCCGAGAAAUAUAUAGCGCCGGAGUGUCCCCACGCCUGCAUGUGGUGGGCUGUCCUCCGGAGCAGCAGGUAAAAUUUGCAUGGUUUAUUGAGUUGUUCCUUGUUUGCACUCUCCGGAAUCUUUGCCGUGGCAGGUACACCGGCGGCGUGCCGUAUGUAUAAUGGAGGCGGCCGGACAGCCAGACCCAGACGGAAGCACGUAGGCAGAUCAACUCAUUAACUAAUUAGUCAUCACGGAGCGGAAUUCGCUGCCAAGUUUUAAUCAACAAAGGGCCAGUGAAAGCCACCUACUGGUAGUUCGCAAACGUUGGAAUCUCAUGAUCCAUUUUUUUUGAAAACCCACCAUGUAUUAAUUAACUUAAAAUGUUCGUACAAUCAUUCAUCACAAACUUAGCCACACAGGGCGAAACAGAAUUAAACAUAAUUCAUCAGACCUAUUAUCGAAACUGAGCUUAGCAAUCUCAAGAGCCACCGUAUUAGCCCUCCUAUUGAUCUUGGAUAUCUGAAACUUCACCAGUAGCUUCUAGGUAUUGACCGCCUCCUUCUUUAGGUCGAUAAGGGGUGACCUGUCAAAGCAAUCUUUUCCAAAAACAGAAGCCACAGAAGAGCAAUCAGUUUUCAAAAAUGAUGGGCAUGUCAAGAGUGAUACCGAUAUACAGGCCAGAAAGUGCCGCCCUAAGUUCCGCUUCCUCGGCGCUAUAGCAAGCUCCGAUAUAAUCCCACGAUGAAACAAUAACUUGUCCACAAUGGUUUCUGAUAAUCAACCCCACACUCGCAACUUUAAUGGCCUCCACAAAACUUGCAUCGACAUUAAUCUUGAAGAACUCAGAGUUGGGUGGCUUCCAAGAGAUAGAAUUCCUCUCCAUAGUGGUGGUUGGCUGAACUUCCCCCAUCACUUGUUUACCUUUGUUGCAUAUCUCCACCUGCAUGUUUGCAUGACAAGACGAGAAAGAAGCCCAGUAAUUUUCUACAAAGCUCACAGAUGCCAAGAUGGAUUCCUUCCUUCUUCCAAAGAUCAAAUCAUCCCUCAAAUGCCAAGCUCUCCAGAACAUGAAUAUUGUUUGCCCACACACCAUCGGAUUUAAUUGAUCCAAUAAAAUAAGAAGCCAGUCGGGCCCAGAAUAUUUGAAAUUCUCUCCAGCCGGUAAAUUCCACACUUCCUUCAACGCCAUACGAAACGUCCGAGCCUUGGGGCAACUCACCAAUGCAUGAAAAAUACAUUCAUCCUCAAUACCACAAAUCGAGCACAUACCUAGAAUAGCUUGAUGGUGUUUACCCUGUUAACUUGAACCGCCAAACUAUUAGAGGCAGCCCUCCACGCAAAUAUUCUAAUCUUCUGGGGGACAUUAGCCUUCCAAAUUAUAUUGCAGAGCCUCCUUUCCCCAUUCGUGGCACCACUAGAGUUACCUGGAUCAACCUUUGAUUCCUGAAGAUUAAGUGCCAGCCUAUACACACUUUUCACAGAGAACAAACCACUCUUCUCAUCAUGCUAAGCAAUAACAUCACCCUCACUCAACCUCAGAAUACACAAUUUUAGAAUUUCAUCUGCAUCAUGACUAUAGAAAAGAUGUCUGAUCAGGUUCUCAUCCCAACUCCUAGACCCAGUCAUGAAUAACUCGGACACCCAUUUGAUCCUAGUUCUAUUCUUUUUAGCAGAUAUACGAAGGCCAGAAUUCCUAGGGAUCCAAUUAUCCCUCCAAAUGUUUAUACUAGAACCAUCGACCACUCUCCAUAUGAUACCUUUUUUUAGCAGAUCGAGUCCAUGCAUAAUUCCUUGCCACGUAAGGGAAGUUGCUUGAGGAAAUACCGUAUCAAUAAGAUGUCCAUGAGGAUAAUAUUUAGCUUUCAACACCUUUGCACAUAGAGAAUCCGGAAAAACCAAUAAACGCCAAGCUUGUUUAGCCAAAAGCGCCUGAUUAAAAAUUCUGAGUUCACGAAAGCCCAUGCCCCCUUCACUUUUAGGUCUAGUCAUUUUAUCCCAAGACACCCAAUGAGUUCUCUUUCUAUUCUCCUCAUCGCCCCACCAAAAAUUCUUGAUAAUCCGGGAUAACUCAUCACAUAAAGAAGCAGAAAAUUUAAAGAUACCCAUUGCAUAAACUGGAAUAGCCUGAAUAACAGACUUGAUCUGAAUUUCCUUCACCCCGCUAGAGGCAUAUUUUUCAAUCCAAUCCGACACCCGCUUAAGCGCUUUAUCUUUUGUAGAUUGAAACUUACCCGCCUUCAUACGACCUUCUGGCACAUGCAAACCCAGAUAUUUAUCCUCAAAUCCAUCGAUCGUGAUCUUGAGAAUAACCAAGAUGGACACCUGAUCUUCCAUAGAGCAUUUUUCCCAAAUAAAAUGGAACAUUUAUCUGGGCUUAAUAGCUGACCCGUUCCUUCCUCAUACGCCGAUAAAAUAGGUUUGAUUUUCAGAGCUUGCUCCAAGUUUCCCUUGAGAAAUAGGAGACUAUCAUCAGCAAAGAGUAGAUGAGAUAUACCUGGGGCAUUUUUGUUCAGUCGAAACUCUUGGAUAAUCCCUCUUGCCAACGCAUCAUUAAUUAACAGCGACAAAGAUUCAGCCACAAGGAGGAAUAGAUACGAAGACAAAUGAUCCCCUUGCCUCAAUCCACGUGAAGGAUGAAAAGACUCUAGGAGCUGUCCAUUAAAGUGCAUGGAAAAUUUCAGAGUGGUAACACAAGUCAUAAUCCAGUUUAUCCAUAUUGGAGCAAAACCAUACGCUUGAAGCAUUUUUUCUAGGAACUUCCAGUCCACACGAUCAUAUGCUUUUGCGAGAUCCAACUUAUACGUACAAUAUUCACCACGACUAUCUUUCAAUGUAUUUAAAGAGUGCAUACAUUCAAAAGCAAUGAGGGCACUUUGUGUAGGAGAGAUUAUACCGUCCAAUAGGGGUAUCAUUCUAUUGACAAGGCAUUUAGAGAUAAUUUUAUAUAUGACAUUACACAAGCUGAUUGGUCGAAAGUCCUUUAUCGACUCAGGAUGCUUCACCUUAGGAAUAAGAACAAUGGUUGUAUCAUUUAUCCCAUCAGGCAUACUUCCUGAAAUAAAGAAUAGCUGGACAACUCGAACAAUAUCCUCAUUGAGCAAACCCCAAUUCCUCUGAAAAAAACCUGGCAGGGAACCCAUCUGGCCCCGGGGCCUUUAAUGACCCAAUUUGAAAGAGGGCAUCACUGAUUUCUUGUUCAGAAAAAUGUUUGCAGAGAUCCUCAUUCAUUUUAUCAUUCAACACUGGUUUCACAAGAGACAGAAUACACGAUGGAUUUACCAUAGAAUCACAAGAAUAAAUGUUCUUGAAAAAAGAAUUUGUGAUACCUUUGAUUUCAUCCAUGUCAUGGGAAAGAGAUCCAUCGCUUCUUCUGAUAGCAGAUAUAUUAUUCUUCUUUGCCCUCCAAUUGGCCUUCCUAUGGAAAAAUUUGGUGUUUCUAUCCCCCCAUUUCAUUUUAUCCAAACAUGAUCUCUGCUUCCACAUAAUUUCUUCCUUGAUCAGGAGCACAUCCAUCUCCCUUCAAAUUUUCUUCCUCUCCACUAUUGCAUUAUGAUCACUUCUGUUAAACAACACACUUGAUCUUUUACGGGAAGAUUGAAGCUUUUUUUGAAGAUAGCCAAUGUGAACCUUACUCCAUCCAUGAAGAGACUUCACCAAAUUGUCCAAGUUAUUUGCCACAUCUCGCAGGUCAGUUACUUUCACACUUUUAUUACAACAAGAAUCAAUCUGCGCUUUCAACGCCGUAUCCUCCCUCUCCCAAUAUGCUUCAUAUUUCAACUGUUUGACAAACACACCCGGGCGCUGGACACCCAUCAAUUCAAUAAGGAGGGGGCAAUGGUCUGACCUUCAACUGAUGAUAUGAGACACCUUGCAAUCCGGAAAUAUAGAGGACCACUGAGGGCACGCAACCGCGUGAUCCAGCCGCACCUUCACAUUUUUAUUACCUUCCUGUUUAUUGUUAUAAGUCCAAGGAACUCCAUGAUAACCCAAAUCAAAUAAAUUAUAUUCAGACAUAAUCUCUCGAAAAUCUGCCAUAAAUUUGUACCGGUGCUACAUGCUAUCCUGAAUAUAUAUAUACUUAGUUGAUUUUUUCAGGCAAAAUUAGCCCGUGUCACAAAGGUGACAACACGUGGAGCUCGACACAUCUUGUCGUUGGAUUAGAGUUCAAAGUUUUAUAUCAUUGCCAUAUGAGAUAAAUACACCAUUGGUACUUGAACUUGUCAUGGAUGUUCAGUUCAGUGCUUGAACUUGAAAAAUACAUCCAACUAGUUCUAAAACUUGGCACCGACGUGUAAAUACGGUGCUAAUCUCAUCUGUAUACGUAAAGUGCUAUGAUGUGGCACCGUAUGUGGCUGACGUGGCAUGAGGCACACUUAUAAAUAAGAAACAUGAUUACUAUAAAUACUAUAUGUUUCUAUGACUAAUGGGUCAUGCCUGUUAGAGAAACUAAAAUAAAAAAUAGCACCAAAUAGGAUUAAACCCGGAACCACGAGCUAUCAAGCAGCCUGUGCUGGCCACUAAGCCAACUAGCAAUUCUUGUCAAAUAGGGCACCUGAAGUUUGAUUUAGUGUUGUCAAGCAGCCUAGGCUGGUCACCAUGUCUACUACAUGUUAAUUUUUCUUAAAAAAUGUAAAAAGUCUAAAAAUUAUGAUGACAGUAAUAGAAAUAAAGUUCAACUAUUCAUGCUAUAAAUACUCUACAUAAAACUAAAAUAACUAACUUUAAAAAAUGUUCAUUUAACAUUAAAAAUGUUCACAUACAAUGUAAAUAUAAGCCAUGCCUGUAUGAAAAUGUUUUAUUCAAUAUAUUAUUUAUUUAUUUAGCUUUUUAAAAUAUAAUCCAUGAUGGUAUAUUUAAAAUUUUUGUAUUAAGUAAACAUUUUUAAAUAGUAUUUUCUAAAUAAUACAUAACUAUUUCAAAAAACUAAAGGAAUAUUUUUAGUAAUAUAUUUUAUUGCAUGCCUUUCUAUACUUAUUUUUAUACACAUGAAUAUUUGUGUACCAUGAUCUUAUUAUUUAUGUACCACAAAUAUUUGUAACUGACAGCAUGGUCUUGUUUAUAGAUUUUUGUAAAAUAAUAUGUGCACACGAAUAUUUGUUUAUCACGAAGUAAAAAAGUAAAAUUAAUUACAAACGAAUAUUUGAAUCUAACAUUUAUGAUUAGUUCCCUCAAAAAUCAUUUAUUAUUAGGAUUAUUAUUUACAUACUUUUUUCUUUUGACAAAAAGAAAUAACAUGUGCUACCACAUCCGUUUUAUAUUACUCUACAUUAAGCUUCAGGGGUUAGCUACAUUGGCGUGCUGGCCAAUAGAUGCUGACUGGUAGCUCUAGCUCACCGGAUGGAUUCCUGUAUAGCACCAUUUUUCAUUUUAAUUUCCCUGACAGACGGGACCCACUAGUCAUAGAGAAAUAUAGUAUAUCCAAAUAAUUUUGUUUCAUAUUUAUAAGUGGUCCUCAUGCCAGGUCAGCAUACUUUACAUAUAUGAAUAGGAUUAUCAUCGUAUUUGCACGUUUGUGCCAAGUUUAAGAACCAAUUCAGCGUAUUUUUCAAGUUCAAACAUUAGAACAUCCAUGACAAGUUCAAGCAUCACUGGUGUAUUUACCUCUUCCCAUAUGAAUGCUAAUACAAAUUUGAAGCCACCUAGAUGCAUGAUUCACCUUGUAGCACGAGCGACCUUGCAAUCAAAGUAGAGGUGUUUGACUGGGAGAAAAAUUGUGGCACGCAGCGGCGGGGCACACAAAUGUUCUGUGCCAAGAUUCACAAAUUUAUCUCUGUACUCCGUGUAUUCGCCGGCGCAUAUCAAUACACACAUAUAUCUGUAUUCAUAUCGUAAAUAUAAAAUAUUAUACCAAUUUUCGUGGUUCCGUUUUCGAAGGUAUAGAUAUUGGGGUGAACAGUUCCUGUUAGAAGUGCCUACUAAACCCCCAGCUUUGUGCUGAAAACUUCCAGUGUGUUCUUCUCUCUCCCCGUGUAUUCUUUAAGUACCCUCUGCUCUUCUUAGAAGCGAUCCGAGCUAUUCUGUUGCGAAUCCCUCUCACACGGCAAUGACUGAACGACUGUAGAAGGCGUAGUCCGUAAGCUUAUCCGGCACAGCUUAGUCGAUUGUGUAUGUUUGACGUCAUUCAAGUGUUUCUGUAAGCACAAGUUCUACAUAUGGUUGCUGAGUAUUCGAUCGUUUAUUCUUUUAGGGGCUUCUAUUAGUUUGUCAUGUUUCAAGAAGUCAGAUGCCAAUCUUGUUUGUAACGAAAAAUUUGAGGCUGGAUCUUAGAACACAAAUAAUCACGUACGUGUGUAUUUUAGGAAUCUAGGAAUUUAUUGUCAGUACCAGAAAUUAAAACUCAGAAACUUGUGAAGUCGGUUAGUUACAGAGAAUGAAACUUAGGGCAUCAUGUUAGUUAAGGAAAGUGAAACUUACAACACAUGUACAAUAUUGUACCCUUAGAAGAAUUCGGAUCACACAUUUAUUAAAUAUUUCUACAAUGCAAAUUUCGAAUAUGGAUUAUUAUAUGGAAAAGAAAAAUACAUGUAUUGACACAUGUAUGUAAAAUUAUUUAAGUUUACAAAAAAAUAGUUAGUAAACUUAAAAUGAAGGUUACAUACAGAAAGAAAAUUGCAUCAUGAACUUGUCUUCUGAAACUUUAAUUCAUUAAUAAAUAUACCUUAUAAUUUUAACAGACUUCAAUGACUGAUAGUUCGACAUGUUGAUUGAAUGUAUUUGAUAAGUUACUUUGUUCUGUAAAUAAAUUGUUUAUUUAAUGUUACUGCCAUAAUGUAAAAUCUUGAUUUGUGCCUUACCACUCUUUAUGUUAACAACUAGUUGAUUGAAUUAACAAAUGUUAUUAAAUUAGGUGUUGUGUUAAAUUAUUUAUUAACGUUAUAUGCUCUGAUUAUGUAAUGUUAAUGGCAUAUUGACUUAUGUUCUAGUGAUAAAAUAUGUUGUCUAACUCGAAUUAUUCGCUAAGUGGCACUUUGAAAUGUAACAGAGAAUCAAGAUAUUAAUACACUGAAGGACUCAAGCCGAUAAACUGAUGAUGAAAAGUCUAACUCUAAAUCUUGAUUAAAGGUAGACCAUAUUCGUGCUAUUUUGAAUGGAUUUACGGUAUACAAGAAAUUUUUGCUCUAGGAAAUCAAAUUUGAAGGGUUAUUGAACUUACCUGCAAUUAAAAAAGUUCAUUUUAAAUUUAGUACAUUUCUUGUAAGUGCAACAGAUGUCAAGGAUCGGUGCAUUAAGUGUCUCAAGAUAGGAAACUCAAGUUCUAUGCUCGAGAUACGCACAAAAUUUUUGGGGUUCCUUCUACACUUAGAGACCUUGAUGGUAUUGAUGGUCAGAUAGCUGCUACUUCUAUUGAUUUCUAGAAGAAAAAUAUAGGUAUGAACGGAAUCGAUUCUCAUAGUUUGAGGCCAACAGAUUUUUCUAGCCAGAGAUAUAACUGAGUUAUCAAGUGAAGCUGAAACAAUAUGCUUUUCUUGGAGCAUGCUAUGGUUCAUUUGGGAACACCUUCUUCUAGACAUGAGUACACCAUUGAUAAUAGGAGAGCCCUAUGUAGGACUGGUUACACAGGAGAAUAUAACUAGUGUGAGUAUGCAAUGAAUUAUCUACUCGAUGCUAUUACAAGUGCACAACAACAGAUUCAAUCAAAUAUUCCUGUCAUAUAGUUUUAUGGAUGUCACUUCUUUCUACAAGUUAAUUAUCAUGUGCAUCUCAAUUACCAUAAUAAAUGUUGGAUGAUUCCACAAUCAUGUACAAUAUGUAUGCCAUAUUCGACCUAGAUACUCAUGACCAAAUUGUACCAAAGAGACACACCAAAUUGCUAGGCGCCACAUAAAUCUUUUGAUUCCAUCUUGUAAGAAAACAAAGAGAUCGAGUCACAACAUAUGAUGCAUGCAUAGUAUGUAGUGUGUUGUUUAAGUAGCUUUUUGUGUUAAAUUUCAUUAUAAUUAAUCAAGAAUACUUUAUUUUACAUUCCUUUGUAGAUUGAAGGACCUAAAGUUGUAUGUUAUAUGCGGAGUAUGAUUGAUAGAAGUCAGACAAUUUUGUUGUUGAAAAGUCUGAAAGGACAAUUCUUCCACAAAAAUCCCAGUCAGUUGGAUAUGCUGGUCAUAUUUUGUCUAAGGAAUCAAUGAAAAUAUCAAAGGGCUGAAGUUGUUUGAAAGAACGUGCAAUUUUGCUAAUCUUUAACAAAUCCAUAACGUAUAUCAAAUGGAAAGUUUAGUGAUAAUAUAAGAGAUACUUAUCCACAAAUGGUACAUUUUCAUUUAUAUACUUUAGAAAUUCUAAAUGUUGUUAAUUUUAGGGCGCCAAUCUAAACUAAUUUGAAGGUGCGUGAUACGUCCAUUUUGCAUCAUGCUUUUAUAUCGAUAUUUAUUGCAUUAUGGGCUCUUAUUACACAUUAUGUCACAAUACUUAUGCCUAUUCUCUCUUAUUUUUACAAGGUUUACAUGAAGAGGGAGAAUGCUGGCAGCUGGGAUUCUGGGCUGGAAAAGGAGCAAAUAUUAUAGACCUAUUCUGCACAGGUCCAAAAGUCCUGAAACUUCACGAAACUCAUUUUUGGAAUUAAUAAAAAAUAAUGAGCGAAGAAAGCACCAGAGGGGGCCCACACCCUGGCCACGAGGGUGGGGGGCGCGCCCCUGCCUCAUGGCCCCCCUGCCUCAUGGGCCCCCUGGUGGCCCACUGAUGCCCAUCUUUAUCUAUAUGAGGUCUUUCGUCCGAGAAAAAAAUCAUAAUCAAGCUUUCGGGAAGAAACUCCGCCGCCAUGAGGCAGAACCUUGGCGGAACCAAUCUAGGUCUCCAGCGGAGCUGUUCUGCCGGGGAAAGUUCCCUCCGGGAGGGGGAAAUCAUCACCAUCGUCAUCACCAACGAUCCUCUCAUCGGUAGGGUCUCCAUCAACAUCUUCACCAGCACCAUCUCAUCUCAAACCCUAGUUCAUCUCUUGUAUCCAAUCUUUGUAUCCAAACCUCAUAUUGGUACCUGUGGGUUGCUAGUAGUGUUGAUUACUCCUUGUAGUUGAUGCUAGUUGGUUUACUUGGUGGAAGAUCAUAUGUUCAGAUCCAUUAUGCAUAUUAAUACCCCUCUGAUUAUGAACAUGAAUAUGAUUUGUGAGUAGUUACGUUUGUUCUUGAGGACAUGGGAGAAGUCUUGCUAUAAGUAGUCAUGUGAAUUUGGUAUUCAUUCGAUAUUUUGAUGAGAUGUAUGUUGUCAUCCCUCUAGUGGUGUCAUUUGAACGUCGACUACAUGAAACUUCACCAUUGUUUGGGCCUAGAGGGAGGCAUUGGGAAGUAAUAAGUAGAUGAUGGGUUGCUAGAGUGACAGAAGCUUAAACCCUAGUUUAUGCAUUGCUUCGUAAGGGGCUGAUUUGGAUCCAUAUGUUUCAUGCUAUGGUUAGGUUUACCUUAAUACUUCUGUUGUAGUUGCGGAUGCUUGCAAUGGGGGUUAAUCAUAAGUGGGAUGUUUGUCCAAGUAAGGACAGUACCCAAGCACCGGUCCACCCACAUAUGAAAUUAUAAAAGUACCGAACGCAAAUCAUAUGAGCGUGAUGAAAACUAGCUUGACGAUAAUUCCCAUGUGUCCUCGGGAGCGCUUUCCUUCAUAUAAGAGUUUGUCCAGGCUUGUCCUUUGCUACAAAAAGGAUUGGUCCACCUUGCUGCACCUUAUUUACUUGCAUUACUUGUUACUCAUUACAAAUUACCUUAUCACAAAACUAUCUGUUACCGAUAAUUUUAGUCCUUGUAGAGAAUACCUUACUGAAAACUGCUUAUCAUUUCCUUCUGCUCCUCGUUGGGUUCGACACUCUUACUUAUCAAAAAGGCUACGAUAGAUCCCCUACACUUGUGGGUCAUCAAGACUCUUUUCUGGCGCCGUUGCCGGGGAGUGAAGUGCCUUUGGUAGGUGGAAUUUGGUAAGGAAAAAUUUAUAUAGUGUGCUGAAAUUUACUGUCACUUGUUACUAUGGAACAUAAUUCUUUGAUGGGCUUGUUCGGGGUAUCUUCACCCCGACCAAUAGAGCAAAUAGUUGCUCCUCAACCUACUAAACCUAUUGAAAAUGUUUACUUUGAAAUUCCUUCGGGUAUGAUAGAGAAUCUGCUAGCUAAUCCUUUUGCAGGAGAUGGAACAUUACAUCCCGAUUUGCACCUAAUCUAUGUGGAUGAAGUUUGUCGAUUAUUUAAGCUUGCAGGUAUGCCCGAGGAUGUUAUCAAGAAUAAGGUCUUCCCUUUAUCUUUGAAGGGAGAGGCAUUGACAUGGUAUAGGCUAUGUGAUGAUAUGGGAUCAUGGGACUACAAGCGAUUGAAAUUGGAAUUUCAUCAGAAGUUUUAUCCUAUGCAUCUUGUUCAUCGUGAUCGUAAUUAUAUAUAUAAUUUUUGGCCUCGCGAAGGAGAAAGCAUCGCUCAAGCUUGGGGGAGGCUUAAUUCAAUGUUAUAUUCAUGCCCCAAUCAUGAGCUCUCAAAAGAAAUGAUUAUUCAAAAAUUUUAUGCUCGGCUUUCUCUCAGUAAUCGCUCCAUGCUCGAUACUUCUUGUACUGCAUCUUUUAUGAUGAAGACUAUUGAAUUCAAAUGAGAUUUAUUGGAAAUAAUUAAACGUAACUCUGAAGAUUGGGACCUCGACGAAGGUAAGGAGUCAGGUAUAACACCUAAGUUUGAUUAUGUUAAAUCUUUUAUGGAUACCGAUGUUUUCUGUGAAUUUAGCACUAAAUAUGGACUUGACUCUGAGAUAGUAGUUUCUUUAUGUGAAUCCUUUGCUACUCAUGUUGAUCUCCCUAAGGAGAAGUGGUUUAAAUAUAAUCCUCCCAUUGAAGUAAAAGUAGUUGCACCUAUUAAAGUUGAAGAAAAGACUAUCACUUAUAAUGAUCCUAUUGUUCCUGCUGCAUAUAUUGAGAAGCCACCUUCCCCUAUUAGAAUAAAGGAUCAUGCUAAAGCUUCAACUGUGGUUAACAAAAGUAAUAUUCAGACACCUAAACCCCCUAAGCAAAUUAAAGUUGAACCUAAAAUUGCUAUGGUUAAAGAUCUCUUGGCCGAUAAUAUUGAUGGGCAUGUUAUUUACUUUUGCAAUGAAGCUGCUAGAAUUGCUAGACCCGAUGCUAAAAAUAAACAUAGACCUGUUGUAGGCAUGCCUGUUAUUUCCGUUAAAAUAGGAGAUCAUUUUUAUUAUGGCUUAUGUGAUAUGGGUGAUAGUGCAAGUGAAAUACCUCAUUCCUUAUACAAAGAAAUUAUGCAUGAUAUUGCACCUACUGAGAUAGAAGAGAUUGAUGUUACAAUUAAGCUUGCCAAUAGAGAUACUAUUUCACCAGUUGGGAUUGUUAGAGAUGUUGAAGUCUUUUGUGGGAAAGUUAAAUAUCCUGCUGAUUUUCUUGUUCUUGGUUCUCCACAAGAUGACUUUUGUCCCAUUAUAUUUGGUAGACCCUUCUUGAAUACUAUUAAUGCUAAGAUAGACUGCAAUAAGGAUAUCGUUUCUGUUGGUUUAGGGGAUAUUUCUCAUGAGUUUAAUUUUGCCAAAUUUAGUAGACAACCCUGUGAUGAGGAAUUGCCUAGUAAAGAUGAAAUUAUUGGUCUUGCUUCUAUUGCCGUGCCUCCUACUGAUACUUUAGAACAAUAUUUGCUAGACCAUGAAAAGGAUAUGUUUAUGAAUGAAAGAAGGGAAAUAGAUGAAGUAUUCUUUAAACAGGGACCUAUUCUAAAACACAACUUGCCUGUUGAAAUCCUAGGGGAUCCUCCUCCACCCAAGGGUGAUCCCGUGUUUGAGCUUAAACCAUUGCCUGAUACUUUUAAAUAUGCUUAUCUUGAUGAAAAGAAGAUAUAUCAUGUUAUUAUUAGUGCUAACCUUUCAGGGCAUGAAGAAGAGAGAUUAUUGAAAACUCUGAAGAAGCACCAUGCUGCUAUUGGAUAUACUCUUGAUGAUCUUAAGGGCAUUAGUCCCACUCUAUGUCAACACAAAAUAAAUUUGGAGAAAGACGCCAAACCAGUUAUUGAUCACCAACGACGACUAAAUCCUAAGAAGAAAGAAGUGGUAAGAAAGGAAAUAUUAAAGCUCCUUGAGGCAGGUAUAAUUUAUCCCGUUGCUGAUAGUCAGUGGGUAAGCCCUGUCGGUUGUGUCGCUAAGAAGGGAGGUAUCACUGUUGUUCCUAAUGACAAAGAUGAAUUGAUCCCACAAAGAAUUAUUACAGGUUAUAGGAUGGUAAUUGAUUUCCGCAAACUAAAUAAAGCUACUAAAAAGGAUCAUUACCCUUUGCCUUUCAUUGAUCAAAUGCUAGAAAGAUUAUCCAAACAUACACAUUUUUGCUUUCCAGAUGGUUACUCUGGCUUCUCUCAAAUACCUGUGUCAGCUGAGGAUCAAGAAAAGACCACUUCUACUUGCCCUUUCGGUACCUUUGCUUAUAGACGUAUGCCUUUUGGUUUAUGUAAUGCACCUGCUACCUUUCAAAGAUGCAUGAUGGCUAUAUUCUCUGACUUCUAUGAAAAGAUUUGUGAAGUUUUCAUGGAUGAUUUCUUUGUUUAUGGAUCCUCUUUUGAUGAUUGCUUGAGCAACCUUGAUCGAGUCUUGCAGAGAUGUGAAGAAACUAACCUUGUCUUGAAUUGGGAGAAGUGCCACUUUAUGGUUAAUGAAGGUAUUGUCUUUGGGCAUAAAAUUUCUGGAAGAGUUAUUGAAGUUGACAAAGCUAAAGUUGAUGCUAUUGAAAAGAUGCCGUGUCCCAAGGACAUCAAAGGUAUAAGAAGUUUCCUUGGUCAUGCCGGUUUUUAUAGGAGGUUCAUUAAGGACUUCUCAAAAAUUUCCUGGCCUCUGACUAACCUAUUACAAAAAGAUAUUCCUUUUGUCUUUGAUCAUGAUUGUGUAGAAGCAUUUGAAAUACUUAAGAAAGCUUUGAUUUCUGCACCUAUUGUUCAGCCUCCUGAUUGGAAUUUACCCUUUGAAAUCAUGUGUGAUGCUAGUGACUAUGCUGUAGGGCUGUUCUGGGACAAAGAGUUGAUAAAAAAUUAAAUGUUAUUCAAUAUGCUAGUAAAACUCUAGACAAUGCCCAGAGAAAUUAUGCUACUACUGAAAAGGAAUUCUUAGCAGUUGUAUUUGCUUGUGAUAAGUUCAGACCUUAUAUUGUUGAUUCACACUGAUCAUGCUGCUAUUAAAUAUCUUAUGGAAAAGAAAGAUGCUAAACCUACACUUAUUAGAUGGGUUCUCUUGCUACAAUAAUUUGAUUUGCAUAUUAUUGAUUGAAAGAGAGAUGAGAAUCCCGUUGCAAACAACUUGUCUAGGUUAGAGAAUGUUCUUGAUGACCCACUACCUGUUGAUGAUAGCUUUCCUGAUGAACAAUUAGCUGUCAUAAAUGCUUCUCACAACACUCCAUGGUAUGUUGAUUAUGCUAAUUACAUUGUUGUUAAAUUUAUACCACCUAGUUUCACAUACCAGCAAAAGAAAAAGUUCUUCUAUGAUUUAAGACAUUACUUCUGGGACGACCCACACCUUUAUAAAGAAGGAGUAGAUGGUGUUAUUAGACAUUGUGUACCUGAGCAUGAACAGGAACAUAUCCUACGUAAGUGUCACUCCGAGGCUUAUGGAGGACACCAUGCUGGAGAUAGAACUGCACACAAGGUAUUGCAAUCCGGUUUUUAUUGGCCUACUGUCUUCUAGGAUGCCUGUAAGUUUGUCAUAUCUUGUGAUGAAUGUCAAAGAAUUGCUAAUAUUAGUAGACGUCAAGAAAUGCCUAUGAAUUAUUCACUCGUUAUUGAACCAUUUGAUGUUUGGGGCUUCGAUUAUAUGGGACCGUUUCCUUCCUCUAAUGGGUAUACUCAUGUUUUAGUUGCUGUUGAUUACAUUACUAAGUGGGUAGAAGCUAUUCCAACUAGUUGCUGAUCAUAACACCUCUAUUAAGGUGCUUAAAGAAGUUAUUUUUCCGAGGUUUGGAGUCCCUAGAUACUUAAUGACGGAUGGUGGUUCACAUUUUAUUCAUGGCGCCUUUCGUAAAAUGCUUGCUAAGUAUGAUGUUAAUCAUAGAAUUGCAUCUCCAUAUCACCCGCAAUCUAGUGGUCAAGUAGAAUUGAGUAACAGAGAGCUCAAAUUAAUUUUUCAAAAGACUGUUAAUAGAUCUAGAAAGAAUUAGUCCAAGAAACUUGAUGAUGCAUUAUGGGCAUAUAGAACUGCAUAGAAAAAUCCUAUGGGUAUGUCUCCGUAUAAAAUGGUUUAUGGUAAAGCAUGUCACUUACCUCUUGAAUUAGAACAUAAGGCAUAUUGGGCUAUUAAAGAGAUCAACUAUGACUUCAAACUUGCUGGUGAGAAGAGGCUUUUUGACAUUAGCUCACUUGAUGAAUGGAGAACCCACGCUUAUGAAAAUGCCAAGCUGUUUAAAGAAAAAGUUAAAAGAUGGCUUGAUAAAAGGAUACAAAAACAUGAGUUUAAUGUAGGUGAUUAUGUAUUGCUAUAAAACUCUCGUUUAAGAUUUUUUGCAGGCAAACUUCUGUCUAAAUGGGAAGGUCCUUACGUCAUCGAGGAGGUCUAUCGUUCCGGUGCCAUAAAAAUCAACAACUUCGAAGGCACAAAUCCGAAGGUGGUGAACGGUCAAAGAAUCAAACAUUAUAUUUCAGGUAAUCCCAUAAAUUCUAAAACUAAUAUUAUUGACACCGUAACCCCGGAGGAAUACAUAAGAGACACUUUUCGGAAUGUUUCAGACUCCGAAAAGGAAUAGGUACGUGGUACGGUAAUUAAACCGACUGCAAAACAGUUCUAAUGGCAAUUUUUCUCCGUUUUGGAAUAUUUAAGAAAAUAGGAAAAUAAGAAGUAGACCGGAAAGGACACGAGGUUUCCACGAGGGUGGAGGGCGCGCCCUACCCCCUGGGCUCGCCUCCUGCAUCGUGGGCACCUCGUGUGCUCUCCGGACUCCAUUUUCUUACACGAUACUUCUUUUGGUCAGUAAAAAUUCAUUAUAUAAUCUCCCGAAGGUUUUGACCACCGUAUCACGCAAAAAUCCUCUGUUUUUGUUUCGAGCUGUUUCUGCUGCAGAUUUAGAGCAAGAUGUCUUCUCAAGAGUCAGUCGGGGAGAGUCGGGUGUCCCAUCCGACACCGGGGCCAAGAGCAAACAGCAAUGCUGACCACUUUGGGCCAUCAACUGAGGAAGAGAUGGAGGCCAAUUUGAAAAGGAUAGAUGCCAUGGAGGAGGAUGAAGAAGUUACUUCCCGUUUCCGAGCAGGAUUCACUAUGGGGGAACUACAGAGCUCGACUAUUCCAAACUCGGCCAUCCCUUCCAAUGUUAGAUUUCUUUCUUAUGAAAAUAUGAAAAAGAGUGUUACUUGUUCUCCCACAGCUAUGCAACAUCCUUGGGUGAAAGGAGCUUUAGCCGUCAUGGGCAAGCUCCGAAAGGAAAUAAUGGACCUCAAGCAGCAAGUCAAUAAGCUCGAGGAAGAGAAUCGUAUCCUAAGGGGCAUCAUCGCCAAGAAUAUCACAUCACCACCCCCAAAGAAGGAGACAUUAACACAUGGGUAUGGGCACUCCCCUUGGCAACUGCCAAGCUUGGGGGAGUGCCCCGGUAUCGUAUCACCAUCACACCUUUUAUCUUUACCGUUUUUCUUAGUUCGAUCCUUUUGAUAAUAUCUUGAUCUAGUAGAAUAAAGUUUUAGUAUGAUCUAGUUGUGAGUUUUGGUUUAUGAUCUUCCUAUGUAAUCGAGUCCGUGAGUUAAAUAUAAUAAAGAUUAGUGUUGAAUCAAGGACUUGAUUAUUUUGCUAUGAUCUGGAGGGAAUAAAAUAAAAAGAGAAAGAAAUAGAAAGAAAUAAAGAGAUCAUAUGGAUCUUAUGGAGAGUAAUCAGCUCACAUAUAAAGAGUAUGAUGAAUAAAAGUUGUUGAGAGUUGACAAACAUAAUGUUGGUCAUCGUUGCAAUUAAUAGGAAGUAAUAAAGAAAGAGAGGUUCACAUAAAAAUAUACUAUCUUGGACAUCUUUUAUAAUUGUGAGCACUCAUUAAAGUAUGAUAUGCUAAAGAGUUGAUGUUGGACAAGGAAGACAACGUAAUGGGUUAUGUUUUCUUACAUCUAAGAUAAAUUAUAUUGUCAUGGAUCAUCCAACAUGUUGAGCUUGCCUUUCCCUCUCUUGCUAGCCAAUUUCUUUGCACCAAGUAGAGAUACUACUUGUGCUUCCAAAUAUCCCUAAACCCGUUUUUGCCAUGAGAGUCAACCAUACCUACCUAUGGAUUGAGUAAGAUCCUUCAAGUAAGUUGUCAUCGGUGCGCGCAAUAAAAAUUGCUCUCUAAAUAUGUAUGACUUAUUAGUGCGGUGAGAAUAAGCUUUAUACGAUCUUGUGAUGUGGAAGAAAUAAAAGCGACGGAUUGCAUAAUAAAGGUCCAUAUCACAAGUGGCAAUAUAAAGUGACAUUCUUUUGCAUUAAGAUUUUGUGCAUCCAACCAUAAAAGCGCAUGACAACCUCUGCUUCCCUCUGCGAAGGGCCUAUCUUUUAUUCUUGUCUUAUACUUCAUGCAAAGAGUCAUGGUGAUCUUCACCUUUCCUUUUUACAUUUUAUCAUUUUGCAAGCACAAUGUGUUGGAAAGAUCCAGAUAUAUAUAGCUAAUUGGAUGUGAGCUUUCAUGAACUAUUAUUGUUGACAUUACCCUUGAGGUAAAAGUUGGGAGGCAAAACUAUAAGCCCCUAUCUUUCUCUGUGUCCGAUUAAAACUUCAUACCCAUAAAUAUUGCGUGAGUGUUAGCAAUUGUGAAAGACUAAAUGAUAGUUGAGUAUGUGGACUUGCUGAAAAGCUCUUAUAUUGACUCUUUCCUAUGUUAUGAUAAAUUGCAAUUGCUUCAAUGACUGAGAUUAUAGUUUGUUAGUUUUCAAUGAAGUUUCUGAGUCAUACUUCAGUAUGUGAUUGAAUUGUUACUUUAGCAUAAGAGAUUAUAUAUAUAUAUAUAUAUAUAUAUAUUGAUGUUCUAAGAAUGAUCAUGAUGCCCUCAUAUCCGUAUUUUAUUUUAUCGACACCUCUAUCUCUAAACAUGUGGACAUAUUUUUCGAUUUCGGCUUUCGCUUGAGGAGAAGCGAGGUCUAAGCUUGGGGGAGUUGAUACGUCCAUUUUGCAUCAUGCUUUUAUAUCGGUAUUUAUUGCAUUAUGGGCUGUCAUUGCACAUUAUGUCACAAUACUUAUGCCUAUUCUCUCUUAUUUUACAAGGUUUACAUGAACAGGGAGAAUGCCGGCAGCUGGGAUUCUGGGCUAGAAAAGGAGCAAAUAUUAGAGACCUAUUCAGCACAGCUCCAAAAGUCCUGAAACUUCAUGGAAGUAAUUUUCGGAAUUAAUAAAAAAUAAUGAGCGAAGAAAGCACCAGAGGGGGCCCGCACCCUGGCCAUGAGGGUGGGGGCGCGCCCUACCCCCUGGGCGCGCCCCCUGCCUCAUGGGCCCCCUAGUGGCCCUCUGAUGCCCAUCUUCUGCUAUAUGAGGUCUUUCGUCCGAGAAAAAAUCAUAAGCAAGCUCAUGGGACAAAACUCCGCCGCCACGAGGCGGAACCUAGGAGGAACCAAUCUAGGGCUCCGGCGGAGCUGUUCUGCCGGGGAAACUUCCCUCUGGGAGGGGGAAAUGAUCACCAUCGUCAUCACCAACGAUCCUCUCAUCGGGAGGGGGUCAAUAUCCAUCAACAUCUUCACUAACACCAUCUCAUCUCAAACCCUAGUUCAUCUCUUGUAUCUAAUCUUUGUAUCCAAACCUUAGAUUGGUACCUGUGGGUUUCUAGUAGUGUUGAUUACUCCUUGUAGUUGAUGCUAGUUGGUUUACUUGGUGGAAGAUCAUAUGUUCAGAUCCAUUAUGCAUAUUAAUACCCCUCUGAUUAUGAACAUGAAUAUGCUUUGUGAGUAGUUAUGUUUGUUCCUGAGGACAUGGGAGAAGUCUUGCUAUAAGUAGUCAUGUGAAUUUGGUAUUCGUUCGUUAUUUUGAUGAGAUGUAUGUUGUCAUCCCUCUAUUGGUGUCAUGUGGACGUUGACUACAUGACACUUCACCAUUGUUUGGGCCUAGAGGGAGGCAUUGGGAAGUAAUAAGUAGAUGACGGGUUGCUAGAGUGACAGAAGCUUAAACCCUAGUUUAUGCAUUGCUUCAUAAGGGGCUGAUUUGGAUCCAUAUGUUCCAUGCUAUGGUUUGGUUUACCUUAAUACUUCUGUUGUAGCUACAGAUGCUUGCAAUGGUGGUUAAUCAUAAGUGGGAUGUUUGUCCAAGUAAGGAAAGUACCCAAGCACCGGUCCACCCACAUAUGAAAUUAUCAAAGUACCGAACGCGAAUCAUAUGAGCGUGAUGAAAACUAGCUUGACGAUAAUUCCCAUGUGUCCUCGGGAGCGCUUUCCUUCAUAUAAGAGUUUGUCCAGGCUUGUACUUUGCUACAAAAAGGAUUGGGCCACCUUGAUGCACCUUAUUUACUUGCAUUACUUGUUACUCGUUACAAAUUACCUUAUCACAAAACUAUUUGUUAUCGAUAAUUUCAGUGCUUGUAGAGAAUACCUUACUGAAAACUGCUUAUCAUUUCCUUCUGCUCCUCGUUGGGUUUGACACUCUUACUUAUCAAAAAGACUAUGAUAGAUCCCCUACACUUGUGGGUCAUCAGUGCAACAUUCUAUAACUCAAGAAUUCAAACUGAGGCAUACUAAACGAGUUAGUGAACGGAAUAUGAAGAAGGAUGACAUAAUUGGAGAAGAUAUUGAAGUUAUAGAUAAAGUCUUCUUAUUGUUAAACCAGACUUGCAUGUGUUGCACUUGAAGAGGCCGGAGUCCAUGCUUUCUUGAGAGAUGAAAUAAGGUGACAUGUGUUGCCAAAAUAAAUGAGUUAUGUAUUAUACUUCUCUUUUAAAAUUAUUGUUUGUAUAGAUAUGUAACUUACUUUAUUAACUUUCUUAAUGAAAUGCAGCCAACCAUUCUGAACAAGUUUCUGUCCUCAGUAAUGUUGUAGCAUGAUCAGAAGGUAAUAUUUUUUGAAUAGCUUGUUUUGUUGAAUCUAUUAAUAUAAUUGUGAUUAUUUGCUGCUUGUACAAAUGAAGGUUCUAUUUGUAACAAUGCAAGUGGGUCAAGUAGAAAAUUUAUUGAUAUAGUUGAAUCAAAUGUUGAACAUAUGGUUGUUUUAACCUAUCCAAAUCUAAUGAAUAUUUUUCAUUGUGAAAAAUACUUUUAGUUCAUAAUUGUUGUGCCGAUGCACUAAGCUUGGUGAACUUAUGUGUGGGAUAUGAAGGAGAAAGUAAGCAACACUUUAGAUCCAUAGUGUGCAAAUGGUACUGCAUCAUACAUGAAAGAAAGGCAUGAAACAUGUGUUUAUAUAUAUUUGACUGUACUGAAAAGUUCUUGAGUAUUUAGAGUUGCUUUCAUCAUCUUGGAUGGUCAAAGAAAUUUCAUCAUCCAACGUACCACUUCAGAGGUAUAUUCCAUUAUUCAUGUUUAUCUGUAAAACUAAUUUAUUUCUUCUAAUUAUGGCAAAUGCAGGGAAGAUUCAGCAAUUGCAUCUCUGAUGAUAGCAAUGUACUUUAAUGGCAUUGAAGUAAAAUAAAAACUAACUAAGGUACAUCUGAAUGUUAAUGUUUCAUUCUAAUUUGUUUAUCAGCUCUAUUGCUACUUACAUAAUUGCACAUUUUUUUGUAGUACACAUUUUCUAUUAUACGAGUACUAAUGUUAUGGCAUUUACAAAAAAUGGACUGUAAUAAAGGAAAGCUGCCUUUACAUCUUCAUCAAAUGAUGUAGAAAUUGUAGAUCAACAUUCUUAUGCAUGAACUAAAUAUUUACUAUUUGUAAUAAGGAUUAAGGUGUUGUGUGUUGACACAUAUAAGUUUGUAUUGAUUAUUUUAAUUAUAUGUAAUUGUAGUAUCUUAGAAUGAUUAGACAUAAUAUUUGAAUUGUAAUGCCAUAUUAAAGAGUUUGAACAAUUUAUAUUAAUUGAUCUUGUUGUCAUGGUGACCCACUUACAGAUACUUAGUACUAACUAAAUGUAUACUACAAGUGUUAACUCACUGAUAGGAUAAAAUAAUUAUAUGUAUAUAUUGAGAAGAAUUUAUAGGAUGAGAAACUAUUGAAUUAGUAAAGAUUGUUAAAUAUAAUGUGAACAACAUUUAUAUUUACUAGAAGAUCAGUCGAUUACAUCAUUGUCAAUUAAAGUACAAUCUUAGUAGAAAAGAUGUGAAAACCUACAAUAUCCCUAGAAUUGAAGGACGCGGUGGUCUACCGGGUCACUUAUAUGAAUUUGCAUAGUUGCAUCAAAAGGUUUCUAGUUUAGUAACCUAUUUCAGCAAGUCUACUACACUACACAUUUUAUUGGAAUGUAACCGAAGUUUAAUAUAAGCUAAAUUGGAGUAAAUUAAAUAAAGUAUUGAUAUAAUUGGAAUUGCGGAAGCAAACACCAAUUUACUAAAAAAAGAAUAAUGUCUAUUUUUUCCGAAGAUCCACUAUGACAAUGAAAAAUAUUUCUACAUAUCCGACCAAACCCCCCUUCCUUCAAGAAAUCUUGGAGAAAAUGUCACACUUACUCUCAAACUUCUAUAAUAUUUUACUAAACUCUAUGUAUUAGAACUUACUGAUUCAGAACAUCUACAAAUCGAAGGAUACUAGAAUUAUAUUAACUGUAUUAAGAUAACAUCACUCUCUAGAUGAUCAGAAUUCCAGUUACCCUCUCGUUGAUAAAUUAUGCAUUGGAAUCAAUUCCUCAGUACAACUUUAAUAUGCUUCUACAUAAUUCAGAAUCUCGAAAACACCAUGGUUACUAGGGCUUGUGUCAAUAGUCUGUGGCCUAAAAUAAGCAUAUCCUUCUUCAACAUAUAAUUCUCGAACUGUAACUAAUACCUAGAUAACCAAGGAUAUUGUUUACGUUGCUAGUACAACGAAUAAAUUUGUUGACGGACUGAAAUUUUGACAAUAUCAUUAUCACUAACAAUGGGAUCUGCAUCAUAAUCACUUUGGUGACCUUGUCAUCUAUCCGUUAACAGAUAACUGCAUAUCAGAUCAAAGUAAACUAGUAUAGAGAAAAAUAAGAAAUCCUAACUUGUGAACAAUGCAACAAUGUUAACAUACCAAAUCUUGGGGUGUAUCCAAGGUCAGCUUUCCUAAUUCAGUGCCAUGGACCAACAUAGUGGAGUGAAAAUCUUCAAUAACAUCAAUCUAUUACAAUGAGCUUUAUUUUUUUGCUCAAGAGCAACAUGUAGGAGGACAGAUUGAUAUAAAUUUGUUGCUAAGAACGAAGAACAUUAACUAAUGUAAGUUCGAGAUUGCAAACUUGGAUCUUGGGAUAAGAAGCUACAUCUCUAAGCACUAGCGAUUUUGCCACCAAAGUUGUUUUGCUGAUUGCCGCCGUUAAAGUUCGGUGAGAAGGUUGAGGUAAAAGAACCUGAGAUUGGUGGGGAGAAGGAAACAUGGCACAACAUGCAUCUAUUUAAAUGGCUAUGAAAUGACUUUCCCAUGAUUUUAUGUAAUUUCUUUCGGAUAAUGGUUUUUUCAUUUCUGAAUGUUAGUCCAAGUUGUAUAAAAAUAUAAUUUUAUAUUGUAAAAACCAAAUACCAAAGAUUGUAGUUUAUAUUUAUAGAUAUUGCGUUGGAAGGAAUAUUGUAAAUAUAGUAUUUAUAACUGGUAAUGUAUUAUAGAGAUUUUGUGGAGGGAAAUUUAAUGGAGAACCCCUAGAAAGUUUUAAGAGAUGGAACUAAGAGUUAGGUCUAUUCCGUAUAGAGGGAGAUAGUGACAAAAUGUGCGGAGAUAGUAAGGUUCUGCGAUGUGGUCAUAUACAAAUAUGAUAUUUAUUAAUAGGGAGCCCACUACCUCGUAAAAACCGUCUGCUCCCCUUGGGUCUCAGACUAAAAAAAUACAACCAGAUCACAGACCAGAAUUCUUCUUCGUCUUGGGAUGGCGGCUGGUAACCAAAGAUUCAACCCUAGGUAGCUGUCUUUGUUGUUCUACCACACUGUUUCCUCGUAGGUUUACCUCGAGAAACUUGUAUUAGGAAGGAAAUUUGACUCAUAUGUAUCCACACUUUUGGUGAGAGAAGUGAAACUGUGGAUAAGGAACAUUAGCAAAGAGCUAAAGGCACACAUGAUAAGGUGACAUAUCAUUGAAACAAUUAGCUUGUAGGUAUGUUUGCAUUUUGCCACAACACAAGUUUUUUUAUCAUCAAUUUGGAUAUUUAAUAUAUGUUAUGGGCAUCUGUUUUGAUAUUGGUAUGACUAUGCAUUAUUUAGUAGUGUCAACGUAUCAACAUAUGACUGAAGAAUGAGUUUAGAUUUGAAUAAACUUUAUUUGUCAGCUUUAAGAUGUGUACAAUUACGGUACUUUCAAUUGAACUAUUUUUAAGGAUUCAGAACUGUGUAAGGCAUCAUAAUGGGUUGAUUUUUACUCUAUAGGAUUUUCAAAUCUAAAACUUUUUGUUGUGUUUGAAAUUUAAGUACUUUGAUCAGAAACUUACAUGUUUGCGUUAGUGAAAAUAUCAAGAUUUUUGAAUAUGAGUUUAAUUUCUGAUUUAGACUCCGCACAUGAAAGAGAGAAACAACAUAAUUAAGAAGCUAUCAAGUUACUAAUUAAGGCAUAUGGUCAAUACGUUAAGAAGGCAUGUCAAUAUGUACAAUGGAAAUUGAUUAUCCUCUUUAGUCGUGGGAAGUAAAACAAUUGCACAAAAAAAUAGUCUUGAAAGCUCAGGGUGAUCAACAUGGAGGGUCUUAGAUAACUCCACGACUCCUAGAAGGUUUGAUAGACUCGGUUGAGAAUUCAUCCAAUCCAGGUGCUUUAUAAUUAAUGCAACUUCGCUCACCACAUGUUUAGAAAAAAGGGGUUGUGAUGAGCUUAUUUCGAGCAUCCAAAACCUAUGACUUUUCUUCUAUUGAAACAUUUAGAGAGAAAGUACUUGAACUGGGAGUUUCUAAUAUACAUAUUAUCUGAUAAUAUAAACCUUUAGGGAAGUCAUGGGGGGGGGGGAGAGCUGCUACACAACUACUACUGCAAAAAUGGUAGCCGGAAAAGGACACCACUCAAGUGUAAUCAUGAGAGUGCAUAGUACAUCUAUUUAUUCGAGUUGGCUAAUCUAGAUUGGAUCAAGAGAAAGCCUUUUCAGAGACUGGAUCUAUUGUUAUCCUCGUAUAUCUCAUGCAAAUGAAGAUUUAGUGUACAACCAUCGCUAAAAAUUGUAAUAAAUAGGCGGAGGAUAUAUAGGGGUGAAGGAAAAGCCCUCAAACAAGCAAUUGCGGUUGGGUGGGGGUGGGGGUGGGGGUACUAUGUGGGUCAUGUAAUGAACCCACACAACAAGGUCGGACACAUGGGGCAACUGCAUGGACUCCCUAGUGGUCGUCAUGAGUUGGCUUUUGUCCUGUUCCUCAUCUUAUCUCCUUGUCUCCUUGAUGUCUAACCAACAUAAAAAGGAUUCUUUUUUCUAUAUUUUAGCGAUAAGCACAAUUAAAUAUAUGAGAAAAAACAUUAAACUUCAAAAGAAAUACAUGCAUUUCUGUUGUAGUAGUGAAAAAACAACAUAAGAAGGGGUAUACAAAGAUCUUGUUAGACAUCAAAUUUAGUAUAAGCUCUAUUCCACUAAAACAUGGAACUCUACUCUUCUAGUCAAGGAUAUCAAGGUAAAACCAUCGAGAAGGGUGAACAAGAAUUCCAUUGAGAGGAAAAAACUCUGAAAACAAGAUAUGAUAGAGAACCUCUUGCGUCGACAAGAGGUGAGAUAAUUUUUCACCGAGAGGCAAGGUUGGAGAAAGUGCCAGGCAAAAACGAGGAGUUUGGCUUUCUCUUAGCACCUAAGUGGUGCUUAAGCGCCUUAGGUGUAGCCUAGGUGCAUGUAUAGUUUUGGCUAUCAGGGUGUAUUUGGGAUAAUAUAUGUGUAUCAAUAUUAAUUUAGAGCAUAUAAGUGCGGAAACUACCAUGUCUAGCCUUUGGAAUAUGGCCUAGGCCCGUUUGGCCCAUCUAUGAAAUGUAUCAUGAUAUCUCGUUUGAGUAAAUAAUUUCUUCUUUUGCAUGCCUAGAGUUUCUCUUAUGUCCUCGGCGAGUCGUUUGGUCAUUGCCUAGCACCUAAGGGUGUCUAUGCGCCUUUCGGCGUGGUCUUUUCCAGCACAACUAAGAGGAGAUCUCUUCACACCACACUUGAGAUGAUAUCCCCUCCCAUAAGAAUGAGAUGCCUUACAAGCUACCACUGGACACUUUUUAUAGGAUUUUUUACUUCGACCAUCAUUGCUCUUGCACUACUAGGAAAAUGCAUAUACAUAGUAGCAUAGUAGUAGCACUGGAAAAUAGCAAACACUGCUGCUAUUUAGCAGUAGCGCUUUUCCUGGAAAGCGCUACUAGUAACACCAUAGUAGUAGAGCUAUGAAGCAGAAAGGCGCUACUACUAUGUGGGACCAGACGGGGCCACCGACGGUUUUUGUAGUUGUAGCGGUGUACAGGAAAAAGCGCUACUACUAACAGUUUAGUAGUAGCGCUCGAUUUUAAUGCACCGCUAUUGCUAGUGGGCCCCACUUAGUUAGCGCUUUUCCUGGAGUGCGCUACUACUAAGUCCAAUAGCGGCAACGCUUUUUGCAAAGCAGCGCUACUGCUAGUUGCGGCUGGUGCCACCUUUUCCACCCCCUCCCCUCCUCUCCCCCACUUUGCCCUCUCUCCCCCUCCUUUCCCCUCUCCCCUCUCCACUCUCCACCAUUGUUGCUCUUCUUCUCUCUUCCUCCUACCUCUCUUCUCUCCUUAUUAAUGGCACCCUCCUCCAUAAAUGGCCUCUCUCUUUCUCCUACACCUCUCUUCUNNNNNNNNNNNNNNNNNNNNNNNNNNNNNNNNNNNNNNNNNNNNNNNNNNNNNNNNNNNNNNNNNNNNNNNNNNNNNNNNNNNNNNNNNNNNNNNNNNNNNNNNNNNNNNNNNNNNNNNNNNNNNNNNNNNNNNNNNNNNNNNNNNNNNNNNNNNNNNNNNNNNNNNNNNNNNNNNNNNNNNNNNNNNNNNNNNNNNNNNNNNNNNNNNNNNNNNNNNNNNNNNNNNNNNNNNNNNNNNNNNNNNNNNNNNNNNNNNNNNNNNNNNNNNNNNNNNNNNNNNNNNNNNNNNNNNNNNNNNNNNNNNNNNNNNNNNNNNNNNNNNNNNNNNNNNNNNNNNNNNNNNNNNNNNNNUAUAUAUAGGUGAGUAAAAAGUUGUUCAUUUCAAGAAUGGGAAUAUGUGUGUGAAUGAGAAUAUGUGUGUUUGGGAUAUAUAUAUAUAUAUGGAGAGAUUUGUGCUAGUGAAAUGCCCUCGAGUUGCUUAUGUUUUGCCGAAAUGUCAAUUUAUUUCCGUUUCGGUGAAUUUCGAGCAAACUCAUAUGUCCUAUUUUAGGAAAGGUCAUGCCAAAAUUAUAUAUAUAUAUGACUUUGAAGCAUGCAUUAUUUAUUUCAUAACCAUUUUGCUUGUUAUACCGUGAAGUCGGUCAUGAAGGUGAGUGGAUGAAAGGUGGAGCGGUACAUGCAAUCCGCGAUGAUGGACAUGUAUGCAAAUAAUUGGACUAGGAUUAGUUGUCCGUGUGCAAGAUGCAAGGAAGGAGUCCUUUUGGACCCUUUUGAUCAUGGCACUUUGAAGCGCACCUGCUGAUGAAUGGUUUCAUGGAUGGCUAUACUCAGUGGAUAAGUGAAGAAGAAGAUGAUGAUGAGGACGUCCACAUGGCAGGGAAUAACAACAUGGGGCUAGACGAAGAGAUGACCGAUCGACAAGAAGAUGAUGGCGUCGGACAUGUCGGCGGGGAAGAGUCCGAAAAUGAUGACGGCGGCGGAGAAGAUUCCGGACACGGAGAAGAAGAGUCCGGACAUGGAGGAGAAGAGGUGGCGGUCACGCUGCAGUCUUCGAUGCUACUAAGUUCAGUCGUGUAGGACCCUCAUGUUCGAGACGUCCUUCGCAAGCGUACGACUAGCCAGAGCUGCUUCUAGAGAGGAGGCCAAGCUGGCGCAACUUGAAGUAGUCCCAAGGACUCCAUUAUAUGAUGGUUGCGAUCCCGAGGUGACCCACUUGCGUUUCACGCUCGAACUUGUAAAGACGAAGGUCAAAAACAAAUGGACAGACAAAAGCCUCGAUGAGCAUUUGAAGUUUCUACAUAAUAAAGUUCUUCUCGUGGGGAACCUGUGUCCUACUAGUGUCGAGGAGGCCAAGAAAAUCGUUUGCCCUUUUGAUUUGCCGCACAUUAGUUACCAUGUAGGCAUCAACGAUUGCAUCAUUUAUCGAGUGGAGCACGUGGAAAAAACCAACUGUCUAGUGUGCAAUGCUUCUCGAUACAAGAAGGGAGGAAAGAAAGCUCCUCAGAAAGUUGUAUGGUACUUUCCGAUCACUCCCCGUCUGCAGCGGUAUUUCGUAGAUCCUAAGGAAGCAAAGCUCAUGCGUUGGCACACGGAGAGGAAGAAGCCCGACGAUGGAGAUGAUCCGAGGCUGAGACACCUCGUAGAUGGUAGCCAGUGGAGAGCAUUCAACGCCGUAUAUGGAUUUGCUGCAGAAGAUCCAAGGAACAUUGUUCUUGGUGUGAGUACCGAUGGCAUGAAUCCGUUUGGAAACCAGAACACCAACCACAACACAUGGCCCAUGUUUGUAUGGAUGUACAACCUCCCCCCAUGGAAGUGCAUGAAUACGAAGUACAUACACAUGAGCAUGCUGAUUCAAGGGCCGAAACAACCGGGAUAUAGUAUUAACCUAUAUAUGGGGCUUCUGCUAGAGGAGCUAGACACGUUAUGGAAAACACCGGCAUGGACAUGGGACGCUAGCAAAGGAGAAUAUUUCCAUAUGAGAGUUGCACUGAUGACGACAGUGCACGACUAUCUCGGUUACGGGUACACCUCAGGCCAGGUGUGCCACGGAUACUGCGGAUGCACGAGGUGCAUGGAUGAUACAACAUCUCAGCAGCUUACAUCAACGAAAGAUGGCGGGUCCGGGAAAAUCGUCUACAUGGGGCAUCAUAGAUGGCUCGAGAAGGAUGACCCAUGGAGAAAGCAUGGAGAUCUAUUCAAUGGGUUGGCUGAGCUUCGGGGACCUCCGCGUAAAGGAGUGGCACCGAAAUCGACGAGCUGUUGAGAAACUGGGAACAAUGCCCCGCGCCGGGAAAGAUCAAAAAGGCGCUGGAGCCGCUGCUGAAGGUAUGGAAAACGAGGUUUGUUUUCUGGGACUUGGAGUACUGGCGCAAUCAUGACAGGCCUCAUUGCCUUGAUCCAAUGCAUAUCAUGAAGAAUGUCCUCGAGAGCUUGCUUGGCACACUGAUGAACAUGCUGGAGAAGACCAAGGAUGGGCCGAAGGCAAGGAAAGACUUGGAAGAUUUGAGGAUCAGGAAAGAUCUCCAUCGUAAAAAGUUGAUGGAGGAGACGGAGACGGAGACGGAGAUGUACUUCCCGCCCGCGUUCUUUGACGUCAUGGGACAUCUGUGUGUCCACAUCAUGGAGGACAUCAUCGACCUCGAGCCGACAUUCCUUCACAACAUGUUGCCGUUUGAGAGGAUGAAUGGGGUCAUCAAAGGAUUCGUUCGUAACAUGUCCUGUCCCGAAGGGAGCAUCGUCCAGGGGUAUAUGAUGCAUGAGUGUGUCUCCUUUUGCGAGGAUUAUAUAAGCGUCGGAGACCCUAUUAUUGGUUUGCCCGUCAAGAAGCACGAUGGGAAGCUCGAAGGAGAUGGUCACAACAAUGGCCGGAGGGAAUUGCACGUUGACUACUCGAAUCGACGGAACAACUUUGACAGGGCUAACUUAGUAGUGCUACAACACCUAGAUGUGGUAGAUGAUUAUGUGGCACAACACAAAGAAACCAUCGCAAAGAAGUACCGUGAUAAGGGGAUGCUCAAGACGGACGAUGAAGUUACUAUAGAGCACACCGCCACUUUCUUGCGCUGGUUUAAACAACAAGUUCUUGAAAAUACCCCGGAAGAGGGCAAUUCGGACGGAUUGCUCCUACAUGCCUUAGCACAUGGCCGUGCGCCCAAGCUCGCGACCUAUUAGUCCUACGAUAUCAAUAGGCACAUGUUCUACACGGAGGCCAAAGACAUGGGCAGUGAUUACCAGAACUCUGGGGUGAUAAUUCAAUGCAUGACCGACGCCAAUGACACAACUGAAAGAUUCUACGAAAGGGUCGAAGAGAUCUGGGAGCUUGACUAUGCUGGAAUGCAUGAUGCGACGAUGUUCCUGUCAGAUGGGCCAAGGACAUCGUAAGAGAAAACAAGUAUUUCACCACCAUGUCUAUACCCGACGCGAAGAGCACUCACGUGAACGUUAACAUCAUCGCCAAAAAUGAGCCAUGGGUACACGCUAAGCACGUGACAUAAUGCUUCUUCAUAACCGACCGGCCAAUCCCAGCCGUGUUGUCGUGAGGAGAUCCAAAAGGAGCAUCAUCGGAAUGGAUGGAGUCGCCAACGAGGAAGACUACGACCAAUACAGCAACCCGAUGAGGGAAGAUGAUGAUGACGAUGAAGCAUACGUGAAAAGAAGAAUCAAUACUACAUUACCUAAGAAAGAUCGUCUCCAUGGCUUCGGAAGAGUCACAAGGAGGGGCUCAAUUACUCGGCAACGAACAAGAAAGGGAAGAAGCUCAAUGCGAAACAUCGUCGACGCAACUGAUCAGAAACCUACAUUUAUAUAUAUGUAUCUAUUUUGUGUACGCACUUAAGUAACCAUUAUCGGUCAACUGAUAUGUUACCACCACAUGCAUGGUUCCGGUGAUAUUUGCGCAGUGGGGGAGAGGGAGACGCCGUCGUCGGGAGAGAAACAAAAAAACAAAAACUAAAGGGAGAAAGAAGUACAAAAGAAAAAGAAAAGUAAACUUUAAAGAAAAGAAAAAUAAUAAAUAAAAAAACAAAAGGACAAUAAUAAAAGAAAAGAAAAAUAAAAACUAGAAAAGGAAAAUAAAAAAUAAAAACUAAAAAUAGCAGUAGCGCUUGUCUGUGGACCAGCGCUAUAGCCAAGUAUUUUAGAAUUGAAAAAAUAAAAAUUGGAAAAGAUAGCGGUAGCGCUGGUUUGUAAACAAGCGCUAUAGCUAAGUAUUUUAGAAUUAAAAAAAUAAAAAUAGGAAAAGAUAGCGGUAGCACUGGUUUGUAAACAAGCGCUAUAGCUAACUUAGCUAUAGCGCUUAUUUACAAACCAGCGCUACCGCUAUUGUGAGUUAACUAGUAAUUUUAGGGCAAAUUUUAGGGAAAUUUUAGGAAAUUUGAGGGCAAUUUUAGGGCAAAUUUAGCAAAUUUUAGGGAAAAUUUAGCUAAGUUAGCAAAAAAAUUUAGCAAGUUAACAAAUUAGGGUAGUAGCUAAUUAGGCAGUAGCAAGUUAGCAAAUUUUUAACAGAGAGAGAGAGUAAUUUUUUUCUUUUUUAGCAAGUUCACAAAUUUUUAGCAGAGAGAGAGAGAGAGCAAGUUUUUGUGUAUAGCAUAUGCAAUUUUGUUAUUUUUGUUUAUUUAAGUACAAGCAUGCUUUCGCUUGAAUGAUAUAUUUUGCAAAUGACAUAUGUCAUGGAUGUUAUAUGUUGGUUUUCCAAUGUUGGUUGAAUGUCGAAGAAUAUCCGAGUGGCCUAUGUUUUACCGGAAUGUUGAUUCAUUUCCGUUCCGGCAAAUUUCAGGCGCUCCAUAUGUCCACUUUUUAGCAAAGGUCAUGCCAAAAAUUUCCAUGAUUUUCUGCAUGACUCGUGCUAGAAACUAGGACAUAUGGAGUACCCAGGAUUUGCCGGAAGGGGAAUGAAUCAACAUUCUGACUAAAUAUAGGCCCCUUUUUUUCUUCAUUAUAUCUUUUAUUUACAAUUGUUGAAUAUGAAACAUGUCUACCGACGCCGAAGUCGUGGGUGGUUCUGCUCGCCUCGAAGACCCCAUCGAGGCAACAAAUCACUAUUUCGAUUACCUGGACGAACACUAGAUGGGGUUGCAUGGUGGCGUCAGGGGCACCAAUCCCGACACCGACACCACCCCGAGACCGGGAACGAUGCUGUCGUAGCCGGUAAAGCACUGAAGAAGAAGAGGACACGAAGAUGAAACGAGCUUGGCAUCGGACAAAUUGUGGUCAUGGAGAUGCACCCCAAGAAGUUAGAGCCAACGACGCCGGAGGAAGUGCGCAAGUGCUAGGGAAAUCAACUUGGAUGCAUCCUCAGGGAAACCGCCAACACCAACGAUGAGAGGUUGAGGCUCAUACCACAUAUUGAGAACAUGCUCCCAAAGAAGUUGCACAAUAGGUUCUUGUUCCCCGACCGGAAUGAAAAAGCAUAUAAAGAUCCAUGGGAAGACAUCACCAUGACAAAGAUAGACGACAAGGCGAUGGUGACGUUCACCCACGACUUGUCCGCCUGGAAACUUUAGGUGAAAAAAGCGAUUGUGAAGAAUGAAUCGUGGUCCAAGAUUCAUGCCGACAAUCCAUCAAUAAUGGAAGAGGACUUUUCAAAAUUCAAGGAGAAUUGCUCUAAAGAAAGUGUCAAGGAAAAGUCGGAGAAAAUGAAGGCGCUCCAGGCCAGGAACAUGCCUCCCCACCGCCUCGGGAGCCGUGGCUACGAGGGGAAGAGGCCCAUAUGGGCCAAGGAGGACGCCGAACAUGAAAGUCACGGAAUCCCAGACCCCUUGGCGGAGUUCACCGACCCGCUAGAGCAUGACUGGAUCAGGGCCCGGUACAAGUGGGACAAAGAAAAAAAGAUCUUUUACAUGGACCCGAACAUGAGGGAGUUCAUGAGACUUCUGGUAAUUGUUAUAUUAUCACAUUAUCAUAUUAGCUUCCAAUCAAUUCGACUGCAAGUUUUGUCACAUUAGUAAACCAUCCACGUUCCUUUUGCAGAAAGAGAAGCACCAAAAGGCAGCCGAAAGCGACGAGUCAUCACAGUCGUCGGCGAGGCCCAAGUGGGACACCCCAUUCAACCGGGCCCUAAACAUACUCAAAAAGGUCCCGGUGGACAAGCCGCCGUCCUAUGGACGUGUGCACGGCGUCGGAGAUGGCGCCUCGUGGAAGAUGUGCUACCCCGAGGAGCUAGAGGAAAGAAGGAAGAGACGGUCGUUCAUCACUCAGCAAAGCAUCGAUGAGAGGGUCACGAUUGCGGUCAAUAAGACCAAGCUGAUACCAAAGAGGAGUUGCUCGGGGCCGUUAGUGCAGCUGUCACUGACGUGGUGGUCAGCUUGAUUCCGACACUUUAAGAAUUCACGAAGGACAAUCCAAAUGCACGUCCAGAGGACUUUCCCAUUCCCAACUUUGUCGGGAGCAAUUCGGCGAACACCAAAGCACCAGCACCUUCUCAAGCAACCGCAAAGGUCCCGCUCCUGUUCAUAGCAGCCCAACCUCCGUCUCUUGCAUGCUCGGUGGGCCUUCAUCACUGGUUGAGCUCGAUGCCCUCACGGUAAUUACGCGUCAUGCCCUUUUCACCAGCAUGUCUAUAGUCUUCCGUUUCAGUUGCCUUUCAGAUGUUUGACGUCACAGAUAUGUCUCCUUUGUAGGCCGACGACACCCCAUGCACCCUACUCUACGACAUCAAGGGCCAGAAGGUGGCCGUGGGAAAGGCAACGGUCAUGAAGCCGAAGGACCGCAUGUUCCACAACCGAGAGAUGUCCGAUUGCGUCUUCAAGGUUAACGUGGCCAGUGUCUUUGCGGGCUUCGAGGAAUUGCCUCCUCCGGUACCAGUCGAUGACGACGAGACCCCUAAGAUGAGUGGCGCAUGCUAGAGAUGGUUCUUGCCUUGGCUGAAGUCUCUUCUUCGUCUUGAGGCGCCUAGUAUCAUGCCAACACCACCUUCUCAAGAAGGUAUGAACACCACACCACCUACCACAUUACCUGCACCUGUCAUGGCGAGUAAUAGUGGACGACGCGAGGGAGAGCCUCCAUUAGUUCCAUAUGAUGUAGCCCCCGCUGUUAAAGAAGCAAAUGUUGAUGAUGACAUCGAGGACGAUGAUGAUGACCCAAACAAGUAUUUUAAUACCUCCUAUUAUGAUGGAGGAUUGAUGGCUCGGGACGGCGAAGACUCAGGCUAUGAGCGUGGGAGAUGAUGACUUGAUGCUGCAUGAUUUGCCAGAGCUGGAACGUCCUAAGGCGGAAUGCAAAAAGUCUCUCUUCAAGCGAUCCUCGUAGGAGACACCUCCCGAUGCCACCUGUACCCAGCAACCCCCCAAGGCCCAUCCACUGAUUAGCCCGACGACACUUGGGGUGGUGGUUAGGGAAGGUAUGGUGGGCUCACUACCGCCACCCGCCAAGAAGUAAAAGAGGAGAUCGGACAAGAAAGGCCCUAAAGGCGCUAGAGCUGCUUCAAGCAGUGAACCGCCUCUGAAGCCCCGGGUGGUAGACAGAAUACCUGUCCAAGGUGCGAAGCGCUUCCAUGUCACCGGCAAGCCGAUCCUACCUGCCGAAGUGCUACAACACCUACUGAACAAUAAUCUAAGGAGACUGCAUGAAGAUGUGUUGGCCAGACAGAAAAGCCUUCUGGUCACGCAAAAACCAGGAUACCCACUUUGCGCGGCUCAGGUGCCGCCUAGGAAGUUGUAUGUCGAGAGAUGCACUACUAGGGAAAAACCCUAGUAGUAGCGCUUGUUUUAUAGCUAGUAGUAGCGCUGGUACCAGCGCUACCACUAAGGCGCUACAGCUAAGUAGUAGCAGUAGCGCUGGAAAGGGAGUGCUACUGCUAUACCUAGUUAGUAGUAGCACUUUCCUUUGGACAGCGCUACUGCUACUUGUAAGUAGCAGUAGCGCUUGUUCUAACAAGCGUUGCUGCUAACUUUUCCUGUAUUUUUAAAAAUACAACUUAUUUUCAUUGUGUGGUUUUAUAUAUACAGUACUUUCAUCAUAUGAUUUUAUGACCAUGAUUACUUAUUAUAUAUAAUAGUGGGUGAAAUGAACGUGGAGUAGAUUCAAGUGGAGCCAACAUGUGGUGCAUGUCGAAAGUACUACUCUAAUCCAAACUUGAUCUAGUUUGGAUUAGUAGUACUUUCCAUGUGCACCACAUGUUGGCUCCACUUGAAUCUAAUCCAGGUUCAUUUCAUCGACUGAUAUAUAUAUAUAUAUAUAUAUAUAUAUAAUAACUCAUCAUGCUCAUAUAACAACUUAGCAUCAUGCAUCAUCGAUCAUAAUAAUAAAUAACUCAUCAUUGGUAUCAUAAUAACAAGUCAUACUCAUCAUCAUCGAUCAUACAAUUUCUACUCGAUACCACAUCAUCAUAGUCAUCUAACUAAUCCUACUUAGUUGUUCUUAGCACAUGAUCAUGAGUAUUAUUAACUAGGACCUACUACCUUCUCUUUGGUAAAAUAGCAUAAAAUAGGAUAGGCCCUGACUCUCCAUUAUGGAGAAUGGAGAUUAUCAUGUCUUCAAUUCUUGCCUUUCACACGAUGUUGCUUCCAAGUACCUCCUUACGACUGUCCACACAUUUUUUCCAUUCUAUGAUUUUCAUGUCUCCACUUCUUUUAGAAAUCCGAUAUGGAUAGGUGAGACUCGUAGGAUGACCUGGCCGUAUGUUCAAAACAUCAAGGCGACCAUUCUGAUACAUCAGAUGAGGCACACAAUCAUUCGGGGUUUUCUAUUGAGAAACAUAGUAAUAACUUCGUAGUUAGCAAUGUAGUUACGUUUUGAAAGAAUUUAUGCAAAAGAUGCAUGGAUGUCGUAAUAGUAAAAAAUCUUAUCAUGACAUCUCCAUGGAUGUUACCGUAGUUCAACACGUGCACUAAUGGCACGUAUUGACGAUAACGUGGAGGAGUUUUAUAAUAGAUAUUUUCUCAAGAUCGGUACAAAAUGCGACCAGAUGAUUUUUCUCCUGAUAAGUUAACUCAAAGCCAUCGUUUUAGGUUCUGUCUACCAUGUUCCACACAUUGUUUGAACAAUGAAAAUAAGUUGUCAAUGAAAAUAAGCUGUCAACUAUUUUGAAAUGAACAGUAUAAAUUAAUUAAUAACUAUGUUUGAGAAAAUCACAUAGCGGUAGAAUUGGAAGCGUAUCAACAAGGACCCAAAUGUCCAUAUUGUCUUGAUCGAUGUCAGGAUCACCAAGAUCCAUGGUGACAAGCAUACCCCCAUAAAAACAUACAUCUUGCAAAGUGCUUCCCAAUUUUUGCAACCAAAAUGGAUUAUGCUCUCAAAAUUAUACAUAUUUACUUCAAAAUCCAUAUCAUGAUGGGUCCUUAGGUGAAUUUUCUUUGUUUCGAAAUUUUCAUGGUCUUCAAAAUCCAUCCUCUCCAAGACAUAGCGUCUUGCAUGGCAUGGGAUAAGCUACUCGAAUUGUAAAAGAUGAAAAUUACACGUUGAAAUAGUUGAAGUCAUGCUUAAUUACGAAAAAACACUUUUCGUCGUUGCGUACUGUUUCAACAUCGAAGGUCUCCUGGAGCUUAAUGCUGAAGCGUCGAUAUUCAUCCAGGUGAGGCCUGUCGCACAGACCUCGGUCGUCGUUGCACCGGCUGCACUCCCCCGGGAGACUUUCAUCGUCUGAUGAUGACAUUUCCUAUGUUCAUAAUCCAAAGAUUAAACUUAUACAAUUCAAUAUAUGUACUAUAAAAAUUAAAUUAGAUCAUUAUUAUUCAUCACGGGUUGACUAUCGGUCUGCCGAGUCUAUAUGGUGGAGACUCUCCCUCACUGAUUCCUCUCUGACAUUUGCGACCGUCAGUGAUGGUCGUUACUCCUCCUUCCCCUAGUGCAUAACAAUGGUCUAGCACAAGGAGAGGAAGGAGAAACGACCCCCACGACAACAGUCGUGAUUGUUCGUCCUCUCUCAUAUAUGGUGGAUACACUCCCUCAUUGAUUUUUAGACCGUCGGUGAUGGUCGUUAUUCCUCCUUCACCUAGUGCAUAAAAAAGGUAUAGCACAAGGAGAAGAAGGAAAAAUGACCCCCGCGACAACAGUCGGGCUUCUUCGUCCUCUCUCAUAUAUGGUGGAUACACUCGCUCACUGAUUUUUCGACCUUCAGUGAUGGUGCCUCGACAAACUUAAAGUCAACCCGAAAUGUCGUUUAAUUAUUUUUCGAGAAAAUCCAGGCCAGUCGAUAUUUCCUACAUAUUCUAGCACAAGUCAUGCCAGAAUUUAUGAAAAAAAUCUAGCAUGACCUUUGCUAAAAAAGGACAUAUCGAGCGCCUGAAAUUUGCCGGAAUGGAAAUUAAUCAACACUCCGGCAAAACAUAGGCCACUAUAGGAGGUGUAACCUGCAAACAUGGCCGACCACUUGGGCAAGCACAUAUCCUAUUUGAGAAACACAAGAUAUACAUGUUUAUAUCUACAUCAUAUGAGCAUCCAAACUUGAUGGAGUAGUUUUCCAAUUUGAGCAUUCAAUAAGCAAAACCAAAUCGUAAAAUAAAUUAGUAUUCAAAUUAGCAUUCAUUCAAUAAGCAAAACUAAGCCAUCUCUUUCGUCCAUACAUAGUCGAAUAUUAUCACUAAUAGAUAUCGAAUAGUAUCAUACAUAUAACAUCACUAAUACAGCUAAAACCAUAGCGAACGAUGGGUAUCGGUGCAGGCGGUGGACACCCAAAGAGAAGGAACCAUCACAGGAUCAUAGCUCCAUUGAGACCCCUGAGGAACCUCCCAGGUAUUGGAGAACCUGCCCUCCAACGCAACCAUGUAGCGACGGACGUGCUCGUCCUCCUCGCUGACACGGUGACAUACCACCUCCGCGGAGUCCUCAAGCCUCCGCACCAUCACUGGCCCACCCGACCGCCACCAAAGAAGGUUCGGGUCAACGACGGGCUGGCUCCUCACCAAGAUACGCCCCCCGGAAGGUAGCACCGCCCAGUACCAGCCCGGCGGAGCCCAGUCCCGGACAUGGCUCCUCACCAAGCCCAGGCCUCCUCCGCCGAGUCGAUGACGAGGAUGCAGGAUAGGCAUCGUCGACGUCGAUGCGGGAGUAAUUGGUUUAACUAAAAAAUAAACUAGUUCUAUUAAUUUUCUUACUAAAAAUAAAGUAGUUCUAUAGUAAAUUUUUAAUUAGAUCAUCAAAUCUCAUGUACCUAAUUUUUCUUACUAAAAAUAAACUAGUUUUAUUAAUUCAACUAGUUCAACUAAGCACUUACUAUAAAUAAAAUAAACUAGUACUUACUAAAAAUAAACUAGUUUAUAUAGUUCUAUUAAUUUUCUAACUAAUUCUAUUAAACACUUACUAAAAAAUAGUAAAAAAACCAUAUUGAAUUUUUCUAUAAACUAAACACCACUACCCUAAAUUAGCAUCUACUUAAUUAGUUACCUAACCUACUUCCCUAACUAAAAACCAUCUAAGUUAAUUAACUAAAUUCACCUAAGUUAAUUAACUAAAUUCACCUAAGUUACCUAACCUAAUGAACUAAAUGGAGGGAGGAGGAGUACCUCACGGUGGUGGAGGAGGACCGGCGGGGGAGGAGGCCGACGCGGGGAGGAGGCCAGCGGGGGAGCAGAGCCAGUGCGGNNNNNNNNNNNNNNNNNNNNNNNNNNNNNNNNNNNNNNNNNNNNNNNNNNNNNNNNNNNNNNNNNNNNNNNNNNNNNNNNNNNNNNNNNNNNNNNNNNNNNNNNNNNNNNNNNNNNNNNNNNNNNNNNNNNNNNNNNNNNNNNNNNNNNNNNNNNNNNNNNNNNNNNNNNNNNNNNNNNNNNNNNNNNNNNNNNNNNNNNNNNNNNNNNNNNNNNNNNNNNNNNNNNNNNNNNNNNNNNNNNNNNNNNNNNNNNNNNNNNNNNNNNNNNNNNNNNNNNNNNNNNNNNNNNNNNNNNNNNNNNNNNNNNNNNNNNNNNNNNNNNNNNNNNNNNNNNNNNNNNNNNNNNNNNNNNNNNNNNNNNNNNNNNNNNNNNNNNNNNNNNNNNCGGCGCGGGGAACGACGAUGCGCGGGGGACGGUGGCGGCGAUGACGGCGGAGAGAGGCGAGUGAGUGUGUGAUAGCGGGGGAGUGAGAGAGAGGUCGAGCGCAGUCCCUUGGGAUGGAUAAAGAGCCCGUAGUAGUAGCGCUUAUAUGUAGAAAGCGCUACUGCUACGUCCGGUAGCACUAGCGCUUCAUACAUAAAAGCGCUACUACUAUGCCUGGCCUGCCGGCAACGGCCUGGCAAUUGUAGUAGUAGAGUUUUUUUUAAUAAAAUAACGCUACUGGUAAGUGCAUAGUAGUGGCGCUUUUUUAUAAAAAGCGCUACUGAUAAGUAGUAGCAGCACUUUGUUAUAAAAAACGCUACUACUAUGCUACUAUCUAUAAGCAUUUUCCUAGUAGUGAUGGCCCGCGAACAAGUUCAUCCUGCAAUUUGACUACAUCUACGACAUGUUCCACAUGACCAAGCUGGAUUUCCAGUUCAUCCGCAUGUAUGCGCUAUAUCUGAACUACUUCGUCAGGGUCAAGAAUAUCAAAUAUAUCUGCGUCGCGGACCCGUUCUAUAUGCACGAGAGCUUCUUGGCAGUUUGCAGAGAGCACCAUGACUAUGCAAGCAAGUACCUCGGUGAGUUCAUGAUCACUAAUAAGGACAAGGAAGUGAUUCUCUUUCCUUAUCAUCUCACGUAAGUCAUCGGCACAUAUCGUUUCGUAAGUGUUAACAAUUCCUUUGUAGCAGGGAGACUAAUUUGAGGUGUNNNNNNNNNNNNNNNNNNNNNNNNNNNNNNNNNNNNNNNNNNNNNNNNNNNNNNNNNNNNNNNNNNNNNNNNNNNNNNNNNNNNNNNNNNNNNNNNNNNNNNNNNNNNNNNNNNNNNNNNNNNNNNNNNNNNNNNNNNNNNNNNNNNNNNNNNNNNNNNNNNNNNNNNNNNNNNNNNNNNNNNNNNNNNNNNNNNNNNNNNNNNNNNNNNNNNNNNNNNNNNNNNNNNNNNNNNNNNNNNNNNNNNNNNNNNNNNNNNNNNCCAUGCGAUGCACUUGGACUCAUCGAAGAACCUCAGGAAAAAGGAUUACAAGCACAUAAAGAGUGUUCUCAAUAGUGCCCUGUUAACCUUCAGCCUGUCUGGUGGAUAUAUCAAGGUGAAAAAGUACAAGAACCGCAGGCUGGCUUUCAGUCAUAAGAUCUACUUCUGCCGCAUCCAGCAACCGCACACCAGUAUGGCUGAUGGAUUCUACCUCAUGCAUCACCUACUCGAGUACAGAAGGAUAAUCAACGCCUUCACAUGUCAGCUACUACUAAUGAUGCCGAUAUUGUCAGCUGGGCCACAAGCAUAGGAACGACACCAGAUCAUUGAGUUAGAGUUGAGUUUUAUCACGUACAGUGUGAACUUGCCCAAGUGAUCAUGAAGCAGGUCCUUGAACCAACAGGGAUGUUCUACCUUGGGCCAAUCACGCAGGAAGAUGUCCGAGCACUGCUACUCGCUCAACAUCUGGACCUUAAGCCUUUCAAUAAGCUUGGGUGCUUCCUCCCCGACUAUGAAGAUUGGACCACCGACAUGGAGGACUGAUUGUUGAUGUCAAUGUGUCACUACUGUCUUUCUAUGGCAAAACUUUGAAUUUAUGCACGGCGGAACUAUGUGAUGUAACUAAACCGUGGUCCUUAACUAGCAUAGAUCGCUCUAGUUAAUUAGUUUGGGCAUGAGGAACUUCGUCAUUUAUGUUUACUAUUGGUUGUUUGUAUUUUUAUAAUUAUGCCGCUUUGUUUUCAUAAGUAUAUUAUGUUGCAUAUUAUCGUUCAAUUCAUCAACUCACAAUGCAGGUACAUAGAUCAGAGAUGGCGAAGGGCUAUGAUACUUCUCCAACGUAUCUAUAAUUUUUGAUUUCUCCAUGCUAUAUUAUCUACUGUUUUGGACUAUAUUGGGCUUUAUUUUCCACUUUUAUAUUAUUUUUGGAACUAACCUAUUAACCGGAGGCCCAGCCCAGAAUUGCUAUUUUUUUUGCCUAUUUCAGUGUUUCGAAGAACAGGAAUAUCAAACAGAGUCGAAAUGGAACGAAAUCAACUGGAGAAGUUAUUUUUGGAAGGAAACCUACCAGAUAGACUUGGACCCUACGUCAGAAGAUGAAGGAGGAGCUCACGAGGGUAGGGGGCGCGCCCCCCUGCCUCGUGGCCACCCCUUCGGUCCAUCGACAUACUCCUUUCACCCGUAUAUACCCACGUCUCCUAAAACUUCCAGAGAGCACAAUAGAUCGGGAGUUCCACCGCCAGAAGCCUCUGUAGCCACCGAAAACCAAUCUAGACCCGUUGCGGCACCCUGCCGGAGGGGGAAUCCUUCUCCGGUGGCCAUCUUCAUCAUCCCGGUGCUCUCCAUGACGAGGAGGGAGUAGUUCUCCCUCGAGGCUGAGGGUAUGUACCAGUAGCUAUGUGUUUGAUCUCUCUCUCUCUCUCGUGUUCUUGAUUUGGCACGAUCUUGAUGUAUCGCGAGCUUUGCUAUUAUAUUUGGAUCAUAUGAUGUUUCUUCGCCCCUCUACUCUCUUGUAAUGAAUUGAGUUUCCCCUUUGAAGUUAUCUUAUUGGAUUGCGUCCUUAUAGAUUUGAGAACACUUGAUGUAUGUCUUGCCGUGGAUAUCUGUGGUGACAAUGGGAUAUCACGUGAUUCACUUGAUGUAUGUUUUGGUGAUCAACUUGCGGGUUCCGCCCAUGAACCUAUGCAUAGUGGUUCGCACACGUUUUUGCCGUGAUCCUCCGGUAGAAACUUUGGGGCACUCUUUGAGGUUCUAUGUGUUGGUUGAAUAGAUGAAUCUGAGAUUGUGUGACGCAUGUCGUAUAAUCAUGCCCACGGAUACUUGAGGUGACAUUGGAGUAUCUAGGUGACAUUAGGGUUUUGGUUGAUGUGUGUCUUAAGGUGUUAUUCUAGUACGAACUCUAGGGCUGUUUGUGACACUUAUAGGAAUAGCCCAACGGAUUGAUUGGAAAGAAUAACUUUGAGGUGGUUUCGUACCCUACCAUAAUCUCUUCGUUCGUUCUCCGCUAUUAGUGACUUUGGAGUGACUCUUUGUUGCAUGUUGAGGGAUAGUUUUAUGAUCCAAUUAUGUUAGUAUUGUUGAGGGAACUUACACUAGUGAAAGUAUGAACCCUAGGGCUUAUUUCCUAUCAUUGCAAUACCGUUUACGCUCACUUUUAUCAUUAUUUACCUUGCUGUUUUUAUAAUUUCAGAUUACAAAUACCUUUAUCUACCAUCCAUAUACCACUUGUUUCACCAUCUCUUCGCCGAACUAGUGCACCUAUACAAUUUACCAUUGUAUUGGAUGUGUUGGGGACACAAGAGACUGUUUGUUAUUUGGUUGCAGGGUUGCUUGAGAGAGACCAUCUUCAUCCUACGCCUCCUACGGAUUGAUAAACCUUAGGACAUCCACUUGAGGGAAAUUUGCUACUGUCCUACAAACCUCUGCACUUGGAGGCCCAACAAUGUCUACAAGAGGAAGGUUGUGUAGUAGACAUCAAGCUCUUUUCUGGCACUGUUGCCGGUGAGGUGAGUGCUUGAAGGUAUAUCUUUAGAUCUUGCAAUCGAGUCUUUUAGUUUCUUGUUUUAUCACUAGUUUAGUUUAUAAAAGAAAAUUACAAAAAAUGGAAUUAAGUUUGUCUCAUACGCUUCACCUUUUAAUAUAUUUCGUGAGUAUGAUGGAAAGGAUAAUUGUGCUCAAGUGCUAGAAGAAUAAAUCUAUAAAAUGUUUGGCACUAAAUAUUUGAAUGAUGAUCAUGAUUGCAAUGUUGUUAGUAUGAAUUCUUUGAAUAUCCAUGAUGCUAAUGAUAUGCAAAGCCACAAGCUUGGCGAAGCUAUGUUUGAUGAAGAUGAUAUUUUUUGUCCCCCAAGUUUUGAUGAGCAAAUUUAUUAUGAUGAAAGCAUGCCUCCUAUCUAUGAUGAUUAUUGUGAUGACACAUAUGCUUUAAAGAAUAAUGAUAACAAUGAAACUUGUCAUCUUGAUUUCAAUUUUCAAUCACAUGAUAAUUAUUUUGUUGAGUUUGCUCCCACUAAUAUUCAUGAGAAGAAUUUUGCUUAUGUGGAGAGUAAUAAAAUUUAUAUGCUUGUAGAUCAUGAAAAUAAUGCUUUAGGUGAUAGUUAUAUUGUUGAAUUCAUUCAUGAUGCUACUGAAAAUUAUUAUGAGGGAGGAAUAUAUGCUUGUAGGAAUUGCAAUAAUAUCAAGUUUCCUCUCUAUGUGCUUAAAGUUUUGAAGUCAUGCUUGUUUUGCCCUCCUAUGCUAGUUGAUUAUUGUUCCCAUAAGUUGUUUGCUCACAAAAUCCGUAUGCAUAGGAAGUGGGUUAGGCUUAAAUGUGUUAGUUAUAUUCUUCAUGAUGCUCUCUUUAUGUUGCAAUUCUUAUCUUUUAUGUGAGCAUCAUUCGAAUCAUCGUGCCUAGCUAGGGGUGUUAAACGAUAGCGCUUGUUGGGAGGCAACCCAAUUUUAUUUUUGUUCCUUGAUUUUUUAUCCUGUUUAGUAAUAAAUAAUUCAUAUAGCCUCUGUUUAGAUGUGGUUUUAUGCUUUUAAUUAGUGUUUGUGCCAAGUAGAACCUUUGGGAAGACUUGGGGAAAGUCUUGUUGAUCAUGCUGUAAAAAACAGAAACUUUAGCGCUCACGAGAAUUGCUGCCAUUUUUAUUUGGAGAGUUAUAUUUAGUUAAUUCUUUUUACAUAUGAUUAAUAGAUAAAUUCCUCAGGUCCAGAAUUUUAUUUUAGAAUUUUAUAAGUUCCAGAAGUAUACGUUUGAUUCAGAUUACUACAGACUGUUCUGUUUUUGACAGAUUCCGUUUUUCAUGUGUUGUUUACUUAUUUUGAUGAAUCUAUGUCUAGUAAAAUAGUUUAUAAACCACAGAGAAGUUGGAAUACAGUAGGUUUAACACCAAUAUAAAUAAAUAAUGAGUUCAUUACAGUACCUUGAGGUGGUGUUUUGCUUUCUUAUACUAACGGAGCUUACGAGUUUUCUGUUAAGUUUUGUGUUGUGAAGUUUUCAAGUUUUGGGUAAGGAUUUGAUGGACUAUGGAAUAAGGAGUGGGAAGAGCCUUAGCUUGGGGAUUCCCAAGGCACCCCAAGGUAAUAUUCAAGGACAACCAAAAGCCUAAGCUUGGGGAUGCCCCGGAAGGCAUCCCCUCUUUCAUCUUCGUUCAUCGGUAACUUUACUUGGAACUAUAUUUUUAUUCGCCACAUGAUAUGUGUUUUGCUUGGAGCGUCAAUUUAUUUUGUUAGGAUUUGCUUGAUGUUAUUUAGAACAAUAUUUUGCAUCUUUUAUUUCAAUAAAAGUGGCAUUGACAGCCUUUACUAUGCCUAUUUUAGAAGUCCAUAUGUUGCUGUUUGAAAAUAGAAAGUUUACUGCUGUUGCAAUAAUUCCCUAGAAAAGUCAGAAUGUGAUAUAAUGUUGAAACCUUUUGCAUAUUAAGCUAUGAUAAAUUUACUACAGUGGGAAUUUUCUUUCAUAAUUUUUGGAGCUAUGGAAGUAUGGAUGUGGCAGCAUUCUUUACAGACUAUCCUGUUUAGGCAGAUUGCUGUUAUGUUUGCAUUGUUUGCAUAUGUUUGCUUCUUUAAUGAUUCUAUUUGAGGAUAGGACUAUUAAAUAUGCAGAGGCAUUUAGUAUUCAAUGUUGAAUAAUAAUUUUAGCGAUUUUCUACAGUAGAGUAUGAUAAGGUUUUGGCAAUGGUUUAUACUAACUUAUCUCACGAGUCCUUGUUGAGUUUUGUGUGGAUGAAGCUUUUGAGAUUUAGGGAGACCGUGAUAUGAGAGGAAUUAAGGAGACAGAAAAGCUCAAGCUUGGGGAUGCCCAAGGCACCCCAAGAUAUUAUUUCAAGAAGUCUCAAGCGUCUAAGCUUGGGGAUGCCCCGGUUGGCAUCCUACCUUUCUUCUUUAACAACUAUCGGUUAGUAUCGGUUGAUCCUAAGUUUUUGCUUCUUCACAUGAUGUUUGCUAUUCUUAGAAUGUCAUUUUAUUUUUCUUUGCUUGCUGUUUGAAUAGAAUACCAAGAUCUGAAAUUAUUAAAUGUUAGAGAGUCUUCACAUAGUUGCAUAAUUAUUCAACUACUCAUUGAUCUUCACUUAUAUCUUUCGGAGUAGUUUGUUGUUUUCUCUAGUACUUCACUUAUAUCUUUUAGAGCACGGUGGUGGAUUUGUUUUAUAGAAACUAUUGAUAUCUCAUGCUUCACUUAGAUUAUUUUAAGAGUCUUAAUGCAUGGUAAUUUGCUUAAAAUCCUAAUAUUCUUCGUAUGCAAGAUUAAUAAUAAAACUCUCUUAUGAGUGUGUUGAAUACUAUGAGAAGUUUGAUACUUGAUAAUUGUUUUGAGAUAUGGAGAUGGUGAUAUUAGAGUCAUGCGAGUUGAGUAGUUGUGAAUUUGAGAAAUACUUGUGUUGAAGUUUGUGAUUCCCGUAGCAUGCACGUAUGGUGAACCGUUAUGUGAUGAAGUCGGAGCAUGAUUUAUUUAUUGAUUGUCCUCCUUAUGAGUGGCGGUCGGGGAUGAGCGAUGGUAUUUUCCUACCAAUCUACCCCCCUAGGAGCAUGCACGUAGUACUUUGUUUCGAUAACUAAUAGAUUUUUGCAAUAAGUAUGUGAGUUCUUUAUGACUAAUGUUGAGUCCAUGGAUUAUACGCACUCUCACCCUUCCACCAUUGCUAGCCUCUCUAGUACCACGCAACUUUCACCGGUACCAUACACCCACCAUAUACCUUCCUCAAAACAGCCACCAUACCUACCUAUUAUGGCAUUUCCAUAGCCAUUCCAAGAUAAUAUUGCCAUGCAACUUUCCACUGUUCCUUUUAUUACGACACGCUUCAUCAUUGUCAUAUUGCUUUGCAUGAUCAUGUAGUUGACAUCGUAUUUGUGGCAAAGCCACCGUCCAUAAUUCUUUCAUACAUGUCACUCAUGAGUCAUUGCACAUCCCGGUACACCGCCGGAGGCAUUCAUAUAGAGUCAUAUCUUGCUCUAAAUAUCAAGUUGUAAUUCUUGAGUUGUAAGUAAAUAAAAGUGUGAUGAUCAUCAUUAUUAGAGCAUUGUCCCAGUGAGGAAAGGAUGAUGGAGACUAUGAGUCCCCCAUAAGUCGGGAUGAGACUCCGGACGAAAAUAAAUAAAUAAAAGAGGCCAAAGAAGCCCAAAUAAAAAAAGAAAAGAGGCCAUAAAAAAGAUAAGUCCCAAAAAAUAAAAAAAAUGAGAGAAAAAGAGAUAAGGGGCAAUGCUACUAUCCUUUUACCACACUUGUGCUUCAAAGUAGCACCAUGAUCUUCAUGAUAGAGAGUCUCCUAUGUUGUCACUUUCAUGUAGUAGUGGGAAUCUUUUAUUAUAGAACUUGGCUUGUAUAUUCCAAUGAUCGGCUUCCUCAAAAUGCCCUAGGUCUUCAUGAGCAAGCAAGUUGGAUGCACACCCACUAGUUUCUUUUGUUGAGCUUUCAUAUACUUAUAGCUCUAGUGCAUCCGUUGCAUGGCAAUCCCUACUCACUCACAUGUAUAUCUAUUGGUGGGCAUCUCCAUAGCCCAUUGAUACGCCUAGUUGAUGUGAGACUAUCUUCUCAUUUUUUGUCUUCUCCACAACCACCAUUCUAUUCCACCUAUAGUGCUAUGUCCAUGGCUCACGCUCAUAUAUAGCGUGAAGAUUGAAAAAGUUUGAGAACAUCAAAAGUAUGAAACAAUUGCUUGGCUUGUCAUCGGGGUUGUGCAUGAUUUAAAUACUUUGUGUGGUGAAGAUAGAGCAUAGCCAGACUAUAUGAUUUUGUAGGGAUAGCUUUCUUUGGCCAUGAUAUUUUGAGAAGACAUAAUUGCUUAGUUAGUAUGCUUGAAGUAUUAUUAUUUUUAUGUCAAUAUGAACUUUUGUCUUGAAUCUUUCGGAUCUGAAUAUUCAUAUCACAAGUAAGAAGAAUUACAUUGAAAUUAUGCCAACUAGCAUUCCACAUCAAAAAUUAUCUUUUUAUGAUUUACCUACUCGAGGACGAGCAUGAAUUAAGCUUGGGGAUGCCUGAUACAUCUCCGACGUAUCUAUAAUUUUUGAUUGCUCCAUGCUAUAUUAUCUACUGUUUUGGACUAUAUUGGGCUUUAUUUUCCACUUUUAUAUUAUUUUUGGGACUAACCUAUUAACCGGAGGCCUAGCCCAGAAUUGCUGUUUUUUUGCCUAUUUCAGUGUUUCGAAGAAAAGGAAUAUCAAACGGAGUCGAAACGGAACAAAAUCAACUGGAGAAGUUAUUUUUGGAAGGAAACCUACCGGAUAGACUUGGACCCUACGUCAGAAGAUGAAGGAGGAGCUCACGAGGGUAGGGGCACCCCCUGGGGUGCGCCCCCCUGCCUCGUGGCCACCCCUUUGGUCCACCGAUGUACUCCUUUCACCCAUAUAUACCCACGUAUCCUAAAACUUCCAGAGAGCACAAUAGAUCGGGAGUUCCGCCGCCAGAAGCCUCCGUAGCCACCGAAAACCAAUCUAGACCCGUUCCGGCACCCUGCCGGAGGGGGAAUCCUUCUCCGGUGGCCAUCAUCAUCAUCCCGGUGCUCUCCAUGACGAGGAGGGAGUAGUUCUCCCUCGGGGCUGAGGGUAUGUACCAGUAGCUAUGUGUUUGAUCUCUCUCUCUCUCUCUCUCUCUCUCUCUCUCUCGUGUUCUUGAUUUGGCACGAUCUUGAUGUAUCGCGAGCUUUGCUAUUAUAUUUGGAUCAUAUGAUGUUUCUUCCCCCUCUACUCUCUUGUAAUGAAUUGAGUUUCCUCUUUGAAGUUAUCUUAUCGGAUUCAGUCUUUAUAGAUUUGAGAACACUUGAUGUAUGUCUUGCCGUGGAUAUCUGUGGUGACAAUGGGAUAUCACGUGAUUCACUUGAUGUAUGUUUUUGUGAUCAACUUGCGGGUUCCGCCCAUGAACCUAUGCAUAGGGGUUGGCACACGUUUUCAUCGUGAUUAUCCGGUAGAAACUUUGGGGCACUCUUUGAGGUUCUAUGUGUUGGUUUAAUAGAUGAAUCUGAGAUUGUGUGACGCAUAUCGUAUAAUCAUUCCCACGGAUACUUGAGGUGACAUUGGAGUAUCUAGGUGACAUUAGGGUUUUGGUUGAUGUGUGUCUUAAGGUGUUAUUCUAGUACGAACUCUAGGGCUGUUUGUGACACUUAUAGGAAUAGCCCAACAGAUUGAUUGGAAAGAAUAACUUUGAGGUGGUUUCGUACCCUACCAUAAUCUCUUCGUUCGUUCUCCGCUAUUAGUGACUUUGGAGUGACUCUUUGUUGCAUGUUGAGGGAUAGUUUUAUGAUCCAAUUAUGUUAGUAUUGUUGAGGGAACUUACACUAGUGAAAGUAUGAACCCUAGGCCUUAUUUCCUAUCAUUGCAAUACCGUUUACGCUCACUUUUAUCAUUAGUUACCUUGCUGUUUUUAUAAUUUCAGAUUACAAAUACCUUUAUCUACCAUCCAUAUACCACUUGUUUCACCAUCUCUUCGCUGAACUAGUGCACCUAUACAAUUUACCAUUGUAUUGGGUGUGUUGGGGACACAAGAUACUCUUUGUUAUUUGGUUGCAGGGUUGCUUGAGAGAGACCAUUUUCAUUCUACGCCUCCUACGAAUUGAUAAACCUUAGGUCAUCCACUUGAGGGAAAUUUGCUACUGUCCUACAAACCUCUGCACUUGAAGGCCCAACAACGUCUACAAGAAGAAGGUUGUGUAGUAGACAUCAGGCUACUACGCCGUGUACGCUGGGAGAGUUCCAAGAGUGUACGACCACUGGCCAGCCGCUCAGACCCAGGUGCACAGGUACCUGGGUGCUCGCCACAGAGGGUUCGGCAGCAGAGCCGAAGCGGAAAGUAGUUACUUGAGGUGGACACUCCAACAUGAGCAGGGGCGGGACCGCCGGUACUACAUAGUCGCGCUCUUGCUCAUGCUGAUCGCUCUUCUCUUCUACAUCAUGGUUUAGAUAGAGAGUAUGAAACUUGUGUGUGUGCCAUGACCAUGCAAUUGCACUAAUUCGAGACAUGACAUGAUCGCAUUUGUGUAUCGCUAUUUUCGAGAUGUGAUGAUAUUUGUGUUGAAUGAUGAUGAUGAUGGUAUGGCGAGACUACUGUAUGUCUAUGAUAUGAUGAGAAUAGUGUAUGUUUAGUAUGAUCUGAUGAAACUAUUGUAUAGAGCCUGUAUAAAUACCGCACAAAUACAUAGAGGGGUGGGGAUGGGUGAAAGUAGCAACAUUAGCAGUAGCGCUGUAAAUCACCUAGGAGUACCGCUGGCUUAGCAGCAGCGCUUCAGAUAAACAAGCGCUACAGAUAGUUAGCAGUAGCGCUGCUGUAGGAAGUGCUACUGCUAAGAAUACUUACCAGUAGCACUGCCCAUACCAGCGCUACUGCUACAACUUAGCUGUAGCGCGGUAGCAGUAGCGUUGGACCGAGCGCUACUGCUAUGCAUAUUUCAAGCGCUACUACUAGGGUUUUCCCUAGUAGUGUUGUGGAGGAGGAAAAAUUAAGGAGGCCUCAUAUUCUUAGGUCUAUAAACGCCUUGAAAAGCGGACGCGAAGUAUCUACACAUGAGCUCAAAUGCACCCUAAUGAACAGUGAAAUCAAAAAAAUAGUAAAAUUAUUCAAAAAAUUCUGAAAAAAAUUCUUAAGGCACGGUGCAUUAACUUCCACAUCAUUUCUUAUUUCUUGACAUAAAUAAAAGAAUCAACCAAUAAAAAAUGUAAGACAUGUAUGCUUUCAGUUGCUCGAGACUACCAAACAUGACAUACAGUGGUCAGUCCAUUGUAUGUAAUGCUAUUAAUUAGCAAAUAAACACUAAGUUAUCUCGUUUUUUCCUCCGCCUUGGUUGCGAUGCACAACCUUAGAUGACUUAUACACCUAGAUGGAGGGAGUACCUUGGAUCUAUCGUUCUUCGUGCUUGUGCACUUGGUUUUCACAGAUACACAACUAAACAUAAAGAUACACUUUCUAACAAGAAGAGACCAAAUGCACGUCAGUGCCAACAAUCAAUGCCACAAAAUUUGAUGGUUGCUAUCCAUCCUGCCCCAAAUAAAUAAAUAAAGAUAAUCUGACAAUAACUCUUCUUUUUUACUUGUACACGUGAAACAUUAUGAUAUUCUCUGAGGUAAAACAAAAAACACAACAAAACAUUAUGUAACAAUCUAAAAUAAAACAAAGACAAAACUAGUAAAAGUGACAUGAAUAAUCUCCAGAUGACAAUGGACGACACGUCGGAGGUGGCAAUACCAAAGUGUUCGUCGUGUGUACAAGGAACUAACAUGGUUGUAAUGAAACAAUAAAUCAAUGAAAGAAAAAGAUUUGGGAGAGAAAGGAGCUAUAACAAUCUUACAAUAAUUUACAAGGAAAAAAGAUUGUCACAAAUCAAAACAGCCUUGUACUUCGUCGGUGGUUUAAUGGUUGACCAUGCUGCACUUCUUCCUGAUCUCACCUUGGAUUCCGGUGAGCGGGUUGGUGUUGCCCAGCUUGAUCAUGGAGGUGGCGAAGUUGGCGAAGAACUCGUCCUUGAAGGCGCCGGUAGCAUGGUGCUGGACGUAGGCACAGGUGAAAGGGUCGGUGAGGAGGGCGCCGUCGGAGUGGAAUAGGCCCCUCCGCUUGCUCACUAACUUGAAGUAGUCGGUGUUGAAGGUCUUAAAGCUGCCGGGGUCCAUGUCCACAAGGGUGGUGUUUUCGUUGAGGCUGGCACACUUGCUCUUGAGCCGCAUCAUGUACUGCGGCUCCAGCGUGGGGUGAUGUCGCUGGGCUUCUCCAUCCUGGUGAAGUUGUAGAGUCGGUCGGAGAAGGAGAAGCUCCAUCCAUCCAUUUAUGGACUGGUGCAAGCCUCUCGGAGUUGGAAUAAACGCUUUGAUAGUGUGAUCAAAGCAUAUGGUUUUAUACAGACUUUUGGAGAAGCCUGUAUUCACAAGAAAGUGAGUGGGAGCUCUGUAGCAUUUCUAAUAUUAUAUGUGGAUGACAUAUUGUUGAUUGGAAAUAGUAUAGAAUUUCUGGAUAGCAUAAAGCGAUACCCGAAUAAGAGUUUUUCCAUGAAAGACCUUGGUGAAGCUUCUUACAUAUUGGGCAUCAAGAUCUAUAGAGAUAGAUCAAUACGCUUAAUUGGACUUUCACAAAGCACAUACCUUGAUAAAGUUUUGAAGAAGUUCAAAAUGGACCAGUCAAAGAAAGGGUUCUUGCCGGCCUUACAAGGUGUGAAGUUGAGUCAGACUCAAUGCCCGACCACUGCAGAAGAUAGAGAGAAAAUGAAAGUCAUUCCCUAUGCUUCAGCCAUAGGUUCUAUCAUGUAUGGAAUGUUGUGCACUAGACAUGUGUGCCUUGCUAUAAGCAUAACAGGGAGGUACCAAAGUAAUCCCGGAGUGGAGCACUGGACAGCGGUCAAGAACAUCCUGAAAUACCUGAAAAGGACUAAGGAUAUGAUUCUCGUUUAUGGAGGUGAAAAAGAGCUCACCAUAAACGGUUACGUCGAUGCAAGUUUUGACACUGAUCCAUAUGACUCUAAGUCAGAAACUAGAUAUGUAUUUUUAUUGAAUGGAUGAGCUAUCAGUUGGUGUAGUUCCAAGCAAAGCGUCAUGGCGGGAUCUACGUGUGAAGCGGAGUACAUUGCUGCUUCGGAAGCAGUAAAUGAAGGAGUCUGGAUGAAGGAUUUCAUAUCCGAUUAGGUGUCAUACCUAGUGCAUCGGGUCGAUUGAAAAUCUUUUGUGACAAUACUGGUGCAAUUUCCUUGGCAAAGGAAUCCAGAUUUCAUAAGAGAAUCAAGCACAUCAAGAGACGCUUCAAUUCCAUCUGUCAUCAAGUGUCGGAGGGAUACAUAGAGAUUUUCAAGAUACAUACGGAUCUGAAUGUUGCAGACCUGUUGACUAAGCCUCUUCCACGAGCAAAACAUGAUCAACACCAAAGCUCCAUGGGUGUUAGAAUCAUACUAUGUAAUCUAGAUUAUUGACACUAGUGCAAGUGGGAGGCUGAAGGAAAUAUGCCCUAGAGGCAAUAAUAAAGUUAUUAUUUAUUUCCUUAUUUCAUGAUAAAUGUUUAUUAUUCAUGCUAGAAUUGUAUUAACCGGAAACUUAGUACAUGUGUGAAUACAUAGACAAAACAUAUUGUCCCUAGUAUGCCUCUACUUGACUAGCUCGUUAAUCAAAGAUGGUUAUGUUUCCUAACCAUAGACAUGUGUUGUCAUUUGAUGAACGGGAUCACAUCAGUAGGAGAAUGAUGUGAUGGACAUGACCCAUCUGUUAGCUUAGCAUUAUGAUCAUUACAGUUUCAUUGCUACUGCUUUCUUCAUGACUUAUACAAGUUCCUCAGACUAUGAGAUUAUGCAACUCCCAAAAACCAGAAGAACACUUUGUGUGCUAUCAAACGUCACAACGUAAAUGGGUGAUUAUAAAGGUGCUCUACAGGUGUCUCCGAAGAUGUUUCUUGGGUUGGCAUAGAUCGAGAUUAGGAUUUGUCACUCCGUGUUUUGGAGAUGUAUCUCUGGGCCCUCUCGGUAAUGCUCAUCACUAUAAGCCUUGCAAGCAUUGUGACUAAUGAGUUAGUUACGGGAUGAAGUAUUACAGAACGAGUAAAGAGACUUGCCGGUAACGAGAUUGAACUAGGUAUGAUGAUACCGACGAUCGAAUCUCGGGCAAGUAACAUACCGAUGACAAAGGGAACAACAUAUGUUGUUAUGCGGUUUGACCGAUAAAGAUCUUCGUAGAAUAUGUAGGAGCCAAUAUGAGCAUCCAGGUUCCUCUAUCGGUUAUUGACCGGAGAUGUGUCUUGGUCAUGUCUACAUAGUUCUCGAACCCGUAGGUUCUGCACGCUUAACGUUCGAUGACUAUUUGUAUUAUGAGUUAUGUGUUUUGAUAACAGAAGUUUGUUCGGAGUCCCGGAUGAGAUCACGGACAUGACGAGGAGUUUCGAAAUGGUCAAGACAUAAAUAUGGAUAUAUUGGACGGCUAUAUUCGGACACCGGAAGUGUUCCAGAGAAGUUUCGGAUAAAACUGGAGUGCCGGAGGGUUACCGAAACCCCCCGGGGUAACUAAUGGGCCACAUGGGCCUUGGUGGAGAGAGAAAGGGGCGGCUAGGGCAGGCUGCUUUCCCCCUCCCCCUUUGGGUCAGAAUUGGACUAGGGAAGGGGGGGGGGCGACUCUCCCUUUUCCUUCUCCCUCUCCCUCUCUUUCCUUCCCCCUCUCUCCCUCUUGGUGGAAUCCUACUACGACUAGUAGUCCUAGUAGGACUCCCUUAUGGGGCGCGCCCUAGGAGGGCCAGCAGGCCUCCCCCUUGAACAUUUAUAUACGGGGACAGGGGGCACCAUAGAACACAUAAGUUGAUCUUUUUGCCGUGUGCGGUGGCCCCUCCAAAGUUACACACCUCGAUCGUAUCGUCGUAGUGCUUAGGCGAAGCCCUGCGCUGGUAACUUCAGCAUCACCACCACCACGCCGUCACGCUAAGGAAACUCUCCCUUGGCUUCAACUGGAUCAAGAGUACAAGGUACGUCAUCGAGCUAAACGUGUGCUGAAUGCGGAGGUGCUGUACGUUCGGUACUUGAAUCGGUUGGAUCGUGAAGAUGUUUGACUACAUCAACCGCGUUAACUAACGCUUCCGCUUUCGGUCUAUGCGGGUAUGUGGACAGACUCUCCCCUAUCUUUGCUCUGCAUCACAUAGAUAGAUCUUGCGUGAUCGUAGAUUUUUUUUGAAAUUAUCGCGUUCGCCAACAGCCAUAUCUUCACCUUUGUUGCAAUGAACUUAAUCACAAACUCGGUGGCCAGAUUAAUCCCAUCGACACUUAUGCGGCAGUCCAGCUUCUCUUCUUCGAGAAUCUAGAUAUAUUGCCGAUAGGGGUGAUGAGCUCGAUCUCUACAACCUAGCACAUUGUUGGAUGCAAGAGCCAGAGCUGAUCUUCAUAAGCCCACCAGCCUCCCACAACAUUGCCACCAUGGACUUUUGCCACGAGCACGAGCCGAAGGAAGAGGAAAGCGAUGGCAGUUUCCCUGAAUUGAUACCAACACCUUGCCGGCCUUGGGAGUCAAUGUGACACCUUGGUUUUUGCUGGUUUCUUUUUGCCAUCAUACUUUUCAUCUGCCUUUUCUUUGAGUUGGAUUUUUAAGUUAAUUCAUUUGGACUUGCACUUGGGCAUUGUUUUGAUUUUCACCCAAGUGACCCUAUCACCUCUCACAACCUCUCUUGAUCUCCCAUUCAUCAUCAAAAUGCUUUGGAAUAUUUAUCUUAUAAAGAAAAUAUUCAUUUUCCUCUUGAAAAUGGAAUAUUUCCACUUCCCUUCCAAAGCAACUCCUUUGUUUCUUUCUAAGAAAAAUCUAAGAAAAUUCUCACACAUCCUUUAUACAGUGCCUCAUCACCCUAUGCAAAAAUAUCAUAUGGUCAUGUGACCAAAUUUUGCUAGGGAAAAUCAUUUGUAUUCUACCCUGAAAAUGCACUUUACAAAGUAAGUGUAUUAUUCCUUGAUCCAAUGAAGCUGAUUUUUCUUGAGCUUCAUUACCUUCCUAAGAAAACUUUAACCCCAAGAGAUUAGCCCUAAACUCCUUCUAGAACCCCUCCAAACACAGUGCACAAGUUUCUGUCCAGAAACUUGUUGCUAAGCUCUUGUUCAAUCCGGUCGGCCUGGCAGUGUGCCAUCUCUUCUCAUAGACCAAACAUUGCAUGGAUAACACACUAGACAAGGCCUGGCAUCGCCUGGGCAUCGUGUUGGCAUAGUUCGCGUGGUGACCGCGUGUGGACAUGGGCACUGGCGUGCAUUCGGCGCGCUCUGCGCUCUGCGCUGUGCCUGAGCCCCUGUUCAGUGAGUGCCCGUCGCAGAGCUCGCCUGCGACUGCCGCACCGCGCCACCAGCUUCGAUGCAUCACCCUUGACCUCUCCCUGCAGAUCGCCGAUGCUGAAGCCACUGCAGCGAGCACGGACAUGUCGCGGCCACGCGCAUGGUGCACCCAUGCCUGUGUCCCCGUCCUCACUCACGCCCUAUGCUCGUCCUCGAGCUUCCAUAGUGGCCGCGUGAACCCUAACCUCUUCUCCACCUCCCUCUGGUGCUCCUCGUCAUCGUGCGCCACUUCCAGAGCCCUCCGGCGAAGCCGAGACCCCCACCCCUUUGCCUAUAAAUAGAGCUCCCCCUGGCCUCUCCGAGCAUCUCAACCCACUCAUACAACCAACACAACAUAGCAGAUAAGCCGCAACCCGGCCGGGCAGGCCUCUGGAUGCCGUCCACGACCCGAGCUCGCCGGCGAUCCCCUCUGCUGCUCCCCACCUCUCCAGUGCCCCUGGAGUUCCAUCUUCUUCUCCGGCGACUCCCUGGAGGUCCACUUGUGCUAGCUGACCCUGUUGGAGCCCCUGGAAUCGCCCACCUUCGCUGUCUUCCUCAUCUCCAGUGAAUUCCGUCUGCAGCCGCCGUUGGAGAUGUCAUUUCCGAGCUACUCCAGCCACCCCUCGCGGAGCUACGGGUAUAGGCAGGUGCACCAGAGCCUCCUCUACUCAUCCCCCCCUCUCAAAUCGCCGGCCGACCCCUCCUCGCCGGAGAGAGCCCCGGUGAAGCGCCGUCGUCCCCUGUUUCUCUCCUCUCCUCAAAACCCAACAGGCAAGGCCCACUGUCAGCUUCUCCACUUGCGCCCGAAGCGGUACGAGUGGAGGUGUAUUCUCUGAAUAAGUCUCUGACGUCACCCCCCAGUUUUUCUUUUAUUCAAAUUUAAAUUCAUUCUAACAACAACUUUGACCAGCUCUAACUCCUAAACCAUAUGUCCAAAUGAGUUGAUUCUUUUUGAAAUAUUUUGCAUUGGAAUUCUCUAGCAGCACACAAAAUUUGAGAUUUUUCCUUACUGUCUAGAAUUUCUGGUGAAUUUCAGAGUUGUUUUUGAUAUUUUCUUUUGUUGUUUUAAUUAUUUUCAGAGGGAGAAUCUUGCCUUGAGGAGAACCAGGAGGAGUGUGACCCUCCUCUAUGCUAAGGCAAGCCACGACAAAUAUUCGCAUAGUGUCAUUUCAAUAACUAUGAUUUUACAACUUGAAUAUGCUUUAUUUCAUGCAUUAAAUCAUUUAUAUAAUAUUGCUUAAGUUAUUUCAUUUGUUAUUAUAGAAGUGUUUAGCUUGUUGUGGUACUUGAGUGCAUGGACUAGUUUAGUGCAGUAGAGAUACUUUGAUAAUAUGACUAUGGUUGAUAAUGCUCGGUAUUAUUUUCAUACGAUGGUUAAUAUUUAUAUUCCCACCAUGCUAAAGUCAUAACUAAAAAUGAUGGAGUUUAACCAGUACCUUCACAUGAUCAGUAGUGCAUGAUGAUUCUUUGAGGUUGAUCCGUUUCAUCUCAGUGAUAUGUGAAUAUAGUUGCAUGUCAUAUGGUUGGAUGUUCAUGGCAUACUUUGGCUCGAGUUAUUUUAUUUCAAGUUAAACCUGAUGAUAAUUCAACUUGAACAUAAUUGUUGAUCGAGUCAUGGUGCCACCGAAUCGAGCUUCCCAAUGCAACCCCAUUUGCCUUUAUGGGAAGGCCCUUAUUCGGUCUGUUGUCAUGCCUCUGGUCGGUGCCUCCAACAAAGGAAGGUUAUGGGCGUGUGGUACCCUGGCCCGGUAAGCAGACAUAACCUUGUGUGCCCGUUGUUGUUUUGGUACCUUGUCCCUGUUUGGGACCUUUGAUGUUUUUACCAUGACGGUGGCCGUUGGAUGCCACAGGUUGGCAUCGGGGCCACCCAUGACUUAGCCCAGAGGGGAGUAUGUCGGAGUGGCCGAGAGAGUGUCAUGGAAAUGGGUUGGUUUUGUCGUAAUGCCGUUGGUCCACCCGAAUGGGAGUUGGAGGCCAUGUGUUCCGUGGUGUGGGUACAAUGUACUAACCUCUACAGAGUGUAUAUUAAAUCUAUCGAUAGCCACAUCCUCGGUUAUGGACAUAGCUCGUAAGUAAGUCACACCAUGGAUCAACAUGAAUAAGUUAAUCAUGCACACUAAAGUUAUAUGGUUGGCACUGGUUAUGUGAUGAGAUGGUUGAGACCAUGAAGAUGGUUGUUGCUGUGGGAACCAAAUAGUUGGUUUUGUUUGUGAUCCGGGAGUGAUCACCGUAUUGUUGAUGGUUGUUAUGAGGUAACCCAUUUGGUAAGAGAGUCCGAGGGACUUGGUACCCAUUUGGUUGUCAUGAGUAGUCUGCAUAGCCUUGCAUUUAACCUACUUAAUCAUCAUGUUAUUGUUUGCCAUUAUGCUUUUACUUGUUGUGAGCUUGCAAGUACAUUCAAUAUACUGACCUGGCAUGUCAUACCAGAUUUCAGGAAACUCUUACUGGAUCAGGGUGCUUCCCAUGUAUAGGCCGUGUCCACAUCGGUGUCCAUGUGCUAUGGAGUUCCGCAUCGUCGUUGUUCCUCUACCGCGUAGUUGUUGUGAUCAAGGCCCCCUUCAUGUUCAUUAAAUAAUGUAUGUACUGUUUAGCCGCACCGUGUGUGCCACUGGGCCUCGCUACCUGAUGUAAUAUCGAACCUAUGUUUCUGCUAGCAUCAAUAAAGCGAUUGUUUUUCGUACCAAGUUGUUGUGUGUUGCCAGAAGACUAGAUCUCUGGGCUGGCAAUGUAAGGUAAACCGGUUGCUCUGAGCCGGGGUGCCACAGGCAACUGCCUUGUACAUGGUUUAUAACAUUGCAAACUCUAAAGAUGAUGCUUUUGACAAGGGCACACUGGCAACACGCAUGACACCGAUACCGAAUACCAAUAACGCCUCCAAAAAGCUAGAAGCCAGUCAUAAGAAGAUGUAGCACCCGCACUUGCACCAGCAACAAGAGCGUGGCCGCCUCUUAGAAAAUAAGGCCCAACCGUAGCCUCCAUCAGGUUAGUCCAGAGUAGGCAGAACAUAGUGUGUUGUCUGAAGAUGCGACCAAACUUGUCGCCCAGGCCCGAGCAAUGCAGCAAUACAUGGAGUUGCACCCACCAAUUCCGCAAUGUUUCACACCCCACCAUAAACCUUAUGGUUGAUUUGGGGCAGUGAACGACAUCAAACUCCUAGACGAUCAUUCAGGCCAGGAGCAUUUUGAGCAUGUCAAACUUUUGCUCCAAACAUUUGCGGUACAACAAAGUGUUUGUAUAGGAUUGAAGACCAAGGUGGGGACAUCGAACGACAUGCAGAACAGACAAGUUCACCCCACUGGAAUUGAACGUCCACUAGUUCGCAAAAUCAUGCAGUUGCCAACCUAUCUCCGCCAACAUGCUCGCCAAGUCGCGCGCUCGCCAACCCUGAGAGAACACCAUCACCCCACUAUCUGCUGGGAAACAUAGUAGAAAACUAAAAAAUUGCCCUAUCAUCACAAUCCAGGAACACUAUGAAGAUGCAAUGGAUGUUUAGAUUGGAUUGUUACCAACUUAGAGUUGCAUCAUAAGAAGAGUUGAUGUAGAUCAUUGAUGAAGUUCCGUGAACCGUUCACGAACGAUCCAUCGAGCAUAAGAACGAGCCUAAGAAUAUACCUCCAUCGUCGGAGGAGCAAAUCCCACUCUUGAGCUAUCUAGCCCCUUGUCACACUUUUCGAUGAACCUAAAAGUUGUCGUUAUGAUCACCAUGUUAUAGAAGAUGUUUGAGAAACCCCAAAGUUUAUUGUCUGGUAUGAAGUGACUAUGAUACUCCCAUGGUCCGAUGAACUAAACUAUACGUUACCUCUCCUUGUUAUAUCAAUAGACUUGUGAGAUUACAUCUCAAAGAAUAACAAUAAAGUUGGAUCAAUUCAGUAUGAUCAUUCUUCUAUCAUCAUACUAUCAAAGUUGUUUUGGUAUCCUCACUACUCUUAACAAAAUACCUAUGACCAAGAAAACAUGAUUAUAACAUAACACUUGAACUAGUCCUAGGGGCAAGACUAGGAAUCAGAUUUUACUAUUUAUUAUUCUACACGUGCAUAUGUGUUUCCUCCGAAUUGCAUAUUCAAGAAUCAAAGCAAGUAUAGCAUAGAAUAUAAACUCUUAAUUAGAAAUGUGGACAUAAAUAAUACAAAUAUAAUUGCCUCUAGGGCAUAUUUCCAACAGACUCCCACUUGCCCUGGAGCGAAUAAUCUAGUUACAUAGCAUCUCUAACACAAAUGGCUAUUCGAUGUUACUCAUGUUUUGGUCAUCAUAGAGGCUUCAUCAUCAGGUCUAACAUAUUCAAACCAUUGUGAAUCUUGAGUACUUUCACAAAACAUUUCUAUGCUGUCGGAUGAUGUGAUACCUGUGUUUGACAACCCUGGUCUUCAUGUGGGACCUUAGUUCCUUUGCUUGGGUAACGACACCACUAUUAUAACAAUAGAGCUCCUUUGGAUUCAACACACUUGGUACCACACCAAUCUCUUCAACAAACUUCUUGAUCGAGACUACCUCCUUCAAACCUUCUGAAGCCGCAAUAUAUUCUGCUUCCGCCAUAGAAUCUGCAACAAUGCUCUACUUGGAACUUUUCCAAACCACUGCACCACCAUUAAGAGUGAAAACAUAGCGCGAUUGAGAUUUAUAGUCAUCUAUAUCAGUGAUGAAGCUAUUGUUAGUGUAACCACUUACAACGAGCUAUUCAUACCCUCCAUAGGCAAGAAGAAUGUCCUUCAUCCUUCUGAGAUACUUAAGAAUAUUUUUAAUAGCUGCCCAAUGAGCCAAUCCUGGAUCACUUUGGAACCUUCUACUAACACUUAGCAUAUAAUAAACAUCUGGUCUUGUACAUAUCAUAGCCUACAUGAUAGAACUAAUUGCGGAGGCAUAUGGGAGUCCACUUAUUUGCACACGCUCAUCAACUAUCUUGGGAGAUGAUUCUUGCUAAGUGUUGUGCCAGGUGACAUUGGAACAAAACCUUUCAUAGUGUUCUCCAUUUUAAACAUCUUUAAAACCUUGUCCAUGUGCGUGCUUUGGCUUAGCACAAUUAGACGUCUCAAUCUAUCUCAAUCAAUCUUAAUGCCCAAUAUAUAAGUUGCUUUGCCUUAGUCUCUCAUCGAAAACAUACUUCUCAAUGAAUCUUUUAUUGUGCUAGGAACUUUACUUCAUUCCAAUCAAUAAUAUUUCAUCCAGAUAUAAGAUUAGAAAUGAUAUAGAGCUCCCACUGAACUUCUUGUAUACACAAGCUUCUUCAUCAUUCUUAAUGAAGCCAAACUCUUUAACUACUUCAUUAAAAUGUUGAUUCCAACUCCUCAAUACUUGCUUCAAACCAUAAAUUGAUAUUUGAAGCUUGCAUACCUUACCAGCAUCCUUAGGAUCUACAAAACCUUCUAAUUGCAUCAUGUUACAUCCUCUUUAAGAUUUCCAUUUAGAAAAGUCGUUUUGAUGUCUAUCUGCCAUAUCUUGUAACCAAAAUAUGCAACAAUUGCCAUCAUAACCUCAUACUUUAACAUGUAUACUAGUAAAAAGGUCUCAUCAUGAUCAACUCCCUUGAUUUGCAAAAAAUCCUUCAUGCCUAGUCUUGCUAUAUAGGUAAGUAGGAUUACCAUCCAUGUCCAUUUUUCGUUUGAAGAUCCAUUUAUAUUGUAUGUGUUUUACACCCUAGAGGAUCUACCAAGUUACAAACUUUUGAUUCUCGUACAAGUCAGCAAGUUUGCUAACUCUUCCUGACCUACGCGGUUCAGUUACUGCUACCUCUUGAGCAUGCGUUGGUUUUCCCUUGAAGAGGAAAGGGUGAUUGAGGGAGUCCUGGAUUAGGGGGUGUUUGUUGGGGAAUGUUGCAGAAAACAAAAAUUUUCCUACGGUUUCACCAAGAUCCAUCUAUGAGUUCAUCUAGCAACGAGUGAUCGGAUUGCAUCUACAUACCUUUGUAGAUCACGCGUGGAAGCGUUCAAUGAACGGGAAUGAGGAAGUCAUACUCGACGUGAUCCAAAUCACCGGAGAUCCUAGCGCCAAACGGACGGCACCUCCGCGUUCAACACACAUACGGUCAGCAUGACGUCUCCUCCUUCUUGAUCCAGCAAGGGGGAAGGAGAGGUUGAUGAAGAUCCAGUAGCACGACGACGUGGUGGUGGAUGCAGGGGUCACCGCAGCAGGGCUUCGCCGUUCUACUACGAGAGGGAGAGGUGUUGCGGGGGAGAGGGAGGCGCCAAGACUCAAGGGUGCAGCUGCCCCCUCCCUCCCCCCUUUAUAUAGGCCCCCUAGGGGGUGUGCCGGCCCUAGGAUAUGGGAUCUCCUAGGGGGGCGGCGGCCAAGGGGUGGACUGCCCCCCAAGCCAGGUGGGGCGCCCCCCCACCCUAGGUUCCCAACCCUAGGCGCAUGGGGUGGGCCAACGGGGGCGCACCAGCCCACUAUGGGCUGGUUCCCCUCCCCACUUUGGCCCAUGGGGCCCUCCGGGAUGGGUGGACCCACCCGAUGGACCCCCGAGACCCUUUCGGUGGUCCCGAUACAAUACCGGUGACCCCCGAAACUCUCCCGAUGGCCGAAACUGCACUUCCUAUAUAUAAUUCUUCAACUCUGGACCAUUCCGGAACUCCUCGUGACGUCCAGGAUCUCAUCCGGGACUCCGAACAACUUUCGGGUUACUGCAUAUUCAUAUCUCUACAACCCUAGCGUCACCGAACCUUAAGUGUGUAGACCCUACGGGUUUGGGAGACAUGUAGACAUGACCGAGAUUGCUCUACGGUCAAUAACCAACAGCGGGAUCUGGAUACCCAUGUUGGCCCCCACAUGCUCCUCGAUGAUCUCAUUGGAUGAACAACGAUGUCGAGGAUUCAAGCAACCCUGUAUACAAUUCUCUUUGUCAAUCGGUACAUUACUUGCCCGAGAUUCGAUCGUCGGUAUCCCAAUACCUCGUUCAAUCUCGUUACCGGCAAGUCACUUUACUCGUACCGUAAUGCAUGAUCCCGUGACCAGACACUUGGUCACUUUGAGCUCAUUGUGAUGAUGCAUUACCGAGUGGGCCCAGAGAUACCCCGUCAUACGGAGUGACAAAUCCUAGUCUUGAUCUGUGUCAACCCAACAGACACUUUCGGAGAUACCCGUAGUAUACCUUUAUAGUCACCCAGUUACGUUGUGACGUUUGGUACACCCAAAGCACUCCUACGGUAUCCGGGAGUUACAUGAUCUCAUGGUCUAAGGAAAAGAUACUUAACAUUGGAAAAACUCUAGCAAACGAACUAUACGAUCUUGUGCUAUGUUUAGGAUUGGGUCUUGUCCAUCACAUCAUUCUCCUAAUGAUGUGAUCCCGUUAUCAAUGACAUCCCCAUGUCCAUAGCCAGGAAACCAUGACUAUCUGUUGAUCAACGAGCUAGUCAUCUAGAGGCUCACUAGGGACACAUUGUGGUCUAUGUAUUCACACAUGUAUUAUGAUUUCUGGAUAAUACAAUUAAAGCAUGAAUGAUAGACAAUUAUCAUGAACAAGGAAAUAUAAUAAUCAUUUUAUAAUUGCCUCUAGGGCAUAUUUCCAACAGUCUCCCACUUGCACUAGAGUCAAUCAUCUAGUUACAUUGUGAUGAAUCGAACACCCAUGGAAUUCUGGUGUUGAUCAUGUUUUGCUCUAGGGAGAGGUUUAGUCAACGGAUCUGCUACAUUCAGGUCCGUAUGUACUUUACAAAUAUCUAUGUCUCCAUUUUGAACACUUUCACGAAUGGAGUUGAAGCGACGCUUGAUAUGCCUGGUCUUCCUGUGAAACCUGGGCUCCUUGGCAAGGGCAAUAGCUCCAGUGUUGUCACAGAAGAGAGUCAUCGGGCCCGACGCAUUGGGUAUGACUCCUAGGUCGGUAAUGAACUCCUUCACCCAGACUGCUUCGUGUGCUGCCUCCGAGGCUGCCAUGUACUCCGCUUCACAUGUAGAUCCCGCCACAACACUUUGCUUGCAACUGCACCAGCUUACUGCCCCACCAUUCAAAAUAUACAUGUAUCCGGUUUGUGACUUAGAGUCAUCCAGAUCUGUGUCGAAACUAGCGUCGACGUAACCCUUUACGACGAGCUCUUCAUCACCUCCAUAAACGAGAAACAUUUCCUUAGUCCUUUUCAGGUACUUCAGGAUAUUCUUGACCGCUGUCCAGUGUUCCUUGCCGGGAUUACUUUGGUAACUACCUACCAAACUUACAGCAAGGUUUACAUCAGGUCUGGUACACAGCAUGGCAUACAUAAUAGAACCUAUGGCUGAGGCAUAGGGGAUGACACUCAUCUCUUCUAUAUCUUUUGCCGUGGUCGGACAUUGAGCUGAGCUCAAUUUCACACCUUGCAACACAGGCAAGAACCCCUUCUUAGACUGAUCCAUAUUGAACUUCUUCAAUAUCUUAUCAAGGUAUGUGCUUUGUGAAAUACCUAUGAGGCGUCUUGAUCUAUCUCUAUAGAUCUUGAUGCCUAAUAUAUAAGCAGCUUCUCCAAGGUCCUUCAUUGAAAAACUCUUAUUCAAGUAGGCCUUAAUGCUGUCCAAAAGCUCUAUAUCAUUUCCCAUCAAAAGUUUGUCAUCUACAUAUAAUAUGAGAAAUGCUACAGAGCUCCCACUCACUUUCUUGUAAACGCAGGCUUCUCCAUAAGUCUGCAUAAACCCAAACGCUUUGAUCAUCUCAUCAAAGCGAAUGUUCCAACUCCGAGAUGCUUGCACCAGCCCAUAAAUCGAGCGUUGGAGCUUGCACACCUUGUCAGCAUUCUUAGGAUCGACAAAACCUUCCGGCUGCAUCAUAUACAGUUCUUCCUUAAGAUAACCGUUAAGGAAUGCCGUUUUGACGUCCAUUUGCCAUAUCUCAUAAUCGUAGUAUGCGGCAAUUGCUAACAUGAUUCAGACGGACUUCAGCUUUGCUACGGGAGAGAAUGUCUCAUCAUAGUCAACCCCUUGAACUUGUCGAUAACCCUUAGCGACAAGCCUAGCUUUAUAGAUGGUCACAUUACUAUCCGCGUCUGUCUUCUUCUUAAAGAUCCAUUUAUUUUCUAUGGCUCGCCGAUCAUCGGGCAAGUCAGUCAAAGUCCAUACUUCGUUUUCAUACAUGGAUCCUAUCUCGGAUUUCAUGGCUUCCAACCAUUUGUCGGAAUCCGGGCCCGCCAUCGCUUCUUCAUAGUUCGAAGGUUCACCGUUGUCUAACAACAUGAUUUCCAAGACAGGGUUGCCGUACCACUCUGGUGCGGAACGUGUCCUUGUGGACCUUCGAAGUUCAGUAGGAGCUUGAUCAGAAGUAUCUUGAUCAUCAUCAUUAACUUCCUCUCUAAUUGGUGCAGGCACCACAGGAACAUUUUCCUGAGUUGCGCCACUUUCCGGUUCAAGAGGUAAUACGUCAUCAAGUUCUACUUUCCUCCCACUUACUUCUUUCGAAGAAACUCCUUCUCUAGAAAGGAUCCAUUCUUGGCAACAAAGAUCUUGCCUUCUGAUCUGAGGUAGAAGGUAUACCCAAUAGUUUCUUUAGGGUAUCCUAUGAAGACGCAUUUUUCCGACUUGGGUUCGAGCUUUUCAGGUUGAAGUUUCUUGACAUAAGCAUCGCAUCCCCAAACUUUUAGAAACAACAGCUUAGGCUUCUUCCCAAACCAUAAUUCAAACGGUGUCGUCUCAACGGAUUUCGACGGAGCCCUAUUUAAAGUGAAUGCGGCAGUCUCUAAAGCAUAGCCCCAAAAUGACAGCGGUAAAUCGGUAAGAGACAUCAUAGAUCGCACCAUAUCCAAUAGAGUGCGAUUACGAUGUUCGGACACACCAUUACGUUGAGGUGUUCCAGGCGGCGUGAGUUGUGAAACUAUUCCACAUUUUCUUAAGUGUGUAUCAAAUUCGUGACUCAAGUAUUCUCCUCCACGAUCUCAUCACAAAAACUUGAUUUUUCUGUCCCGUUGAUUCUCAACCUCACUCUGAAAUUCCUUGAACUUUUCAAAGGUUUCAGACUUGUGUUUCAUUAAGUAGAUAUACCCAUAUCUACUCAAGUCAUCAGUGAGGGUAAGAACAUAACGAUAGCCACCACGAGCCUCAACACUCAUUGGACCGCACACAUCAGUAUGUAUGAUUUCCAAUAGGUUGGUUGCUCGCUCCAUUGUUCCUGAGAACGGAGUCUUGGUCAUCUUACCCAUGAGGCAUGGUUCGCAUGUGUCAAAUGAUUCGUAAUCAAGAGACUCUAAAAGUCCAUCUGCAUGGAGCUUCUUCAUGCGUUUGACACCUAUGUGACCAAGGCGGCAGUGCCACAAAUAUGUGGGACUAUCAUUAUCGACCUUACAUCUUUUGGUAUUCACACUAUGAAUAUGUGUAGCAUUACGCUCGAGAUUCAUUAAGAAUAAACCAUUCACCAUAGGAGCAUGACCAUAAAACAUAUCUCUCAUAUAAAUAGAAUAACCAUUAUUCUCGGAUUUAAAUGAGUAGCCAUCUCGUAUUAAACGAGAUCCUGAUACAAUGUUCAUGCUCAAACUUGGCACUAAAUAACAAUUAUUGAGGUUCAAAACUAAUCCCGUAGGUAAAUGUAGAGGUAGCGUGCCGACGGCGAUCACAUCGACCUUGGAACCAUUCCCGAUGCGCAUCGUCACCUCGUCCUUCGCCAGUCUCCGUUUAUUCCGCAGCUCCUGCUUUGAGUUACAAAUGUGAGCAACUGCACCGGUAUCAAAUACCCAGGAGCUACUGCGAGUACUGGUAAGGUACACAUCAAUUACAUGUAUAUCACAUAUACCUUUCGUUUUGCCGGCCUUCUUGUCCGCUAAGUAUUUGGGGCAGUUCCGCUUCCAGUGACCACUUCCCUUGCAAUAAAAACACUCAGUCUCGGGCUUGGGUCCAUUCUUUGGCUUCUUCCCAACAGCUUGCUUACCGGGCGCGGCAACUCCCUUGCCGUCCUUCUUGAAGUUCUUCUUACCCUUGCCUUUCUUGAACUUAGUGGUUUUAUUGACCAUCAACACUUGAUGUUCCUUUUUGACUUCUACCUCUGCUGAUUCCAGCAUUGCAAAUACUUCAGGAAUGGUCUUUUCCAUCCCCAGCAUAUUGAAGUUCAUCACAAAGCUCUUGUAGCUCGGUGGAAGCAACUGAAGGAUUCUGUCAAUGACCGCGUCAUCCGGGAGAUUAACUCCCAGCUGAGUUAAGCGGUUAUGUAAUCCAUACAUAGUGAGUAUGUGCUCACUGACAGAACUAUUUUCCUCCAUCUUACAGCUGAAGAACUUGUCGGAGACUUCAUAUCUCUCGACCCGGGCAUGAGCUUGGAAAACCAUUUUCAGCUCUUCUAACAUAUCAUAUGCUCCGUGUCGCUCAAAACGCUUUUGGAGCCCCGGUUCUAAGCUGUAAAGCAUGCCGCACAGAACGAGGGAGUAAUCAUCAGCACGUGUCUGCCAAGCGUUCAUAACGUCUUGGUUCUGUGGGACAGGUGCGUCACCUAGCGGUGCUUGUAGGACACAUUCUUUCUUGGCAGCUAUGAGGAUGAUCCUCAGGUUCCGGACCCAGUCCGUAUAAUUGCUGCCAUUGUCUUUCAGCUUGGUUUUCUCUAGGAACGCAUUGAAGUUGAGGACGACGUAGGCCAUUUGAUCUACAAGACAUAUUGUAAAGAUUUUAGACUAAGUUCAUUAUAAUUAAGUUCAUCUAAUCAAAUUAUAUAAUGAACUCCCACUUAGGUAGACAUCCCUCAAGUCAUCUAAGUAUAACAUGAUCCGAGUUAACUAGGCCGUGUCCGAUCAUCACGUGAGACGGACUAGUCAACAUCGGUGAACAUCUUCAUGUUGAUCGUAUCUUCUAUACGACUCAUGCUCGACCUUUCAGUCUUCUGUGUUCCGAGGCCAUGUCUGUACAUGCUAGGCUCGUCAAGUCAACCUAAGUGUUUGCAUGUGUAAAUCUGUCUUACACCCGUUGUAUGUGAACGUUGGAAUCUAUCACACCCGAUCAUCACGUGGUGCUUCGAAACAACGAACUGUCGCAACAGUGCACAGUUAGGGGGAACACUUUCUUGAAAUUAUUAUGAGGGAUCAUCUUAUUUACUACCGCCGUUCUAAGUAAACAAGAUGCAAAAACAUGAUAAACAUCACAUGCAAUCAAAUAAUAAUAGUGACAUGAUAUGGCCAAUAUCACAUAGCUCCUUUGAUCUCCAUCUUGGGGCUCCAUGAUCAUCUUGUCACCGGCAUGACACCAUGAUCUCCAUCAUCAUGAUCUCCAUCAUCGUGUCCUCAUGAAGUUGCUCGCCAACUAUUACUUCUACUACUAUGGCUAACACGUUUAGCAAUAAAGUAAAGUAAUUUACAUGGCGUUUCUCAAUGACACGCAGGUCAUACAAAAAAUAAAGACAACUCCUAUGGCUCCUGCCGGUUGUCAUACUCAUCGACAUGCAAGUCGUGAUUCCUAUUACAAGAACAUGAUCUCAUACAUCACAUAUAUAUCAUUCAUCACAACUUUGGCCAUAUCACAUCACAAAGCACUUGCUGCAAAAACAAGUUAGACGUCCUCUAAUUGUUGUUGCAAGUUUUAUGUGGCUGCAAUAGGGUUCUAGCAAGAAUGUUUUCUUACCUACGUAAUAGCCACAACGUGAUUUAUCAACUUCUAUUUACCCUUCAUAAGGACCCUUUUCAUCGAAUCUGAUCCAACUAAAGCGGGAGAGACAGACACCCGCUAGCCACCUUAUGCAACUAGUGCAUGUCAGUCGGUGGAACCAGUCUCACGUAAGCGUACGUGUAAGGUCGGUCCGGGCCGCUUCAUCCCACAAUACCGCUGAAGCAAAAUAAGACUAGUAGCGGCAAGAAAGUUGACAACAUCUACGCCCACAACAAAUUGUGUUAUACUCGUGCAAAGAGAACUACGCAUAGACCUAGCUCAUGAUGCCACUGUUGGGGAACGUUGCAGAAAACAAAAAAUUUCCUACGGUUUCACCAAGAUCCAUCUAUGAGUUCAUCUAGCAACAAGUGAUCAGAUUGCAUCUACAUACCUUUGUAGAUCACGCGCGGAAGCGUUGAAAGAACGGGGAUGAGGAAGUCGUACUCGACGUGAUCCAAAUCACCGGAGAUCCUAGCGCCAAACGGACGGCACCUCCGCGUUCAACACACGUACGGUCAGCAUGAUGUCUCCUCCUUCUUGAUCCAGCAAGGGGGAAGGAGAGGUUGAUGAAGAUCCAGCAGCACGACGGCGUGGUGGUGGAUGCAGGGGUCACUGCAGCAGGGCUUCGCCGUUCUACUACGAGAGGGAGAGGUGUUGCAGGGGAGAGGGAGGCGCCAAGACUCAAGGGUGCGGCUGCCCCCCUCCCUCCCCCCUUUCUAUAGGCCCCCUAGGGGGUGCGCCGGCCGUAGGAGAUGGGAUCUCCUAGGGGGGGGGGGCGGCCAAGGGUGGAGUGCCCCCCAAGCCAGGUGGGGCGCCCCCCACCCUAGGGUUCCCAACCCUAGGCGCAUGGGGUGGGCCAAGGGGGGUGCACCAGCCCACUAUGGGCUGGUUCCCAUCCCCACUUUGGCCCAUGGGGCCCUCCAGGAUGGGUGGCCCCACCCGGUGGACCCCCGGGACCCUUCCGGUGGUCCCGGUACAAUACCGGUGACCCCCGAAACUCUCCCGAUGGCCGAAACUGCACUUCCUAUAUAUAAUUCUUCAACUCCGGACCAUUCCGGAACUCCUCGUGACGUCCAGGAUCUCAUCCGGGACUCCGAACAACUUUCGGGUUACUGCAUAUUCAUAUCUCUACAACCCUAGCGUCACCGAACCUUAAGUGUGUAGACCCUACGGGUUUGGGAGACAUGUAGACAUGACCGAGAUUGCUCUCCGGUCAAUAACCAAUAGCGGGAUCUGGAUACCCAUGUUGGCUCCCACAUGCUCCUCGAUGAUCUCAUCGGAUGAACCACGAUGUCGAGGAUUCAAGCAACCCCGUAUACAAUUCCCUUUGUCAAUCGGUACAUUACUUGCCUGAGAUUCGAUCGUCGGUAUCCCAAUACCUCGUUCGAUCUCGUUACCGGCAAGUCACUUUACUCGUACCAUAAUGCAUGAUCCCGUGACCAGACACUUGGUCACUUUGAGCUCAUUGUGAUGAUGCAUUACCGAGUGGGCCCGGAGAUACCUCUCCGUCAUACGGAGUGACAAAUCCCAAUCUUGAUUUGUGUCAACCCAACAGACACUUUCGGAGAUACCCGUAGUAUACCUUUAUAGUCACCCAGUUACGUUGUGACGUUUGGUACACCCAAAGAACUCCUACGGUAUCCGGGAGUUACACGAUCUCAUGGUCUAAGGAAAAGAUACUUGACAUUGGAAAAACUCUAGCAAACAAACUAUACGAUCUUGUGCUAUGUUUAGGAUUGGGUCUUGUCCAUCACAUCAUUCUCCUAAUGAUGUGAUCCCGUUAUCAAUGACAUCCCCAUGUCCAUAGCCAGGAAACCAUGACUAUCUGUUGAUCAACGAGCUAGUCAACUAGAGGCUCACUAGGGGGACAUUGUGGUCUAUGUAUUCACACAUGUAUUACGAUUUCCGGAUAAUACAAUUAAAGCAUGAAUAGUAGACAAUUAUCAUGAACAAGGAAAUAUAAUAAUCAUUUUAUUAUUGCCUCUAGGGCAUAUUUCCAACAGUGUUCGGAUAGCCGAACUAUACCUUCCGCCGGACUCCUGGGUUAUGAAGAUACAAGAUUGAAGACUCCGUCCCGUGUCCGGAAGGGAUUUUCCUUUGCGUGGAAGGCAAGCUUGGCGAUAUGGAUGUUCAGGUCUCCUACCAUUGUAACCGACUCUAUGUAACCCUAACCCUAUCCGGUGUCUAUAUAAACCGAAGGGUUCUAGUCCGUAGGACAACAUACACAUCAACAAUCAUACCAUAGGCUAGCUUCUAGGGUUUAGCCUCUCUGAUCUCAUGGUAGAUCAACUAUUGUAAUACCCAUACCAUCAAUAUUAAUCAAGUAGGACGUAGGGUUUUACCUCCAUCGAGAGGGCCCGAACCUGGGUAAAACUUCGUGUCCCCUGCCUCCUAUUACCAUCCAGCCUAGACGCACAGUUCGGGACCCCCUACCCGAGAUCCGCCGGUUUUGACACCGACAUUGGUGCUUUCAUUGAGAGUUCCUCUGUGCUGUCGCCGUCAGGCCCGAUGGCUCCUACAAUCAUCAAUGGCGAUGCAGUCUAGGGUGAGACCUUCCUCCCCGGACAGAUCUUCAUCUUUGGCGGCUUCGCACUGCGGGCCGAUUCACUUGGCCAUCUAGAGCAGAUCAAAAGCUACGCCCCUGGCUGUCAGGUCAGAUUCAGAAGUUUAAAAUACACGGCCGACAUCCGCGGGGACUUGAUCUUUGACGGAUUCAAACCACUGCCGAGCAUGCCGCACUGUCACGACGAGCAUGAUCUAGCUCUGUCGCCGAACAGUGCCCUGGAGGCCGCACCUGCAUCGGCUCCGGCCCCUGGUUCGGAGCCGACCGCGCCGAUCGAGGAUGGGCGGUUGGACGCCGCCUCGGGGGCUGCAAUCCCAAUGGUGGUUGAGCCGAACACCAGCCCCGUACUCUGCAAGACUCGUGACUCCAUGGAGCCGGAUUCUUCUCCGGACUCCGAACCCUCCGCGCCCCUGCCGAGCGAAUCCGAGUGGGCACCGAUCAUGGAGUUCACGGCCGCGGACGUCUUUCAGCACUCGCCUUUCGGUGAUAUCCUGAAAUCACUGAAGUCUCUCUCUUUGUCGGGAGAGCCCUGGCCGGACUACGGUCAGCAAGGUUGGGGUACGGACGAUGAAGAAAUUCAAAACCCACCCACCACCCACUUUGUAGCCACUGUCAACAACUUAACCGACAUGCUCGACUUCGACUCCGAAGACAUCGACGGUAUGGACGCCGAUGAAGGAGAUGAUGAAGAACCAGCGCCUACUAGGCCCUGGAAAGCCACCUCGUCAUAUGACAUAUACAUGGUGGACACCCCAAAAUAGGGAGAGGGCGAUGGGACAGUGGAUGACCCCUCCAAGAAACAGCAAAAGCGUCGGCGUCAGCGGCGCCGCUCAAAAUCCCGCCAACACAAAAACGGCGAUUCCAGCACGGGAGAUAAUAAUACCCCGGAAAGCGCCAAAGAACAUCCCCCCAAGCAAGAUUUAGCACAAGAGGAUGGAGAAACAAGCCCCCAUGGGAGAGCGGCUGACAGAGAGGUUGAGGACGAUAAUCAUAUGCCUCCCUCCAAAGACAAGGCAAGCCUCGAUGACGACGAAUUUGCCGUGCCAGAGGAUCCCGUCGAACAAGAGCGUUUUCAACGCAGGCUUAUGGCCACGGCAAGAAGCCUCAAGAAAAAACAGCAAUAGCUUAAAGCUGAUCAAGAUCGGCUAGUCGAUAGAUGGACUGAAUUCCUCGCGGCCGAAGAUCAUAAACCCGAACGCCCCUCCAAGUGCUACCCGAAGCGCAGGUUGCUACCCCGAUUAGAGGAGGAAGCACUCGAUGCGGCCGACAGGCCACCUCGUGGCCGUGACAGAGAGGCAUCAUGUCCCUCCACCCAAGUCGCACCCCGUACCAAGGCACGGGAAUAUGCGCCAGACUUACGAGACAUGUUGGAGGACAAGACAAGGCAAACAAGAUCGAUCUACGGAUCGCGUAGGCACCCCACGGCUCGAGACGACAACCGUCACGCCGGCCACAAAUUCGGCAGGGCCGAACACAGUAGACAAAGCUCAUCGGAGCUACGUCAUGAUAUCGCCCAGUAUAGAGGCGCCGCACACCCGUUGUGCUUCACAGACGAAAUAAUGGAUCAUCAAAUCCCCGAGGGUUUCAAACCCGUAAACAUCGAAUCAUAUGAUGGCUCAACAGACCCCGCGGUAUGGAUCGAGGAUUAUCUCCUUCAUAUCCACAUGGCCCGUGGCGAUGAUUUUCAUGCCAUCAAAUACCUCCAACUCAAGCUUAAAGGACCAGCCCGGCAGUGGCUUAACAGCCUGCCAACAGGGUCAAUCAGCUGUUGGGAGGACCUGGAAGCCGUAUUCCUCGACAAUUUCCAGGGCACCUAUGUGCGACCCCCAGACGUUGACGACCUAAGCCACAUAAUUCAGCAGCCAGACGAAUCGGGCAGGCAAUUCUGGACAUGGUUCCUAACAAAGAAAAAUCAAAUACUCGACUAUCCGGACGGAGAGGCCUUAGCAGCCUUCAAGCAUAAUAUCCGUGACGAGUGGCUUGCCCGGCACCUAGGACAGGAGAAGCCGAAAUCUAUGGCAGCACUCACGACACUCAUGACCCUCUUUUGCGUGGGAGAAGAUAGCUGGCUUGCUCGUAGCAACAAUAUGACCAAGAACCCUGGUCGUUCGGACACCAGGGACAUUAGUGGCAGGUCGCGUCGCAACCAACAGAAGCGUUGCAUCAACGGCGACAAUGCUAAGGAUACGGCAGUCAAUGCCGGAUUCAGAGGCUCUAAAUCCGGUUAGCGGAAAAAAUCAUUCAAAAGGAAUCCCAGGGGCCCGUCCAGCUUGGACCGAAUACUCGACCGCUUGUGCCAAAUACAUGGCACCCCCGAAAAGCCGGCCAAUCACACCAACAGGGACUGUUGGGUGUUCAAGGAGGCAGGAAGAUUAAGCGCCGACAAUGAAGACAAGGGGUUGCAUAGCGAUGACGACGAGGAGCCCCGGCCGCCGAACAACAAUGGACAGAAGGGUUUUCCCCCACAAGUGCGGACGGUGAACAUGAUAUACGCCACCCACGUCCCCAAGAGGGAGCGGAAGCGCGCGGUAGAGCCAGUCGCCCCAAAGUUCAACCCAUGGUCCUCCUGCCCGAUCACCUUUGAUCGAAGAGACCAUCCCACUAGCAUCCGUCAUGGCGGAUUCACCGCAUUGGUUCUCGACCCAAUUAUUGACGGAUUUCAUCUUACUAGAGUCCUUAUGGAUGGCGACAGUAGCCUGAACCUGCUUUACCAGGAUACAGUGCGGAAAAUGGGCAUAGAUCCGUCAAGGAUUAAGCCCACCAAAACGACCUUUAAAGGCGUAAUACCAGGUGUAGAGGCCAGCUGUACAGGCUCAGUCACACUUGAAGUGGUCUUCGGAUCCCCGGAUAAUUUCCAAAGUGAGGAGUUAAUCUUCGACAUAGUCCCAUUCCGCAGUGGCUACCAUGCACUGCUCGGGCGAACCGCAUUCGCCAAGUUCAAUGCGGUCCCGCACUACGCAUACCUUAAGCUCAAGAUGCCAGGCCCUCGAGGAGUAAUUACGGUCAAUGGAAACACCGAACGCUCCCUCUGAAUGGAGGAGCACACGGCGGCCCUUGCAGCAGAAGUACAAAGCAGCCUCUCCAGGAAGUUCUCCAGUCCGGCCAUUAAACGUCCGGACACAGUCAAGCGCGCCCGGAGUAACCUACAACAAGACCGCCUGGCACGUUCCGAGUAGGCGUAGCAAUGCGGCCCCAACCCCACCCCCCACAAAAAGGCGACGCCAGUACUUCGCGUACAUAACUACGCCCUAGAAAUACCAUGGGCAUAGGGGAGGGGCACUAUCACGGCACACCCAAAACACGGCUUAAACCGCACCAGGGGCUCCCGACCUUUUUUACACUUUUCUCUUACUUCCAGGACUCUACUCUUCGGAAGGCUUGUUUGGCAGUUCAAUUGCCGCACAAACGAUGCAUGGAGCAGGGAAGCAGACAAGCCAUGCCACAUUACGGAAAUCCCAGGUGGUCUCUAUCACGAGCAGUAUACCCGUUUCGCAUACUAUCCCGCAGCUUGCCCCCGAAGCAGACAUGUUAAAUAGUCCAACUUUUCAUUUAUCACAUCACUUGUAUCGUUCUGCUUUGAUCGCAGCUAUUUUAAUGAACAAUGCAUAGCUUUUGUCUAUUUUUUGCAUUACCUUUUUUUAAUAUAUAUCUAUGUUCCUUAAUGACAUGUUGCACCCAUACACUUUGGUACGGCCAAAAUACGCCAGGGGCUUCAGUACCCCUCAACAUGGUGUGAGAAGUCCAAACACUUUAACAAGUGCGGCACCCCGAACUUAUAGCAUUAUAUGCAUCGGCUCCGAAUCAUGUCUUGGGUCAAAUAGUUGGGUUUGCCCGGCUCCUAUGUUUUGGUGCCUUACGUUCCGCUAUAUCGGCUAAGGUAGCACUAGGAGAACCACUGCGAUUGUGCCCCAGUUGAGCUGGGCCGAGCACCUCAGUGGAGAAAGCUAAAACAGACUGUCAUGAUGAAGCGAGAGAUGGUCGCUGUUCGAGAGGUUCUUUCGAGUCCCUAAAGACUUAUGCCGCUUCGAGCGAGGAGUCGGCUCUGUCCGGCCAAGGCGUGGAUAGCCCCCCGAAAUUGGUCUUCCGAAUACUAGGGGCUUCGCCGAAAUUUAAAAUUAUAGAAUUCUAUGGCUAAGUGAGAGUGUUCACGCAUUAUAGUCCGAUUGCCUCAUUCGUUGGGUUGAGCGCCUCCCUCAAAGGACCCAAAUAUGGGAAAAAGAGCGCCCAGGUUUAUCCCCGAACACCCCAGCACUAGCAUCAUGGGGGCAGAAGCCGACGACUUGCCAUCUCUCAGUAUUGAUAAACAGCCGCACAAAAGGUAAUAUUUUAAGUUCAAGCAGCAUUACUUAGCGCAUAUGAACGAGUUUCCAGCGCACAGGAUAACACGAGCGGGUUUUACUCAAAAAAUACAUCCUUGGUACAUUCAUCCGCAAUAAGGUGGGCACCCUUCAGAACAUCCUUAUAAUAAUUCUCGGGCUUGCGAUGCUCCUUCCCCGGCGGUGGCCCGUCCUUCACAAGCUUCUCCGCAUCCAGCUUGCCCCAGUGCACCUUAGCACGGACGAGGGCCCUACGGGCACCUUCAAUGUAGACGGAGCGCUCGAUGUCUUCAAGCCUCGGACAGGCCUCCACCAGCCGCCGCACCAGCCCGAAAUAGCUCCCAGGCAGAGCCCCUCCAGGCCAUAGCCGAACUAGGAGGCCCUUCAUGGCCUGUUCGGCCGCCUUGUGGAGCUCGACCAGUUGCUUCAGCUGGUCGCUCAGGGGCACGGGGUGUCCGGCCUCAGCGUACUGCGACCAGAACACCUUCUCCGUUGGGCUGCCCUCCUCGGCUCGAUAGAAUACGGCGGCAUCAGAUACACUCCGGGGAAGAUCUGCGAGCGCUCCUAGAGAGCUCCGGAUUCGGGUAAGUAACAGGUAACUCACGUUUAUGCGUUUGCUUUGCAUAAAGAAUGCCUUACCUACCGCAAUCUUCUUCACCUCAUCGAACUCCUAGAAGGUCUUCUGGGACUCGACCUUGGCAGACUUGGCAUUUUCUAUAGCUGCCGCGAGCUCGGACGCUCGCGUCUUCGAGUCAAGCUCCAAACUCUCAUGUUUCUUCAUGAGAACCUGGAGCUCUUGCCGCACCUUGCCAACCUCUGCCUCAUACCUCCGCCGCUUGGUGCGCUCCACGGCCGCACUCUUCUCGGCCUCGAGCAGCGCUUGCUUAAGGGUCGCCAACUCAGACGUGGCCCCUGCAAUAGCCAUGUCAAUCCUGUCAUUUUUUGCAAUUGCACCUUUUUAUAUACAUAUUCAAACAGGGUAUUUCUUACCUUCCUUCUCCUCGAGCUGCUUCUUGGCACGCCCGAGCUCUUGCUCGGACUUCUCGAGACUCUGCUUCAGCACGUCCACUUCCGCAGUCAGUGUGGCGGACGCUAGCAGAGAAGCCUGCAUAUGCAUAUUGACUCCUUUUGUUAGACUCUUGCGAAUUGUUUGAUCCUCUAUUCGGCUUUUCUUCUCGAAUGCCCAACAGAGCAUCAGGGGCUACUGUCUAUGCGGUAACAUUAUGUGAACAUUCUUUACUUACCUCAAAGCCUGUUAAAAGGCUUGUACAAGCUUCAGUCAAUCCGCUUUUGGCGGACUGAACCUUCUGGAUCACCCCACUCAUAAUAGUGCGGUGCCCCUCAUCGAUGGGGGCACCUUGGAGCGCCUCCAACAUAUUGUCCGGCGCCUCCGGUUGGACGGAGGUCACCGCCACGGUAGGCUUGCUCCUCUUGGAAGGAGGUCGCCCGCCGGACUCUGGAACCCUUGAAGAUUCCGGAGCUGUGCCCGGCCUUAAGCCGGACUUGGAGCCCUGGGGGGUUUCAUCCCCUUUACUCCUGGAGUCCGGGAGGUCGCCUUACGGCGCCUCCAGGACCACCUCCUCCCGGCUUAGAACCUGUUGGGACAACACUUCGGUGUCAUCCGCAGGGCAGGGGGAUGAAGCCGUCGGAAGCGAGUUCACCUCCGACGGGUCCAGUGAACCGCUCGACGAUGCGUCGAGCCGGUCUUUGGGUGGGCUGCAUAAACAUAUUCGACAUAAGGGAAAGUUGUGCGAAAAACAAAUACUAUAAACUACCCCGGUAUCCGGACACUUACGAUUUCGCCAGGGGCUUGGCCUUGGGCUGCCACUCCUCUUCGUCGUCGGCGGCGUCGGUGGAGCAGUCCGGGGUAAGGGUUUUCCCCUUCUUGGACCCUCCGGCCUCCUCAGAGAGGGCGGCCUUCCUUUUCUUCUCUCCUCCCGCUGGAGGGGGAGAGGUCUCUUCUUCUUCCUCCUCGUCUUCACGAGAGGAAGGCGCUUUGGGACCGUCAAAUGACGAAUCCGACACCUCCUGGUGUCGGGCACUCUUUCGAGUCCCCGUGGCCCUUUUUUUGGCCUUCUUUUCCGGCACCACAUAGGGCGUGGGAACCAGCAGCUUCGCCAAGCGAACGUCCGCUGGGCCUUCGGGUAGAGGAGCCGGACAGUUGAUCUGUCUGGACGUCACCACCCAAUCCUAUCCAAGAUAAGGGAACUCAGAUCCCGCAUAGAAUCAAACUAUGAAAAACUGAUACCCUGUAAAAGGAGAAAAACAGCUUACCGCAUGAGCGUGAUGCUGAGUACUGAAUCCGUGAUCCUCGGCAGCGGAUGUGGGAGCCUCGGCGCCCUUGAAAAGCACCCUCCAGGCAUCUUCGUACGUCAUGUCGAAGAGCCUGUUAAGAGUUUGAUGCUGCGCCGGGUCGAAUUCCCAAAGGUUGAAGGCCCGUCGUUGACACGGGAGGAUCAGGCAGACAAGCAUAACCUGGACUACGUUGACAAGCUUGAGCUUCUUGUCCACCAGGGUUUGGAUGCAUGUUUGGAGUCCAGUCAGCUCUCCUUUUUUACCCCAAGACAGGCCUGUCUCCUUCCGGGAGGUGAGCUGCGUGGGGGGGCCGGAUCGGAACUCAGGGGGUGCGACCCAUUCGGCGUCGCGCGGCUCGGUGAUGUAAAACCACCCUGAUUGCCACCCCUUCAGGGUCUCCACAAAGAAGCCCUUGGGCCACAGGACGUUGGCCAUCUUGCCAACCAUGGCGCCGCCGCACUCCGCCUGGCUACCGCGCACCACCUUUGGCUUGACGUUGAAAGUCUUAAGCCAUAGGCCAAAAUGGGGCGGAUGCGGAGGAAUGCCUCGCACAUGAUGAUAAACGCCGAGAUGUUGAGGACGAAGUUCGGGGCUAGAUCGUGGAAAUCCAGGCCGUAGUAGAACAUGAGCCCCCGGACAAAUGGAUGCAGAGGGAAGCCCAGUCCGCGGAGGAAAUGGGGGGAGAAAUACCACCCUCUCAUGGGGCCUAGGAGUGGGGAUGAGCUGCCCCUAUUCGGGGAGUCGGUGUGCGAUGUCGCUGGCCAGAUAUCCAGCCUUCCUCAACUUUUUUAUGUGUCCCUCCGUGAUGGAGGAGACCAUCCACUUGCCUCCCGCUCCGGACAUGAAUGGAGAAGGUUGAGGUGGUAGUGCGGACUUGGGCGCUGGAGCUCGAGUGCACAAGAAUGGAUAGGCAAAGGAGGAAGAAGGCAUGAGUGAAAAGGUGGAUCCUUAUCCCCUAAUAUGGGUGGACGCAACAACGUGUCCCCACCAGCCUGGUAAAACUCGCUUAUCUCCAAGCGCUGUAAUCAAUGGCGCGGUUGGGUUACCCACACCCGUAUUGAUGAGAAUCCCGGAAUAAAGGGACACGAUUCUGUUUUGACAAGACGUGUCAAGGAAACUGCCUCGCAUAACACGCUGAGGUGGGAUAAUGAAAUGAUUUGGAUAAAGGCUUGGCCUUGGUGUGUCGCACCACGGAAUACGUCAGCAGAUUAGAUUUGUGUUAAUAUUAUUAUUCUCUCUAGGGCAAUAUGUGGAAACUUAUUUUGCAGAUUCGGACACUAUCUUUGUGUUCAAAAUCUUCUAUGAAGUACUUGGAGGAGGAACCCGCCUUGCAAUGCCGAAGACAAUCUGCGCGCCGGACUCUCGUCAUUGAAGCCUGGUUUAGGGGCUACUGAGGGAGUCCUGGAUUAGGGGGUGUUCGGAUAGCCGAACUAUACCUUCCGCCGGACUCCUGGGCUAUGAAGAUACAAGAUUGAAGACUCCGUCCCGUGUCCGGAAGGGAUUUUCCUUGGCGUGGAAGGCAAGCUUGGCGAUACGGAUGUUUAGAUCUCCUACCAUUGUAACCGACUCUAUGUAACCCUAACCCUAUCCGAUGUCUAUAUAAACAGGAGGGUUCUAGUCCGUAGGACAACAUACACAUCAACAAUCAUACCAUAGGGUAGCUUCUAGGGUUUAGCCUCUCUGAUCUCAUGGUAGAUCAACUCUUGUAAUACCCAUACCAUCAAUAUUAAUCAAGCAGGGCGUAGGGUUUUACCUCCAUCGAGAGGGCCCGAACCUGGGUAAAACUUCGUGUCCCCUGCCUCCUAUUACCAUCCGGCCUAGACGCACAGUUCGGGACCCCCUACCCGAGAUCCGCCGGUUUUGACACCAACAGUGAUGCAGCAAAGUAGCGUAAGUAUUUCCCUCAGUUUUUGAGAACCAAUGUAUCAAUCCAGUAGGAGACUACAUGCAAGUCGCCUAGUACCUGCACAAACAAUCAAGAACCUUGCAACCAAUGUGAUAAAGGGGUUGUCAAUCCCUUCACGGCCACUUGCAAAAGUGAGAUCUGAUAAAGAUAAUAAGAUAAAUAUUUUUGGUAUUUUUAUUGUAUAGAUUGCAAAGUAAACGGCGACAGAGGUAGCUAGUUGAUGGGAGACUAAUAUGAUGUAAAAUAGACCCGGGGGUCAUAUUUCUCUAGUGGCUUCUUUCAAUAUAGCAAAUAUUAUGGUGGGUGAACAAAUUACUGUCGAGCAAUUGAUAGAAAAGCGCAUAGUUAUGAGAAUAUUUAGGCAUGAUCAUAAACAUAGGCAUCACGUCCAUGACAAGUAGACCGAAACGAUUCUACAUCUACUACUAUUACUCCACACAUCGACCGCUAUCCAGCAUGCAUAGAGUAUUAAGUUCAUAAGAACAGAGUAACGCAUUAGGCAAGACGACAUGAUGUAGAGGGAUAAACUCAAGGAAUAUAAUAUAAACCCUUUUUACCCUCGAUGUCAACAAUACAAUACGUGCCUUGCUGCCCCUGCUGUCACUAGGAAAGGACACCGCAAUAUUGAACCCAAAGCUAAGCACUUCUCCCAUUGCAAGAAAGAUCAAUCUAGUAGGCCAAACCAAAAUGAUAAUUUGAAGAGACUUGCAAAGAUAUUAAAUCAUGCAUAUAAGAAUUCAUAGAAGAAUCAAAUAUUGUUCAUAUAUUAUCUUGAUCAUAAAUCCACAAUUCAUCGGAUCUUGACAAACACACCGCAAAAAGAAUUACAUUGAAUAUAUCUCCAAGAAGAUUGAGGAGAACGAGAUCCACAAAGAGAGAGAAGAAGCCAUCUAGCUAUUAACUAUGGACCCGAAGGUCUGUGGUAAACUACUGACACAUCAUCGGAGAGGCUAUGGUGUUGAUGUAGAAGCCCUCCAUGAUCGAAUCCCCCUCCGGCGGAGCGCUGGAAAAGGCCCCAAGAUGGGAUCUUGCGGGUACAGAAGGUUGCGGCGGUGGAAAGGCGUUUCGUGGAUCUCCCCAAAGGUUUCAGGGUAUAAGAGUAUAUAUAGGCGAAAGAAGUAGGCCGGUGGAGCUGCGAGGGGCCCACGAGGGUGGGGGGCGCGCCUAGCCCCCAUGGGCAUACCCUCCUGCCUCGUGGCUUCCUCGCUGCUUCCUUGACUUCCACUCCAAGUCUCCUGGAUUGCAUCUGUUACAAAAAAGAUCCUCGCGAAGGUUUCGUUCCGUUUGGAUUCCGUUUGAUAUUCCUUUUCUAUGAAACAGUGAAAUAGGCAAAAAAAUAGCAAUUUGCACUGGGCCUUCGGUUAAUAGAUUAGUCCCAAAAAUAAUAUAAAAGUGCAUAGUAAAGCCCAUUAAACAUCCAAAACAGAUAAUAUAAUAGCAUGGAACAAUCAAAAAUUAUAGAUAUGUUGGAGACGUAUCAAGCAUCCCCAAGCUUAAUUCCUGCUCGUCCUCGAGUAGGUAAAUGAUAAAAACAUAGUAUUCAAAUCCGAAAGAUUCAAGACAAAAGUUUAAUAUUGACAUAAAAAUAAUAAUAUUUCAAGCAUACUAACUAAGCAAUUAUGUCUUCUCAAGAUAACAUGGCCAAAGAAAGCUUAUGCCUACAAAAUCAUAUAGUUUGGCAAUCUCGAUGACAAGCCAAGCAAUUGUUUCAUACUUUAGUAAUCUCAAACUUUUUUCAACUUUCAUGCAAUACAUGAGCGUGAGCCAUAGACAUAGCACUAUGGGUGGAAUAGAAUAUAAUGAUGGGGGUUGUGUGGAGAAGACAAAAAAGAGAAAGUCUCACAUUGACGCGGCUAAUCAAUGGGCUAUGGAGAUGCCCAUCAAUUGAUGUCAAUGCGAGGAGUAGGGAUUGCCAUGCAACGGAUGCACUAGAGCUAUAAAUGUAUGAAAGCUAAACAAAAGAAACUAAGUGGGUGUGCAUCCAACUUGCUUGCUCACGAAGACCUAGGGCAUUUGAGGAAGCCCAUUGGUGAAAUAUACAAGCCAAGUUCUAUAAUGAAAAAUUCCCACUGGUAUAUGAAAGUGACAAUAUAAGAGACUCUCUAUCAUGAAGAUCAUGGUGCUACUUUGAAGCACAAGAAUUGUCCCUUUUAUUUUAUUUAUUUUCUUUAUUUAUUUGGCCUUUCUCUUUUUUUUUUCAUUUGGCCUUCUGUCGGUGUCAAAACUGGCGGAUCUCGGGUAGGGGGUCCCGAACUGUGCGUCUAGGCUGGAUGGUAACAGGAGGCAGGGGACACGAAGUUUUCCCAGGUUCGGGCCCUCUCGAUGGAGGUAAAACCCUAUGGCCUGCUUGAUUAAUAUUGAUGGUAUGGGUAGUACAAGAGUUGAUCUACCACGAGAUCAGAGAGGCUAAACCCUAGAAGCUAGCCUAUGGUAUGAUUGUUGAUGUGUAUGUUGUCCUACGGAUUAAAACCAUCCGGUUUAUAUAGACAUCGGAUAGGGUUAGGGUUACAUAGAGUCGGUUACAAUGGUAAGAGAUCUAAACAUCCGUAUCGCCAAGCUUGCCUUCCACGCCAAGGAAAGUCCCUUCUGGACACGGGAUGGAGUCUUCAAUCUUGUAUCUUCAUAGUCCAGGAGUCUGGCUUGAAGGUAUAGUUCGGCUAUCCGAACACCCCCUAAUCCAGGACUCCCUCAGUAGCCCUCGAACCAGGAUUCAACGACGAUGAGUUCGGCGCGCAGAUUGUCUUCGGCAUUGCAAGGCGGGUUCUCCUCCAAAUUCCGUGUACCUGUUUAUAUAAAGUCUGGUUUCUUGUAGAUGUUGCACUCCUCGGCUUCUACGCCCAAUAAUGGCCGCUUUCCAUGUGCCAAACGAAUAUGAAAAGUCUGAGUGUUUUUACGUUCACACCCCUCGCUGUGUAAAUGAGUUGCCCUUUUCAGGGGAUGAGGAUUUAGAUCCAAUCCACACCUUCUCCCCUCCACGAGUGUUCAUCAGAGCGCAUCCGUCAAAGGUCCAUUCCACCAUGGCCAGCCGCCGGAACUCCUCCUCUCGUCCUUCUAGCCCUAAGCCUGGAUAUUGGGAGAGAUGUUCUACUCCGCAUAGCGAGCUAGUGACGCUUCAGACCAAGGGAUUUCUCCCCCCGGCCGAUAUGGUCCCGGUCCGAGCCGGUCUUGCCGUCUACAACGGCGGAGAGCAAGCAGAGAAUGCCCCUAAUCCAUCCAAAGGAGAGCGGGUGUGCCUCGUUCCUUACUUAAUGAGGGGGCUCGGAUUUCCCAUCCACCCGUUUCUCCGGGGGUUGCUGGAGUUCUACGGCCUCCAGCUACAUCAUCUCACGCCUGCCUCAGUAUUGCACAUCGCGGGCUUUGUAGCCCUCUGCGAGCUGUUCUUGGGAUUGAAGCUCAUUUCGGACUGUGGAAGGAGCUAUUUUGCCUCGUGCCCCGUUCCAAGAAAGGGUCAAUGUAUCAAGUGGGCGAAGCUGAAGUAUGGCGCAUUGCCGGGACCGGAUAUCUGUCUGAAACCCCAAAGAAGGCGUCCGAAUACUGGCCCUCAGAAUGGUUCUAUAUAGAAGACGUCCCGCUGCCGGAUCCUAUCCGGAUCGGCCUCCGAGAGUUCGACAGUGCCCCUUUAAAGAAGCGCCUAAGCUGGCGUCCACGGAGCCCUCAAAGGGAAAGUGACAGGGACAUCGUUUAUCUCAUGGGCCGAAUAAGAUUGUUGGCCCAUUCCGGACUAACCAUGAUUGGAGUUAUGGCCGAAUGCAUCAUGCGGGGGGUGCAACCGCUUCAGUACAAAAGCCACCCCAUGUGGGAUUUCAACGAGGAGGAGGACGCCACCCGCUACGGCCGCAAAGGGCCAGAUUCAGUUGCCGCUCUAUUAAAGAUCUUGUCCACUUUGUACACGGGAGAAGAGGAGGAAUUUCUCCGCGUCAACACACAGGGCGGAUUCUCUAUGCACAAUCCCCCAAGCUAGGUAAGUGGUUGCAUUUACUUGCUCAUCCAUUUAGUGUUCCCACUGUUAAAUACUUAGUCUGAUGACUUCAACGCAGGAACUGCGCCGGGCCGUUAAGGACAUAAGCAGCCCGCCUCCACAACCCGAGGACUCAGGACGGUCUUUCGACUCGGCCUCUCAAGAGGAUCCGGACAUAUCUGUGGAGCUGAUCGAUGGAGUGUUCCAUCAAUUGAGCGAGGACAACGCCCUGGUGGCCAUUAUGGCUGAUUAUCCAGGGCUAAUCCGAACACCCCAGGUACCUGAGACCAAAGUCCCUGUACCCCGGACAGGGGUUCGUCCACGUGUGUUAAAUUUCCUAAUUGCAAUCGAACUUUGCAGGGGAGGUUUUUACGGCAGAAGGCCGAACCUGCGGCGACAAACCAACCAGGGGCCGCAGGGCCCCAUGGGCAGAAAAGAGGUGCAGUCCGGACCGAGGCAUCAACAUGAAGGUAUGGCGCGCCCCUUUAUCCCAAUUGUUAUACCUUCAAGGCACACUUGACACUCGUGCCCUUUUCAGGACAAAGAGACCUCGCCGGACUAUAUCCAGAGAGGCUGUUAAUCGCACCUCCACCAGCCAGGCUCCAAAGCCUGGUCCGGGGGCGGAGGCGAACGCAAGGCGUGUGCUAGACAUUCCUCCGAUGGAGGAUGCGGACGGGUUAUCUGCCACCAACUCAGAGGUGGAAAGUGCCAUGAACCACAGGCGUCGCCGGACAAUUCUUUGCGACGCUUGCUUCUCCCAAGAGGCAUUAGAUGCCUUCAAUUCGGGAGAUGCGCACCUCCGUGCCGCUCAAAAUGGUCUAGCCAGAGCCACGGAGCAAUAUGUAAAAGACAUACGGGUAAGAAAAUUUUGGUAAAUAUAUAUGUAGCAGUAGCCCCCGAGACUGAAAACAGUUAGAAUAACUGGUUUAAGGAUCAUUUGAAAUGCAGGUUCUUACAGAAAAGAAUUCCCUACUAACCCAGGAGCUGGAAGAGUGCAAAGCCCAACUGGAGGCCGCACUAGCCGCGGCAGGGGAGCCUAAGGAGACCCCCUCUGGUAAUAUACAUUUCGAAAGAUAAGUAUGUGGCGAAGCACGGCUUUUGUGAGAAUUUGACAAAUAAAAUUGCAGAUGGCGCCGGAUUGAAUCCGGAAAGGCAACACCUCGAACGCCAACUAAAGGCUGGUGAGAGGGUGCUGUUAAAGGUGAUGGGGGAGAAGAACGUUCUCCAAGAUGCCAACACCCGGCUGGGCGUCGAGCUAAAAGAUGUUCGUGCCCAGCUGUCAGACUCCAUGAAGGAGAAUCAGCGGCUUCGGCGCGACAUAUUUAGUAAGUGCUUGAACGAACCUUUUAAAAGAAAGUUCGGUGGUGCCGUUGAUUAACAGAGCAAUGUCCGUAGGUAUGUUAACAGGUCGUCCUGCAGAGGAGAUGCCCGGUUCUACAGGUGACCUUCUUCUCGAGCUCUUGCAAUUGCUUGAUCGAGUUCGGCAGGCGAUGCGAGGCGUCGCCCAGGUACUGUGGCCAUCCGUCUCGACACCCGAAGGUCUUGGAGAGCUUGCGGAGAAGCUGAGGGGAGCACGGUGGUGCUUCCAGUUGUGGAAGAUAUCAGCCUGCCGUCAAGGCGCUAGGGAGGCCUGGGCCAUGGUGAAGACGCGGUAUUCACAGCCUGACCCCAACCAUAUGGACGAGGUUGGUCCUGUAGGCCCCGAUGGGAAGGAGAUCCCUGUGAGCUUAGUAUACGGCCAAGUAGAAUUGGCCGCAAAGUAUUCCCAGCAGGACUGUAAAUUAGAUAGCCUGUUAGAUGGUAUUGAAGAGGAGUACAGUCAGUCAAAAUGACUAUGUAAUUUAAUUGACAUUUAUAAUGCCUUCUAGCCGGAUUGUAGAUCGUUUGUCAUGGCUGACCUUUUCGCUUCACCCUCGGGACAUGACGGUCCAGAGUGUGUCCGAAUUCCCGUGCGGUUAUAUAGGAACCGGGGAAUGCGUGGAGACCAGGCGUAGGGGUCAUUAUGGCGUGAACAUACAAGUGCCCGACUAGUUAUGUUAUAUUACAUGGUUAGUAAGAAACAUCUUCCAGGGAGAAUAGUUCUGUUAGGGGUUCCUUACCCUGGGGGGCAUGCCCUAAAGUGCAUGUCCAUGCUGCGAAAAGAAACGCAGGAAAAACGCCGGGGGGGACAUACAUAGAGAAAAAGAUCAUCUUUAGUUCACCGACCGAAUAUUCUCUUAAGAAUGCUAGCUUUCGGCUUCACCUAGUCUGAGGUACAUGUCCGGCUAAUCCGGCAGUAACAAUCAUAGAGGUGCUCCCUUUACCACCUAGCCGAAUAAUCGGGAACGUAGGGGUAAGCAAAGGAGCCAGGCAACCCAGCUUGGCCAAAACUUAAGUCAUAUCGAUGCAUAUGAUGGUGAAUAAAAGGUACAUGCGGAAGUUUGACACAUGUGUUAGGCAUGAAGCCCAUAUAAAUAAGCUUCUGUUUAAAGAAGCCCCCAGGUUUACUGAGCGCAGAUAGCGCGUCAAUUCGUGAGCCUUUAAAGGUUAUAAGAGAGAAAAAUGGGAGAAGGAGAGAAAUGUACGACGGACAGUAUAUAAAAAAUGGACAAAGUGAGGAGACGAACAUAGGAUCCGACGCUAGGCACAGAAUCUUCGGAGACGGGCUGCGUUCCAUGGGUUCGGCUCGAGUCGGUUAUCUAAUGUGUUUCGCAGGCGGUAUGCUCCACCAGUCAGGAAUUGGUCAAUUAUGAAGGGACCUUCCCACUUGGGAUUGAGCUUGUCCUUUUUCUUGUUUGGCAGGCAUAGAACUAAUUCGCCAACGUUGUAAUUUUUGGCCCGUACUUCUCUGCUUUGGUAUCUUCGAGCUUGCUGUUGAUAGAAUGCGGAACGGGAUUUCGCCACAUCAUGCUCCUCCUCUAAUGCGUCCAAACUGUCCUGCAGAUCGAUCUCGGCUUCUCUUUCCUCGUACAUGCGCACUCGAGGUGAGUCAUGAAUUAUGUCAUAAGGCAGAACUGCCUCUGCGCCGUACACCAUGAAGAAUGGUGUGUAUCCGGUGGUGCGAUUCGGCGUGGUCCGCAGCCCCCAGAGUACGGAGUCGAGCUCCUCUACCCAGUGCGUGUUAGAUUCCUUGAGGGACCGCACUAGUCCGGGUUUGAUGCCGCUCAUGAUAAGACCAUUUGCACGUUCGACCUGGCCGUUAGUUUGUGGGUGAUAGACGGAAGCAUAAUCGAGCUUUAUGCCCAUGUUUUUGCACCAGAGUUUUACCUCGUCGGCCGUAAAGUUCAUGCCAUUAUCAGUGAUGAUGCUGUGGGGGACGCCGCAACGGUGUACGACCCCGGAUAUGAAGUCUAUCACAAGUCCGGAUUUGGCCGUCUUAACAGGCUUGGCUUCUAUCCAUUUGGUGAACUUAUCCACCAUGACCAGUAAGUAUUUGUGCUUGUGGGUUCCGCCUUUAAGGGGUCCAACCAUAUCAAGCCCCCAGACCGCAAAGGGCCAAGUGAUGGGGAUAGUUUGGAGGGCGGUGGGUGGCAUAUGGCUUUGGUUUGCAAAGAGCUGGCAGCCGGUGCAUCGUUGGAGUAAGUCCUGAGCGUCUGCCCGGGCCGUCGGCCAACAAAAGCCUGUACGGAAGGCCUUGCUUACCAGGGACCGGGCUGCAGCGUGAUGACCGCCAAGUCCGGCAUGGAUUUCAGCCAGGAGAUUCCGCCCCUCUUCUUCGGAGAUGCACCUUUGAAGGACUCCGGUAGUGCUUUUCUUAUAAAGCUCUCCCUCGUGGACUCUGUUGGCUUUGGAUCGCCGCACUAUGCAGCGUGCCUCAUUUUGGUCCUCGGGGAGUUCCUGCCUAGUAAGGUAGGCGAGGAAUGGUUCUGUCCACGGGGCGAUGACGGCCAUUAUUACAUGGGCUGAAGGUGUUAUUUCAAUGGCGGAGCCUCCGAUUGUGUCAAAAUGCUCGGUGUCGGGCAGUGUGGUUGGGUCCGGGCUGUUAUUGUUUGGCUCUCCUUCCCAUGCCACGGAUGGCUUGAACAGCCUUUCCAAGAAGAUGUUGGGGGGACUACAUCGCGUUUUGCACUGAUGCGUGCUAGGAGAUCCGCCGCCUGAUUAUUUUCCCGGGCUAUAUGGUGAAAUUCAAGUCCCUCAAACCGAGCUGACAUUUUUAGGACGGCGUUGUGGUAAGCUGCCAUUUUCGGAUCCUUGGCAUCGAAGUCUCCAUUUAUUUGGGAGAUUGCGAGGUUUGAGUCCCCGUGCACCUCUAGGCGUUGGAUGCCCAUGGAUACUGCCAUCCGGAGACCAUGUAGAAGGGCCUCAUAUUCGGCUACAUUGUUGGAGUCCGUGUACAGAAUUUGUAGUACAUAUUGAACUGUGUCUCCUGUGGGGGACGUCAAAACGACGCCAGCCCCUAGUCCGGCCAACAUUUUGGAGCCGUCGAAAUGCAUGAUCCAAUUUGAAUAUGUGCCGUACUCUCUAGGGAGUUCGGCUUCCGUCCAUUCUGCGAUGAAGUCGGCCAAAACUUGUGACUUAAUGGCUUGUCGUGGCUUAUAAGUUAUGUCGAACGGGAGGAGCUCGAUGGCCCAUUUCGCAAUCCAGCCCGUUGGGUCAAGGUUGUUUAUAAUGUCGUUAAGUGGUACUUCCGAGGCUACUGUUAUUGAACACUCUUGAAAGUAGUGUCGUAGCUUCUGGGAUGCCAUGAAUACUGCGUACGCAAUCUUUUCAUAAUGCGGGUACCGUGAUUUGCAGGGAGUGAGGACAGUGGACACAUAAUAGACCGGCCUUUGAAGGGGGAAUUUGUGUCCGUCCUCUUCUCGUUCGACGACGAGCACUGCGCUUACCACCUGAUGUGUUGCUGCGAUGUACAAUAGCAUUGGUUCGCCGGUGUUUGGCGCGGCCAGGACUGGGUUUGUUGCCAGUAUGGCUUUUAUUUCGUCGAGUCCGGGCGUGGCUGCGUCCGUCCAUUUGAAGUGUUCGGUGCGCCGAAGGAGGCGGUAAAGGGGAAGGGACUUUUCUCCUAAACGGGAGAUAAAGCGGCUUAGAGCCGCCACACAUCCGGUUAACUUUUGUAUUUGUUUGAGGUCCUUUGGGAUAUCCAGUUGCGACAGAGCUCGGAUCUUGCCUGGAUUUGCUUCAAUUCCUCUGCUGGAUAUAAUGAAGCCCAAGAGCUUUCCGGCUGGAACACCGAAAACGCAUUUUUCCGGGUUGAGCUUGAUGUCGUAUGUUCGGAGAUUGUCAAAUGUGAGUCUCAAGUCGUCUACUAGAGAUUCAACAUGUCUUGUUUUGACGACCACAUCAUCUACAUAUGCCACCACUGUUUUACCAAUCUAGCUUGCCAAACAUGUCUGAAUCAUGCGCUGAUAUGUUGUGCCGGCGUUUUUGAGCCCGAAGGGCAUCGUGUUGAAGCAGAAUGGCCCGUAUGGUGUGAUAAAUAUUGUUGCGGCUUGGUCUGGUUCUGCCAUCUUGAUUUGAUGGUAGCCAAAAUAUGCGUCGAGGAAACACAACGAAUCGUGUCCUGUGGUCGCAUCGAUAAUUUGAUCGAUGCGGGGACGGGGAAGGGAUCCUUUGGGCAAGCCUUGUUAAGGUCUUUAAAAUCAACACAUAGGCACCAGGAUUUGUCCUUCUUUGGUACCAUCACCAGGUUUGCUAGCCAGUCCGGAUGUUUUAUAUCUCUGAUGAAACCGGCCUCUAAUAGCUUUGCUAGCUCCUCUCACAUAGCCUGUCUCUUAGGUUCGGAAAAAGGCCGGAGAGCCCGUUCGACAGGUUUGAAUCAUGUUUGGAUAUUUAAGCUGUGCUCAGCCAGCCUGCGUGGGAUUCCUGGCAUGUCUGAAGGGUGCCAGGCGAAAAUGUCCCAGUUCUCUCGUAGGAACUCUCGCAAUGCGGCGUCUACAUCAGGGUUUAACUGUGCCCUGAUGGAAGCUAUUUUAUUGGGGUCCAUUGGAUGGACUUGGAAUUUGACUAUUUCGUCCGCUAGUUUAAAGGAGGUGGAUUUGGAUCUUUUGUCGAGUACCACAUCAUCCCUAUUCACCAUAGAGCGCAGCGCAGUUAGCUCCUCAGCCGCUAGGGCUUCGGAUAGUGCCUCGAGGGCCAGUGCGGCUGUCUUGUUUUCGGCGCGGAGUGCUACAUCCGGAUCACUAGCAGGAGUGAUGAUCCCAUUAGGCCCGGGCAUCUUAAGCUUCAUGUACCCGUAAUGGGGUAUUGCUUGGAAGAUUGUGAAUGCUUCCCGCCCUAGCAAGGCGUGAUAACCACUGCUGAACGGGGCCACAUGGAACGUGACUUCUUCAGACCUGUAAUUGUCCGGCGUGCCGAACACCACACCUAGUGUGAUUUUUCCUGUACAACGCGCUUCCCGACUAGGGAUUAUUCCUCUAAAGGUUGUGCUGCUUCGUGUGAUGCGGUUCCAGUCUAUAUCCAUUUUUUGGAAAGUUUCCUCGUAGAUGAGGUUCAAUCCGCUGCCGUCGUCCAUGAGCACCUUGGUGAGACGAAAGCCGUCCACUAUUGGACUGAGGACCAAUGCGCCUGGUGCUCGGGCUGUUCGGAAUUUAGGUUCAUCACUGGCGUUGAAGGUAAUGGCCGUGUCACUCCAUGGGUUUAUUGUUGCUACUUGGUAGACUUCGGCAAGGCUGCGGAGUGUCCUUUUUCACAUGUUAUUUGAUGCGAAGGUCUCGAAGACUGUUAAUACCGUAUUGGUGUCUCUGGGGUGGCUUUCUGUGGCUUCCGGGAUUAGGAGGUUUUCGCCAAUUUUGGCCACCUGCCGGAGUAUCCAACAUGCUCUAAGGCUGUGAGUUGGUGUGGCGUCCUCUGUACUAUGAAUUUUACAGGGUCCAUUAAGCCAUCCUUCCACUAAGGUUCCAUGCCCUGUAGAGGGUUUUUGCCUUUUGGUGUUUGGCCCAGGUGUCUGGCGAUGAUGCACCCUUUUAUUUCGGAUUGGGCUUGCAUUAAGGGCCGGAAUGUCCCAAAAUUUUGUUUCGGUUUUCCAAGCGCUUUCCAUCGCACAGUACUUUCAUACUAUGGACGCUAAGUCAACAAAGCGUGUAAUAUCACGGCGACUUAUGGCGUUCAGUAUUCCCUUGUCCAUGCAAUUAUUGUAGAAGGAUGAAAUUGCGUCUUCCUCCCAGCAGCCCUUUAUCCUGUGCAUAACCAGGAGGAAUCUGGCCCAGUAAUGAUGUACUGUUUCUUUGGGCUCUUGCCUGAUUUGGGAUAGAUCGCUAAUGUUCGGGUGGGUGGGUGGAAUUGAAUCCGAAGCCUUACCCCUUCUGAGGCUCAGAGGCCGAGGAAUUUCCGAACUCGAAAGUUUGGAUUCCUGGAUGUCGUCUAAUGAAUCCAGUCCGGAGCCUGAUUCUCGGUUCAGGUCUUGAGUGAUAUCCUCCCCUACGCGGUCAUCCGGUUUGGAGGGAUCGGGAAUCCGGACAUAGCGAGUCCUUAGGAUAGAUGAAGGGUCACCGCACUAUCCCUCUACCACGGCAACGUGAUGGGUGGCUUGGGGAGAGUUAAUCUCUCUCAGAUCGGUUUUAGGCCCAAUCUGGUCAUAAUCCGUAGCGACUCCGAGGGCGGCGAAAUGAUCCAAGAGCUUGUUUAUGGAGGAAAGCUCUAUUGGAUUUAACUGCUCGGCAAGUUCCGAGUUGACAUGAAGAUUGUUUUCGAUGGUUCGAGAGGUCAUCGUCGGCGUAGAAGCCGAACAGGUGGUCAUAAGAAAACCACCUAGCCGGAGGGUUUGGCCGACAGCCAAAGCUCCCUUAGCAACGGUGCCGUCUUUAAAGACGGGGCGAGGCAUCCUUCCUGAUGGCGACGACAUAGAGGAACUCUCAAUGAAAGCACCAAUGUCAGUGUCAAAACCGGCGGAUCUCGGGUAGGGGGUCCCGAACUGUGCAUCUAGGUCGGAUGGUAACAGGAGGCAGGGGACACGAAGUUUUACCCAGGUUCGGGCCCUCUCGAUGGAGGUAAAACCCUACGUCCUGCUUGAUUAAUAUUGAUGAUAUGGGUAGUACAAGAGUUGAUCUACCACGAGAUCAGAGAGGCUAAACCCUAGAAGGUAGCCUAUGGUAUGAUUGUUGAUGUGUAUGUUGUCCUACGGACUAAAACCCUCCGGUUUAUAUAGACAUCGGAUAGGGUUAGGGUUACAUAGAGUCGGUUACAAUGGUAAGAGAUCUGAACAUCCGUAAAGCCAAGCUUGCCUUCCACGCCAAGGAAAGUCCCUUCCGGACACGGGAUGGAGUCUUCAAUCUUGUAUCUUCAUAGUCCAGGAGUCCGGCUUGAAGGUAUAGUUCGGCUAUCCGAACACCCCCUAAUCCAGGACUCCCUCACCUUCCCCUUUUUAUUUUUUAUUUUUGGGACAAUGCACUAUUAAUGAUGAUCAUCACACUUCUAUUUAUUCGCAACUCAAAGAUUACAACUCGAUACUAGAACAAAGUAUGACUCUAUAUGAAUGCCUCCGGCGAUGUACCGGGAUGGACAAUGAAUCAAGAGUAACAUGUAUGAAAUUAUGCAUGGUGGCUUUGCCCCAAAUACGAUGUCAACUACAUGAUCAUGCAAGACAAUAAGACAAUGAUGAAGCGUGUCAUAAUAAACGUAACGGUGGGAAGUUGCAUGGCAAUAUAUCUCGGAAUGGCUAUGGAAAUGCCAUAAUAGGUAGAUAUGGUGGCUGUUUUGAGGAAGAUAUAAGGAGGUUUAUGUGUGAUACAACAUAUCAAAUCACGGGGGUUGGAUGCACCGGCGAAGUUUGCACCAACUCUCAAGGUGAGAAAGGGCAAUGCACGGUACCGAAGAGGCUAGCAAUGAUGGGAAGGUGAGAGUGUGUAUAAUCUAUGGACUCAACAUUAGUCAUAAAGAACUCACAUACUUAUUCCAAAAAUCUACAAGUCAUCAAAAACCAAGCACUACGCGCAUGCUCCUAGGGGGAUAGAUUGGUAGGAAAAGACCAUCGCUUGUCCCCGACCGCCACUCAUAAGGAGGACAAUCAGAGAAACACCUCAUGCUUCAAAUUUGUCACAUGCUACCUCUUGAGCAUGCGUUGGUUUUCCCUUGAAGAGGAAAGGGUGAUGCAUCACAGUAGCAUAAGUAUUUCCCUCACUUUUUGAAAACCAAGGUAUCAAUCCAGUAGGAGGUAACACACAAGUCACCUAGUACCUGCACAAACAAACAAGAACCUCACAACCAAUGCGAUAAAGGGGCUGUUAAUCCCUUCAUGGUCACUUACGAAAGUGAGAUCUGAUAAAGAUAAUAAGAUAAAUAUUUUUUGGUAUUUUUGUGAUAUAGAUUGGAAAAUAAAGAUUGCAAAAUAAACGGUAAUAGAAAUAGCAAAUUGAUAUGGAAAUAAUAUGAUGGAAGAUAGACCCGGGGGCCAUAUGUUUCACUAGUGGCUUCUCUCAAGAUAGCAAAUUCUAUGGCGGGUGAACAAAUUACUGUCGAGCAAUUGAUAGAAAGGCGAAUACUUAUGAGAAUAUCUAGGCAUGAUCAUGUAUAUAGGCAUCACUUCUGCGACAAGUAGACCGAAAUGAUUUUGCAUCUACUACUAUUACUCCACACUUCGACCUCUAUCCAGCAUGCAUCUAGAGUAUUAAGUUAAUAAGAACAGAGUAACACAUUAGGCAAGAUGACAUGAUGUAGAGGGAUAAACUCAAGCAAUAUGAUAUAAACCCCAUCUUUUUAUCCUCGAUGGCAACAAUACAAUACGUGAAUUGCUGCCCCUGCUGUCACUGGGAAAGGACACCGCAAGAUUGAACCCAAAGCUAAGCACUUCUCCCAUUGCAAGAAUGAUCAAUCUAGUAGGCCAAACCAAACUGAUAAUUCGAAGAGACUUGCGAAGAUAUUUAAAUCAUGCAUAAAAGAUUUCAGAGAAGAAUCAAAAUAUUGUUCAUAGAUAAUCUUGAUCAUAAACCCACAAUUCAUCGGAUCUCGACAAACACACUGCAAAAAGAAUUACAUCGAAUAGAUCUCCAUGAGAAUCAAGGAAACUUUGUAUUGAGAUCCAAAGAGAGAGAACAACCAUCUAGCUAAUAGCUAUGGACCCAGAGGUCUGUGGUAAAGUACUCACACAUCAUCAGAGAGGCUGUGGUGUUGAUGUAGAAGCCCUUCAUGAUCGAUUCCCCCUUCGGCAAAGUGCCGGAAAAGGCCCCAAGAGGGGAUCUCACGGGUACAGAAGGUUGCAGCAGUGGAAAUAGGGUUUCGUGGUGCUCCUGGAUGUUUUUGGGGUAUAUGGGUAUAUAUUGGAGGAAGAAGUACGUCGGUGGAGCUGCGAGGGGCCCACGAGGGUGGGGGCGCGCCUCCCUGCCUCGUGGCCUCCUCGCUUCUUUCUUGACGUCCACUCCAAGUCUCCUGGAUCACGUUUGUUCCAAAAAUAACUCUCCUAAAGGUUUCAUUCCGUUUGGACUCUGUUUGAUAUUCCUUUUCUGCGAAACACUGAAAUAGGCAAAAAACAGAAAUUUGCACUGGGCCAUUGGUUAGUAGGUUAGUCCCAAAAAUAAUAUAAAAAGGUAAAUUAAAGCCCAUUAAACAUCCAAAACAGAUAAUAUAAUAGCAAGGAACAAUCAAAAUUAUAGCUACGUUGGAGACGUAUCAAGCAUCCCCAAGCUUAAUUCCUGCUCGUCCUCGAGUAGGUAAAUGAUAAAAAUAGAAUUUUUGAUGUGGAAUGCUUGAAAGUUCUAGUGAUCGACUAGAGGGGGGUGUGAAUAGGCGAUUUUUAGGUAAGUCUUCAAAACAUGUAAGUAUCGAAGACAAACGAUAGAUAUGAACCUAUUACCAUGCAGCGGAAGGUAGGUUACACUAGGCAAACCAUAGUCACGUAUUCAAUGAAGUGAAAGCACAAUGACAAAUAGCAGCUAGGCAGUAAGGAUCAGGUAGGAAGAUAUUGAGAAGCCAAUCAGUACACGUAGUCACUUAGUGAAGUCGAAUGGUGAUGCUAUCGUACAGUGACUUCACAAGAACCAACAGUAAAUAAAGGGAAGGGAAGGAUGAAACCAGUGACUCGUUGAAGACAAUGAUUUGUUGGACCAGUUCCAGUUGCUGUGACAACUGUACGUCUGGUUAGGGAGGCUGAGAUUCAACUCAGAAGACUUCGUCUUCACCUUAUUCCCCUUGAGCUAAGGACACCCAGUCCUCGCCCAAUCACUCUAGUAAGCCUUCAAGGUAGACUUCCAAACCUUCACAGACUUCGUUCACCGGCGAUCCACAAUGACUCUUGGAUGCUCAGAACGCGACGCCUAACCGGCUAGAGGAUUCACAGUCCUCAAGUGUAAUAAGUGUUCAGAUCACACAGACAAGAAGACUUAAGUGAUGCCUAACACUCUUUGGCUCUGGGUGGUUAGGGCUUUAUCCUCUCAAGGAAUUCUCUCUCAAAGGCGUCGAGGUGGGUUGCUCUCAAACGACAAAAGCCGUACUUUAACUCUGAGCAGCCAACCUUUUAUGGUUGUAGGCGGUGGGCUAUUUAUAGCCACUAGGCAACCCGACCUGAUUUGUCCGAAAUGACCCUGGGUCACUAAGGAACUGACACAUGUUCCAACGGUCAGAUUUCAAACACACACGACAACUUUACUUGGGCUACAAGCAAAGCUGACUUGUCCAACUCUGAACAAGAUUCACUCUCAUAGUCUUCACUCGAAGACAUAGGAUUUUGGUUAAGCAUCACUUCAGUCAUUCUGACUGGUUCUCUUGGACCCCACUUAACAGUACGGUGGCUCCUAUGACUCAAUAAAGAAGAAAAAGAACUACGAAAGAUCUAAGUCUUCGCGCUCCAUGGUCUUCAUGCGAUAUCUUCUCUUGUCAUAGUCUUCAAUGUGAAUGUCUUCACAUACCACCAUUGACUUCAAUGUCUUCAUACAUUUUUAGGGGUCAUCUCUGGUAGGAAAACCGAAUCAAUGAGGGACUUCUACCUGUGUUAUCCUGCAAUUCUCACAAACGCAUUAGUCCCUCAACUAGGUUUGUCGUCAAUACUCCAAAACCAACUAGGGGUGGCACUAGAUGCACUUACAAUCUCCCCCUUUUUGGUGAUUGAUGACAAACUAGUUGAAGUUUUCAAUGGGGAAUAUAAUCUGUGAAAUUGUAAAGGAUACGGAAUUGUCUUCAUAAGUUGCAAGGGCUCCCCCUGAAGAUGUGCAUAUAAGUAAUUUGAUUUUGGAAUGCAAAUGCACAUGGCAGGUUGUACUUGUGGAGAUCCUCUUCAACUUAUGAUAACAAUUCAUCAUGCAUGAAAAGUAUGUGAAGAUAAUGACAUGCAUAAUGAAAAAUGGACGUCUGCAAGAUGAUCUAAGUGCGGAGUUUAUCAUCGCAUCACAAAAUAGCAAAUAAGUAGCAGACGACCAUCGAGUUUAAGUGUUACAACUCAAAGAACCAAAUGUAUCAAAACGGGAGUUGUAAACACUAGGCAAAACACAAAGUAACCACCCAUAUGGACCCGCUUGGAGACUAUCAAACUCAUAUGCUUCUCCCCCUUUUGUCAGUGAGGACCAAAAAGGUUUGAAGACAUAGAGUAGCUACUAGUUCCCAUGAAGAGUAGGUGAAGCAGCAAGGUCGUCGGUGAUGUUCGGCGGUGCAGAAGAACUUGGCGCAGUGUCAAUGCGUGCGGAAGUAGGGGCGGUGAAGUGGCAUCAUCUUCGUCCUCGAUCACUCUGGCAUUCACAGUUGCCGCAAAGGAAGAGAACUCAGAGUCUUCAAGAGAUGGAGUUCGUCGCAGCAUAGUCCUUCGGGGAGGUGUGGAGUCAAAUUUGAAACGUUCAGAGAAGCCAUCCUCUUGAAGAUCAUCCUCAGAACACAUAAGCAUCAGCCCUUUCCAUGUACACCGACAAGUUUCAUGGGCAACAAAGUCAUUCUUGGUGGCAAGAUUGCGAAUGCGAUUGACAUCCACCAAGAGGCUUUGCAUUUGGCGCUUCAGCUAGUCAUGAUGCCUAUCCUGUUUCUGAUGAAGAGCAACUAGAAGCUCUCGGUCAUUAAGAACACGAGAUCGCUUCUUGGGCCGUUGGGCAAUGGUGCUUUCAGUGGCUUCAGUGAGGGCAUGAUGAGGUGCACGUGUAGUACCAACCAGAGGAUAAACACGAGUGACUGCUUCAACUCCUUCAAUGUUCUGAGAGAAACUUUGAUGCUCAGCAUUCUGAAGACUAAGAGGCUCCUUGGCAGGCUCUGGAUAAAUGGCUUCAACGGACAUAUCCACGUCAGGCAGAAAGAUCCGAUGAUUGCGAGCAGAUGGCUGAUAUGAGAUAGCUGAGUGGAGUUUAAUCAGCCGCAUUAUCCAUGGGGCAUAGAACUUCAAGCCAAAAAGAUCAGAUCCUGAUGCACCAAGUUGGUGGAUGAAGAUGUCUUGUGCGUUGACGCAUUUGCCGUGAAGAAUAUAGAAGACCAAAGUCUUCAUUGCACCUUCCAGCUUUGCAUGUGGAGAAUGUCCUUUGAUGGGCCAGAGAGUUCGCCAUAUAAUGUGAUAGAUAGUCCGUGGCAGAUACUCAAGGUCUUCAACAAAGAACUCCUUAGGAUAUGCGGCAUCUGGAGGCAAAGGCUUCAUCAUACUGAGCAUCUGACUCAUGUUCGGUUCAGGCUUCUGAAAGAUGCUCUCCAUAGCUUCACUGUGAAGCUGACAGCCAGGUUCAUAGAGAUCUCCAGGAGUGGGCAGACCAGUGAGCUCAAUGAUAUCAAAGUCUUUGGCUUCAUAAUGAACAUUUCCUGUCAUCCACUCAAGGAACCAAGUCUUCGGAUCUCUGUUGUAGCCACGUAUGUGAAGAUGGCAUAAAAUUGGAGCAGCAACUCUUCGUUCUAGUGCUCUUGGUCGAUGACGAAAGGCAACAAGCCAACCUGUUUGAAGCAAUCCAGAGCUUCUUCCAAGCAGGGCAGUCCAGUUAUUGCUUAGGUGUCAAGACGCAUAUGAGGGAAAAUGCGACCUUGAUUGUACAGAAUGCAUGAGUAAUAACUUCGUUGCGGAUAGCUCUAGAACCGAUCAGACGAUAUUCUUUCCCUUGAGUAAGGGUUCUUAGAGCUAUUGAAGAAGGUGUUGUCUGCUUUGAAUCCGUUGACAUUAAAGGAUCCAGGUGCUGAUGCAGGACCUGGAAACCUGGGCAACCUUGGCAUUGGCUUCUGUACCUGAGGCCUAUGCUCAAUAUGAUAGUCAAACUGAGGACCAGCAGCAGGCGUAGGAACAGGAGCAGUAGCAUCAUUGGCUUUGCUGACUUCUGGUUCAUGGGUUGGUGUAGGCUCCACAUUUGCUUCAGCCAUGACAACAUCAUUGGCUUCAUUUGUGUUGGUGGUGGCAGCCUCAAGAUUUUCUACCUCCACUUGAUGAGCUGGAGGGUCAGGCACAGACACGUUCUCCUUGAGAACAGCUUCUUCAGUAGUUGGGGGAGUAGGGGCAUGUUCUUCUUCUUGGGUGUCAUCGGCUGAUGCAGCCGGAAUGUCUUCAGCAGCUUUAGCCUCAGACUCGGAGACUUGAGACCUUGGUCCUUUGCGAAGCCUGCAUAACACUGGCGACGCCUUUGGAGAUGGAGUUGGCUGGGCCUCAGAGUCAUCUUCUUCUUCUUGCCGGGGUGGUGUGACUUGUUGUGGGUGAUCAACCCAUGAUGCAUCCUGAGCAAUUGGCGUCAGAGGACGACCAAUGCUGAUGAGUUCGUUGUGCGUAAGCACAGGCGAUGAUACCUGUUGGUGCUCGAUCAGAGCAAGAGCUACAUCAUUGUCAACAUUGUCAUGGUGACCAAUGUCUUCAGCAGCGGUGGGAUCAGUUGCUGGAAUGUCUUCAGCUUCAUGAGCCUCUGUCGAAGCAGGCUCAUGGACAGUCAGUUGGCGCUCUUGAUGUUCAGUGGCAGGGCAAACCAUGGAGAUAGGUUCAACAACUAAGGGAUCUGUGGGAGCAGCCCGAUCCUUCUUGGUCUUGCACUUCUUCUUGGAGGGAGCAGCAGCAGAGGCUUCAGGAUGUUUCCUCUUUCUGGCUUCAUCCUCAGUAGUCCUCGUCUUCUUCAGUUCUGAAGCGGUUGACCUGGCCUUUGGCUUCGAGCCAGUCAUGCUGGCUGGGAAGACAAUGUGAUGUGCUUCCUGCCUUGGUGCGUCGGGUUCGGCCACAGCGGGCUUCUUCUUCUUCUUUGCAGCCAUCCUGGGGUCGAUGCCAGGACGACCAAGGGCCUUGCGCUUCUCAGCCUCAUUGUAGGCUUGCACACACUUGUCAGCCAGGCUCUUCAUGCCCUCACGAGAACCUUGAGCUUCUUCACGCUUCUUGAGAAAGGCUUCUUUGAGCUCGUGCAGCAUGAUCUUGAAGUUCUUGACCUCUUGCAUGCUCAGCUUGGACAUAUGGUUCUUAAACUGAGCUUUCUCAAAGUCGAUCAUUUGCUUCAAUUCAACGAUGCGCUGGGCUAUAGCUAGCUCUGAAGCAAUGGCGCAUGGAAGGCAACACUGAGGCCAAUCGGAAGUUGCAGAUCUUCAAAGCUGAGGUUGGGCGUGUCAAACCACUCAUCAAUGAAGUUAUGGAUGAUUGCCACAUCAAAGAGAGGCAAAUUAUUGAAGAUUUCUGCUUCUUCUUUGCUCUUGAUCAGUUGCUCAAGAGCGUCAUCUGCAAGAUCUUCAUCGGUGGACAGAUCAAUGGCAUCGUUGCGCAGAAUAGCAGCAGCAGUCAGUUCUUGGCUGGUGCGUUGCAGAGGCAUCUUGACUCUCGAGGGCUUGGAGAUGCAUGGCAAAUCUUCAGACUGCACACUGUCUUCAUGAGGUGCAGUAGCCAGUGGCUUCGCUCGUGAGAUUUUUGGUGCUGAGGCAGGCUUUAAAGCUUUAGGCUGCUUCAGUUUCUUUGGCUUCGGCGAUGCAGGCGCUUCAUCAGAUUCAGCGUCAUCUGCAGGCUCAUCCACGGCUGUCCCUUGAACCACGAUAUGAGUGAUGAGACCUUCCAGGUUGUAGAAGGGCCCAACAAGAUUGGGUUCAGCUUCGCGGGUGCCAUCGGCACGAGGAGCAGAAGGGCCAGGGUUGAAGUCUAGUCCCAAUGACUUCUUGUUCUGCUUCGACGAAUUCUGGGCAAAUUGGAAGUUGCACUUGAACAGAUUGUCAUCACAACACAAUAGCAAUGAUGAUGGGUCAGCAUCCGCAGGCUGUGGUCCACGGACCAUGAAGGCAUAGAAGCCUUGUUCAAUGGCUUCAUCUCUGGACCUGGGUUGAAGAUUUCUAUAUAGGAUGUCUCCCCAUGGUCGCUUGAUGGCAUUCUUCUCGGCAUAUUCCUUUGUCACAAACUUGUACUUGAACCACUGUUCUGCCCAAUAUCGUCGAAUCCAUUGGAUUUGUGUCUUGCGCUGAUUGUAAUCCUCUUCUGGAUCUGUCUUGUACAGCUCUGAGAGGUCAUCGUGUAGAUCUCUUGAUGUUUCACCUCGACGCUUUCUGCCACCCUUCCUUGUUGAUUUCUCUACAGCCAUGAACUUUAAAUUGAAUGGCUUCAAUACGUUCAAAGGCUUCAAAGGCUUUCGCUUGCUGGACAAACAGGAACUGGCUUCGGGAGAAUUUAUAUGAUGCUGUAAGAAUUCUGCAAAUGAAUGCAGACUAUGAGAACCAAGGGAUUAUCCCACGAACAUGUACCUGUGACAGCAUUAAGGUGCGAGGGAAGGGGAAGAGGUCAUAUGCAUUCUCAGAAGAUUUUGAAGAUAAAUCAGUUUAGAAGACAUUGACCUCAUCAUGCGAAGACAUUCACUCAUAGAUAAGGAGUUGGUUCCAGAUUUGUACGAAUCCACGGAUCAUUACAAGUGAGGAAUCUAACUACUUUGUGAAGCAUAAGUGAACAUACUAGGCAUAUUAUAAGAUGCAGUAUGAAAUAGAUCCAACUUGUGUGAACAGAAACUACUUGUGGUAGAAAGUGAAAAUUCUAUAGGAUCAAAGGGGCCGUAAAAAGUAAGUUUUAUUUACCACACAAAGAACUGCUAGACGGAGUGGAAGAGGAGGCCGAGCAGUUCGAUCGUCCGUGCCCUAACUUGGCGACGGAGGACACCUACAGCGACGGCGGAGAAGACGAUGUCCGCGGCCGGCGUGAAGACAACGUCAGAGAGGUCACGGCAGCUAAGCGCUUCGUCGCCAGCAUCGUCGAGGGCUAGGGGUGGCGCUAGGGUUUGAGCGAGAGUGGAAGAAAGGAUAAUGACUAUGGUGACGCGUGUAUUUAUAGGGACAGGGACGGCACAGUGUUAUUACACAGGUGCCCCUGGCGAUUCACAUCUGAAGAACACGUGGCCAUCAUGCAACAUAUCGGAGGUUGUUCCAUGUUCCCACGCACGCCUGGAUUGUCGGGUGGUCGUUCCUACUUCUCCGGGUUUCAUGUGAAGGAAUUAGCAUUGAAAACGGACUUAAUGUUUGUCUCUGUAUCUUCUGCUGACAAGGACGCAGAGAAGACAUUCGACAGUUUCAAGAGAAUGCAUAUGAUUUGGAGAGAUAGAGUUUGAGAUAGAAAGCAUAGAGAGGUUAGGGUCCGAUCACAUUCACUUAGUUAAAAAGACUCAACAAGAAGACAUAGCUAUAAGUGAAUGCUGUAGAGGACAGAACACUAGUAUAUUUAUAUAUAUAUAAUCAACAUAGUGAAGAUAAUCAUGAAGACAUGUUGAGAUUGAAGCCAAACCAAUUGUGAAGACAUAGCAAAUGCAACGCAUGGGUGAAACACUUCAAACAGAAGAAUUUGGUGGUGGCGUUACCCACCUUAUAGGAAGUAUUAGACCCAGACACGGCGCACAAUUAUCGUGGCGCUCCGAAGUCAAAUUCCACAUUAAUGUAUUCACACUUAGAAUGUAUGUCUCCAUUGAAUGAAGAUAUACUUUACUUCGUGUGUUGCACAUCUAAAUCAUCAAUAUGCAUAAGUGUUAGGAUGUGUGCCUGAUCAUAGGACAUUUGAGGAUUCCAAGAUAUUUAGCUCACAUCGUAACUUGCAAAAUCUCUUCUCAUCCAAGGGCUUGGUGAAGAUAUCUGCCAAUUGCUCUUCAGUGUUGACGUGUAUGAUAUCAAUAUCUUCCUUCACAACAUGAUCUCUGAGAAAGUGAUGACGAAUUUCAAUGUGCUUUGUCUUCGAGUGCUGAACUGGGUUGUUGGCAAUCUUGAUGGCGCUUUCGUUGUCGCAGUAGAGUGGCACUUGCUUCAGAUGAAUGCCAUAGUCUUUGAGUGUUUGCUUCAUCCACAGAAGCUGAGCGCAACAACAUCCAGCAGCAAUGUAUUCAGAUUCAGCAGUGGAGAGAGAUACACAGUUCUGCUUCUUUGAAGACCAACAUACAAGUGAUCGUCCCAGAAAAUGACAUGUGCCUGAUGUAGACUUGCGAUCCACCUUGUCACCAGCAUAAUCAGCAUCCGAGAAUCCAACCAGAUCAAACUCUGAGCCCUUUGGAUACCAUAAUCCUAGAGUUGGGGUGUAAGCCAAAUAUCGAAGAAGUCGCUUCACAGCUAAGUGAUGCGAUUCCUUUGGUGCCGCUUGGAAUCGAGCACACAUGCAAACACUAAGCAUAAUAUCUGGCCUAGAUGCACAUAGAUAAAGUAAAGAACCAAUCAUGGAGCGGUAUACCUUUUGAUCGAACUCUUUACCAUUGUCGUCGGGACCCAGAUGAUGUUUGGCUGGCAUUGGCGUCGUGAAGCCUUUGUAGUCUUGCAUACCAAACUUCUUUAGGCAAUCUUUGAGAUACUUCUCUUGAGAUAUAAAGAUGUCGUUGCAUUGCUGACUUAUUUGAAGACCAAGGAAGAACUUCAGUUCACCCAUCAUGGACAUCUGAUAUUGCUCUUGCAUCAUAUAUCCAAACUCUUCACUGUAUUUCUGAUUGGUGCAGCCGAAGAUAAUGUCAUCCACAUAUAUUUGGCACACAAACAGUUCACCAUCAUAUGUCUUCGUGAAGAGAGUGGGGUCGAGGGAACCAGAUUUGAAGCCUUUGCUCUUCAGGAAGUCUUUGAGUGUGUCAUACCAAGCCCGAGGGGCUUGUUUGAGGCCAUACAGUGCCUUGUUGAGCUUGUACACCAUGUCAGGAUGUUUUGGAUCUUCAAAGCCAGCCAGUUGUGCAACAUACACUUCUUCUUCAAUCUUGCCAUUAAGAAAAGCGCUCUUCACAUCCAUUUGAUAUAGAAGUAUGUUAUGAUGAUUUGCAUAGGCCAGCAGUAUGCGUAUGGCUUCAAGUCUAGCCACGGGAGCAAAUGUUUCAUCAAAGUCAAUCCCUUCAACUUGAGUGUAUCCUUGAGCAACAAGACGAGCUUUGUUUCUGACAACUUGACCAUGCUCAUCUUGCUUGUUGCGACAUAUCCAUUUGGUGCCUAUUAUAUUGUGCUUCCGAGGAUCAGGAUGCUUAACCAGUUCCCAUACAUUAUUCAUCUCAAACUGUUGAAGCUCUUCUUGCAUAGCUUGAAUCCAUUCAGGUUCCAUGAAGGCUUCUUCAACUUUCUUCGGUUCUGUUAUUGAGAUGAAUGCGAAGUGCCCACAGAAAUUUGCUAGCUGAGUUGCCCUUGAACGAGUGAGUGGACCGGGUGCAUUGAUGCUAUCAAUUAUUCUUUCAAUCUGCACUUCAUUGGCAACGCGAGGAUGUACAGGGUGAAGAAUUUGCUCUUGCUGACCAUUGUCGUUGUUAGAAGGAAUGUCUUCAGGCUGAGCAUUGUCUUCAUGUUGAUCAGGUGCUAAGAUGAUAAGUUCUUCUUCAGGAUGAGCUUCAGAAGGUAUAAUUUCUCCAGUUCCCAUUAGCUUGAUUGAUUCACUGGAUGGAACUUCAUCUAGCACAUUUGGCAGUUGCUCUCUUUGUGAACCAUUGGUCUCAUCGAAUCGCACAUCCACUGUUUCAACCACUUUGUAAUGAAAGAGAUUGAAGACUAUUUAGGAGUGUGAAUCCUUUCCAUAUCCAAGCAUAAAACCCUCAUGUGCUUUUGGUGCAAACUUUGAGGUGUGAUGUGGGUCCUUGAUCCAGCACCUUGAGCCAAAUACUCUGAAGUAACUAACAUUUGGCUUCUUGCCAGUAAGGAGCUCAUAAGAUGUCUUGUUUAGGAGCUUGUGAAGAUAAACACGAUUGAUUGUAUGGCAUGAAGUAUCAAUGGCUUCAGGCCAGAAUUUUCUUGGGGUCUUGUAUUCAUCAAGCAUCGUCCGAGCCAUCUCAAUAAGUGUUCUAUUCUUGCGUUCGACGAUGCCAUUCUGCUGUGGCGUGUACGGAGCUAAGAAUUCAUGUGUGAUGCCCAAAGUAUCAACAUAUGUAUCUAGGCCAGUGUUCUUGAAUUCAGUGCCAUUGUCACUUCUGAUGUGCUUUAUCUUGGCGCCAUAGUUGUUCAUUGCUCGAUUGGCGAAGCGUCUGAAGACAUCCUGCACUUCAGUCUUGUAAAGGAUUAUAUGCACCCAAGUAUAUCUUGAAUAAUCAUCAACAAUGACAAAGCCAUAGAGACAAGCAGUAGUAGUAAGAGUUGAGUAAUGAGUGGGACCGAAAAGAUCCAUGUGUAGCAGUUCGAAGGGUUGAGUCGUUGUCAUGAUUGUCUUCGAGGGAUGCUUGGCCCUCGUCAUCUUUCCUGCUUCACAGGCACUGCAUAAGUGAUCCUUCUUGAACUUGACGCCCUCGAUGCCUAUGACAUGCUUCUUCCUUGCAUGGGUGUGGAGGUUCCUCAUGCCAGCAUGCCCUAGCCUUCGAUGCCAGAGCCACCAUUCAGAAGCUUUUGCUAGAAGACAUACUGCAAGUUGUGGUCCUGCUGAGAAAUCUACCACGUACAAAUCAUCUUUCCGAUACCCUUCAAACACUAGAGACUUGUCAGAUUCCAUUAGUACAAGGCAACGAUAUUUUCAAACAUCACAAUCAUGUUUAAAUCACAAAGCAUUGAGACAGACAUUAAGUUGAAACCAAGAGAUUCAACAAGCAUGACUUUAUCCAUGUGUUGAUCCCUUGAGAUUGCAACUCUACCUAGACCCAAUACCUUGCUUUUACCAGUGUCAGCAAAUGUGAUGUGACUUUUGUCUGAUGGACAUAAAGUUGAGUCCAUGAGAAGGCUUCGCUUGCCAGUCAUGUGAUUUGUACACCCACUAUCAAUAAUCCAUUCUGAAGCAGCUGGUGUCAUACCCUAUAGUGCAGUUAGGGGGAUAGGCUUCACGAAGAGAAUUGUGAAGCAAAAACAUUUGACGAACCAGUGGAUUAUUAAAGCUUAGAUCGAGAUUAGGACUGAUAGGGCAAGUUGCAAGCGAUUCAGGAACAAAGUACAUAAUAAGAACAUUUGGGCAUUUGAUCUUGUGCCCUACAAGAUGUUUAAGGUCCCUAGCAAUAGUGUCAGACGAUUUUGGUUUUCGGCUGGAGACCUUUCCCUGCAAAAGAGAGUUAAGCUUUCUUAGCCACCCACAUCUUUAGGGGUGGCUUCGAAGCAAUGAGUCUAAGUGCAGCAUCUGAGAACUUUGGCUUUUGAGCCCUAGCAAAAAGUCUUGCUGGUGGACAAUAGUACUCAUAAGAAUAAGCGGAAUAGUUCUUGGUCUUAUGAACAUGGCGGUUUGAUGAACCGCGCUCAUAUUCAUAGGCCUGAGUAUGACUUCCCUGCAAAACAUUUGCGUUAGUGCGAUCCAGGUGAGUCCUCUGUCUGUAUGAAGCCCUUGGACCAUAUGAAGCCUGUGGUCUGGGGUUUGUCUUCUUCACCUAUGGUGUCAUGAUGACAUUCACAGGAAGAUUCUCCAAACACCUUUUCAGCACCCGGAUCUUCUUCAUAGGCGGUCCAUUCCUGCAGUUAGUACCAAUGUACCUGGCAAACACUUCACCAUUCUGAUUCUUAAACAGUUUAUAGUUAGCAUCAAUAACAGUGGGAUUAGCACAAGUGAAGCCAGAUAGGGUGGAUGGAUCCGCUGAAGGUUCCUUUGCAGCAACCCAUGUGGUUUUGGGGUACUCCUCAGGUUUCCAGUAAGAGCCAUCAGCAUUCAUUUUCCUUUCGAACCCGACACCCUCUUUCCUAGGGUUUCGGUUCAUGAUCUGCCUUUUGAGAACAUCACGUAGUGUCUGAUGCCCUUUGAGAAUUUUGUACAUCCCUGUUUCAAGCAGUAUCUUCAACCUAGCAUUCUCAUCAGCAAUAGUAGUUGUAUCCUCAGCAGAGGAGUUAGUUACCACAUCAACAGUUGAAGAUAUUGCAACAGUAGCAGCAGUAGAACAUUCAGCAACAGGAGUAGCGUUAUCACGCUCAAUGCAUUUAAGACAUGGUGGUUCAAAUCCUUCCUGAGCUGAACUGAUCUGUUCGGCGCGAAGUGACUCGUUUUCCUUUUGAAGAUCUUCAUGAGCCGCUCUCAAUUUCUCAAGAUUUUGCUUCCUUUGAAGAUAAUCAUAGGAAAGCCUUUCAUGAGUUGUUGAGAGCGUUUCAUGAUGACUUUCAAGUUCCUCAUACUUAACGUGAAGAUUUUUUAUGUCUUCAAUUAAGGACUGAGAUCGAGUCAUUUUAGCAUCUAACAGAUCAUCGCUUUUGUCUAACAGUUUUUGAAUGUGUUCCAUAGCUUUCUGUUGUUCAGUUGCAAUUUUAGCAAGUGUUUUGUAGCUGGGUUUGGAACCACAAUCAGAGUCAUCGUCACUAGAUGUUUGAUAGUGAGUAGUGCGUGUGUUUACCUUGGCACACGUGCCAUGAAGCAGUAGGAAGGAGUGGAGUAGUCCUUGUCAUUUGCAUCGGUGUCGGUGAUGAAGUCAUUGUCUUCAGUGUUGAAGAUGGACUUGGCAACGUAUGCUGUAGCCAGACUUGCAACGCCAGAAUCGGACUCCUCCUCAGACUCCACCUCCGCCUCCUCAGAAGCGGAAUCCUCCUCAGAGUCCAUUUCCUUGCCAACAAACGCACGUGCCUUGCCAGAUGAGCGCUUCUUGUGUGAUGAAGACUUGGAGGAAGACUUGAAUGAAGAUUUUGAUUAUUUCUUCUUCUUCUUCUUCUUGUCGUUAGAGUCAUACUCCUUGCUCUUCUUCUUCUUGUUGUUCUCAUUGUCCCACUGUGGACACUCAGAGAUGUAGUGACCAGGUUUCUUGCACUUGUGACAUGUUCUCUUCUUGUAGUCAUGAGUAGAAGCUUCAUCAUUCCUUGAGCUUGAUCGUGAAGACUUUCUGAGGCCUUUCUUCUUGGUGAAUUUUUGGAACUUCUUCACAAGCAUAGCAAGCUCCCUUCCAAUGUCUUCAGGAUCAUCAGAAUUGCUGUCAGAUUCUUCUUCAGAUGAGGAGACAGCCUUUGCCUUCAAGGCACGAGUUCGCCCAUAGUUGGGACCGUAGAUGUCUCUUUUCUCAGAAAGCUGAAACUCGUGUGUGUUGAGCCUCUCAAGUAUGUCAGACGGAUCAAGUGUCUUGAAAUCAGGACGUUCUUGAAUCAUCAGGGCUAGGAUGUCAAACGAACUGUCAAGUGAUCUCAGGAGUGUCUUGACGACUUCAUGCUUGGUGAUCUCAGUAGCGCCGAGGGCUUGAAGCUCAUUUGUGAUGUCAGUGAGUCGAUCAAACGUGAGCUGGACAUUCUCAUUGUCAUUUCUCUUGAAGCAGUUGAAGAGGUUGCGAAGGACACUGAUUCUCUAAUCUCUCUAGGUUGAGACGCCUUCAUUGACCUUGGAUAGCCAGUCCCAGACUAGCUUAGAUGUUUCCAAAGCACUCACGCGGCCAUACUGUCCUUUGGUCAGAUGAACACAGAUGAUAUUCUUGGCUGUAGAGUCCAGUUGAACGAACUUCUUGACAUCAGCGGUAGUGAACCCUUCUCCAGCCUUGGGAACGUCGUUCUUGACGACAUACCAUAGGUCGACAUCAAUGGCUUCAACAUGCAUGCGCAUCUUAUUCUUCCAGUAGGGAUAUUCAGUUCCACCGAAGACGGGGCACGUAGUGGAGACUUUAAUUAUCCCUGCAGUCGACAUAGCUAAAACUCCACGUGGUUAAACCGAAUCACACAGAACAAGGGAGUACCUUGCUCUGAUACCAAUUGAAAGUGCUAGUGAUCGACUAGAGGGGGGUGAAUAGGCGAUUUUUAGGGAAGUCUUCAAAACAUGUAAGUAUCGAAGACAAACGAUAGAUAUGAACCUAUUACCAUGCAGCAGAAGGUAAACUACACUAGGCAAACCAUAGUCACGUAUUCAAUGAAGUGAAAGCACAAUGACAAAUAGCAGCUAGGCAGUAAGGAUCAGGUAGGAAGAUAUUGAGAAGCCAAUCAGUACACGUAGUCACUUAGUGAAGUCGAAUGGUGAUUCUAUCGUACAAUGACUUCACAAGAACCAACAGUAAAUAAAGGGAAGGGAAUGAUGAAACCAGUGACUCGUUGAAGACAAUGAUUUGUUGGACCAGUUCCAGUUGCUGUGACAACUGUACGUCUGGUUAGGGAGGCUGAGAUUCAACUCAGAAGACCUCAUCUUCACCUUAUUCCCCUUGAGCUAAGGACACCCAGUCCUCGCCCAAUCACUCUGGUAAGUCUUCAAGGUAGACUUCCAAACCUUCACAGACUUUGUUCACUGGCGAUCCACAAUGACUAUUGGAUGCUCAGAACGCGACGCCUAACCGGCUGGAGGAUUCACAGUCCUCAAGUGUAAUAAGUCUUCAGAUCACACAGACAAGAAGACUUAAGUGAUGCCUAAAACUCUUUGGCUCUGGGUGGUUAGGGCUUUAUCCUCUCAAGGAAUUCUCUCUCAAAGGCUUCGAGGUGGGUUGCUCUCAAACGACAACAGCCGUACUUUAACUCUGAGCAGCCAACCGUUUAUGGUUGUAGGGGUGGGCUAUUUAUAGCCACUAGGCAACCCGACCUGAUUUGUCCGAAAUGACCCUAGGUCACUAAGGAACUGACACGUGUUCCAACAGUCAGAUUUCAAACACACACGUCAACUUUACUUGGGCAACAAGCAAAGCUGACUUGUCCAACUCUGAACAAGAUUCUCUCUCAUAGUCUUCACUCAAAGACAUAGGAUUUUGGUUAAGCAUCACUUCAGUCAUUCUGACUGGUUCUCUUGGACCCCACUUAACAGUACGGUGGUUCCUAUGACUCAACAAAGAAGAAAAAGAACUACGAAAGAUCUAAGUCUUCGUGCUCCAUGGUCUUCAUGCGAUGUCUUCUCUUGUCAUAGUCUUCAAUGUGAAUGUCUUCACAUACCACCAUUGACUUCAAUGUCUUCAUACAUUUUUAGGGGUCAUCUCUGGUAGGAAAACCGAAUCAAUGAGGGACUUCUACCUGUGUUAUCCUGCAAUUCUCACAAACACAUUAGUCCCUCAACUAGGUUUGUCGUCAAUACUCCAAAACCAACUAGGGGUGGCACUAGAUGUAUUUACAAUGCUACCUAGCAUAAUUUUCAAUAUAAUUUUCUUUAUUAUGGCAUGAAUGUUCAGAUUCGAAAAAUUCAAGACAAAAGUUUAAUAUUGACAUAAAAAUAAUAAUACUUCAAGCAUACUAACAAAGCAAUCAUGUCUUCUGAAAAUAACAUGGCCAAAGAAAGUUAUCCCUACAAAAUCAUAUAGUCUGGCUAUGCUCUAUCUUCACCACAGAAAGUAUUUAAAUCAUGCACAACCCCGAUGACAAGCCAAGCAAUUGUUUCAUACUUUUGGUGUUCUCAAACUUUUUCAAUCUUCACGCAAUAUAUGAGCGUGAGCCAUGGACAUAACACUAUAUGUGGAAUAGAAUGGUGGUUGUGGAGAAGACAAAAGGAGAAGAUAGUCUUACAUCAACUAGGCGUAUCAACGGGCUAUGGAGAUGCCCAUCAAUAGAUAUCAAUGCGAGUGAGUAGGAAUUGCCAUGUAACAGAUACACUAGAGCUAUAAGUGUAUGAAAGCUCAAAAAGAAACUAAGUGGGUGUGCAUCCAACUUGCUUGCUCACGAAGACCUAGGGCAUUUUGAGGAAGCCCAUCAUUGGAAUAUACAAGCCAAGUUCUAUAAUGUAAUUUUCCAAGUAGUAUAUGAAAGUGACAACAUAGGAGACUCUCUAUCAUGAAGAUCAUAGUGCUACUUUGAAGCACAAGUGUGGUAAAAGGAUAGUAGCAUUGUCCCUUCUCUCUUUUUCUCUCAUUUCUUUUUUUCUCUUCUUUUUUUGGGCCUUCUCUUGUUUCUUUUAUAUUUUUUUCUUUUUCGUCCGGAGUCUCAUCCCGACUUGUGGAGAAAUCAUAGUCUCCAUCAUCCUUUCCUCACUUGGGACAAUGCUCUAAUAAUGAUGAUCAUCACACUUUUAUUUACUUACAACUCAAAAAUUACAACUCGAUACUAGAACAACAUAUGACUCUAUGUGAAUGCAUCCAGCAGUGUACCGCAAUGAAUCAAGAGUGACAUGUAUGAAAGAAUUAUGAACGGUGGCUUUUCCAGAAAUACGAUGUCAACUACAUGAUCAUGCAAAGUAAUAUGACAAUGAUGAAGCGUGUCAUAAUAAACGGAACGGUGGUAAGUUGCAUGGCAAUAUAUUUCGGAAUGGCUAUGGAAAUGCCAUAAUAGGUAGGUAUGGUGGCUGUUUUGAGGAAGGUAUAAUGUGGGUUUAUGGUACCGGCGAAAGUUGCGCGGUACUAGAGAGCCUAGCAAUGGUGGAAGGGUGAGAGUGCGUAUAAUCCAUGGACUCAACAUUAGUCAUAAAGAACUCACAUAUUUAUUGCAAAAAUCUAUUAGUUAUCGAAACAAAGUACUACACACAUGCUCCUAGGGGGAUAGAUUGGUAGGAAAAGACCAUCGCUCGUCCCCGACCGCCACUCAUAAGGAAGACAAUCAAUAAAUAAAUCAUGCUCCGACUUCAUCACAUAACGGUUCACCAUACAUGCAUGCUACGGGAAUCACAAACUUUUAACACAAGUAUUUCUCAAAUUCACAACUACUCAUCUAGCAUGACUCUAAUAUCACCAUCUUUAUAUCUCAAAACAAUCAUCAAGUAUCAAACUUCUCAUAGUAUUCAAUGCACUUUUAUGAUAGUUUUUAUUAUACCCAUCUUGGAUGCCUAUCAUAUUAGGACUAAUUUUAUAGCCAAAGAAAAUUACCAUGCUGUUCUGUAAGACUCCCAACAUAAUAUAAGUGAAGCAUGAGAGAUCAAUAAUUUCUAUAAAAUAAAACCACCACCGUGCUCUAAAAAGAUAUAAGUGAAGCACUAGAGCAAAAUUAUCUAGCUCAAAAGAUAUAAGUGAAGCACAUAGAGUAUUCUAAUAAAUUCUCAUUCAUGUGUGUCUCUCCCAAAAGGUGUGUAUAUCAAGGAUGAUUGUGGUAAACUAAAAAUCAAAGACUCAAAUCGUAGAAGACGCUCCAAGCAAAACACAUAUCAUGUGGUGAAUAAAAAUAUAGCCUCAAGUAAAGUUACCGAUAGACGAAGACGAAAGAGGGGAUGACUUCCGGGGCAUCCCCAAGCUUAGGCUUUUGGUUAUACUUGAAUUUUCCCUUGGGGUGCCAUGGGCAUCCCAAUCUUAGGCUAUUCCCACUCCUUAUUCCAAAAUCCAUCUAAUCUUUACCCAAAACUUGAAAACUUCACAACACAAAACUUCAACAGAAAAUCUCAUGAGCUCUGUUAGUAUAAGAAAACAAACCACCACUUCAAGGUACUGUAAUGAACUCAUUAUUUAUUUAUAUUGGUGUUAAACCUACUGUAUUUCAACUUCUCCAUGGUUCAUACCCCCGAUACUAGCCAUAGAUUCAUCAAAAUAAGCAAACAACACACGAAAAACAGAAUCUGUCAAUAACAGAACAAUCUGUAUUAAUCUGUAGGUUUCGAAUACUUGUCUAACCCCAAAAAUUCGGAAAUAAAUUUGUUGACGUGAUAAAUUUGUCUAUUAAUCAUAUUCAAAAAUAACCAACCUAAUUUCGCUCUCCAUUAAAAAAUGGCAGGAAAUCUCGUGAGCGCUAAAGUUUCUGUUUUUUACAGCAAGAUUGCAAAGACUUCCCCCAAGUCUUCCUAAAGGUUCUACUUGGAAAAAACACUAAUUAAAAGCAUAAAACCACAUAUAAACAUAAUCUAGAUGAAUUAUUUAUUACUAAACAGAAACAAAAAAACAAAAAUAAAAUUGGGUUGCCUCGCAACAAGUGUUAUCGUUUAACGACCCUAGCUAGGCAUAAAAACAAGAAUAGAUCUAGGUAUUGUCAUCUUUGGUAUGCAAUCCAUAGGUGGCUCUCAUAAUAGAUUCAUAAGGUAAUUUAAUUUUCUUUCUAGGAAAGUAUUCCAUGCCUUUCCUUAAUGGAAAUUGGAAUCUAAUAUUCCCUUCUUUCAUAUCGAUAAUUGCACCAAUCGUUCUAAGGAAAGGUCUACCAAAAAUAAUAGGACAUGUAGGAUUGCAAUCUAUAUCAAGAACAAUGAAAUCUAUGGGCACAUAAUUCCUAUUUGCAACAAUAAGAACAUCAUUAAUCCUUCACAUAGGUUUCUUAUUAGUGGAAUCCGCAAGAUGCAAAUUUAAAGAACAAUCAUCAAAUUCACGGAAACCUAACACAUCACACAAAGUUUUUGGAAUCUUGGAAACACUAGCACCCAAAUCACAUAAAGCAAAGCAUUCAUGAUCUUUAAUCUUAAUUUUAAUAGUAGGUUCCCACUCAUCAUAAAGUUUUCUAGGAAUAGAAACUUAUAAUUCAAGCUUUUCUUCAUAAGAUUGCAUUAAAGCAUCAAUGAUAUGUUUGGUAAAAGCUUUAUUUUGACUAUAAGCAUGAGGAGAAUUUAACACGGAUUGCAACAAGGAAAUAGAAUCUAUCAAAGAGCAAUUAUCAUAAUUAAACUCCUUGAAAUCCAAAAUAGUGGGUUCAUUGAUAUGUAAAGUUUUGACCUCUUUAAUCUCACUUUUACCAAUUUUUGCAUCAAGAUCUAAAAACUCUGAAUCAUUGGGAUGCCUUUUAACUAAAGUUGACUCAUCUCCAGUCCCAUCAUUAUAAAGAUUCAUAUUGCAAAACAAAGAUUUAAUAGGGGACACAUCAAUCACUUUUAGAUCUCCAUCCUUAUUAUCAUCUAGUUCUUCCGGUUUGGCGGCCAUCUUAUUAACUAAGGUGGCCUGCUUAUCCGAAAUUUGGGGUAUUAAGUUUUCAAGAUGAGCGAACUGAGAUUUCAAACCAUAAAAUUCUUUAGACAUAUCAUCGAGCACUUUAUUCAUGUACCCCAUUAAACUUUUUUGUUCUUUAAGCUCGUUUCUGAAGAAAUUAUUAUGCUCAAACUUCAAGGACAUAAAAUUUCUAAUGUUGUUUUCGAGUUCUUCGAACCUUCUUAGGUGAGAAUCAACACUUUUUGGUAAAGCCAUCACGGCAAACAAUCCAACACACAAGCAAGCAAGAGGCAAGCAAAAAUAUACGAACGGAAAAGAGGCGGCAGAAAAGAGGGCGAAUAAAACAGCAAGGGUGAAGUGGGUAGAGGAAAACGAGAGGCAAAUGGCAAAUACUAUAAUGCAAGGGAUAAGAGUUUGUGAUGGGUACUUGGUAUGUCUUGACUUGAUGCAACCUCCCCGGCAACGGCGCCAGAAAUCCUUCUUGCUACCUCUUGAACUUGCGUUGGUUUUCCCUUGAAGAGGAAAGGGUAAUGUAGCACAAUAGCGUAAGUAUUUCCCUCAUUUUUUGAGAACCAAGGUAUCAAUCCAGUAGGAGGUAACACACAAGUCACCUAGUACUUGCACAAACAAACAAGAUCCUCGCAACCAACACGAUAAAAGGGUUGUCAAUCCCUUCACGGUCACUUAUGAAAGUGAGAUCUGAUAAAGAUAAUAAGAUAAAUAUUUUUGGUAUUUUUACGAUAUAGAUUGGAAAAUAAAGAUUGCAAAAUGAACGGUAAUAGAAAUAUCAAAUUGAUAUGGAAAUAAUAUGAUGGAAGAUAGACCCGGGGGCCAUAGGUUUCACUAGUGGCUUCUCUCAACAUAGCAAAUUCUAUGGUGGGUGAACAAAUUACUGUCGAGCAAUUGAUAGAAAAGCGAAUACUUAUGAGAAUAUUUAGGCAUGAUCAUGUAUAUAGGCAUCACUUCCGCGACAAGUAGAUCGAAACAAUUCUGCAUCUACUACUAUUACUCCACACAUCGACCGCUAUCCAGCAUGCAUCUAGAGUAACGCAUUAGGCAAGAUGACAUGAUGUAGAGGGAUAAACUCAAGCAAUAUGAUAUAAACCCCAUCUUUUUAUCCUCGAUGGCAAUAAUACAAUACGUGCCUUGCUGCCCCUGCUAUCACUGGGAAAGGACACCACAAGAUUGAGCCCAAAGCUAAGCACUUCUCCCAUUGCAAGAACGAUCAAUCUAGUAGGCCAAACCAAACUGAUAAUUCGAAGAGACUUGCAAAGAUAUUUAAAUCAUGCAUAAAAGAUUUCAUAGAAGAAUCAAAAUAUUGUUCCUAGAUAAUCUUGAUCAUAAACCCAUGAUAUUUCUCCAAUGUAUCUACUUUUCGAAACAUUUUUGCCCUUGUUUUGGACUCUAACUUGCAUGAUUUGAAUGGAACUAACCCGGACUAACACUGUUUUCAGCAGAAUUGCCAUGGUGUUAUUUUUGUGGAGAAAUAAAAGUUCUCGGAAUGACCUGAAAAUCAACGGAGAUUAUUUUUGGAAUAUAUAAAAAAUACUGGCGAAAGAAUCAAGGCCAGGGAGCCCACACCCUGUCCACGAGGGUGGGGGGCGUGUCUACCCCCCUGGGCGCGCCUCCCUACCUCGUGGGCCCCCUGGCGCUCCACCGACCUCAACUCCAACUCCAUAUAUUCACUUUCAAGGAUAAAAAAAUCAGGGAGAAGGAUUCAUUGCGUUUUACGAUACGGAGCCGCCGCCAAGCCCUAAACUUUCUCGGGAGGGCUGAUCUGGAGUCCGUUCGGGGCUCCGGAGAGGGGAAUCCGUCGCCAUCGUCAUCAUCAACCUUCCUCCAUCACCAAUUUCAUGAUGCUCACCGCCGUGCAUGAGUAAUUCCAUCGUAGGCUUGUUGGACGGUGAUGGGUUGGAUGAGAUUUAUCAUGUAAUCGAGUUAGUUUUGUUAGGGUUUAUCCCUAGUAUCCACUAUGUUCUGAUAUUGAUGUUGCUAUGACUUUGCUAUGCUUAAUGCUUGUCACUAGGGCCCGAGUGCCAUGAUUUCAGAUCUGAACCUAUUAUGUUUUAUGAAUAUAUGUGAGUUCUUGAUCUUAUCUUGCAAGUCUAUAGUCACCUAUUAUGUGUUAUGAUCCGUUAACCCCGAAGUGAAAAUAAUCGGGAUACUUACCGGUGAUGACCGUAGUUUGAGGAGUUCAUGUAUUCACCAUGUGUUAAUGCUUUGGUCCGGUACUCUAUUAAAAGGUGGCCUUAAUGUCCCUUAGUUUCCAAUAGGACCCCGCUGUCACGGGAGGGUAGGACAAAAGAUGUCAUGGAAGUUCUUUUUUCAUAAGCACGUAUGACUAUACUCGUAAUACAUGCCUACAUUACAUUGAUGAACUGGAGCUAAUUCUGUGUCACCCUAUGUUAUAACUAUUGCAUGAUCGAUCGCAUCCGACAUAAUUCUCCAUCACCGAUCCAAUGCCUACGAGCUUUUCAUAUGUUGUUCUUCGUUUAUUUACUUUUCCGUUGCUACUGUUACAAUCACUAUAAAACCAAAAAUAUUACUUUUUCUACCUUUACCACUACUAUCAUAUUACUUUGCUACUAAACACUUUGCUGCAGAUAUUAAGUUUCCAGGUGUGGUUGAAUUGACAACUCAGCUACUAAUACUUGAGAAUAUUCUUUGGCUCCCCUUGUGUCGAAUAAAUAAAUUUGGGUUGAAUACUCUACCCUCGAAAGCUGUUGCGAUCCCCUAUACUUGUGGGUUAUCAAGACUAAUUUCUGGCGCCAUUGCCAGGGAGCAUAGCUCUAUUCUUUGAGUCACUUGGGAUUUAUAUCUGCUUAUCACUAUGAAGAACUUGAAAGAUCAAAGAACCAAGAUUUUUCCCUCAACUACGACGGGAAGUAAGGAACUGCCAUCUAGCUCUGCACUUGAUUCACCUUUUGUUUUGAGUAAACUUGCGACACCUACAACUGCUAUUCAUUCUAAUAUGUCACAUGUUAUUGAUGAUACCACUUCUGCUUUGGAUGAUACUUAUGAUGAAACUACUUCUAUGCUUGAUACUACUGUGCCACUAGGUGAAUUUCUUGAUGAACAACUUGCUAGGGUUAGAGAGAAUGAAAUUAUUGAAACUGAUAAUAUUGAUGAAAGUGAUGAUGAAGAUUCUCCCCCUAGAUAUGAAUUGCCUGUUGUUCCCGAGGGUUAUGUUAUGGAUGAAGAAACUGCUAGAGACUUCUUAGCUUGCAAUGAUAUAUCUGAUCUUAAGAAAUUAUUAGCGAAGCUUAAAGAAAAGUCUUUGAAUGCUAGAAUGAAAUAUGACCCUGCUUUUGCUACUUCACCUAUCUUUAUUACUAAUAAGGAUUAUGAUUUCUCUCUCGAUCCUGAGUUAAUUACUUUGGUUGAAUCUGGUCCUUUUUAUGGCUAUGAAUCUAAAACUGUUGUGGCACAUCUUACUAAAUUAAAUGAUAUAGCCACACUGUUUACUCAUGAUGAGAAAACUCGCUAUUACUUUAUCUUUAAGUUGUUUCCGUUCUCAUUAAAGGGUGGUGAUAAAACAUGGUUUAAUUUUCUUGAUCCUGGUUGUGUGCGUAGUCCCCAGGAUAUGAUUUAUUACUUCUCUUCCAAAUAUUUCCCCGCUCAUAAGAAACAAGCUGCUUUAAGGGAAAUAUAUAAUUUUUGCAAAUUGAAGAAGAGAGUCUCCCACAAGCUUGGGGAGGCUUCUCCGAUUACUUAAUGCUUUGCCUGAUCAUCCUCUCAAGAAAAAUGAAAUACUUGAUAUCUUUUAUAAUGGACUAACCGAUGCUUCUAGAGAUUACCUGGAUAGUUGUGCUGGUUGUAUUUUCAGGGAAAUAACUAUUGAUCAAGCUAAAUUGCUAUUGAAUAAUGUGUUGACUAAUGAAAAUAAUUGGACACUUCCUGAACCAACUCCUAAGCUAACUCCAAAGAAAAGGGGUAUUCUAUUUCUCAGUCCUGAAGAUAUGCAAGAGGGAAAGAAAUCUAUGAAAGAAAAAGGUAUCAAAGCUGAAGAUGUUAAGAAUUUACCACCUAUUGAAGAAAUACAUGGUCUUUAUAACCCGACACAGGUAGUAAAGGUAAAUUCUAUCUGUAGAUUUGAUAAAUGUGAAAUUCCAUUUACUAAGUUUGCUAGCCAAUGCUUGGAUGAGUUUGAUGACUUUGUGGUCAAACAAGAAAAUUUCAAUGCUUAUGUUGUUAGACAAUUGAAACACAAUGCUGAUAUGCUUGAACACUUGAGUGAUUAUAUGUCUAGAGUUAAAGGUGAACUUAAACUUAUUAGUAAACAUGCUUCUAUGGUUACCACUCAAGUAGAACAAGUACUUAAAGCUUAGAAUGAUUUGAUCAAUUAAUUAAAUAAUAAGAAGAAUGAUAAUGUUGUUAGAGUUAUGACUAGAGGUGGUAAAAUGACUCAGGAACCUUUGUAUCCUGAGGGCCAUCCUAAGAGAAUUGAGCAAGAUUCUCAGAGAACUAAUGUUGAUGCACCUAGUCCUUCUAAGAGGAAGAAAAAGAAAAAUGAUAGGACUUUGCAUGCUUCUAGUGAACCUGUUGUUGACACACCUGAGAAUCCCAAUGAUAUUUCUAUUUUUGAUGCUGAAAGACAAUCUGGUAAUGAACAUGAACCUAGUGAUAAUGUUAAUGAUGAUGUUCAUGGUGAACCUAGCAAUGAUAAUGAUGUAGAGAUUGAACCUGCUGUUGAUCUUGAUAACCCACAAUCAAAGAAUCAACGUUAUGACAAGAGAGACUUUGUUGCUAGGAAGCACGAUAAAGAAAGAGAACCAUGGGUUCAGAAACCCAUGCCUUUUCCUCCUAAACCAUCCAUGAAAAAGGAUGAUGAGGACUUUGAGCGCUUUGCUGAAAUGAUUAGACCUAUCUUUUUGCGUAUGUGUUUGACUGAUAUGCUUAAAAUGAACCCUUAUGCUAAGUAUAUGAAGGAAAUUAUUACUAAUAAGAGAAAGAUACCAAAAGCUAAAAUUUCCACCAUGCUUGCUAAUUAUACUUUUAAGGGUGGAAUACCAAAGAAACUUGGAGAUCCAGGAGAAAUAUGAUAUUCUUAUUGUUGGGGAUGUGCAUAUCCCCAUUGAGGUAACCUAGUGUUAUUCAAAAAUUCUUCGGUUUCAUGUUAUUCAAAAUGAGUUUGUUAACAAGACCUGAUCAACUUUGUUAGUAGAUUCCUUUUGAUGAGCAUGAGAUGGAUGAAGUUAGAAAACACAACUCUCUGUACCCUAUUUUUACUUUCUGUUAUUUAUAUUAAAUAAAGCAAAAAUAGUAUUUUCUGUCUGUUUUCUGAAUUAUCCAUGCAAUAAAAAAUACCCCGAAAAUAAAAGUUCUCCAAAUGCUCCGAAAUUUAUAUAUAUGAUUUUUUUAGAAUAUUUGAAAAUAUCAGGCACUGAGAACACAACAGGGGGAGCGGCCACGUGCCCACGAGGGUGAAGGGCGCGCCCCCUACCUCUUGGAUCCCACGUGGGUCCCCUCCACUUAUUCUAGCCACCACACACUCCUUCCUCCCAAAACAAAUCACUAGCCAGCUCAAACCCGAGUUCUUGCUAAUCUUGCUGCCAUUUUUCUAUCUCCUUGCUCAAAGCUCCAUUCACAAAACUGCUUUGUGGGAUUGUUCUUCGGUAUGUGACUCCUCCAAUGGUCCAAUUAGUUUUUGUUCUAGUGCCUUAUUCAUUGCAAAUUUUUGCUGCUUAGAUGACCCUAUUCUUGAGCUUGCAUGUCAAAUUUAUGUGGUCAAAAGUAAUUUUAAUGCAUGAUAUAGCCUCUAGACACUUGUACGAGUAGUUGCUAUCAAUUUUGUUGAGUUUGGUUCACUUUUAUUUUUGAGUUAGUAAAACUUUCAGAAAUUUUUCAGAGGAAGAAAUAUGUUUAGGAAAAUGUACCAAGGCGGUUCCUCAAGGAAGCAAUGACCCAAGCACGCAAUACACGAGCCGGACAAUGAACUACCAAGAGAUGCUCAAGUGCGGCCUUGUGAAUGGCCGUCAGAGGACUUCAUGGUUCGAGCAGGAAUCGAUGAGGAAUUUGAAGCAUAUGUGUGUAACGCCGAUCUUGAGAGCUUUGUGGCAAAUAAGUGCCGGCAGUACCUCUAUUUCACUGAUUCAUUUGUGAGAAGUUUUAAAUUUACAUCAUCACGCAAUGCUCAAACUAUCCUAUUUGAUCUUUAUUACAAAUCUUAUACCAUGGACUUAGAAGAUUUUAAUACUGCUUGUAAACUCCCAUAGUGGGGUAAUGUUAGUGAACCUCGCAAAUCUGAAUAUAAAGACUUUCUUGCUAGUAUAACUGUGGGGGAAUCUAGGGAAAUCACGCAAGCUACCAUAGGGAGCAUUCACUUUCCUGUGAUACAUUAUUUUGCUCUCUUCAUAGGUAGAUGCAUAAAUGGUAAGGAUGAGGCAUGUCACAUGUGUGUUCCUGAUCUUAGUGUUCUCAAGAGUGCGAUAUUAGGAGAUAGACAAUAUAACUUGGGGGCCAUUGUUGCAAGUAGGUUGCAUAAUAAUAGUAUUGAUGGAGAUUUCUUUGGUGGAAUUUAUGCAACCCGUUUAGCUGAUUUUCUUGAGAUACCCAUACGUGGAGAUGAUAUUGAGUUGCCUCCUGCUUAUUUAGAUUAUAAUGCCAUGGUUCGUCAUCAGUUUGUUGAGAGGAACAAUCAGUUCCUCCAGUACCGACUAAUAUUCAACAAACAACGCACCUAUCACGUCGCUCUCCCUGCUCCUGCUUUCUUUGACUUUCACGCAAAAGGGAGAUAUGUUAUAACCAGGGAGGAGGCGACCGAGUACGAGAGGAGGGCGGAGGCAUCUCGCCUCCAAGCUAUAGCUCAUUAGGCAAUUGCCACUGCAUCUCAGUACGACCCCAACUACAACUUUGAUCCAUGGGCAUAGACCAACUUAGGCCAAAAGCCUAAGCUUGGGGGAGUACGUAUUUCUCACCGACAUUACAUUCAUGUUCACACACUCAUGCCACUUGUCAGUGCUCAUACUUUUUCAUUGUAUCAUCCAUGGUAGUUUAUUUUCCUUUUAAGCUUUCUUCUUGUGUGUUUAAAAAACUUAAGAAAAAACAAAAAAAAUAGUUGUAGCUUGUAGCUUUUACUUCCCAUGCUUGUAGUAGUAACUAAAAAGAAAACCCAAAAAGAUUUCUCGUUCUUAUUUUGCUUGUUGGGAGCUUUCAUGUGUAAAUAAUUUUAUUUCUUUUCUUUCCUUUGGGGGUCGAGAGGAGAAGACCAUGACAAAAAUGUUGAGUAGCUCUCAUAUGCAUUAUCGUUGAUCUAACAAAGAGCCCAUAUUACCUUGUCUUCUCUCUUGAAUUGAAUGCUUGCAGAUUCCAGCUUAGUCUAAUGCACGUGCACGAUUAUUAUUAUCCACACCGUUCGCUUGUGCAAGUGAAAGGAAAUAAUGAUGAUUAUAUGAUGAACUGAUUGAGAUGAGAAAAGCUGGUAUGAACUCGACCUCUCUUGUUUUUGUAAAUAUGAUUAGUUCAUCGUUCCUGAUUCAGCCUAUUAUGAAAGAAACAUGUUUGCAAUGACAAUUAGAGAUUAUAGUUGCUUAUGCCAUGCUUAAUUAUCUAGGAGUUUAUAAUGGUUUACCUUGUGCGCCAACAUGCUAUUAAAAUGGUUGUGAUGUGGUAUGAUGGGGUGGUAUCCUCCUUUGAACGAUUCGAGUGGCUUGACUUGGCACAUGUUCACGCAUGUAGUUGAAACAAAAUCAACAUAGCCUCUACGAUAUUUAUGUUCAUGGUGCUUUAUAUCCUACUCAUGCUUGCAUUCGGUGUUGAUUAAUUUUAAUGCAUGGUCAUGACUGUUGUCGCUCUCUAGCUGGUCGCUUCCCAGUCUUUUUCUAGCAUUCACUUGUACUAAGAGGGAAUACUGGUUGUGCAUCCAAUUCCUUAAACCCCAAAGUUAUUCCAUAUGAGUCCACCAUACCUAACUAUAUACGGUAUCUACCUACCGUUCCAAGUAAAUUUGUAUGUGCCAAACUCUAAACCUUCAAAUAAACAUUCUGUUUUGUAUGCUCGAAUAGCUCAAGUAUCAACUAGGGUUGUCUAUAUCUUCCAUUCUAGGCGGGUUAUUCUCAAGAGGAGUGGACUCUGCUCCUCAUUCACGAGAAAAUGGCUGGUCAUCGGGAUGCCCAGUCCCAUGCUCAAAUCAAAUCAAAAUAAUUGCAAACAAAACUCCCCUAGGAUUGUUUUUAGUUGCAGGCACCCGUUGUUUUGGGCAAGCCAUGGAUUGAUGCUUGUUGGUGGUGGGGGAUGAUACGUCUCCAACGUAUCUAUAAUUUUUGAUUGAUCCAUGCUAUAUUAUCUACUGUUUUUGGACAUUAUUGGGCUUUAUUAUCCACUUUUAUAUUAUUUUUGGGACUAACCUAUUAACCGGAGGCCCAGCCCAGAAUUGUUGUUUUUUGCCUGUUUUAGGGUUUCAAAGAAAAGGAAUAUCAAACGGAGUCCAAACGGAAUGAAACCUUCGGGAACGUGAUUUUCUCAACGAACAAGACCCAGGAGACUUGGACCCUACGUCAAGACACAAAAGAGGAGGCCACGAGGUAGGGGGGCGUGCCUAUCCCCCCAGGCGCGCCCUCCACCCUCGUGGGCCCCUAUUGCUCCAUCGACGUACUCCUUCCUCCUAUAUAUACCUACGUUACCCCAAAUGAUCAGACAUGGAGCCAAAACCCUAAUUCCACCGCCGCAACUUCCUAUAUCCACGAGAUCCCAUCUUGGGGCCUGUUCCGGAGCUCCGCCAGAGGGGGCAUCGAUCACCGAGGGCUUCUACAUCAACACCAUAGCCCCUCCGAUGAAGUGUGAGUAGUUUACCUUAGACCUACGGGUCCAUAGUUAUUAGCUAGAUGGCUUCUUCUCUCUUUUUGGAUCUCAAUACAAUGUUCUCCCCCUCUCUUGUGGAGAACUAUUUGAUGUAAUCUUCUUUUUGCGGUGUGUUUGUUGAGACCGAUGAAUUGUGGGUUUAUGAUCAAUUCUAUCUAUGAACAAUAUUUGAAUCUUCUCUGAAUUCUUUUAUGUAUGAUUGGUUAUCUUUGCAAGUCUCUUCGAAUUAUCAGUUUGGUUUGGCCUACUAGAUUGAUCUUUCUUGCAAUGGGAGAAGUGCUUAGCUUUGGGUUCAAUCUUGCGGUGUCCUUUCCCAGUGACAGUAAGGGCAGCAAGGCACGUAUUGUAUUGUUGCCAUCGAGGAUAACAAGAUGGGGUUUUCAUCAUAUUGCAUGAGUCUAUCCCUCUACAUCAUGUCAUCUUGCUUAAGGCGUUACUCUGUUUUUGACUUAAUACUCUAGAUGCAUGCUGGAUAGCAGUCGAUGACUGGAGUAAUAGUAGUAGAUGCAGGCAGGAGUCGGUCUACUUGUCUCGGACGUGAUGCCUAUAUACAUGAUCAUACCUAGAUAUUCUCAUAACUAUGCUCAAUUCUGUCAAUUGCUCAACAGUAAUUUGUUCACCCACCGUAGAAUACUUAUGCUCUCGACAGAAGCCACUACUGAAAUGUAUGGCCCCCUGGUCUAUCUUCAUAAUAUUAAUCUCAUACUACUUAGUUAUUUCCUUUGCUUUUUUACUUUUCCUUUAUUUUACUUUGCAUCUUUAUCACAAAAAUACCAAAAAAGUUAUCUUAUCAUAUCUAUCAGAUCUCACUCUCGUAAGUGGCCGUGUAGGGAUUGAUUACCCCUAUUCGCGUUGGUUGCGAAGAUUUAUUUGUUUUGUGCAUGUACGAGGGACUCAUGCGUAGCCUCCUACUGGAUUGAUACCUUGGUUCUCAAAAACUGAGGGAAAUACUUAUGCUACUUUGCUGCAUCAUCCCUUCCUCUUCGGGGAAAACCAACACAGUGCUCAAGAGGUAGCAAGAAGGAUUUUUGGCGCCGUUGCCGGGGAGGCCUACGCAAAAGUCAAUAUUCAAAGUACCCAUCACAUACCCUUAUCUCCCGCAUUACAUUAUUUGCCAUUUGCCUCUCGUUUUCCUCUCCCCCACUUCACCCUUGCUGUUUUAUUCACUCUCUCUCUCUCUCUCUCUAUCCUCCCUCUCUUUCUCUAUUUGCCUCUUUUUGCCCGUUUGCUUUUUGUUUGCUUGUGUGUUAGUUCAUUUGCUUGUCGUUAUGGCUAGUCCCUUAUAUUCUCUAUUGUCUCCCUAGAAUGAAGUUCUAAAUUUUAAGCAAAGGGAGGGAUAAAAUAUAAAAAAACGCUUGGUAUAGAAUUUGCAAUUCUCAAAAUAGAUCUACCAGGAAGCAAUCUACUUCCGUUCUUCCUCUCAAUUUUUAUGUAGGCGCUGCUCCUUGGUUUAGAUAUGUCCUUGAUACCAUUACCGGAGGGAAUUUCUUGGGUAUCCACACUUUUGAUUCUUAUAAUGCUAUGAUAGAUUUGUUUGGCUCACCCCCUCUUUUGGUUAAUGGAACUGUAUUAACUUUGGAGCAUGCAAUGCAAAGGCUUGAAAUUAUUGAAAAUAAGGUUGCUACCAUAGAGUUAAUUGAAAAUUUGGAUAAAAAGAUUCACAACCGAAUCUCUCAAUAUGGAUCUAAAGUAGGAGUCACUUUGAAAAAUAUUAAAGAGAAGGAACCCAUAGUUAAUGAGAAAAUAAAUCACGAUUCCACUAGAAUUGAUAAACUUCAGGAUAUUAUUACCAACUUGGGAACCACUUUUUCUUCCGUAAAGAACACUCCAAGUACUCCUACUAAAAUUGCCAAGCUUAUGUAUGUUCCUAAAAAUAAGGGUGAAUCCUCUAGUAAGGAAACUGUGGAUCUAAAAUAUAUAAGUGUUCAUCCCAAUCUUUUUGCUAUCAUUAAGGAACCAUUCAUUACAAAUGAUUUUUUCGAUCUUGUGCCUAAAAAUUUGAUAAUCAAUAAAAAGUAAGAAAUUCCUAAAGAUGGUAGAUGCCUCAUUGAAGAAUUUCCUACCAAAGAUGGCAAUACCUAGAUCUAUCCUUGCUCGUUAUGCCUAGCUAGGGGCGUUAAACGAUAGCGCUUGUUGGGAGGCAACCCAAUUUUAUUUUUAUUCCUUGCUUUUUGCUCCUGUUUAGUAAUAAAUAAUUUAUCUAGCCCCUGUUUUGGUUGUGUUUUUUGUGUUUAAUUAGUGUUUGUGCCAAGUAGAACCGUUAGGAAGACUUGGGGAAAGUCUUGUUACACUUGCUGUAAAAACAGAAACUUUAGCGCUCAUGAGAACUGCUGCCAUUUUUAUUUGGAAAGUGCUAUUUACUUAAUUCUUCUUGAAGAUUAUUAAUAGAUAAAUUCCUCACGUCCAGAAAUUUAUUUUAGAAUUUUUGGUGUUCCAGAUCUUGCGCUAGCUACAGAUUACUACAGACUGUUCUGUUUUUGACAGAUUCUGUUUUUCGAGUGUUGUUUGAUUAUUUUGUUGAAUCUAUGGCUAGUAAAAUAGUUUAUAAACCAUAGAGAAGUUGGAAUAUAGUAGGUAUAACACCAAUAUAAAUAAAUAUUGAGUUCAUCACAGUACCUUGAGGUGGACUUUUGUUUUCUUUCGCUAACGGAGCUCACGAGAUUUUCUACUUUGAGUUUUGUGUUGUGAAGUUUUCAAGUUUUGGGUAAAGAUUUGAUGGAUGCCCAUGGCACCUCCAAAGCUUGAAGGCAUCCCAUCUUUCGUCUACUUCUAUCGGUAACUUUACUUGGAGCUAUAUUUUUAUUCGCCACAUGAUAUGUGUUUUGCUUGGAGCGUCUUGUAUGAUUUGAGUCUUUACUUUCUAGUUUACCAUAAUCAUCCUUGAAAGUGCUAGUGAUAGACUAGAGGGGGGGUGAAUAGGCGAUUUUUAUGAAAGUCUUCAAAACAUGGAAGUUUCGAAGACAAACGAUAGAAAUAAACCUAUUGCCAUGCAGCGGAAGGUAGACUACACUAAGCAAGCCAUAGUCAAGUAUUCAAUGAAGUGAAAGCAAAAUGACUAAUAGCAGCUAGGUAGUAUAGAUCAGGUAGGAAGAUAGUGUGAAGCCAAUCAGAACAAGCAGUCACUCAGUGAAUACAAAAGAUAAUGCAAUCAUACAAUGACUUCACCAGGGCCAACCGUAAGUAAAGGAAAGGGAAGGAUGAAACCAGUGACUCGUUGAAGACAAUGAUUUGUUGGACCAGUUCCAGUUGCUGUGACAACUGUACGUCUGGCUAGGGAGGCUAAGAUUCAACUCAAAAGACCGCAUCUUCACCUUAUUCCCCUUGAGCUAAGGACAUCCAGUCCUCGCCCAAUCACUCUGGUAAGUCUUCAAGGUAGACUUCCAAACCUUCAUAGACUUCGUUCACCGGCAAUCCACAAUGACUCUUGGAUGCUCAGAACGCGACGCCUAACUGGCUGGAGGAUUCACAGUCCUCAAGUGUAAUAAGUCUUCAGAUCACACAGACAGGAGGACUUAAGUGAUGCCUAACACUCUUUGGCUCUGGGUGUUUAGGGCUUUAUCCUCACAAGGAAUUCUCUCUCAAAGGCUUCAAGGUGGGUUGCUCUCAAACGACAAAAGCCAUGCACUAACUCUGAGAAGCCAACCGUUUAUGGUUGUAGGGGGUGGGCCAUUUAUAGCCACUAGGCAACCCGACCUGAUUUGUCCGAAAUGACCCUGGGUCACUAAGGAACUGACACGUGUUCCAACGGUCAGAUUUCAAACACACACGACAACUUUACUUGGGCUACAAGCAAGCUGACUUAUCCAACUUUGAAUAAUAUUUCCUCUCAUAGUCUUCACUCAAAGACAUAGGAUUUUGGUUAAGCAUCACUUCAGUCAUUCUGACUGGUUCUCUUGGACAACACUUAAUAGUACGGUAGUUCCUAUGACUCAUCAAAGAAAAACAAAGAACGACGAAACUGCUAAGUCUUCGCGCUCCUUAGUCUUGACGGGAUGUCUUCUCUUGUCAUAGUCUUCAAUGUGAAUGUAUUCACAUACCACAUUUGACUUCAAUGUCUUCAUACAUUUUUAGGGGUCAUCUCUGGUAGGAAAACCGAAUCAAUGAGGGACUUCUACCUGUGUUAUCCUGCAAUUCUCACAAACACAUUAGUCCCUCAACCAGGUUUGUCGUCAAUACUCCAAAACCAACUAGGGGUGGCACUAGAUGCACUUACAAUCCUUGUUGUACACACCUUUUGAGAGAGCCAUACAUGAUUUGGAAUUUGUUAGAAUACUCUAUGUGCUUCGCUUAUAUCUUUUGAGUUAUAUAGUUUUGCACUACUAGGGAAAACCUUAUACACAGAAAUUUAGCAACAGCGCGGGUUAAAAAAGGGCGCUAGUGCUAGAUAGCAGUAGCGGUUCAGAAUAAACCGCACUGCAGAUACGAUUCUAGCAGUAGCGCGUGUGCCCGUAAAAGUUCUACUACUAAUAUUCACAUUGCUGGAACGAUGGGCUACGCAUAGCAGUAGCGGCCUUGCAGGAAGCAUGCUGCGGCUAGGGCAUGAGUAGCAGCGCGUUUCCCUGUAACAGCGCUACUGCUAAUGGAAAUAAAAUAAAAUGAAAAACAAAUAGAAAAGUAAAUGAAAAUGAAAAUGAAAGAAACAGAAAAAGGAGAAAGAAAACAAAUAAUAUGUAAAGCAAAAUAAAUGAAAAAGGGAAAAAACAGAGAAAGGCUUAGCUGUAGCAUGUGUUAGUAAGAGGCGCUAUAGCUAACGCAGCUGCAGCGCGUUUCCAGGACCCCCGUUAUAGAAACAGAAAAGGAAAUAAAAAGAGAGAAAAUUACAUAUGUAUAGCAGUAGCGCAUUUUGGAAAAAGCGCUAUAGCUACCUUAGCUAUAGCGCGUUCUGGAAAACGCGCUACCGCUAGUUUUGACUUAACCAAAAAACCGCCCCCCCCCCCCGGCCACCACUUGCCCCCCAAAUCUCUCGACCCACCCCGCCGCCGUCUCCCCGAUUCGCCGUCGCCCCACUUCGCUGCCGUCUCCUACCGACGUCGACGCCCCCGGAGCCACCAGAGCCGUGCAUCGUCGACGCCACCGGAGCCGCCCCCAACGCCACGGAGNNNNNNNNNNNNNNNNNNNNNNNNNNNNNNNNNNNNNNNNNNNNNNNNNNNNNNNNNNNNNNNNNNNNNNNNNNNNNNNNNNNNNNNNNNNNNNNNNNNNNNNNNNNNNNNNNNNNNNNNNNNNNNNNNNNNNNNNNNNNNNNNNNNNNNNNNNNNNNNNNNNNNNNNNNNNNNNNNNNNNNNNNNNNNNNNNNNNNNNNNNNNNNNNNNNNNNNNNNNNNNNNNNNNNNNNNNNNNNNNNNNNNNNNNNNNNNNNNNNNNNNNNNNNNNNNNNNNNNNNNNNNNNNNNNNNNNNNNNNNNNNNNNNNNNNNNNNNNNNNNNNNNNNNNNNNNNNNNNNNNNNNNNNNNNNNNNNNNNNNNNNNNNNNNNNNNNNNNNNNNNNNNNNNNNNNNNNNNNNNNNNNNNNNNNNNNNNNNNNNNNNNNNNNNNNNNNNNNNNNNNNNNNNNCGUGCGGCCUCAUCAAUGCCACCGGAGCCGCCGUCGAUGCCACCGGAUCUUCCCUCACCACAACUGCCUCCCUCGCCGUCACCGGAGACGCCCCUGCCUCCCUCGCCACCACCGUAGCCAUCCUUUGUAAGCCCCCACCCCUCCUCUCUCUCUCAUGCAUAGGUUAGCUAGUUUAAUUAUGUUAAUUAUCUAGGUUAGGGCAAAAAUUUAGUUAGGGCUUUGACAGAGAAGUAGUUAGGUUAACUAGUUUAAUUAGGUUAAUUACCUAGGUUAGUGCAAAAAUUUAGUUAGGGCUUUGACAGAGAACUAGUUAGGUUAACUAGUUUAAUUAGGUUAAUUAUCUAGGUUAACUAGUCAGGCAAGUUUUAUUUUAAAGAUGAUCCCUUCCUAGACUUUUAUUGUUGAUUAUAUCUUUUCAUUGAAGUGGUCAUGUUGUUUGUGCACAAGUGGCUUUGUUGUUUGAAUGAAGCUGAGUGGUCUAUAUAUGUUUUGCCGGAAUGUUGAUUCAUUUCCGUUUUGGCAAAUUUCAGGUUCUCGAUUUGUCCACUUUUUAGCAAAGGUCAUGCCGAAAUUUUCCUUGAAUUUCGGCAUGACUUGUGCUACAAACUAGGACAUAUUGAGUGCCCGGGAUUUGCCGCACCAGGAAGGAGUCAACGUUCCUACAAAACAUAGGCCUUUUGUAUGUCAUUAUUCAUUUUAUUAGGUCUAAAAUUAAUUUAGUAGAUUUAAUCAUAGGAAACAUGGCUAGCAAGGAUGAAGGAUAGGGUUCUGGUGAUUGCGAUGAUGUCUACUGGGCGGCAGACGAAUUUCUUAGCCUUGCCGACGAUCAACCGGUGGCAUCGGGGACUAAGACCGACACGCAGACCGGUGCUGAGACUGAGACCGGCGCUGAGACUCAGACCGGCAUCGAGACCGACGCUGAGACUGAGACCAGUGCUGAGACUGAGAUCGGCGCUGAGACUCAGACCGGCAUCGCGACCGGCACUGAGACUGAGAACGGCGCUGCCUCGGGGAGUGGAGCCGGUGUAGAACAGAAAGCAAAGAGGCAACGGCUUCCUAACAAACUCAAGACUACUAGACUGGUGGUCACGGACGUGGACGACGGCAAUUUUGAGCCAAAGGCGCCCGAGGAAGCGCGUCGAUGCUACGGCAAUCAAAUAGGUUGCAUCGUACGGACAACCGCCACCAUCAACGAUGAGAAACUACCGAAGAUAGAAAAUAUGAGGAGCUCCCUCCUAAAGAAGUUUCACCAGAUAUUCUUGUUCCCGGGCCGGAAUGAGAAGGAUUAUGAAGAUCCAGAUGAGGACCCGGCAAUGAAGAAGAUAAACAAACACGCCAUGACCAAGUUUAGCAACGCGUUAGACGCCUGGAAAAAUCGAGUGAAAGCAAAGAUCAUCAACAAGAAGGAACCCUACUCCGAGAUUGUAAAGGAUACUCCGACAAUCACGGAAGAGCAGUUUCAAAUAUUCAAGGAGGCUUGCGAGGCCGAAGCUGCCAAAAAAAGUCUCAGUACAUGAAGGGGCUUCAAGAGAGGAACAUUGGGAGCCACCACCUCGGAAGUCGUGGUUACGGCGGAAAGAGGUCCAAAUGGGCCAAGGAGGACACGGAAGCCGCGAGUCUUGGCGUCCCAGACCCCUUGGCGGAUUUCACCGUCCCGCAGGAGCGUGACGUCCUCAGGGCCCGGCACCGUUGGGACCCAGUGAACAAGGUUUACGAGACAACACCGGUCAUUAAGGAGUUCAUGAGACUGAUGGUAAUUUUAGUUUUUGAUCAAUUCGACUGCACAUGUUAGUCAUAUUUGUAAACGAUCCUUGUGCCUUUUGCAGAGAGAGCAACACUGGAUUGCGGCCGAAAAGCGACUCGCCGUCUGAGGCAUGGGCGAGGCCCAAGUGGGACACUCCAUUCAACUGGGCGUUGAACAUAUUGAAACGACAACCAGUGGAUACUCGACCGUCGUAUGGACGCGUGCACGGUGUCGGAGACGGUGCCACGUGGAAGAAGUACUACCGUGAGACCACAGAGGAGAGAAAGGAAAGACGGAGGUUAACUGAAGAAAACAUCGACAAGAAGGUUGAGAUUGCGGUUGAGAAGAAAUCAUCUCAAACAGUCGCAACAGCGGUAGCUGCUGCAAAACAGGUGGUUGCAGAUUUGUCUACUUCCUUGGUGACGGGCGUUAUCACUUGGACAAGGCAAAAUCCAGAAAAAAAAAUGCAGAGGACUUUCCCCUUGCCGACUUCUUGGGGAGCAUCUCGACUAGCGUUGCACCAGCACCUGCUCCCGCACCGGCUCCCGCACCGGAAGUGCUCGGUGGUGCUUCAUCUUUGGCUGAGCUCGACGCCCUCACGAUAUCUGUCACACCGGCCCCCUUCAAUAUAAAUGUAUAAUCCCCUGUUUUUGUUGCCUUUCGGAUGUCUCACGUCGCAGACUUUUCUUUGCAGGCCGACGAAACCCCGUGCACCAUAUUGUACACCAUCGGCGACCAAAAGGUGGACAUGGGGAAGGCAACGAUAAUGAAGCCGAAGGAACCAUUGUUCCACAGCCGGCCGAUCCCCCUGAACGUCUUCAAGGUUUCUGUGGCCAGUGUCAAACCGGGCCACGAGAAUUUGCCUCCUCCAAUACUAGCGGGGGAUGACGACGAGACACCACGGCUCCUUGGUGAUUGUUGCAAUGGGUGGGUGCUGUUGUGGCCAAAGAGUCUGCUUCGUCUGGAGGCGGCCGGGAGCACACCCACGAGCACGCAGCCUCAGCAAGGUAUGAACAUCAACACCCCACCUACCCAAUUAGCAUCGGGUAUCGGGUUGGGUGAUAGCAGACGUGGUAAGGAGGAGGCUCCAUUAGUCGCUAAUGACGUCGCCAUGGAUGAGGAUGAGGACGACGAUGGCGCUGAACAGUAUGUCUAUACUGGCGCCUCCUCAGGGUUUGAGCGUCAUGAGUCGGUGCCUGAAUUGUCGUCUCAACAUAUUAUGGACGACCUUCCGGUAGUAAAGAAGUCUAGGAAGAGAGCGAGGAAAGGCAAAAAAGCUGAUUCUAUGAUCCAGCCGCCUCAGCAGCCUCGGCUUCAGGACCGUAUAGAUAUCCCCGAUGCGGAUAAAUGGCAUAUCCCCGGUCAACCAAUCCUACCUGCAACAGCGCUACGGGCCAGAUUCGGCGAUCUAUUGAGACUUCAUGAUGAUGUGCUGCGGGUAGAGAAAGGCCUCAUCGCCUCGAAAGAUUCAGGAUACCCACUCUACGUGGUUAACAUUCCGCGGCAAAUGUCGUACGUCGACAGCUUCCCCCCGGAUAAGUUCUUCCUCCGAUUCGAUUACAUAUUCGACAUGUUUCACGUGAAGAAGCUGGAUUUUAUGUUUGUCCACCUUUAUGCCUUGCGCAUGAACUACAUCAUCGGGGUUGAGCAGAUAUCUAAUAUCUGUGUCGCUGACCCGUACUACAUGCACGAGGGCUUCUUGGGAGUCUGCGCAAAGCACCGUGAAUACGCGAGGGAUUACAUCGUCACUUUCAUGCUCGCCAAUAAGGACAAGGAGGCGAUUCUCGUGCCUUAUCAUCCCGUGUAAGUCAUCCACGCUGCUAUCCUUCCUUCGAUUUCAAUCAUUCAUUUGCAUGGUGGAGGCUAAUUAAUUUCAGGUGUACUUAUUUUACGCAGUGGCGGGCGCGCCGUCCUUAUCAUCCUCUACCCCCGAUUCUCCCACGCUCUUUACUUGGACUCGUCGAAGAACAUUCAAAAAAAGGAUUACACCCACAUCAAGGAUGUUCUCGACGGUGCUAUGUUUUACUACCAAGCAAGGGGUGGAGAGGUCAGGGACAAGAAGACAAGGGGCGGCAGGGCCGCAUUCGGCCAUAAGACCGACUUCUGCUGCAUCCAGCAACCGAACGAUUCUCUUAAUGAUGGAUUCUAUGUCCUACACCACAUGCUGGAGUACAGACGGGAUCACCAGAACCUUCGCAUGUCACCUAGAUCCGGCGGUGCCCAUAUUCUGCAAUGGGCAAAGGACAUAGGAGAUAUCGAGGAUCAUCGACUUCGAGCUGAGUUCUAUAACAUCCAACGCGAACUUGCCCAAAUCAUCAUGAAGGAGGUCGUCGGAAAAACAGGGAUGUUCUACGGAGAAGGACAAAUUUCGCGGGAAGACGUCCGAACAUGGAUAGCCUCUCAGCGUCUCGACAUAAAGCCUUUCACUAAGCUCAAGGACUAUCUCCCUGACUUGGAUGGAUGGAACGACAUGUUGGAGUGAUUGUCGAUAUAUGACAAUGUGUCCGUUUAGUCCAUACUUUCUGUAUGACAAAACUUUGAGUUAUGCAUGGUGAAACUUUAUUUGUGAUGUAAUUAAACCGUCCUCCUCCUCGACUAGCGAAAAUCACUCUAGUUAGGGCAUUUUGGGGUACGAUGAACUUUGUUAUUUAUGCUUAUGAUAUGUUGUUUCUAUUUUUGCCAAGUCCGUCUCUUUCUAUUGCUCAACUAUAUAUGUUGCAUAUCAUCGACUCAUGUGACGAUGCAGGUGCAUAGAUCAUAGAUGGCAAAGAAGUGCUACGCUAGGAGUAUAUAUACGACAAGUGGCCGGAGUGUCAGGCCCAGGUGUACCGGUUUCUGGUCUCCAAGCGACAGGCAGUAGUUAGUUUAGGUUCACGCUAAUGCGAGAGAGGGAUACAAACUCAUGUACUCAAAGUGAUAGCCCUUCUCGCGUAUAUCAUUGUUUAGAUGGAUGACGAUGUAUUAUGAUUAUGAUGAAACUAUUUGUAUGUAUAUGCUAUGAUUACAUAUGUGGUAUCGCAGACAUUUGUAUGUGUAUCAUGAUGACAUUUGUAUGUGCUAAAGAUUCUUCUAUAAAGCCUAUUCAAAUACAAAACAAAUAUGCCGAAAAAAACAAAAAAACUACUAAAAUUAGCAGUAGCGAGUGGAGAAAAGUUAGCAGCAGCGCGGUAGUAGCAGUAGCGCACACGGAAGAAGCGCGCUAUAGCUAUUAGCAGUAGCGAGCUUCCACUAAGCGCGCUACUGCUACACUUGUGUAGCAAUAGCGCUGGUGAGCACGCGCUACUGCUAUGUGUUAGCUGUAGCGCCUUAUUAGUAGCGCCGGUCUGUGCGUUACUGAUACACCUAAAACCCACGCUGAUGUUAGCCUUUUCCCUAAUAGUGUUGCUCUAGUACUUCACUUAUAUCUUUUAGAGCACGGUGGUGGAUUUGUUUUAUAGAAACUAUUGAUCUCUCAUGCUUCACUUAGAUUAUUUUGAGAGUCUUAAAUAGCAUGGUAAUUUGCUUAAAAUCCUAAUAUGUUAGGUAUUCAAGAACAAUAAAAUUUUCUUAUGAGUGUUUUGAAUACUAAGAGAAGUUUGAUGCUUGAUGAUUGUUUUGAGAUAUGGAGGUAAUAAUAUCAAAGUCGUGCUAGUUGAGUAGUUGUGAAAUUGAGAAAUACUUGUGUUGAAGUUUGCAAGUCUCGUAGCAUGCACGUAUGGUAAACGUUAUGUAACAAAUUUGAAACAUGAGGUGUCAUUUGAUUGCCUUCCUUAUGAGUGGCGGUCGGGGACGAGCGAUGGUCUUUUCCUACCAAUCUAUCCCCCUAGGAGCAUGCACGUAGUGCCGAGGUUUUUGAUGAGUUGUAGAUUUUUGCAAUAAGUAUGUGAGUUCUUUAUGACUAAUGUUGAGUCCAUGGAUUAUACGCACUCUCACCCUUCCAUCCUUGCUAGCCUCUUCGGUACCGUGCACUGCCCUUUCUCACAUUGAGAGUUGGCGCAAACUUCGCCGGUGCAUCCAAACCCCGUGAUAUGAUACGCUCUUUCACACAUAAACCUCCUUAUAUCUUCCUCAAAACAGCCACCACGCCUACCUAUUAUGGCAUUUCCAUAGCCAUUCCGAGAUAUAUUGCCAUGCAACUUUCCACCAUUCCGUUUAUCAUGACAGAUUCAUUAUUGUCAUAUUGCUUAGCAUGAUCAUGUAGUUGACAUAGUAUUUGUGGCAAAGCCACCAUUCAUAAUUCUUUCAUACAUGUCACUCUUGGUCCAUUGCAUAUCCCGGUACACCGCCGGAGGCAUUCAUAUAGAGUCAUGUUUUGUUCUAGUAUCGAGUUGUAAUCAUUGAGUUGUAAUCAUUGAGUUGUAAAUAAAUAGAAGUGUGAUGAUCAUCAUUUUCUAGAGCAAUGUCCCAAGUGAGGAAUUAUAAAAAAAGAAAAAAAGGAGAAAGGCCAUAUAUAAAAAAAAGAGAAGGCCCAAAAAAUGAGAGAAAAAGAGAGAAGGGACCAUGUUACUAUCCUUUGCCACACUUGUGCUUCAAAGUAGCACCGUAAUCUUCAUGAUAGAGAGUCUCUUGUUUUGUCAUUUUCAUAUACUAGUGGGAAUUUUUCAUUAUAGAACUUGGCUUGUAUAUUCCAACAAUGGGCCUCCUCAACUGCCCUAGGUCUUCGUGAGCAGGCAAGUUGGAUGCACACCCACUUAGUUCAUUUUGUUGAGCUUUCAUACAUUUAUAGCUCUAGUGCAUCUGUUGCAUGGAAAUCCCUACUCCUUACAUUAAUAUCAAUCAGUGGGUAUCUCCAUAGCCCAUUGAUUAGCCUCGUUGAUGUGAGACUUUCUCCUUUUUUGUCUUCUCCACAUAACCCCCUCAUUAUAUUCUAUUCCACCCAUAGUGCUAUGUCCAUGGCUCGCGCUCAUAUAUUGCGUGAAAGUUUAUAGGUUUGAGAUUACUAAAGUAUGAAACAAUUGCUUGGCUUGUCAUCGGGGUUGUGCAUGAUGAGAGCAUUCUUGUGUGACGAAAAUGAAACAUGACUAAACUAUAUGACUUUGUAGGCAUGAACUUUCUUUGGCCAUGUUAUUUUGAGAAGACAUAAUUGCUUAGUUAGUAUGCUUGAAGUAUUAUUAUUUUUAUGUCAAUAAGAAUUACAUUAAAAUUAUGCCAAGUAGCACUCCGCAUCAAAAAUUCUGUUUUAUCAUUUACCUACUCGAGGACGAGCAGGAAUUAAGCUUGGGGAUGCUUGAUACGUCUCCAACGUAUCUAUAAUUUUUGAUUGCUCCAUGCUAUAUUAUCUACUGUUUUGGACAUUAUUGGGCUUUAUUAUCCACUUUUAUAUUAUUUUGGGGACUAACCUAUUAACAGGAGGUCCAGCCCAGAAUUGCUGUUUUUUGCCUGUUUUAGGGUUUCGAAGAAAAGGAAUAUCAAACGGAGUCCAAACAGAACGAAACCUUCGGGACCGUGAUUUUCUCAAUGAACGAGACCCAGGAGACUUGGACCCGACGUCAAGACACAAAAGAGGAGGCCAUGAGGUAGGGGCCGCGCCUAUCCCCCCAAGCGCGCCCUCCACCCUCGUGGCCCCCUGUUGCUCCACCGACGUACUUCUUCCUCCUAUAUAUACCUACGUACCUACAAAUGAUCAGAGACAGAGCCAAAAUCCUAAUUCCACCACCGCAACUUUCUAUAUCCAUGAUAUCCCAUCUUGGGGCCUGUUCCGGAGCUCCGCCGGAGGGGGCAUCGAUCACUGAGGGCUUCUACAUCAACACCAUAGCCCCUCUGAUGAAGUGUGAGUAGUUUACCUCAGACCUACGGGUCCAUAGUUAUUAGCUAGAUGGCUUCUUCUCUCUUUUUGGAUCUCAAUACAAUGUUCUCCCCCUCUCUUGUGGAGAACUAUUCGAUGUAAUCUUCUUUUUGCGGUGUGUUUGUUGAGACCGAUGAAUUGUGGGUUUAUGAUCAAGUCUAUCUAUGAACAAUAUUUGAAUCUUCUCCGAAUUCUUUUAUGUAUGAUUGGUUAUCUUUGCAAGUCUCUUCGAAUUAUCAGUUUGGUUUGGCCUACUAGAUUGAUCUUUCUUGCAAUGGGAGAAGUUCUUAGCUUUGGGUUCAAUCUUGUGGUGUCCUUUCCCAGUGACAGUAGGAGUAGGGGCAGCAAGGCACGUAUUGUAUUGUUGCCAUCGAGGAUAACAAGAUGGGAUUUUCAUCAUAUUGCAUGAGUCUAUCCCUAUACAUCAUGUCAUCUUGCUUAAGGCGUUACUCUAUUUUUGACUUAAUACUCUUAUUUUACUUUGCAUCUUUAUCACAAAAAUACCAAAAAUAUUAUCAUAUCAUAUCUAUCAGAUCUCAUUCUCGUAAGUGUCCAUGUAGGGAUUGACAACCCCUAUUCGCGUUGGUUGCGAGGAUUUAUUUGUUUUGUGCAGGUACGAGGGACUCGCGCGUAGCCUCCUACUGGAUUGAUACCUUGGUUCUCAAAAACCGAGGGAAAUACUUAUGCUACUUUACUGCAUCAUCCCUUCCUCUUCGGGGAAAACCAACGCUGUGCUCAAGAGGUAGCAGGGGAGUAUAAACUUUACCAUUCUGCUUGGGAACCACCUAUAAUGUGUGUAGCAUGGAAGAUAUCGAGAUCUCUCGGUUGUUAUGUUGACAAUGAAAGUAUACCGCUCAAAAUAUUAUUCAUCUCUAUUUCAAAAUCGAGCUCUGACACCUCUACAAAUCCCUGCUUCCCUCUGUGAAGGGCCUAUCCAUUUACUUUUAUGUUGAGUCAUCAUCCUCUUAUCAAGAAGCACCAGUUGGAGAGCACCGCUAUCAUUUGCAUCCAUUACUGUUAGUUUACAUUGAGCAUGACUGGAUCUCUUUUGCCAUGAAUUACAAUGUCUAGUCAGUCCUUGAUCUUUAAUGUUGCUCAGCAUUUAUGUUUUGCGGUCUCAGAAAGGGCUAGUGAGAUACCAUCUUGCUAUAUCAUAUUAUGAUUGUUUUGAGAAAGUGUUGUCAUCCGAGAUUUAUUAUUAUUGCUCGCUAGUUGAUUAUGCCAUUGAUAUGAGUAAACAUGGGACCUAAGUGUUGUUGUGAAUAUGGUUAGUUCAUAAUCUUUGCUGAAAACUUGAAUGCUAUCUUUCAAUAUUUAUAACAACAAGAGCAAAAAGAGUUUGUAAAAGUUUUUCUUUAUCACUUUCAGUUUAUUAACUGAAUUGCUUGAGGACAAGCAAAGGUUUAAGCUUGGGGGAGUUGAUACGUCUCCAACGUAUCUACUUUUCCAAACACUUUUGCCCUUGUUUUGGACUCUAACUUGCAUGAUUUGAAUGGAACUAACCCGGACUAACGCUGUUUUCAGCAGAAUUGCCAUGGUGUUAUUUUUGUGCAGAAAUAAAUGUUCUCGGAAUGACCUGAAAAUCAACGGAGAUUAUUUUUCUAAUAUAUAAAAAAUACUGGCGAAAGAAUCAAGGCUAGGGGGCCCACACCCUAUCCAAAAGGGUGGGGGCGUGCCUACCCCCCUUGGGCGCGCCCCCUGCCUCGUGGGCCCCCUGGCGCUCCACCGACCUCUACUCCAACUCCAUAUAUUCACUUUCGGGGGGGAAUCAGGAAGAAGGAUUCAUCGCCUUUUAUGAUACGGAGCUGCCGCCAAGCCCUAAACUCUCUCGGGAGGGCUGAUCUGGAGUCCGUUCGGAGCUCCGGAGAGGGGAAUCCGUCGCCAUCAUCAUCAUCAACCUUCCUCCAUCACCAAUUUAUGAUGCUCACCGCCGUGCGUGAGUAAUUCCAUCGUAGGCUUGUUGGACGGUGAUGGGUUGGAUGACAUUUAUCAUGUAAUCAAGUUAGUUUUGUUAUGGUUUGAUCCCUAGUAUCCACUAUGUUCUGAGAUUGAUGUUGCUAUGACUUUGCUAUGCUUAAUGCUUGUCACUAGGGCCCGAGUGCCAUGAUUUCAGAUCUGAACCUAUUAUGUUUUCAUGAAUAUAUGUGAGUUCUUGAUCUUGUCUUGCAAGUCUAUAGUCACCUAUUAUGUGUUAUGAUCCGUUAACCCCGAAGUGACAAUAAUCGGGAUACUUACCGGUGAUGACCGUAGUUUGAGGACUUCAUGUAUUCACUAUGUGUUAAUGCUUUGGUCUGGUACUCUUUUAAAAGGAGGCCUUAAUAUCCCUUAGUUUCCAAUAGGACCCCGCUGCCACGAGAGGGUAGGACAAAAGAUGUCAUGAAAGUUCUUUUCCAUAAGCAUGUAUGACUAUAUUCGGAAUACAUGCCUACAUUACAUUGAUGAACUGGAGCUAGUUCUGUUUCACCCUAUAUUAUAACUGUUGCAUGACGAUCACAUGCGACAUAAUUCUCCAUCACCGAUCCAAUGCCUACGAGCUUUUCAUAUAUUGUUCUUCAUUUAUUUACUUUUCCGUUGGUACUAUUACAAUCAGUAUAAAACCAAAAAUAUUACGUUUGCUACCAUUACCACUACUAUCAUAUUACUUUGCUACUAAACACUUUGCUGCAGAUAUUAAGUUUCCAGGUGUGGUUGAAUUGACAACUCAACUGCUAGUACUUGAGAAUAUUCUUUGGCUCCCCUUGUGUCAAAUCAAUAAAUUUGGGUUGAAUACUAUACCCUCGAAAACUGUUGCGAUCCCCUAUACUUGUGGGUUAUCAACCCAAAAUUCAACGGAUCUCGACAAACACACCGCAAAAAGAAUUACAUCGAGUAGAUCUCCAAGAGAAUCGAGGAGAACUUUGUAUUGAGAUCCAAAGAGAGAGAAUAAGCCAUCUAGCUAAUAACUAUGGACCCGAAGGUCUAUGGUAAACUACUCACACAUCAUCAGAGAGGCUAUGGUGUUGACGUAGAAGCCCUCCGUGAUCGAUUCCCUCUCUAGCAGAGCACCAGAAAAGGCCCCAAGAUGGGAUCUCACAAGUAUAGAAGGUUGCGGUGGUGGAAAUAGGGUUUCGUGGUGCUCCUGGAUGUUUUCGGGGUAUAUGGGUAUAUAUAGGAGGAAGAAGUACGUCGGUGGAGCUGUGAGGGGCCCACGAGGUUGGGGGCGCACCUACCCCCCUGGGCGUGCCUCCCUGUUGUCGGAUUUCGGGUUCCGGCAGACCCUUGAGGUUCGAACACUGGGGUGCGCGCGGAAAUUUCGCCUCCUACCUUCCUGCACCCCUCCGUCACGCAAAGAUCUAAGCUAUGGAAAGAACAACACGAGAGACACAGGGUUUAUACUGGUUCGGGCGACCGUUGUGGUGUAAUACCCUACUCCAGUGUGUGGUCUGGUGGAUUGCCUCUUGGGCUGAUGAUGAUGAACAAUACAAGGAAGGACAGCCUCGCGAGGGUCUGUUCUUGGCUGGGGGGAAGAACUGCCGGGAGGAGUUCAGUCACCCUUCUCUCUCUUUCUCUCUUCUUGGUUGUCCUCCUUCUUUUUUUCAUCCUGCGGGUGGCUGGUCCUAUUUAUAGAGGCCCUGGUCCUCUUCCCAAAUAUCGAGCGGGAAGGGAGCCAACAAUGGUGGGCUAAUUUGAAAGGGGACAGCUAGUACCAGUUAUCCUGACAAAAGUAGUCUUCGCCUGCACAAAGCUCUGGUGGUGACGCCGUCUUGGGCUCCACAAUGACCUCCAUCUUGCAGUCCUCCUGGUCUUGGUCUUGUCGCACCGAAAUGGCAACCUUUGCCUGAUGCCUUGGUACUCCGCGGCUGCGCUUGCCCCCUUUGCACCAAAGGGGAAAGGAGGACAUUGCGCGGGCUGGCGCCCGCCUGGCGCCCUUGGUCAUCAUGGCUUGCGUCACGGGCACCUUGUGAGGUACCCCGCCUUGAUCUCUCCGCCUCCUCGCGAGCCAGCCUGAUGAGGCCGUGCCUGAGGAACCUCCGCGUCGUCCGCCCCGCGAGGCUUGGCCCCUCGCGAGGGUCUUGAGUCUGUUUUGGUGAAGAUGGGCCGUGCUGGGCCCCCUUUUGACCCACACCGCAGGCCGCAGGCAGGCAAGUCUGGGGACCCCCGUUCCCAGAACGCCGACAGUAGCCCCCGGGCCCAAGGCGCACCCGGACUUGGCCAUGCAGGGAGGUGGAAGGGCAAGAGCGAAGCGCCGCGGGCCCUAACAGCCUGCGGCCUCGGGUGCCGCGUGGCGGUUGAUUGGACGUGGGCGCCUUAGCAACCGCGCGAGUUGAUAAAGGAGCGACAUCCGCCUAGGCUUUGCUUCUUGCUUUCCCCGAUUGCUGCUCAGAUCCUCUUUCUUGCGCCUCUCCUUCCUUCCUCCAAAAUUUCCAGAUCUACUCCGACCGUGUGACCUAGGAAGCCAUGGUGCCUCGUCAGCCCCCGGCCGUAGCUUGGUACUCGUCUGACCUAGACUCGCCGAACGUGUCAGAGGUGAGCCUUGCCCGGUUGCGCCGGAUGGCGAUGGCGCGGGGCAUCAACGGGGCGAAGGUGUUCAAGGCCGGCUCCGCCACCCCUCAGGGUCAAGGGAGCACCUUCUAUCCGUUCUUCGUAAGUGCCAUUGCUGCUGGCCUGGUGCCUCGCUUCUCCGAGUUCUUCUUCUCUGUCCUCCGCCAUUAUAAGCUACAGGCUCUGCAUCUCCACCCCAACUCCGUCCUUCUCCUGGGAAUCUUCGCCUAUUACUGCGAGGCUCACGUAGGGGUGCAGCCCUCAGUGGCCUUGCUGCGCCACUACUUCUACCUCCGGACCUCUCGCGGUCCUGCUUCCGCGUGCGCGAGCCUCAUCGCGUAUGGUGGCGCCAUUGCCAUUUCGAACCCCGGGAAAAGGAUUGAGGACUUCAGGAGCAAGUGGGUCUUGGUGGAUGCUGGGCGCAUCCACCCUCGGCUGAUCUUGCCCACGGAGCAGCCCACGAGCUCCAGCGAUUGGGGUCGAGCGGAGCUCGCGGACCCCUGCGCGAAGCUGGUGUUGGAGAAGAUGGACGCAGAUCUGAGGCCGGCCAACAUGGCGGCGGCGAAGCUGACCGGCGCAUCGCUGCUGAGGGAAUUCCUGGAGCACCAGCAGGCUUCGCUUCGGCAGUACUCACUUCCGAUGUGGAGGCCCCGUCCAAGCCCCGCGGCCUUGGCCGACGGAGAUCUGGAUGCGGUCCUCCAAUCUCUGGUCGGGGGCGAUGUGGCGAGGUUGGUGGGCGCUCCUACGCCCUUGUUCCUCCGUGACGACUGGGAGCAGGUAGUGGAGUCCAUGCCCGUCUCCAACGGGGAUGGGCUCGUGCCCAUGGAAACUCCCAAGGAACCGGUGGACGUUCCCUCCGACGACUCCAUCAAAGAGGAGGAAGGAGGGGAGCGGGAAAAAGGGCCUGACUCCGAGGCGACUGACGGAGAGUCGAGGGCUCCCCUCCCCCGGCGUAGGUCCCGCGUUCUCCGCUUCUCUCCGAGCGAUGGCGACGAGGAUGACGACGAGGAUGACGACGAACAGGACGGCGGGAGCUUGCCCCCGAUCCCGAAGAAGGACAGGACCGGGCUGAUCUCCCGCGGGUCUGCCCCGGCCCCGAGGCGGACCGCAGACGCACCUUCCGCUUCCAAGCUUCCCGAGGUUGACCCUUCCAGCCAGCUUUCAGGCUUCAAAUUUGGCCGGAGGCCGCUUGAGCUCACUGGCGACGACCCGUAAGCAUUUGAUUCUUGUCUUUAUUUCUUGCUCUGCUUCUGAGGCUUGACGUCCGCAUCUCUUGGAUAGGCUGGCGCCCGCAGCAAAGAAGUCGGGGAGCUCCUGAGGUUCCAUCCAUGGCAGCGCCUCUGCCCGCGAAGGAGGGUGACCGCAACGCACAGGCUUCUCCUGUCCGGUCGUCCUCGCGAGGCCUGGCUGAGCCGGCUGGGGCGAGCUCAGCCCCCACGGCCCAAGUGCCUCCCGAGGUGGCCUUGCCUGCCGCCGCCACUACAGCCGUUGGGGCGCGGCAGACUCCACCUCAGGAUGUUGUGGCCGCGCUGCCGCCUUCUCCUCCUACUCCACCGGCUGAUGUCUCUCCGACUCCUUCUGCCAUUCUGGAUCAUGCUAUUGCUAAGCUGGACUGACUACGGCAGGAUCUUCUUGGUGCUGAGCCUCGCUUGGUGGCCGGGCGCUUGGAGCUGCCUUCAGGAUGGGUUCGCUCCGACGCUUUGAUUCGGGUGGCGCUGGUCCAGGCCUCGACCGCUUGCGACGAGGAGAAGUAGGCCGUCCUUGAGGCGAAGGCUGCUCGUGACACAGCCCUGGGGGAGGUGGUCGACGUCCGUGGUCGUUGCAAGGCACUGGAGGAUGAGCUGCAAGGCCUGCGGGACCAGCUCGCGAAAGAGGUCCACCUUCGCCAAGAGCAGGAAGAAGGCGUGAAGGCUCGCGAGGCGGCCAUCAAGGAGAGGGAGGUCAAGCUCAGGAAACGCCGCGACCGCCUAGGUGCGCUGGAGCAGGAGUUGGGGGCAAGGAAGGCCGAGCUGGACGACAAGGCCCUGGUUCUUGCCGAGGACCGCGUGGCCUUCACGAAGAUGGAGGCGAAGGCUCGCUCCUCGCUGAGGACGCUUUACGACAGCGGCCUGGAGAGCCCGCUGGCUGGCGCCAAGGACGGCCCCGCCAAGAUGCUUCCCUUCCUGGUUCGUGCUCUUGAAGAUGUCGCCCUGGGCCUUGGCCCCACGGCCGAGGCCAAGGCGCCUGUCCUGUCUUCUGCAGCACUGACGCGGGUCCUCACCCACAUCUACCUUCGCGAUCCCGGUGUCGACCUCGACAGCCUGCUGGAGCUAGUAAGUGGCGAGCGUGCCGAGGCCGUGAAGGGUCGCGUGGAGGCUCUGCUAGGGAAGUUCCGGGCCUUCAGCACCAAGCCGAGGCAAGGCGCUGCCGACCCCACUGCUCCAUGAGGUGAACCCACUCUGCGCUGCUCCACCGCCGACAAGUGACUCCAUUGUGGGUCCUGUCCUGCCUUUAAUUCCUGCACAUGUAUCAUGCCUCGGGGAGGCAUUUAAACUUGCGUUUGGCAUUGAGAUAACAGUGUGGACUGUAAUAUUUGCUUUUGAAUUCCUUGAAAUUGGCGCUUUUCCUUCCUACUUGCUUAUGUUCUAUGUCGGCAGAGCCCGGCCCCGCGCAUGCCUCACACAGCGUUGGUCCCGACCGAAAAUCAGGACGAGGCCAAGGAGUGAGGGGCUACGUGACAAGUUAGGCUCCUGAGUCGUGAUGCUCAGGAGUCCCCCUUGGCGCACGAACAGCAAGUAGGGAGGUGUGAUGUGGGUGGAUCUACCGUUCUACAUCUGCAGAGCCCGGCCGCGCGCAUACCUCAACCGUUGUUAGCCUUUCGGAACUAAGGAGUGAGGGGCUACGUGACCAGUUAGGCUCCUGAGUCGUGAUGCUCAGGAUUCCCCCUUGACGCUCAAACGGCCUUCAUACCUUGGCUCCGCUCGGGGAGAGACGCGUGACGAACCAGGCCCGGGGGGACCUAGCUGGACGGCGUGCGUCUGGGUGUGACCCAGGCAUAGCCCCCGUGCCCAGCCCCCUCACGCGGCACUCCCGAGGGGAGGCGUUACGAUGAGGCUAGACACUGAGCUCUGGGCUCCCUGAGGUUGAUGCGGCCCGGGGGCCACCCUUAGUUGUUUAUCACCAGCUCGGAGCAUAGCGCUUCCGUAUGUGUACGGGCAUAGCCGCUCCUCGGCAGUGUCGUCAGCCAGCGUGGAUCAUGGUGCUUCCAUUGGUACGUGGGAGGGGGCCCCCCUCCGGGAGGAGCCCCCGGGGCAUGUACAGCCCCGCCCUGACACGUGGCUGGCACGGUAGGGCCUGGCGAGGUGUAUCUGGGCACCCGUCAGCCAGCGCGGGACUCACGGGGCCCUACCUCUAGGCGGGUUGCGCCUGGCACUGGGCCUUAUCUUGUGAUGUGCCCCUGCAAAUUUGGUUAGAUGUCGGCACUCUACGUCCUCGGGUCCCAGCCCUCGAGCUGGUCUCAGCCGUCGCUGGUAUGCCAGGUCGUGAUGCCGUGGACAAGGCCAGAGGGUGAGGGCUGGAGAGCCAGUAAGAGCCCUGAGUCGCGAUGCUCAGGUACCCCCCUCCCUUUAACGUGCAAGUGGUCGGCAUGGAGAAGAAGAGGUGCCGUGGACCGGCAUCAAAUAAUCAAGCAUGGUGGGUCUAACGCCUAACCGGAAAUAAACGCAAAUGGAAUACAUGCCGCUGGGCCUGGCCCGAGCGACUUGGGGAUCAUGUAGCCUGAGGGGCGCCCCCAACAAGGUAAGCUAACAACAUGAAAUAAAAGGGAUACACGCCGCAGGGACGGACCCACGCGGCCUGGGAAUAAUGCAGCCCUGGGGGGGGGGCGCUCCCAGCUGGAAGUGAAACUUGAAAGAUGUCACCUGAUGACGUUGAGGACGAAGGGGUGUUGGUGUAGCAGACUUGGUGGGCUGCAAAAGCCGAUCCUCACGAGCCCCGGGGCCCAGGGGUCUCAGGAGGUUCCGGAGGCGCUGGCGGCUCCUCGUGGACCAUCUCCAUCCCCGCCAGGGCUGCGGAACGCCUAGCCUCUCGUGCCCCCAUGAUGCCCCUCAUGAGGCACUGGUACGUGGCAGCCGUGUUCGGCAAGCCGUAAGGCAUGCGAACGUAGUUGUGGGGUAGACCUCCGCAGCACCCCACUCGCGAGGGCCAGAGGCGCUCCAGAGAGGCGACUCGGUUGAGCCCUGGUAUGUCGAUGCAGAUGCGCAGCCCUCCAUCCUCGCCUGGAUGGAGAGCCACUGCUGGUAGGCGGCGGCCGCCUUUCAUGACUCUUGACUCCUGUAGCUCCUGAAUGGCCUUGCUAAUGAACUGCUGAGGGUCCGGCUCUUCUUGCCUUGCUCCUUCUUGAGGGAAACGUGCUUCAAAACACGCCUCCAUGUGGUGCCCAAGCGCCUCCCUCGUGACCCUAGCUAGGUCGGUGGCCCUCCAGGGGAGAGCCCCCGAGCCCUACCUGAGGAGGGCGUCGGGCGCGCUUUCCUAUGUGAUGGAAGGAGGUUCCCCCUGGGUAGGCGCGGGCCCAGAGGGGCCUUCCUCCUGAGUGGUCGGGCCAGACGAUGUCUUCUUCUUCUUGGGGGCGUUCUCAGGAGGCCUCCUGCUUCCGCGAUCCAGGUCUUCUAGUGACGCGGCCUGAAAGGCUUGUUCCAGGGAACACACCGCGUCCUUCUCUUCACAGGGCACCGUGAUGACUCCGCCACUUCCUGGCAUCUUGAGGACGUUGUAGCCGUGGUGAGUUACGGCCAUGAACUUGGCCAGCGCUGGGUACCCAAGGAUGGCGUUGUACGGCAGGCAAAUGUGAGCGACGUCGAAGUCGAUGAGCUCGGUGCGGUAGUUGUCGCGUGCCCCGAAGGUGACAGGGAGGCGGACCUGCCCAAUCGGGACCGUGGAGCCGUCGGUGAUUCCGGAGAAAGGCUUGGUUGGCUGAAGCUGGCUGUAGGGCACUUGGAUAUUGUUGAGUGUUUCCACGGGCAGGACGUUGAGCCCUGCCCCACCAUCGAUGAGGGUCCUGGUGACCACCACCUUGCUGACGAUUGGGGAACAAAGCAUCAGGAGAACUCCGGCUGUAGCCGCACACUUGAGCUGAUCUGCUGAGCUGAACGUGAUGGCGCACGCCGACCACCUGAGAGGGCGCGUGGCUUCGAGCCUGGGGAGGACUGCAUUCACUUCGUGGGCGAACUGCUUGAAGAUGCGUUGAGAGGCUGGGGCUUGAGCCCUGCCCAGGAUGCAGGCGAUCGCGUGCGGCUCCUGGAAGCCCCCAUCCCCCUCGUCCUGGUGGCAGCCCUCGUUUCUCCUUGGCUGCGGCGGCAGCGGAGGGAGGCCUGCGUUGCCUUGCGGGCGAUCCUCGCGAGGCUGAUCCCUCCAGUCUCCCUCGCGAGGCAGGUCUUGCCAGCGAUCCUCGCGAGAUUGAUCGCGCCACCCUUGGCGCGGGCCAUGGUCUUCCCAGCGUCCUGUGUUCCUUCCUCCUCCUCGAUCGUGGCCCCGGUCACCGCGGUCAGGGCGACGGCCGAUUCUUCCUUCUCGCACGGCUCGGAGCUCCUGACAUUCGUUGGUGUUGUGGGUGUGGAGGUCGUGGUACACACAGUACCGGCUGCCCUUGGAAGGUUCGAGCUGAUCUCUACCCCGCUUGGUGUCUGGUUCUGCCGCGAGCACGGCAGCCCCCUUGCACUUCACAUCCUUGGCCUUGGGCUUAUUAUCUUAUGGGUCUGCGGCAGGAAGCUUGAGGACGGAGAGACGCCCUUCCUCAGCCCUGGCACACUUGGUUGCCAAGUUGAACAGCUCCAAGGUAGUGCACAGGUCUUCAUGCAUCACCAGCUCCUCCUUCAUCUUGACAUCGCGCACGCCGUCGGAGAAGGCUGAGAUGAUGGCCUCCUCAGUCACCUUGGGAAUCUUGAGGCAUGCGUUGUUGAAGCGCUGGAUGUACUUCUGCAGGGUCUCCCCGGGUUGUUGCUUGAUGCGGCGCAUGUCGCUCAUGGCGGGUGGCCGGUGCGAGUACCUUGGAAGUUGGCAACGAAGCGGGUGCGCAUCUCGUCCCAGGAGGAGAUCGUGCCUGGAGCCAGGUUCAGGAGCCAGGUGUUGGCCCCGUCCUUCAGCGCCAUGGGGAACCGUUCGCCAUGACCUUCUCGUCUCCAUUGGCAGCUUCGAUGCCCAGCUCGUAGAGCUGGAGGAACUCCGCAGGGUCAGCCGUGCCGUCGUAACGAGGAGGCAGGUCUGGCUUGAACUUGCCGGGCCACACGACGCUGCGUAGCUCGGUGGUGAAGGCGCGGGAGCCUGCUGUGGCCACAGGAGGCGUCGGGUGGCGGAGAGCUUGGUCUUGCAUGUCCCCCCGCGCUGCAGCUGGGAGCAGCGUGGGGUCUUGACGCGUGGGAGCAGGAGCAUGGUCGCGACGUGCUGGAGCAGGGAGUGCCCGGGCAGCUUCUUGCGGGCCAGGGACUUCUUGGCAGCUCUGCUCUUGCCGCGCUGGCACCUGAUGGAGCGGGUUCCGCCCAGGGGCCACGCGCCUUGGAGCCAUGGCGCCUUCCUGAGGAGGAGGCGGCCGCGGCACCGCCGAAGCUUCAUCGCCCGCGCGGGGCGGGGUGCGGUGCAGCGGAACGGACGGCGCAGGAGAGCCCCCUGCGGCACAGACGAGCUCGGCGACGCGGUCGAGCCAUUCUUCGUAGACGUCGUCGACGGGACGGUAGCGCAGGAGCUCGUUCGCCGCGAUGAGCGCAGCUCAAGCCUCCAUGGGCGCGCGGAGCGUGCGGGACGAAGAACCAGCUGGGGUGAGCGAGGGAGUUGCGGUGCGGCCGUCUUGCCACACGGGCGGAUGCUGAGACGAUGCUUGCUGCUCGUCCCCCGCCGGGCCGGUGGCGGCAUUGACGGCAGGUGACGGGGAAUGGCGAGGACGCCCACCGGCAGGGGCCGUUUGGGCGACGCGGGAAGUGAGAGUGGCCCGGCGCUCGGCGCGGGCCCGACGAGCGUCAGACAUGGGCGUGAUGGUCGAAGGAGAACGGGGUGGUGGAAGACGAAUUUCGGCGCACCCCUACCUGGCGCGCCAAAUGUCGGAUUUCGGGUUCCGGCAGACCCUUGAGGUUCGAACACUGGGGUGCGCGCAGAGAUUUCGCCUCCUACCUACCUGCACCCCUCCGCCACGCAAAGAUCUAAGCUAUGGAAAGAACAACAUGAGAGACACAGGGUUUAUACUGGUUCGGGCCACCGUUGUGGUGUAAUACCCUACUCUAGUGUGUGGUGUGGUGGAUUGCCUCUUGGGCUGAUGAUGAUGAACAAUACAAGGAAGAACAGCCUCGCGAGGGUUUGUUCUUGGCUGGGGGGAUGAACUGCCAGGAGGAGUUCAGUCACCCUUCUCUCUCUUUCUCUCUUCUUGGUUGUCCUCCUUCUUUUUUUCAUCCUGCGGGUGGCUGGUCCUAUUUAUAGAGGCCCUGGUCCUCUUCCCAAAUAUCGAGCAGGAAGGGAGCCAACAAUGGUGGGCUAAUUUGAAAGGGGACAGCUAGUACCAGUUAUCCUGACAAAAGUAGUCUUCGCCUGCACAAAGCUCUGGUGGUGACGCCGUCUUGGGCUCCACAAUGACCUCCAUCUUGCAGUCCUCCUGGUCUUGGUCUUGUUGCACCGAAAUGGCAACCUUUACCUGAUGCCUCGGUACUCCAUGGCUCUGCUUGCCCCCUUUGCACCAAAGGGGAAAGGAGGACACUGCGCGGGCUGGCGCCCGCCUGGCGCCCUUGGUCGUCAUGGCUUGCGUCACGGGCACCUUGUGAGGUACCCCGCCUUGAUCUCUCCGCCUCCUCGCGAGCCAGCCUGAUGAGGCCGUGCCUGAGGAAGCUCCGCGUCGUCCGCCCUGCGAGGCUUGGCCCCUCGCGAGGGUCUUGAGUCUGUGAUGGUGAAGAUGGGCCGUGCUGGGCCCCCUUUUGAGCCACGCCGCAGGCCGCAGGCAGGCAAGUCUGGGGACCCCCGUUCCCCGAACGCCGACACUUGCCUCGUGGCCUCCUUGCUUCUUUCUUAACGUCCACUCCAAGUCUCCUGGAUUAUGUUUGUUCCAAAUGUAACUCUCCCGAAGGUUUCAUUCCGUUUGGACUCCGUUUGAUAUUUCUUUUCUGCGGAACACUGAAAUAGGAAAAAAACAACAAUUUUCUCAGGGCCUUUGGUUAGUAGGUUAGUCCCCAAAAUAAUAUAAAAGGUAAAUUAAAGCCCAUUAAACAUCCAAAACAGAUAAUAUAAUAGCAUGGAACAAUCAAAAAUUAUAGAUACGUUGGUGACGUGUCAUCACACAACGUUUACCAUACGUACAUGCUACGGGACUUGCAAACUCUAACACAAGUAUUUCUCAAAUUCACAACUACUCAAAUAGCAUGACUCUUAUAUUACCAUCUUGCAUGUUAGUAGGUCUCUCCCAAAAGGUGUGUACAGCAAGGAUGAUUGUGGUAAACUAAAAAUCAAAGACUCAAAUCGUACAAGACGCUCCAAGCAAAACACAUAUCAUAUGGUGAAUAAAAAUAUAGCCUCAAAUAAAGUUACCGAUAGACGAAGACGAAAGAGGGGAUGACUUCCGGGGCAUCCCCAAGCUUAGGCUUUUGGUUGUCCUUGAAUUUUCCCUUGGGGUGCCAUGGGCAUCCCAAGCUUAGGCUCUUGCCACUCCUUAUUCCAAAAUCCAUCAAAUCUUUACCCAAAACUUGAAAACUUCACAACACAAAACUUCAACAGAAAAUCUCAUGAGCUCCGUUAGUAUAAGAAAACAAACCACCACUUCAAGGUACUGUAAUGAACUCAUUAUAUAUUUAUAUUGGUGUUAAACCUACUGUAUUCCAACUUCUCCAUGGUUCGUACCCCCCGAUACUAGCCAUAGAUUCAUCAAAAUAAGCAAACAACACACGAAAAACAGAAUCUGUUAAAAACAGAACAGUCUAUAGUAAUCUGUAAGUUUCGAAUACUUAUGUAACUCCAAAAAUUCUGCAAAAUUAGGAUGUCCUAAAUAAUUUGUAUAUUGAUCUACUGCAGUUGGAAUUGGUACUUUAUCGCUCUCUGGUAAAACAUAAAAAUUAUUGCCGUGAGCGCAUACUUUUUUUCAGCAAGAUCAAACAACAAUCAUCCAAGAAUAUCCUAAAGGCUUUACUCGGCACGAACACUAAUUAAAACACAAAAACACAAUCGUAAAAGAGGAUAGAUGAUUUAUUUAUUACUAAACAGGAACAAAAAGCAAGGAACAAAAAUAAAAUUGGGUUGCCUCCCAACAAGCGCUAUCGUUUAACGCCCCUAGCUAGGCAUAAAAACAAGAAUAUAUCUAGGUAUUGUCAUCUUUGGUAUGCAAUCCAUAAGUGGCCCUCAUAAUAGAUUCAUAAGGUAAUUUAACUUUAUUCCUAGGAAAGUGUUCCAUGCCUUUCCUUAAUGGAAAUUGGAAUCUAAUAUUUCCUUCUUACAUAUCAAUAAUUGCACCAAUCGUUCUAAGGAAAGGUCUACCAAGAAUAAUAAGACAUGUAGGAUUGCAAUCUAUAUCAAGAACAAUAAAAUCUACAGACACAUAAUUCCUAUUUGCAACAAUAAGAACAUCAUUAAUCCUUCCCAUAGGUUUCUUAAUGGUGAAAUCCGCAAGAUGAAAAUUUAAAGAACAAUCAUCAAAUUCACGGAAACCUAGCACAUCACACAAAGUUUUGGGAAUCGUGGAGACACUAGCACCCAAAUCACAUAAAGCAUAACAUUCAUGAUUUUUAUAUUAAUUUUAAUAGUAGGUUCCAACUCAACAUAAAUUUUUCUAGGGAUAGAAACUUCCAAUUCAAGCUUUUCUUCAUAGGAUUGCAUUAAAGCAUCAACGAUAUGUUUGGUAAAAGCUUUAUUUUGACUAUAAGUAUGAGGAGAAUUUAACAUGAAUUGCAACAAGGAAAUACAAUCUAUUAAAGAACAGUUAUCAUAAUUAAAUUCCUUGAAAUCCAAAAUAGUGGGUUCAUUGCUAUGUAAAGUUUUGACCUCUUCAAUCCCACUUUUACCAAUUUUUGCAUCAAGAUCUAAAAACUCUGAAUCAUUGGGAUGCCUUUUAACUAAAGUUGACUCAUAUCCAGUCCCACCUUUAUCAAGAUUCAUAUUAGAAAAAAAGAUUGUGAUAGGAGACACAUCAAUCAGUUUUAGAUCUUCAUUAUUAUUAUCAUGAAAACUAGAAGAACACGCUUUCACAAAGCAAUCUUUUUUAGCACGCAUCCUAGCGGUUCUUUCUUUGCACUCAUCAAUGGAAAUUAUCAUAGCUUUGAGAGACUCAUUGAUAUAAUGCUUAGGUGAAAUAUAUCUAAGUUUCAAAGAAUCGACAUCAAGAGAAAUUCUAUCCACGUUCCUAGCCAACUCAUCAAUCUUAGGCAACUUUUCUUCAAGCAAAGCAUUGAAAUUCUUUUGAGAAAUCAUAAAUUUUCUUUAACACUAGUCUCAAAAUAAGAGUGCAUCUUAUUAAAAUUUCCAUAAGAGUUUUUGUACGAAUUACCAUAAUUUUUAGAGGAAUUACUAGGGAAUGGCCUAGAAUUAAAAUUUCCUCUAUACGCGUUAUUACCAAAAUUGCUUGUACCAAAAAAAUUCACAUCCAUAGAUUCAUUAUUAUUUUCAAUCAAAGUAGACAAAGGCAUAUCAUUAGGAUCAGAAGAAGCACUCUUAUUAGCAAACAAUUUCAUAAGUUCAUCCAUCUUUCCACUCAAAACAUUAAUAUCUUCUAUCGCAUGAACCUUUUACUAGUAGAUCUUUCGGUGUGCCAUUGAGAAUAAUUAACUAUAAUAUUAUCUAGGAGUUUAGUAGCUUCUCCUAAAGUGAUUUCCAUAAAAGUGCCUCCCGCGGCCGAAUCUAAAAGAUUUCUAGAAGCAGAAUUCAUUGGAUCUCGACAAACACACUGCAAAAAGAUUUACAUCGAAUAGAUCUCCAAGAAGAUCGAGGAGAACUUGGUAUUGAUAUCCAAAGAGAGAGAAGAAACCAUCUAGCUAAUAACUAUGGACCCGAAGGUCUGUGGUAAACUACUCACACAUCAUCGGAGAGGCUAUGGUGUUGAUGUAUAAGCCCUCCGUGAUCGAAUCCCCCUCCGGCGGAGCGCCGGAAAAUGCCCCAAGAUGGGAUCUCAUGGGUACAGAAGGUUGCGGCAGUGGAAAAGGUGUUUUGUGGCUCUCCACAAAGGUAUCAGGGUAUAAGAGUAUAUAUAGGCGAAAGAAGUAGGUCGGUGGAGCUGUGAGGGGCCCACAAGGGUGGGGGCGCGCCCUCCUGCCUCGUGGCUUCCUUGCUGCUUCCUUGACGUCCACUCCAAGUCUCCUGGAUUGCAUCUGUUCCAAAAAAGAUACUCACGAAGGUUUCGUUCCGUUUGGAUUCCGUUUGAUAUUCCUUUUCUGUGAAACACCGAAAUAGGCAAAAAAACAACAAUUUGCAUUGGGCCUUCGGUUAAUAGGUUAGUCCCAAAAAUAACAUAAAAGUGCACAGUAAAGCCCAUUAAACAUCCAAAACAGAUAAUAUAAUAGCAUGGAACAAUAAAAAAUUAUAGAUACGCUGGAGACGUAUCAGUUACAUGCUUAACUAGAUUUUAUACAACUGGUGUAGUAAAUUCUGGUUCAAUUGUGCAUACAAUUUCCAAAACAAUUUCCGGUUUGUUAGUCCAGCUUACUUCCACUGGAGGUUCAGCAAUCUCAUCAAGCUGUACUAUCCUCCCACUCACUUCUUUAGCUAGAAACUCUUUCUCAAGAAAGUGUCCAGCGCGUGCAAGAAACAAUUUGUCAUCAGACGGGCGGUAGAAGGAAUACCCUAUAGUUUAUUUGGGAUAACCUACAAAUUAACAUUUGUUUGAUUUAGCAUGGAGUUUAUUUGGUUGUAAAUGCUUCACAUAAGUUUCACAAUCCCAAAUCUAUGUGAAAAAUUGGGUUUCUUCCUAUUCCAUAACUCAUAUGGUGUCGACUCAACAGACUUAUACGAUGCUCUGUUUAGUGUGUAUGUUGCUGCUUCGAGUGCAUAUCUCCCAAAUUAUAAAGGCAAAUCAGUAAGAGACAGCAUUGACCUCACCAUGUCAACAUGGUUUGGCUACACCUCUUAGACACGUCAUUUCUUUGUGGAGUUCCGGGAGGAGUAUAUUCCAAAACAAAUACAUGAUCACUUAGAUGUUUGUUAAACUCAUGACUUUGAUAUUCGCCUCUGUUCUAUAAUCAUAGAAACUUUAUCUUCUUCUCACGGUGAUCAUCAACUUCGUUCUAGAAUUCUCUACACUUUUCAAAGGUCUCGGACUUAUGUUCCAUUAAGUAAAUAUUACCAUAUUUAUUAAAAGCAUCAGUGAAGGUUACAAAGUAUAAGCAUCCACCGCGUGCCGGUGUGCUCAUCAGACCACCUAUAUCACUAUGUAUUAUUUCCAAUAAUUCACCCGCCCGUUAAGGAUGACCCAUGAAUGGGAUCUCAGUUUACCCAUCAAGCAAGCCUCGCAUGUGUCAAAUGAUUCAAUAUCAAAAUACGUUAAUACUCCAUAUUUAUGAAGCUUUUGCAUUCAUUUCUUUCUGAUGUGACCAAGAUAGCAGUGCCACAUGUUAGUGUUAUUAUCAGUCUUCUCAAGACUUUUAACUUCUAUGUUAUAGACAUCAUUUUCACAUUCAGGAUCCAACAUGAAAAAUCGACUGACAAUAAGUGCAAAGCCAUAAAACAUAUCUAUAAUACCUAAAUAGCUCAUCCCCACUAACUUAUUUCUCUUGACAUGCACACUAUCCACAUCAGCAGCAUGCCACCUCAGCAAUUUUUUCCAUGAAUCAUGUCAUGAAAUUCUGGUAAAGAGUUGAAGCGGGCAUGUUCUAUCUUCCAUUAGCGUUGAAUCGGUGUAAUAAAUAAAACUGAUAAAAGAAGAAGCCCAUCGGUCCAUCUUGGCAAAGCAGGUGCCGCCCUCAACUCGGACGGGUCCCCACCCAGAUCCUGUGCCCGACGGAAAAGGAUUGAGCUUCUCUGCCUGCUCUCCACGGAUCCAGGUGCCCCGUCAGAUCUGCCGCCAGGAGGUGCAGCCCUACAGCCUCGACACGCUCAACCUCGGAGACCUCUUUAAGAGUGACUGCCACCAUCACCCGGUUACCCAGAAGAAACGACGCACUGUCGGCUGUCUGCCUUCAGCGCAUGCGGACCGCCCAUCUACGCCAUAGAAGAACAGGAAGAUAACUAUCCCCAUUGAGAAGUGGAGCAGCUCCAUUACCAUCGGCCGUCAUCUCUGGUAUUUUCCUAUUUGGUGCCAACGCCCCUGAUUGAGUUUGCCUUCUCCUCAUCUUCCCCAUUCGCUUCAUCCUCACCACAUCAAGCUGUUUUUAGUUUCUGGCCCUAAAAAAUCAUAGCCGUCGACAUGUAUCUCCUGUUGGUAUUAUAUGUACCGGACAUGGUGAAUUUCAAGUCCUCUCCGUCGGCACUGCACCAUCAUGGUCGCCUGCUCGGCUAAUCAGAAAUCAGCUGCAAGUUGCACCACUGUUGAUCUUCUAUGAAACUAGUCAAUGGAUGACGCCUUAGUGAGUCAUGUUUCUCAUCUUCAUCUGCCACCUCUAUCAGGUUUGAUAUAAAUUCAGAUAGCUAUGUUUAUGAUCUUCCAUCUACCAUUUCUUAGGUUUGAUUCAUAUUAAGAUAGCUAUAUAUAUGUGGAAUUUUAUUCUUCGCUAUAUGUUGUUUGCAAGCAGGAAAAUGCUAUGGAAGCAGCCAAAUUAUAAUAUCAUGUAUGUUCUCCACAUUUUCCUCUAAUGGUGUUUAUGUUGGGAUUUCCUUUUUUAGUAUAGGAAUGCUUAUGGUGAGAUUGGGUAUUUGUAGAGGCAUCACUUACAGAUAGUUGGUUGAAAGUGUCAGAUGUGUACUGCUAGAUUUUUUAAUGGAUCAUGUCCUAUAAGGGACUAUCUGGAGCUAGAUUAUGGCAUUACUGCUCCAUGUACUCUUAUUUAGGAUCAAUAUAUGCUAUGUAACAAUUGUGACAUUAUGCCCCGCCAAGAUUAGACAAGAACUGAUAAUUAUGGUCUUUUCUUUUAUUAUGUUGUUUUGAUGUGCUAAAAUGUUAUGCUGCUACUUGAUUUGACUAAUUCUAUUACGUUGUGCGUGCAUCCAUUGUUACAUGUCUCAGGUUAACAAGAAACAUUGUAUUCCCAUUUGUUUUUAACUAGGAUGUGCCCUCCUAUGGCAUGAAUUGUAAGUAACUGAUACGUCUCCAAUGUAUCUAUAAUUUUGAUUGCUCCAUGCACUACUAGGGAAAAGCUUAUACACAAGAUCUUACCAAGAGCGAGUUUUAAAAUAAGGCGCUGAUGCAAUGUAGCAGUAGCACGCUCCGGCAGUACUCGCUGCUGAAAUAGACAUAGCAGCAGUGCGCCUCCUCUAAGCCGCGCUACUGCUAUAAUUCUCACGACCCCGCCGUGAAGCUAGUUCUAGCAGCAUUGCUUUUAUUCCGACCGCGCUACUGCUAGGUAGUUUAGCAGUAGCGCCUUUGCCUUUAGAGCGCUACUACUAAAACUAGCUAUCUCCAACCCGGCCCCCACUCUCUCCUCUAUCCGAUCCACACUCACACUCACACGCAUUCCCCCUCAACCCCCCCCCCCUUCCCCNNNNNNNNNNNNNNNNNNNNNNNNNNNNNNNNNNNNNNNNNNNNNNNNNNNNNNNNNNNNNNNNNNNNNNNNNNNNNNNNNNNNNNNNNNNNNNNNNNNNNNNNNNNNNNNNNNNNNNNGCACGCCGGUCCUCCCCCGCCGGCCGCCGUCACCCCCGCCAGCCACCGUCGCCUACCCCUCUUCCCUCUGUGCUGCCGUCAACUCCUCCUCCGUCCUCCCCCGACUCGCCGCCGGCCGGCCCCUCCUCGCUCCGCCUUCCUCCUUCAUCCUACUCUCUUCUCCCUCCUCGAGUCGCCCCUCCUUCUCCCUCCUCCCUGCUACAUUUUGAUUUAGUAGGCUAGUUCAUAUGCAACAUUUUGAUUUAGUUGAUAUGAUUUAGUUGAUUUAGUAGGCUAGUUGAUUUAGAACAUUUUGAUUUAGUUGAUUUAGUAAGCUAGUUUAUUUAGUUGAUUUAGAACAUUUUAAUUUAGUAGGCUAGUUGAUUUAGUAGAUUUAGUAGGCUAGUUGAUUUAGAACAUUUUAAUUUAGUUGAUUUAGCAUGCUAGUGGAUUUAGUAGGCUAGUUGAUUUAGUUGAUUUAGUAUGCACCAUUUUAUUGUUAUUUUUUCUGUACAUGGAUAGGUAGAUGCUUUUGUUUUUUUUUUGUAAUAAGUUAUUUUUUGGCAAAAUGUAGGUGCCAAUUUAGUUAAAUUUGCCACUUGUUUUUUUAAUCAAUUAUCUUAGGCAAUAGGGGCCAAAAUAGAUGAAAUGUCUUGUUAGGUGGUACCCUUAUUUGGUACCCUUAUAAUUGUCCAUAAAAUUGCUUCUCGCGGAAGAACCAAAAAUAUCACAUGCUACUGUUUUUAUUUCCUGUGAAGUGGAUCGUUAAUCCUUUGCACAUAUUGCUUUAGGAAAAUGGUGCCGCCACCACCACCACUAUGUCGACUGUGCAAGUCAAGGUGCGCCAGCAACCUUGCAACUGGGAAGUUGUUCGGCAUCUACUUCCAGCCGAGUUUUUGUCAUGCGGCUGUAAGAAAUUAGAUGAAAUGUAAAAACUAUUUUAUUUUUAGUGUUGGCAUUACUGCAUUGUGUCAUUUUGUUUUUUUACACAGAUCGUCCCAUGCAAUGUGAGGUUGAAAUUCAACAAGCUGACAGGAGACACUGUGACAUUUGAGGCUCCUGGGGGCCGUACACUAUGGAGGUCGAGAAAGGACGCAAUAUGUCGCAGAUUAGAGGAGAUGGAUGGGCCCGUUUGCUCGCCCACAUGCGUCUUACUGGUGGUGAGUUGAUCAACUUCUCCUUCAGAGCAGAAAGACCCAAGCUGGCUGUCAUUUAUCUCAACCUGGUGGAAGAUGAUGAAGAUGACGAAGAUGAUGAAGAUAAUGGGGACCCACUCGAUGAAGAUGAUGAGAACCCACUUCAUGAAGCCAUUGUAUCUCAAAGAAUGAGGCUAAGCGAGGAGGAGGUGUGCAACCUAUGGGACAUAAUUCCGCCACGUGAUGACUUUGUCAGGGUGCCAUUCGUGACCCGCCUGACAAGUACCAUGGUCCAUCGGCAUGAAAUGGUAUGUUAUAAUGACUGUAGUAAUUUGAUGAUAUAUAUAUGCUUUAUUGUUAUACUUACAAAUGCAAAUUAUCCGAUGAUAUGCUUAGUGAAUCCGAUGAUCUCUACCCCUAAUGGAGCAGUUGGUAGCCUCGUACGGUUUAUUUUCGUCCCACCACUUUCAAUCGUUUCAUUUCGCUGGGGUUUUUUCGUCCCCUCCCCCACCUCAUCGGUUUAGUUUCGCAUCACCCUCACGCACAACGAAAAAAACUAAACGGAUCAGAACUUUCCAUAUUGAGUACUGACGCAAGUGAAAGAAUCAAUCACGAUCAAUUUCUAAAGUUUAAAUCUAAAUUAAUUACCGUAAAUCGCUCAAUCACAUUAAUUAGUUAGGAAACAAAUAACCAAUUUCAAGAAAUCUCAUUAUUAAAGCAUUUAUGUACCUACUUAAUUUGUAAGGAAAGAUUAUCUCAUUAUUCUCUACUCCUAGUAAUGUCUUAGUACGUACAUCGUUUCGUUCGCUCGUUCCCUUCCCUCUCCAUCUCAUUUUUUUCGUAGAUUUUUUUCGUCCCCUCCCCCCACUUCAUCAGUUUAUUUUCGCGUCACCCUCUCACACAACGAAAGAAAUCUGAACAGAUCAGAACUUUCCAUACUGAUGCAAAUUAUUUAGUAAUGUAGAAUCAAUCACGAACAAUCUCUAAAGAUCAAAUCUAAAUUAAUUAACCUUACCUUAAAUCGCUCAAUCACAUUAAUUAGAAAACAAAUAUUUGUUUUUCAGAAAAAUCGCUCAAUCACAUUAACCUUGCCUUAACUCACGAAUGGUAAUCAAUCUCCAAACAAAGGAAACAAUACAUCGAGGGAGCAGUAAAUAAACUCCCUUUCUUAUGACAUGUAUAUGAUCUUUCCCUUCCCUCUUCGUUGUCGAGUGUUCUUGAUUCUCGAGGCUGAUGCUUGGGCUGCGUCACUGGGUCGCGAGGAUGUCGAGGCCGGGUGCCGCGGCACCAUGUUGGCCGCGGCCGGUGAAGGGGGCGAAGAAGGGAGGCUUCCCUGGCCGUGGCUGUGGCCGUGGCCCUGGGAGUUGGUGCGGUGGAAGCGACACUUGAAGGACCUGGCGUGGGUGGCCGGCGCGCAGACGCACUUGGUAGCCUUGUAUGGUUUAUUUUCGUCCCACCUCCCAUGGUUUUUUUGGCACUCCUCCCACCUUCACUGGUUUUUUGUAGAUUUUUUUUUCGUCCACUCGCCCCACUUCAUUGGUUUAUUUUCGCGUCACCCUCUCACACAACGAAAGAAAUCUGAACAGAUCAUAACUUUCCAUACUGAAGCAAGUUAUUUAGUAAUGUAGAAUCAAUCACGAACAAUCUCUAAAGAUCAAAUCUAAAUUAAUUAACCUUACCUUAAAUCACUCAAUCACAUUAAUUAGAAAACAAAUAUUUGAUUUUCAGAAAAAUCGCUCAAUCACAUUAACCUUACCUUAACUUACGGAUGGUAAUCAAUCUCCAAACAAAGGAAACAAUACAUCGAGGGAACAGUAAAUAAACUCCGUUUCUUAUGACAUGUAUAUGAUCUUUCCCUUCCCUCUCCGUUGUCGAGCGUUCUUGAUUAUCGAGGCCGAUGCUUGGGCUGCAUCACUGGGUCGCAAGGACGUCGAGGCCAGGUGCCGCGGCACCGCAUUGGCCGCGGUCGGUGAAGAGGGCGAAGAAGGGCGGCUUCCCUGGCCCUGGCCGUGGCUGUGGCCCUGGGAGUUGGUGCGGUGGAAGCGGCACUUGAAGGACCCGACGUGGGUGGUCGGCGUGCAGACGCACUUGGAAGCGGGACCGUGGCCCACGCCGGACGGCACCGACGCCAACCCGGGCCACCUCCUCCGCGUAGUCUUGGAGCUGUGGCUGGCCGAUUUACAUGAAAUUAAUUCCCUCAGUUGUGGUGGCAAAUAUAAUACACAUAAUCCAUAUUGUGAAAUAGAUGGAUUAUGGUCCCGUACCCAAUAAGAUGGAUAUGUGUGUGUGUUAGAGAGAGGGGGGGGAGAGGGGGAGAGAGAGUGAGGAAGAGGGAGGAAGAGAGAGUGUGUGUGAGGAUUUGAUGGUGAGAAAAGGUCGCCAAUGUCACUUGAUAUGCAUAAGAAUAUUAAUAUUGAACUCUUAAAGUUAAUGUGGCCCCGUUGCAACGCACGGGUGUUCUUCUAGUAUGCUUAAUGUAGAGUCCAAUGAUAUGCUUUGUGGAAUCUAGUCGAUGAUAUGCUUUAGUGUAGAGUCUGAUCACAUGCUUAUUAGUGUAGAAUCCAAGGAACUAUUAAUAGUGUAGAUAAUCCAUAUAUACUUAUUAGUAGAAUUCAUGAUUAAUUAGUACAAAUGCAUAGGACUGCGUCUUUUGAUAGUGUAGAAAUCUAGACUUAAUAGAAAUAUAUUUGCAAGAGUAUGUGCGAAGCUAUUUAUUAAUUGAUAUGUUUUUCUUAUUCAUAAAUUGCCAAAGAACCUAUGUGUGAGUUGUUGUAUCGAGCCUAAUGAAGAAGGCUCAGUUGGACUAUACCUUACCGUAAGGGGCUCCGUCACCACCUGUACUUACCGCAUGGACACAGAUGGUCGCACACACUUAAACUCGGUUGGGUGGAAGAGAAUCCUCGUUGGCAAGAAUCUUCAUGUUGGACAGGCCAUCCUAAUUACUAUCAGGAACACCCACCACCUAGGCUUGAGGAUGAUGAUCGUCGUCGAUAUCAUCUAGAACUAUAUGUGUGUGUGUGGCUAUAUCAUCUAGAACUACGUAUGAUGAUUGUUGUUGAUAUCAUGUAGAACUACAUAUGAUGAUCAUUGUCGAUAUCAUCUAGAACUACAUAUGAUGAUCGUCGUCGAUAUCACCUAGUACUGCUUGAGGAUGCAUGUUGAGUAUAUAUGAAAUUGUUAUCUGUACUCCCUCGGUUCCAAAUUACUUGUCGUGGUUUUAUUUCAAAUUUGAACUAAAACCACGACGAGUAAUUUGGAACCGAGGGAAUACUACCUAGUACCUAUAAUGCUUUAUGGCUUUAUGAAAUUGAUAUCUAGUAGUACCUAGUAUCUCAAAAUUGCAGUUUAUUGAAGCUGAAACGGGGUGGUAAUGGUGAAAGAUAUAGCAGUAGCGCAGGGCUAGGAAAUCGAUGCAGCUAACUAAUAGUAGCGUGUUCCGAAAAAGCGUUGCUAAUAUAGUCAAUAGUAGUAGCACGGGUACAGACAGCGCUACUACUAAGAGUUAGCUGUAGCACCUUAUUGGUAGUGCGGCCGCCCAUGCUGCUGAUAGCCUCAAAACCCGCGCUACUACUAGGGUUUUCCCUAGUAGUGAUGCUAUUAUAUUAUCUGUUUUGGAUAUUAAUGGGCUUUAUUUUACACUUUUAUAUCAUUUUUGGGACUAACCUAUUAACCGGAGGCCCAACCCAAAUUGCUAUUUUUUUGCCUAUUUUAGAGUUUCGCCGAAAAGGAAUAUCAAACGGAGUCCAAACGGAAUGAAACCUUCGGGAACGUGAUUUUCUCAACAAACGUGAUCCAGGAGACUUGGAGUGGGCGUCAAGAAACAAAUGAGGAAGCCACGAGGCGGGGGCGCCUACCCCCCUGGGCGCGCCCUCCACCCUCGUGGGCCCCUUGUUGCUCCACGACGUACUUCUUCCUCCUAUAUAUAUCCACGUACUCCCAAACAUCCAGGAGCACCAGGAAAACCUAAUUCCACCGCCGCAACCUUCUGUACCCGAGAGAUCCCAUCUUAGGGCCUUUUCCGGAGCUCCGCCGGAGGGAGCAUUGAUCACGGAGGGCCUCUACAUCAACUCCAUGGCCUCUCCGGUGAUGUGUGAGUAGUUUACUUCAGACCAGCGGGUCCAUAGUUAUUAGCUAGAGGGCUUCUUCUCUCUCUUUGGAUCUCAAUACAAAGUUCUCCUCGAUCUUCUUGGAGAUCUAUUCAAUGUAAUCUUCUUUUGCCAUGUGUUUGUCGAGAUCCGAUGAAUUGUGGGUUUAUGAUCAAGUUAAUCUAUGAACAAUAUUUGAAUCUCCUUUGAAUUCUUUUAUGUAUGAUUGGUUUAUCUUUGCAAGUCUCUUCGAAUUAUUAGUUUGGUUUGGCCUACUAGAUUGAUCUUUCUUGCAAUGGGAGAAGUGCUUAGCUGUUCAAUCUUGCGGUGUCCUUUCCCAGUGACAGCAGGGGCAGCAAGGCACGUAUUCUAUUGUUGCCAUCGAGGAUAAAAAGAUGGGGUUUAUAUCAUAUUCCAUGAGCUUAUCCGUCUACAUCAUGUCAUCUUACUUAAACCAUUACUCUGUUCUUAUGAACUUAAUACUCUAGAUGCAUGCUGGAUAGCGGUCGAUGUGUGGAGUAAUAUUAGUAGAUGCAGAAUCGUUUCGGUCUACUUGUCGCGGACGUGAUGCCUAUAUACAUGAUCAUACCUAGAUACUCUCAUAACUAUGCUCAAUUCUAUCAAUUGCUCGACAGUGAUUCGUUUACCCACUGUAAUACUUAUGCUCAUGAGAGAAGCCACUAGUGAAACCUAUGGCCACCGGUUCUAUCUUCCAUCAUAUUAAUCUUCCAACACUUAGUUAUUUCUAUUACCGUUUAUUUUACUUUGCAUAUUUACUUCUCUUUAUCAUAAAAAUACCAAAAAUAUUAUCUUAUCAUAUCUAUCAAAUCUCACUCUCGUAAGUGACCGUGAAGGGAUUUACAAUCCCUUUAUCGCGUUGGUUGCGAGGUUCUUAUUUGCUUGUGUAGGUGCGUGGGACUCGAGCGUGAUCUCCUACUGGAUUGAUACCUUGGUUCUCAAAAACUGAGGGAAAUACUUAUGCUACUAUACUGCAUCACCCUUUCCUCUUCAAGGGAAAACCAACUUAGUGCUCAAGAGGUAGUAAGAAGGAUUUCUGGCGCCGUUGCCAGGGAGAUUCACGCCAAGUCAAGUCAAGAUUUGACUCCCGACAACGAGCCACUUCUGGCACCGUUGCCGGAGUCUACGCACAAGUCAAGACAUACCAAGUACACAUCAUAAACUCUUAUCCCUCUCAUUACAUUAUUUGCCAUUUGCCUCUCAUUUUCCUCUCCCCCACUUCACCCUUGUCGUUUUAUUCGCCCUCUCUUUUCCGUUCACCUCUUUUUUGCUUGUUCCUUGUUUGCUCGUGUGUUGGAUUGCUUGCUUGUCACGAUGGCUCAAGAUAAUACUAAAUUGUGUGACUUUACCAAUACCAACAACAAUGAUUUUCUUAGCACUUCAAUUCUCCUCUUACCGAUGCUGAAUCUUGUGAAAUUAAUGCUGGUUUGUUGAAUCUUGUCAUGAAAGAUCAAUUCGCCGGCCUUCCUAGUGAAGACGCCGCUACCCAUCUAAAUAGCUUUGUUGAUUUGUGUGAUAUGCAAAAUAAGAAAGAUGUAAUGAUAUUGUUAAAUUGAAGCUAUUUCCUUUUUCCCUUAGAGAUCAUGCUAAAGCUUGGUUUUCAUCUUUGCCUAAAAAUAGUAUUGAUUCAUGGAAUAAGUGCAAAGAUGCUUUUAUCUCUAAGUAUUUUCCUCCCGCUAAAAUCAUCUCGCUUAGAAACGAUAUUAUGAAUUUUAAGCAACUUGAUCAUGAACAUGUUGCACAAGUUUGGGAGGGGAUGAAAUUAAUGAUACGUAAUUUCCCUACACAUGGUUUGAAUCUUUGGAUGAUUAUACAAUUUUUUUUAUGCUGGAUUGAAUUUUGCUUCUAGAAAUCUUUUAGAUUCGGCCGCGGGAGGCACUUUUAUGGAAAUAACUUUAGGAGAAGCUACUAAACUCUUAUAUAAUAUUAUGGUUAAUUAAUAUCAAUGGCACACCGAAAGAUCUACUAAUACAAAAUUGCAUGCGAUAGAAGAAAUUAAUGUUUUGAGUGGAAAGAUGGAUGAACUUAUGAAAUUGUUUGCUAAUAAGAGUGCUCCUACUGAUCCUAAUGAUAUGCCUUUGUCUGCUUUGAUUGAUAAUAAUAAUGAAUCUAUGGAUGUGAAUUUUGUUGGUAGGAACAAUUUUGGUGACAACACGUAUAGAGGUAAUUUUAAUUCUAGGCCGUUUCCUAGUAAUUCCUCUAAUAAUUAUGGUAAUUCCUACAACAAUUCUUAUGGAAAUUUUAAUAAGAUGCCCUCUGAAUUUGAGACUAGUGUUAAGGAGUUUAUGAAUUCACAAAAGAAUUUUAAUGCUUUGCUUGAAGAAAAAUUGCUUAAGGUUGAUGAAUUGGCUAGGAACACUGAUAGAAUUUCUCUUGAUGUUGAUUCUUUGAAACUUAGAUCUAUUCCACCUAAGAAUUAUAUCACUGAGUCUCUCAAAGCCAUGAGAAUUUCCAUUGAUGAGUGCAAAGAAAGAACCGCUAGGAUGCGUGCUAAGAAAGAUUGCUUUGUGAAAGCGUGUUCUUCUAGUUUCUAUGAAAAUAAAGAUGAAGAUCUAAAAGUUAUUGAUGUGUCUCCUAUUAAAUCUUUGUUUUGCAAUAUGAAUCUUGAUAAUGAUGGGACUGAAGAUGAUCCACCUUUACCUAGAAGGCGUUCCAAAAAUUUGGAGUUUUUAGAUCCUGAUACAAAAAUUGGUAAAAGUGGGAUUGAAGAGGUCAAAACUUUAGAUAUCAAUGAACCCACUAUUUUGGAUUUCAAGGAAUUUAAUUAUGAUAAUUGCUCUUUGAUAGAUUGUAUUUCCUUGUUGCAAUCCAUGCUAAAUUCUCCUCAUGCUUAUAGUUAAAAUAAAGCUUUUACUAAACAUAUCAUUGAUGCUUUGAUGCAAUCUUAUGAAGAAAAACUUGAGUUAGAAGUUUCUAUCCCUAGAAAACUUUAUGAUGAGUGGGAACCUACUAUUAAAAUUAAAUUAAAGAUCAUGAGUGAUAUGCUUUGUGUGAUUUGGGUGCUAGUGUUUCCAAGAUUCCAAAAACUUCGUGUGAUUUGCUAGGUUUCCGUGAUUUUGAUGAUUGUUCUUUAAACUUGUACCUUGCGGAUUCCACUAUUAAGAAACCAAUGCAAAGAAUUAAUGAUGUUUUUAUUGUUGCAAAUAGGAACUAUGUGCCCAUAGAUUUCAUUGUUCUUGAUAUAGAUUGCAAUCAUUCAUGUUAUUCUUGGUAGACCUUUCCUUAGAACGAUCGGUGCAAUUAUUGAUAUGAAGGAAGGGAAUAUUAGAUUCCAAUUUCCGUUAAGGAAAGGCAUGGAACACCUCCCUAGAAAGAAAAUUAAAUUACCAUAUGAAUCUAUUAUGAGAGCCACUUAUGGAUUUCCUACCAAAGAUGGCAAUACCUAGAUCUAUUCUUGCUUUUAUGCCUAGCUAUAGGGGCGUUAAACGAUAGUGCUUGUUGGGAGGCAACCCAAUUUUAUUUUUAUUCCUUGCUUUUUUUUCUCCUUUUUAGUAAUAAAUAAUUUAUAUAUCCUAUGUUUUGGUUGUGUUUUUUGUGUUUAAUUAGUGUUUCUGCCAAGUAGAACCGUUCGGAGGACUUGGGGAAAGUCUUUUUGAUCUUGCUGUAAAAAACAGAAACUUUAGCACUCAUGCGAAUUGCUGCCAUUUUUAUUUGGAGAUUGAUAUUUAGUUAAUUCUUUUUGCAGACGAUUAAUAGAUAAAUUCCUCACAUCCAGAAAUUUAUUUUAGAAAUUUUGGGGUUCCAUAAGUUGCAUUAGUUACAGAUUACUACAGACUGUUCUGUUUUUGACAGAUUCUGUUUUUCUUGUGUUGUUUGCUUAUUUUGAUGAAUCUAUGGCUAGCAAAGAGUUUCGUCCCGAAAUUUUUCUUCUUAAUUUUUUCUCGGCGAAAGACUUCAUAUAGGAGAAGAUGGUCAUCGGAGAGCCACCAGGGGGCCCACGAGGUAGGGGGGACGCGCCCUAGGGGGGGCGCCCCCCACCCUCAUGGGAAGGGUGUGGGCCCCCUGGUCUUCUUCUUUGGCGAGGAUUUUUCAUUAUUUAUUAUAAGGUAUUCCGUGGAGUUUCAGGACUUUUGGAGUUGUGCAGAAUAUGUCUCUAAUAUUUGCUCCUUUUCCAGCCCAGAAUUCCAGCUGCCGACAUUCUCCCUCCUUAUGUAAACCUUGUAAAAUAAGAGAGAAUAGCCAUAAGUAUUGUGACAUAAUGUGAAAUAACAGCCCAUAAUGCAAUAAAUAUCGAUAUAAAAGCAUGAUGCAAAAUGGACGUAUCACCAAACCAGUUAAAACGGCCGAGUCCGGACCAGUGAUAGACUUCAUAUCCGGGGUUGUACACCUUUACGGCGUCCCCCACAGCAUCAUCACCGAUAACGGCUCAAACUUUACAACCGACGAUGUAAAAACUUGGUGCAGGAAAAUGGGCAUUAAGCUCGAUUAUGCCUCUGUCUAUCACCCGCAAACUAACGGUCAAGUCGAGCGAGCAAAUGGUCUUAUCAUGAGCGGCAUUAAACCCAGAUUAGUGCGAUCCUUGAAGGAAUCAGAUACGCACUGGGUGGAGGAGCUUGACUCUGUACUAUGGGGGCUGCGGACCACGCCGAAUCGUACUACCGGAUACACACCAUUCUUUAUGCUGUACGGUGCAGAGGAGGUACUGUCCUGCGACAUUAUUCAUGACUCACUGUAAUGCCCCAAGACCGAUGCUCGAGAAGACUUCCUUAGGUUCCGGGUUUCUUCGUGUGUUUCAUUUUUGCUUGCUCCUUUUAUUUUCGCAUUGCAUCAUGUCAUCAUGCAAUCAUAUCAUUAAUUUUUGCAACUCAACUAAAUAAACCGUAUGGAUGUUCGAUCCGUUUAAAUUGAGGGAACUCACAUGGUGGUUUCUCUUUAAAACAUACCCUCCUGAUAUUUAGGGAGAUAUUAUAAAUUAUUCCAUUUUUGGAAUCACCCUUAAACACACUUGCAUAUUCCCCAUGUAUUUUCUAGUUCAAGCUUGACUUCAAAACCUUGCCAAAAAUUCUCUUCCCACUUACCGAGGUUUCUCCAAAAAUCUGAACAUUUCUGGUGCACUUCAAAACCCUAGCCCUAGUUCAAACCAUUUGAUUAAACUCAAAUGAGUUUGAAUUCAUAUCUUCGGAUCUUGCCACUUCUAAUUUUCUCGGACCAUGCACAUUUUUAAGAGUCCGGGAAAAUUGUCCUCGUGCCCAGAUUCCGCCCCUACCGUCUCUUUAUUUUCCUUCUCUUUCCUUGUUUUUGUUUUAAAAAGGAAAAGAGUGAGAGAGGAGGAAAGCCAGCCCAGCUGGGCCUCCCUCCCUCAUGCGCCGGCCCAAGGCCAGGCCCAAUCAGUAGCCCAGCCGCGAUUUUUUGUCCAAAAGGACCCCCUGCCGAAUGCUAUUGUCAAAAAGGACUAUCUGCAGAUAAAAACGUCAAAAAGGACCCCCUGACUAGUGGCGGCAGGUGCGGCAGGCGACACGUGGCACCUGCCGCCACUAGGUGAGGCGGCAGGCCCCGCCGCCACCGCAGGAGGCGGCCGCGCGGUGCACAACGGGUUCUCCCACCGUGCAGUAGCUGUGACGGAACGGGCCAGGAGAGGCGGGCCCGGCCGCCACUAGGUGAGGCGGCGAGCUCUGCCGCUGUCGCUCCCCGUCCGACAGCCUCAGCUGCGCGCGGGCCGAGGCGUGGGCCAGGCCGCCACCGUAGGAGGCGGCAUCUUUCUUCACGCCCGACGCAUUUUCCUAUUGCAGAUGGCGCUGAUUCCCGUGUGCAACAGCGACCUGACGGCGGUGAUUCCCACGAGCGGGAAAAUGCAUGCUGAUGCUUCUUUCGCCCAAGAAUCAGUCUGGCUAUUGCUUGAGAGGAUGCGACGGCAUCAGUCACUCGCUGCGGGAAUCCAAUACUGCGGGAAGCUAUUGUGCCGACACUACAGGGAUCCUAAAAUUUACUGCUUAAUUUUCUCGCCAUUAUUUAUCGUCUGGGCUUAUAAAAGGAGACACCGAGGCUCUCGUCCAGCCAUCCUUGAAAUCGCCACUGCGCAAAGUGUAUAACACAUUUUUUUCAGUCGGUAUGAGUUUGCCUUGCUCAGAUCAAAGCAUUAGGCCGAGGAAAAUGAAGAACGCAAGUUUGCCUCCUGGGGUGGCAGUCCUGCGAUGUUGGUGUGGCGAUCUUUUCAAGGUGAAGGAGGUGACGGAUUUUUCAGAUUGGUUGGGCAUGAAGUUUUUCAUGUGCGCCAAUUAUGAGGAAGAUCCUGCCGUAGCUAUUUCAGAGUACGACAAGCCUCCAGUAUGCUUUAACCAUCACAAAUAGAUAUUGUUGGUAUUUUCAUUGAUUCUUUAGUAACAUUCUUGUUUGUUGUUGUAGUCUCCUCCGCCUCUGUGCAUGUACUAUCAUUGGAUUGACACGGAGAAGCCGGCUUGGGCAGUGACUGAGAUUCGUGAAAGAAGUCGCCGUGCGUGGAAUAGUUUAUUUGCGGAAGAGCGACGCGAGAAGGCGGAAGCUGAGGAGAAAGCAGAGCAAGAGAGAGAGUUAAAAGAAUACUAUGCGGAGCAACACCGUUUUUUUGAGGAAAUGGGAAAGAAAAACAGGGAAGAGGCUCGUCGCAUGGAGGAGCAGGAACGACAGCGAAAGGAGGCUCGUGAGGCAGAGAGGCAGAGAAAGAAAGAAAGGGCUCGUCAGGCUAAGGCAACAGAAGAAGCUGGCGAUGGAAAAGGAAAAUAUCCACGCUGGACUCAGUAGAUUCCUGUGGUAGUAUUUAAAAUUCCGCAAUCAUUUGUAUCUUUAUUUCUGCACUUUAAUGUAGCUUUAUUUCAGGAGUUAAAUGUAGGUAUAUUCCUACAAUGUAUCUUAUUUUCAGUUGUGUCGUGUCGUAAUGGAAAAAAAUAUAGUUUAAGAAUAAAGUAGUGGCAUUUUCUUUCCCUCCACUAAUAUCAAACAUCGUGCAACAACUACAAAAUAAAUUUAAGAUAGAACAUAAUGCCCUACAAUAACAGAGUACAAACUAAUAAUGCAAGUACAUCCGAAUUAAACGGUAGAACUGGAAUAAAACUACAUGAAGACAUCAUCGUCAUCCUCCAUCGAUGCAGAACUCUUGCCCUUCGAGGAUGUAGAACUCUUACCCUUGGACGAUGCAGAACUCUUGCUCUUCGAGGAUGCAGUACUCUUGCCCUUUGACGAUGCAGAACUCUUGCCCUGUGAUGAUGCAGCACCCGAAAGCGGCGGCAUGAAGAUAUCAUCUUCAUCCUCGCUCUCCUCAGUCCAUAAAAAUGGAUGCAUUUCUGCAGUCCUUCUAAAAGUUUCACUCUUCGGCUCCACUACAUUCUUCCACCUUGCAUGCAACCUAAGAAGUUCUUUACGUACCUCCUCAUAGGUCCUUUCAGGCCACCCAGACCUACGUAAUUGGUGAGCCAACUCAUUCAUUAUGGUGUCACUACCGGUGAGUUCGUCCCAUGGAACUAUCCUAUUGUCCAUCCUGAAAUUGGUAGCUAGCCUCAAAAGAGUCCUGCUCAUCCCAGGGUGAAAACUACGAUCGAAAGGAUAAUGGGACAUCUCGACUACACUACACUCGAAUGCUUAUCCACCUCCGUCUGAAGGGGGUUUUAUAGGUAGAGAGGAGAAAAUGGCGGGAAAGAACGAGUGCAGUAUGGCGGGAAAGGGUUGGCGGGAACAUAUGGCGGGAAACGAGUGGCGGGAAGAUAUGGCGGGAAGGGGUUGGCGGGAAACGGGUGGCGGAACAUAUGGAGGGAAAGCGUUGGCGGGAAAAUAUUGAGGGGAAAGCGUUGCCUGAAAAUAUUGAGGGGAAAGCGUUGACUGGUGCAUUUUUAUUUCAGCAAACAUAGAUGUUCAAAUCGAAAAGUCUGAUACACACAUAUAUAGAUACAAUGGGUCGCGCACGUGCAUAGAUGAAUCACCGUACUUAACGACGACCACCUGGCCUUUCCUUACGACCGGAAGGCGACAAGCGAUUAGGUGGCCGGGUCACACGAAGACCGCGGCCGUACUCCACUUCGGCUUCAUGUGUCUGCGAGUCCUGCGUAGGUGGUGGAGUCGCGAAUCCUUGUUGUGAACCUGAAGCGUAAUUGUAGGCGUAUGGUUGUGACUCCGGGGGGAUAAAAGAUGGGCCAAUAACAUCCCCUCCGAAGAACUCUGUAACUAAUGAUGUAACCGUGUCGCCAAGAUCAUGUGAUGCUCCCCGGAGGCCUGUGUUGACGCCAUGAUCAUGUGAUGCUCCCCGGAGGCCUGUGUUGACGCCGCGUUGGGUGUUCUCAUCGCCCCAAUUAACAUCAGGUGUGUCCUGCACAUAGAAACAUUUUAAUCAAACUGUUAGAGGAUAAUAUAUGAUAUCAUUGUAAAUGCAUUGAAAUGUAAACAUGACUACCUGAGCAUAUCCCUCUCCUAUACUGUCUGGCCAUUGUACUUGGUGCUGGUUUAAAUCUGGUACACGAGUCUCCUCGGGCAUGGGGAUCCCUCGCGUGGAGAGAAACGGCUGAGAUCCCUCACCUUGGGUGUAUGCAUCAUAUCCUGUGUACACAUAUGGGUUAGGGGAAAGAAACUGCUCGGGCAUCGAAUCCAAGCCCGUGCCAUGGUCCUGAGAUGUUUGCCCCUGACGAAGCUGCAUCGAAGAAGAGCGAUGCAGUGGCAGAGAUGAGUCAUGUCGUGGCAAUGUCGUUCUAGUACUCGGACCCUCCCCCCAUUGCUCAUGGCUCGUACGCGCCUCGCUCGGUCUGGACGACGGUGCCGCACUCGGUCUGGCUGACCUCGCUACCGGCAUGUAUGCUCCAGUGGCAACGUCGUCGCCUCUACCGCAUCUGAACUUCUUUGCCACGAAUUGUUGCAAAAGUUUCUGGAAUGUCUUGCGAUAUGGGCCCUGGGCCGGCAUGCUAUCCGUAGCCAUCUGCCCUACUUCGUUGACAUUUUCAAGCUGAACAAUAUUUGGAUGUUAUUUAGUUCCAAUGAUUAUGAAAUGAUGGACCUAAAAAAGUUACAAGUGAUUACUAGGUAGUCACGAUAGUAAGCUGCAUGCAGCUCAACAUGUCUCCGCGCCUGCUCCUCUUGUGUGAGAUGUGUUGGUAUAGUAGCUGGCUGACUGGCCAGGCUAGCACGUGUGUUCAUGCAGUACCACUCCUUGUACGCUUGAUCUGUACUUCCAUCGUACGGCCUGCAAAAUUAAAUAAUUACAUAAACCUUUGUGAUGAAAGCAAAGCAUCUUCACGCAUCGUAUGAUCAUCGUAAAAAAAUAAUGUACAUAAAAUAUACCUAAGUUCACGCACUAUAUCUGCUAGCGCUUCAUUUGUCCACUUGUGUACCCAUUCACUGUUCUCUUCCCUCCAAUCGUAUAAACUCCAACCCCUGCCCAUAUUGGUUAGCCUGCAAAUAUGUAACAAAGUGUGAGUUUAGUAAAUUAAAAAUGACACUAACUAUUUAGGGAUGUCACAUCUUACUUAUGUGUUUCCUCAUCGAUACGUCUGGGAAAAGGUGGUGGAAUUUCUUGAUAGAGACCGAACUGUCUCAUUACACGCUCUGGGUUGUAAGGUUCAACACACCACAUGAACAAUAAGUUGCAGCGAGUCAGCCAGAAUGCACUAUCGGUCAACAUGCCUGGUGUGAAGUGUCGAGCAUCAAAGACCAAUUUUAGCUGGUCCUGAGUCCACGGGUUCCAUGUGACUUCUGCCUCAUCAAGUAUCUCAAACUGCUGGUGGUACAUAGGGUAACAAUUUUUCGCAAUAUCUGGAGACCAACGUUUCCGUGCCUUUGUCCACCUGGUGGCCAUAGUUGCGCUAGCACCCUCGCCAAAGUCAUAUGGGUAUAUGGGUUGUACUAUACGAGGUCGUCCUACAGGGAGGUAUUCCCAGGACCACAACUGUAGAAACUCAUAGGCGACACAAAGUAAUGGAGCUUUUUGUGCGAAAGAGGUUUUUUGCGUGGCAUCACACAAGCCUCUGUAUGUAUGAGAUAGCAUGGCAGAACCGAAGCUGUAUUUUGGCUGCUCGGGUAAAGGUUCAUCUACCAUAUUCUCUGCAAUGUAGAUGAGACCAGGGACAACAACGUCCCCAUGUGAAUUUGGAAAUAGAUUCCCGAGGAGCCACAACAAAUAUGCAAACAGAUGUCUUUUUCUCGUCUCCUCAUUGGCGAAGCUAGAUAAAUUAAGAAAGUUAUCACAAAGCCAGACGAGUGGGAUGCCCCGAGGGUUACCAGAACGUUGUGAUUCUGGCAUUUCCAUCCCAAGACGGGCUGCUAUAUCUAAUGCCCAAGAUGGAGACACUCGUGGAGAGACUACCGGCUCACCUCUAAUUGGUAGAGCAGUGAUCAUAGAAACAUCUUUCAGUGUAGGUGCAAGCUCCCCAAAACGAAAGUGAAAGGUGUGGGUUUCAGGUCUCCACCGGUCAACGAGGGAUGUCAAAAGGGAUGGGUCCGAACGUACUUGGUCGUCGCAUGAUGUGAGCCUAGCAAAACCUUGUAAUCCAUAAGCGUCAAGGUGAGCAAGGAAAUGAUUGUGUAUUGGCCAUGUUUUCUUUAUGGUUCGAAGUCUGAAAGGCCGAUAAUCAUGCUUAGUAUUUGGUUUCAAAAAUAGGUGGCAACGGUGCCCGGCGUCAUGGGGCCCCUGCAAAAGCACUGGCACUUCACCCAUAACCUGCACACAAACAUACAAAUAUAAAUUACGAGGAAGACAGAAAUACAAAUGCAAAUCUAAAUUAACUUAAAAAAUACAAAGAGAUACGAUUUACAUUAAUUAUCUGAAGUUAACAUCAGGAGUACAAUAAUACAAAGAGAAUGAAUUUAAAUUCAAUAUAAGUACACAUAACGAGUAGAAAUAUAAAUAGACAUGGCGAGUACAUAUAUAUCAACAUCAUGCGUUGUUGUUGGCUCGAUACGGGCAGUCUUUGCGUGAAUGUCCAGGACACCUGCAAACGCGGCAUCGCCUUGGUUCUCCCAUCUGGCUAUGGUCCAUGUCAUUGCGAUGACGCCUAGACUGACGUCGUCCCUUUGCGGUUCUCAUCAAGUCGGUGUUCGGAACCCAUUUCGGCCCAUCUGGCCACAACAUUUUGUAGUUCAUAUCAAUGCCCCAAGCCCAGAACUCACCGUUCCAAGUGUUGUAUAGAUUGUACAUGUUAAAGUACGGCGAUAUGUAUGGCUCGACGCUGAUUUUUUGAACAGCAGCCGCCCGGAGCACAUGACUGCAAGGGUAGCCCUCAAGCUUGGGCUUGUUACAAGUGCACUCACAGGAGGUUGAGCCAAGGGUGACAGCUUGCUUUUUUGAUUCUCUGUGGUGACCCUUAACGUACUUGGCUCGCACAUUGACCUCCCACUUAUUCCUAAGUGCGUCCACUUUCCUGCAGCCAUGACUUUGGGACUUCUUUGCUUUCUCGUCCAGAUGUCUUUGCAUCUUCUCGGACCAUGGCUUGUUCAAUUCAACUUGUGCUUUGGCGACGGUGACCCUGUCUGCAAAGUAUGACAGGGUCCGGUUCCAAGUUUCUUCAAUUAGGGCUGUGAUAGGCAGUGCUCGCACCCCUUUAAGAACACCAUUGUACACCUCUGACAUGUUGCUGGUCAUUAUUCCAUACCGAGCCCCGGUGUCGUGAGCCUGUGCCCACUUCUCCAAAUGAGGGCAAUUCUCGGUGAUCCACUGGCUCAAAUUUAUGACCGUCCUACGACCCCUCCGGUCUUCUCUCUGCGGCAAGGCCGCGCGGUCGAUCUCACCAUUGAUACCUGCCCAUAUCGCAUUCAUUUUGGCUACAGUUUUUUGCAUGCACAUCCUCUUGAAUAACUUGAACCAAUCCUUGUUUUUGAAUUUGGAGUAAAAGUUUGCUGCCAAAUGCCUCAUGCACCACCUUCCCUCUAGAUCGGGCCAGCCCCACUCUUCUUCCGACGCCUUAAUUAUUUCAAGAGCGCUUAAUAAUCCAGUGUUGCGAUCAGAAAUGAUGCAAACACCUUUACGCUCUUUCACGACACCCAUCUUCACGCAGCUCAGGAACCACAACCAGCUAUCUUUGUUCUCGCUCUCGACCAAUGCAUAUGCAAUAGGAAGAAGCUGAUUAUUUGCAUCCGCUGCAAUCGCCACCAAUAGUGUGCCCUUGUACUUUCCAGUGAGAAAGGUACCAUCAACAGAUAAUACCGGGCGACAGUGCCUGAAGGCUUGUAUAGUCUGGGCGAAUUCCCAGAAUAAGCGGUCCAGGAUUAGCUCACCCGGGUUCAUUGGGUUUGGACGUUCUCUCCGCCAAACUUGAGUCCCCCUAUUAGCACUUGCUAUUUGAUGAAGCAUUCUAGGGGCAUAAGAAUAUUCCUCCUCAUAGGUACCAUACAAGUUCUUAAAUAUAUUUUCCUUCGCAUGCCUAGCCUUGCUGUAGCUAACAGGGAAUCCAAUUAGAUCCUCUGCAUCUUUUUGCAGAGCCCUAACACUAAUGUUGAGACUUCCCUGCACAAUUGUUUCCAUCGUCUGUGCCACAAAUUUUGCUGUCACAUUGCAGUGAUCUGAAAGAGUCCCAGUUUGCUCACAGGUAUGCUCCACUAUUUUUGUGAUAUGCCAUGACUGACAUACCCCAGGCUUCAGUCUAGCGAGAACUCUUCCGCGGCAACCUUUCGCGGUGUGGAUGCAUAUGACCUUCAACUCUUUUUUAUCAGACUGCUUCACUCUAUGCUGGCGGUGGAUGCCGAUUGCAUAGCUACCCAUUGCCUGGUAAGCAGACUUCUUAUCUGGGAAAACUUGCCCAACCUCCAGGCUUCCUGCUCCUAGGCCAGAAGCAGAGUGAAAUUCGUUGGUGAUGCUCAUAUCCUGUAAAAACCCAGGUUGCAGUGCCGCCGCGACCGCCCUCUGAGGAGGAACAUCUUCUUCUCCGCUUGACUCCGAAGACGCAGAAGAAUGAUCAUCAUCAUCUAGCGCCUCCGGCAAUCCCUCCACGUGUUCACUCAUGUCAACGGCCGCCGACCAAUAUCCUGUGUCAUACACAGGCUGGCCGCCCGUCGGUUCCGAUGGGCCGAUGCUAGGGGCUGAUGUGAUGGCCAACUCGACCUCACCACCCCUGCUACUGCAUCCGGCAACAUCAGUGACUGAAAUGAACUCCACAUACACCAUCGGCUGACCAUAUAUUGAGUUAUUGGGAUUGCUUGCAAACCUCAUGUACGACCCCCACGACCGAUCACCUGUGACAGGCCGCAAACCCCAACGGGCAACUGUCCCAUCAUUUCCUCCGUCAAUGACGAAGGCCUCCAUUGUCAUUUUUUUUUCCUGCAUCACUGGGCCAAACACCGCUCGGAUGCACCUUCUAACAGUUGCGUAACCCACGUUGACCAUGUCUCUCACCACUACUGUAGUCGACUCGCAGAAGGACACAUCCACACCGCAUGGACCGUCGCGUAAGACGUUCCCAUAGUACACUACUAAAUUUUCCAUAGUACCUAACCAACAUACAUGUUUACAUUUCAAAUAAUUAAUAACUGAACAUUUAGUAACGAUGACAACAUUUACAUAUCUUACGACUAAAAUAAUAAUUGUAUUUUCAUUAGAAAUAUUCGGUUUGUUUUUAGAAUCAUUUGCUUAGACUUUAAGGGGUUGUUUGGUUAACGGGUAUUUAAAGAUCUAUUUUUCUCAAACUUGUCUACGAGCGUAACAAACUAAAACUUUGUUUGCUUUUCUCUAACUACCCCAAAAAUAUCCUAAAAUAGUUCUCGUAACAUGCAAAAACUUAGCUUCUGGAAAAACGACUAUUAGUAAAAUGUGGUUUUCUACAUAAUUUCCUUACAACAGGUUAUGACAAAACUGAGGGUAAGUACUCGCUAGCCAAACAACCACUAAACAUAAUAUUACGAUAAUAACAUUUAAAUAUCAUAUGAGUAAAAUAUCUAAUUUCUUCCGGCAUGAUAUAAUGUUUUUCAUAUCAUACGAUAAAAUUCAUUUAUUUACAAAUAAUAAUAUUUGCAGCGGCAUGACAGUACAUCAAUAUAAAAAAUAUUAACAAAAUUACGGCGUCAUUUUAUACCCAUGUUAUGACAAAACUCAUGGUAAUUACUCGCUAUCCAAACAACCAGUAAACAUAAUAAUACGAUAAUAACAUUUUAAUAUCAUAUGAGUAAAACAUUUAAUUUCUUUCGGCUUUAUAUAAUUUUUUUCACAUCAUACGAUAACAAUCAUUUAUCUACAAAUAAUAAUAUUUGCAGCAGCAUGCACAUUAUUCACAAUACUACAUCAAUACAAAAAAUAUUAACAAAAUUACAGUGUCAUUUUUCACCUUAGCUGCAAUAUGGAUGUGCUUGCGAAUGCAAUUAAGCGUCAAAAUAGUUCCAAUAAAUAUCCGUCGCCGGUACUAUAUGAACCUCGUCAACCUAUUAUCACAUUAACAACAAUAUUACACACGGAUUUUUCUUCCUGCUAACAAAAGUAUGAAAAUAGCACUUUCAUGCAUGGGUUCAUCACCUCAAAAUGGGACAGCGAAAAUGGAAACACAGUUUCUUCAAUCACGUCUUCUCCUCCUUGUUUGAUACUAAGAUGAAUUAUUUUACCUAAUUACAUACAUCAUACAUUAGCACCUAAUCUUAACAUAUAAAAUUUAGAUUAUUGCGACUUAUUAAUAAACAUACCACAUAAAAUAACAUACCACAUGAAAUAACAUACCGCAUGCAAUAAACAAUUACAGUACAAUUUUUUCUUAAUUACCGUAUUAAGAUUUCCCGCAUGUCAAUACUAAUGGACGCACCUAACAUUGAUGCAACAUCUUCAACCUACUAUUUCAAAAAAAUAGUUUAAAUGCUACAUCUCUCGUCUGAAAUUAUUUCUAACCUCUAAGCACUACCAUCACAUAGCUAAUAACGAGCUAAAGGAUGAACUAAUUACCACCCUGCAUGCAUAAAUAAAUAAAUGUAUUGCAAAGCUCAUACCUUGAUCUUCAACUUCGUAGUUCACUUUGCACGGCUAUUCCUACUACAGAAACUCCAAAUGACUCCUCCAAGUGCUGAAAUAAUGCCUAAAGCAACAUAGAAUACACACUUAGGAACUAAUCAAAUAGAAUAAAAACAUCAUGCAUGCGAAUGAAACCAACAAAAAUGGAUAGAUCUUACCUUAAUCUAUCUUUUCUUCAACUUCAUCAUCCUCAAAAUCCAACUCUAAAUCACCCUAAAUCACGAGUGAAAGUGCUUACUGAGCUUUCUUUUCUCUCUGUACUUAGAGACUUAGAGAGCAAAGGAGAGGAACGAGGUUACAGAGUGCUUGCGCACGGAGCUGAAGCAUGGCAUAUAAAAGGGAGAGGAUCCCUGUAGUGUCGGCAGCCUCGGAUUCCCGCGCGUGAAAAUCAACAUCAUCAGCAACAGCAUGCAAGGAGCAAAAGCAAAGCAACAAGCCACUCGUGAAAUUCGUCGUUUGCCGCGCGUGGGAAUCAGCAAAAGCAACAACAAUCAGUGCCAGAGUGAUUCCCGCCCCGCCAGUUUUCGCGCGUGGGAAUCAGUGCCAGGACCUCGCCUUCCGUGCACAGUCAGAGCGCACCAGCUGCUGUCGACAGGGGUGGCCGCCUCAGCCAGUGGCGGCGAGGCCCACCAGCGGGGCCCGCUCGCAUCAGGGCCUGUCGCCCAGGCAGCGACCGCGCCAGGGCUGGCCGCCUCGCGCGGUGGCGGCCGGGCCCACCUGGCCCGCCCCGUUCCGUCGUGGCGCGAUGCAGAGUGGAGAUUCCGUUGUGCACCGCGCGGCCGCCUCCUGCGGUGGCGGCCGGGCCCGCCGCCUCACCUAGUGGCGGCAGGUGCCACGUGUCGCCUGCCGCACCUGCCGCCACUAGUCAGGGGGUCCUUUUUGACGUUUUUAUCUGCAGAUAGUCCUUUUUGACAAUAGCGUUCGGCAGGGGGUCCUUUUGGACAAAAAAUCCCCAGCCGCACCCCACUCCUUUUCUAACCCUAGCCCGAUCCCCUCGUCAUCUCCCUCUCCCUCGUUUCUCUCCCCUGCCGCCGCCAGGAAGCCGAUUCCCUCGAUCGUCCCAUCUCCCCCUCGAUCCCUCUCCUCGCCUCGUACAUAGGCGCGGCCAUCUCCCCGACCCCCCUGCACGAUCCAUGUCGCCCUCCUCUCCUACCUCGCGCCUCUGCUUCUCAUCGCGUCGCCCAGAGUGCUCUCGCGCCGCCACCAUGGCUCUGCCGGACACCGGCGACCAGGGGCGCCGCCACCAGUUCUCCACCUCGCCUGGAGCUCGAAGACCGCCCACCACAGGUGCCGCUGCCGGCUGCCGCCCCAUCACCAUGCGGUCCUCCUCCACCUCCGUUCCAUGGCGCUGCGGCCCUGUCGUUUUCCCCUGCCUCUCUUUUGCGCCAGGGACUUGAGCCCUCCACCGUGUGGCGCCGCCUUGCUGCCUUCCCCGCCAUCGGCUUGCUACCUUCGCCGGACCUCCUCCGCCUCCAAGGUCGCGCUGCUCUGGCCGCAACCACCUCCGGUCUUCAACCCGGACGCCUGACCCGGCCAUCUUCAGUUGCUACCUCGCUGGCUUCGUCACUCCUCUUGUCACUGCCAAGACAUGACAACCAGGGAAGCCCAAGGCCGCCUUUGUGGUUUUCAUCAAGUUCGACCGCCGUUGGACGAGGGUUUUUGCCUUGCUCAUUUUGGGACGCGACAAGUUCCUCUUCGAAAGUACGUCUACAUGAUGAUACGAGAACAAGUACCGUCGACCUCCGAAGUACAUGCGCUUUGCCAAGUACCACUACCGUCGCCCCGAAAACGUUGGAGUCAUCAAGUACCUCUCCGAAACGAACGUGAAUGACUACUGUCGCAAGAACGGGAUCGGAAAGUCCGAAGACCCUAAGUACCUCGACACCGAUGACAUGAACGUCUACGGAAACUCGUGCAACGAUAAACAUGUACCACUACCGUCGCCGAGAUCGCGAGAACCUCUACCGUCGACCCUAGAACGUGCGAGAACGACUACUUCGACUACCGUCGCGUGAACCACUACUUCCCUCGACGUCCGAGAAUGUCUACUUCCACUACUUCCUCUACGCCAACUCGAACCGCUCCGAUAAUGCAUGCUUCAGAGGUAUAACGUCGAGACGACCGUCGUGGACGAAUGCUUGCGAUGUUUGAGAUGCUCGUGUUUGCGCAGUGUCCAAACUGUCACUCGUUUCCUUGUCGCCAACUCAUGGGACACUGAAUUCGGGAGCGCCCCACCAUCUUUUGCACGCAUCCGCACACUUCUCCUUUUGCAUCGGUUUCUCAAUCAAGUACCGGAACCAAAAUGUUGCCAUGGCAUCAUUACCGUUUCGACGUCGUGGCACCCCUUUCUUUCUACCACGAUGACAAAUGCUUCAUAAAAUGCUCGUAUCAACAUUUUUCAUAAAUAUUGCAUAAAACUUGCACAUGUCUUUCGCAUCAUGAUAAUAACAUUUAAAGGUUUAAAAAUUGUUGUUGCACCAUAUUGAUAAAUGCAUAUGGGGAUCUACCGGAUUCGUUAUUUGUUAUAUCCGGCCCCAUUUAAAUUGUUUAGAUGGUGUAGUUUUGUUAUGCCUCAUCUCUUGCCAUGUUUAACAACAUUUAAUAUUGUUGGGUACCUAAACGAGAGAGAACUAAAUAAUUGAUGUGGUGUUCCGUCAAUAAUUGAUGUGGUGCAAAAGAUGGUGGGGCGCUCCCGAAUUCAGUGUCCCAUGAGUUGGCGACAAGGAAACGAGAGAGAGCUCCACUUAACUUGUAGUUUUGUUUGUGCCCUUUGUCAUGUCAUGCAUAUUUAAACCGGACAUGCAUCAUACUUGGUUGUGCAUCAUGCCAUGUUAUGUGAUGGUUGUUUACUAUGUUGUUUGCUUCUUUCCGGUUGUUUCCCUCGUUAGCUUCGGUUCCGUUCCGGAGUUGUGAGGAUCUGUUGGCUAUGUCCGUUUGUCUUCUUCAUGGACUCGUUCUUCUUCCUUGCGGGAUCUCAGGCAAGCUGACCAUACCCUCGAAAUCACUUCUAUCUUUUCUUGCUAGUUGCUCGCUCUUUUGCUAUGCCUAUGCUGCGAUACUUACCACUUGCUUAUCAUGCCUCCCAUAUUGUUAAGCCAAGCCUCUAACCCACCUUGUCCUAGCAAACCGUUGUUUGGCUAUGUUACAACUUUGCUCAGCCCCUCUUAUAGUGUUGUUAGUUGCAGGUGAAGAUGGAGUUUGUUCCAUGUUGGAACAUGGAUAUUUGUUGGGAUAUCACAAUAUCUCUUAUUUAAUUAAUGCAUCUAUAUACUUGGUAAAGGGUGGAAGGCUCGGCCUUAUGGAUGGUGUUUUGUUCCACUCUUGCCGCCCUAGUUUCCGUCAUAUCAGUGUUAUGUUCCCGAAUUUUGCGUUCCUUAUGCGGUUGGGUUAUAAUGGGAACCCCUUGACAGUUCGCCUUGAAUAAAACUCCUCCAGCAAUGCCCAACAUUGGUUUUACCAUUCGCGACCUAGCCUUUUUUUCCCUUGGGUUUUGCGGACUCAAGGGUCAUCUUUAUUUUAACCCCCCGGGCCAGUGUUCCUUUGAGUGUUGGUCCGAACUGAGCUGCCUGCGGGGCCACCUCGGGGAAACUUGAGGGUUGGUUUUAAUCGUAGCUAGUCUCAUCUGAGUGUGCCCUGAGAACAAGAUAUGUGCAGCUCCUAUCGGGAUUUGUCGGCACAUUCGGGCGGUGUUGCUGGACUUGUUUUACCAUUGUCGAGAUGUCUUGUAACCGGGAUUCCGAGACUGAUCGGGCCUUCCCGCUAGAAGGAAUAUCCUUCGUUGACCGUGAGAGCUUGUGAUGGGCUAAGUUGGGACUCCCCUGCAGGGAUUUGAACUUUCGAAAGCCGUGCCCGCGGUUAUGGGCAGAUGGGAAUUUGUUAAUGUCCGGUUGUAGAAAACCUGAAGUUGACCUUAAUUAAAAUGCAUCAACCGCGUGUGUAACCGUGAUGGUCUCUUCUCGGCGGAGUCCGGGAGGUGAACACGGUGUUGGAGUUAUGUUUGACGUAGGUUGUUUUAGGAUCACUUCUUGAUCAUAGUUCUCGACCGUGCUUUUGCCUUCUCUUCUCGCUCUCUUUUGCGUAUAUGUUAGCCACUAAAUAUGCUAGUCGCUUGCUGCAGCUCCACCUCAUACCUUUACCUUACUCAUAAGCUUAAAUAGUCUUGAUCGCGUGGGUGUGAGAUUGCUGAGUCCCCGUGACUCACAGAUAUUUCCAAAACCAGCUUGCAGGUGCCGUUGAAUCGUGCAGAUGAAGCAACCAAGCUCAAGGAGGAGCUCUAUGAAGAUCUUGUCCUUUGUGUUGUUUCGUUCUAGUUGAUCAGUAGUGGAGCCCAGUUGGGGUCGAUCGGGGAUCUGUGUAGCAUUUGGGGUAGUCUUCUUUUAUUUUGGUUCCGUAGUCGGACCUUGAUUGUAUUUGGAUGAUGUAAUGCUUUAUUCAUGUAAUUGUGUGAAGUGGCGAUUGUAAGCCAACUAUGUAUCUCCUUCCCUUAUGUAUUACAUGGGUUGUGUGAAGAUUACCUCACUUGCGACAUUGCUUUCAAUGCGGUUAUGCCUCUUAGUCGUGCUUCGACACGUGGGAGAUAUAGCCGCAUCGAGGGCGUUACACUCACCCCGAGUGCGCAUGUACGAAGAGAAAGAAUCCGAGCUUGAUUAGCAGGACAGUUUGGACGCCCUGGAGGAGGAGCGUGAUGUGGCAAAAGCCCGCUCCGCAUUCUAUCACCAACAGGCUCGGCAGUAUCAAAGAAGAGAAGUACGGGCCAAAACUUAUAACGUUGGAGAACUCGUUCUACGCCUACCAGAGAAGAAAAAGGAGAAGCUCAAGCCCAAAUGGGAAGGUCCCUUCAUUAUUGACAAAGUUCUGACCGGUGGAGUGUACCGUCUGCGGGAUGCAUCGGACAACCGACUCGAGCCAAACCCAUGGAACGCAGCCAGACUCCGAAGCUUCUACGCCUAGUGUCGGACCCUGUGUUCGUCUCCUUACCUCCGUCAAUUUUUAUAUAUCCGUAUUCUGUCUUUUCCUCCUUUCUUUCUUCCCUUUUUCUUCACGGCCUUAAAAGGUUAAAAUGUGUCUUGACUACACAAUCUUGACACGCUAGGCGUGCUCAUUAUACCUGGGGGCUUCUUAUACAGAAGCUUAAUAUAACUAUGUUCCGGACUCUAUGCGCCCCGCACAUGUGUUACUUUUCCACAUGUACCUUUUCUUCGCCAUUAUAUGCAUCGAUAUGACUUAAGUUUUGGCCAAGCUGGGUUGGCUGGCUCUUGUGUUUAUGCCCUAGGUUCCCGUUAAUUCAGCUAGGGCAUAAGGGGAGCACCUCUGCGAUUGUUACUUCCGGGUCAGCCGCAUGUGUACCUCAGACUGGGUGAAGCCGAAAGCUAGCGUUCUUAAGGGAAUAUUCAGUCGGUGAACAAAAGAUGACUUUAAAUUAUUGCAAUACAUGCCCCCAGAUGUUUAUAUCCUGCGUCUCUUCUUGCAGUUUGAACAUGCACAUUAAUGCAUGCGUACCCAGGGAAAGGAACCCUUAACGGAACUAUUCUCCCUGGAAGAUGUUUCUUACUAUCCAUGUAAUAUAACAUAGCUAGUUAGGUACUUGUCUGUUCAAGCACUAAUGACCCCUACGCCUGGUUUCCACACGUACCCCGGUUUUUACAUAACUGAGCGGGUAUUCGGAUACACUCCAGACUGUCGGGUCCGAAGGUCGAAGCGAAAAGGUCCGCCAUGACAAAUGAUUUACAAUCCGGCUAGGGACAAAAUAUGUCACUUGAAGUACAUAGUCACUUAGACUGACUAAAUUCUUCUUCUAUACCAUCCAACAGGCUGUCUAGCCUACAAUCCUAUUGAGAAUACUUUGCGGCUAAUUUCACCUAGUCAUACACCAAACUGACGGGGAUCUCUUUCCCAUCAGACCCCACAGGUCCGACCUCGGCCAUGUGGUUCGGGUCAGUCUUGGUAUAUCGUGUCUUCACCAUAGCCCAGGCUUCCCUCGCACCUUGUCGGCAGGCUGAUAUCUUCCAUAAUUGGAAGCUCCGCCUCGCUCCCUUGAGCAUCUCUACAAGCUCCCCCAUGCCUCCUGGGAGGGAGGCAGACGGCCACAAGGCUUGGGCAAUGCCCUACAUCACCUACCGAACUUGUUCGUGCAGUUGUGAGAGCUCUGGCAGAAGAUCACCCACAGACCCGGGCAUCUCCUCUGCGGGACGACCCGUCAGCAUACCAACAGAAAUAACUUUGUUAGCCGGUUUCUUCGCCGAACUAUAUAAAAGUUCGUUCGAUCACUUACUAAAAAUGCCGCGUCGAAGCCUCUUAUUCUCCUUUACGGAGUCAGCUAGCUGGGCCUGAACGUCUUUCAGUUCAACGCCCAGCUAGGUAUUGGCAUCUUGGAGAUCAUUUUUCUCCUGCCUAACACGCGUCAGCACGCGCUCGCCAGCCUCUAGCUGUCGUUGAGCAUGUUGCUCAUCCCCUCGCAUGACCUCCGGAUUCACUCCGGGGUCAUCUGCAGAAUCUAUUGUUAGAUUUGCAUACAUGCCGAAUACUAACCGGUACACAUCCUUCUUUUUGAUAGAAGCAAGUAUUACCAGAUGGGGCCUUCGCGGACUCCUUCAUUCUGGCAACUGUGGCCCGCAGCUGGGCUUUGCACUCCUCCAGCUCUUGAGACAACUGGGUAUUCUUCUCCGUAAGAGCCUACACAAAUAAUGAUCCUUAAAUCAGUUGUGUCAACUAUUUCAAGUCUCAGGGGCUACUGGUAUAUAUAAUUAUCAGAUUUUCUUAACCGUAUAUCCUUUACAUACUGGUCUGUGGCUCUGGCAACACCAUUUUGAGCAGCUCGGAUGUACGCGUCUCUUGAGUUGAAGGCAUCGAACGCCUCUUCAGAGAAACCAGGGUCACGGAGUACGGCCCGGCGGCGCCUGUGAUUCAUGGCACUCUCCACUUCGGAAUUCGUAGCGGACAGCCUAUCCGCAUCAUCUGUAGGAGGAACAUCCGGUGUUGUCCCCACGUUAGAGUCUGCCCCUAAGUCCGGCUCUGGAGUCCGGCUGGUGGAGGCAUGGCUGGCAGGCUCUCCAGGCACGGUCCGGCGAGUGUUUUUUCUGCCAGGAACCAUGGACGUUAUUAUAUUUUAAAGACGACAAACCACGGAGCGGGGUUUUUUUCAUACCUCUGCGACGUCGUCUCAGUCCUGACCGCCUUCCUUUUAAGCAUGUCCGGUUUCGGUGCCCCUUGCUGGUGAGUCACUGCGGGUUCAGCAUGGCGUCUCGAGGGCCUUCCCUGUAGGACACCAUAUGUGUGUGAUAGGUGAAGUGCAAAAAAGGGAUCCUUCUCGUAAGUUGGGACUCCGAUUUUACUUACGUGCGAUGCAGGGAGCAGGCUCGGAUAAUCGGCAAUGAUAGCCACCAGGGCACCGUCGCAGCUCAACUGAUAGAACGUCAUGUCGAUGAGUUCCACGAAUAUGUCCAGAUCUUCUUCGAGUACAGGGUCGAGGGCCCGGUCAGGGUCCUCUGGCUGUGGAAACGGGCUAUGGACCUCCCUCACGGCUUUUCGCAGUUCCUGCUAUGAAAUAGCAAGGUAAAUACUUAUAAUGAAGAAUGCAGGAAGAUCUGGAGUAAAAGGUAGCAGCUAACCCAGUUUGAGGAGUUGUACAUGGAGAAUCCAUCCCAUGGCUUAAUGCGGAUGAACUCCUCUUCCUCUCCUUUGUAUAAAUCGGGCAGUACUUUCGCUAGAGCGGCAGUGGAGUCCGCACCUUUACGGCCGCAGCGGGUGGCAUCGUCUUCUCCAUUGAAGUGCCACAUGGGUUGCCCCCGAUACUGCAGUGGCUGCACCCCCCGCAUUAUACAUAUUAACAUAACCUUGAUUAUUGUCAGUCCUGAUUUGGCUAGCAUUUCUAUCCUGCCCAUCAGGUAAAGGACCUCUCUGCUAUCUUCCUCCUGGGGGCUCCGAGGACACCAACUGCGGUGUUUCUUCAAAGGGGCAUUAUUGAACUCAGGAAGGCCCAUCCGAAUAGGGUCCGGAAGGGGGACGUCCUCCAUAUAAAACCACUCCGAAGGACAGUCUUCAAAUGACUUCUUCGGGGUACUGGAUAGGUAUCCGGUCCCGGCGACGCGGCAUAUUUCGGCUCCGCCCACUUGAUAUAUUGACUCCUUCUGUGUAUGUGGUACGAGGCAGAAUAGCAUUUUCCAUAGCUCGAAAUGAGCUUCGCAGCCCAGAAACAGCUCGCAAAAUGCGACGUAGCUAUCGAUGUGCAAUAUGGAGGUGUGAGUAAAGUUAUGCAGCUGGAGGUCGUAGAACUCCAGGAGCCCGCGGAGGAACGGAUGGAUUGGAAAUCCGAGUCCCCUCAAUAAGUAAGGGACAAGGCAUACCCGUUCCCCCAUGGACGGGUUGGGGAAGCUCUCCACUUGCUCCCCGCCAUUAUAAGUGGCUAGUCUGGCUCGGACGGGGACCAUAUACGCGAGAGGGAGAAAUCCCUGGGUCUGUAACUCGAAUAAUUGGCUGUGAGGGACGGAACACUUCUCCCAAUUGCCUGGCUUAGCGCUACAGGAGCGAGAGGAGGAGCUGCGAUGGCCGGCCAUGAUAGGAUGGGCUUUUCCGGGCGCGCUCCGAUGGAUACUCAUUGUGGGAGGAUGGUGUGAUCUGAUCUGAGGAUCCCCGACUCUUUAAAUAGGCACUUUGCUCACAGGGUUAGGGUGGCAACUGUAAAAAUGCCCUGACUUCUCACAUUCGCUCGACACGUGGAAGGUAGCCAUUAUUAAAGCACAGAAGCCAAGGAGUGCAACCUUUACGGGAAGCCGGACACAACUCGUACUCAUGAUUUGGAGGAGAACCCGCCUUGCAAUGCCGAAGACGAUCUGCGCAUCGCACUCAUCGUCAUUGAAGCUUGGUUCGGGGGCUAUUGAGGAAGUCCUGGAUUAGGGGGUCCUCGGACAGCCGGACUAUAUGCUUGGGCCGAACUGUUGGAUUAUGAAGAUACAAGAUCGAAGACUUCAUCCCGUGUCCGGGUGGGACUCUCCUUUGUGUGGAAGGCAAGCUUGGCAAUUCGGAUAUGUAGAUCUCCUCCCUUGUAACCGACUCUGUGUAACUCUAGGCCCCUCCGGUGUCUAUAUAAACCGGAGAGUUUAGUCUGUACGACAACAACAAUCAUAAUCAUAGGCUAGCUUCUAGGGUUUAGCCUCUACGAUCUCAUGGUAGAUAACCUCUUGUAAUACUCAUAUCAUCAAGAUCAAUCAAACAGGACGUAGGGUAUUACCUCCAUCGAGAGGGCCCGAACCUGGGUAAACAUUGUGUCCCCCGCCUCCUGUUACCAUUCGCCUUAGACGCACAGUUCGGGACCCCCUACCCGAGAUCCGCCGGUUUUGACACCGACAAGGUGUUGCCGAAAUUUUGUCUCGGAAUGGGGUAGAGCAUUGAGAAAGUACUCAAUCUACACAUACCCAGGCAUGAUUAGGACCUAUCUUUACCUAUUAGGGUGUAUGUUGCUGUAACACCCUCGAUGCGGCUAUAUCUCCCACGUGUCGGAGCACGACUUAGAGGCAUAACCGCAUUGAAGGCAAUGUCGCAAGAGGGGUAAUCUUUACACAUCCCAUGUACUGAAUAAGAAAGAGGUACAGAAUUGGCUUACAAUCGCCACUUCACACAAUACAUGAAUAAAGCAUUACAAUCAUCCAGAUACAAAUCAAGGUCCGACUACGGAACCAAAAUAAAAGAAGACUACCCCAAAUGCUAUAGAUCCCCGAUCGUCCCAACUGGGCUCCACUACUGAUCGACUGAAAGGAAACAACACAAUGGACAAGAUCUUCAUCGAGCUCCUCCUUGAGCUCGGUUGCGUCACCUGCACGGUAACAUCGGCACCUGCAAGCUGGUUUUGGAAGUAAUCUGUGAGUCACGGGGACUCAGCAAUCUCACACCCUCGCUAUCAAGACUAUUUAAGCUUAUAGGUGGGGUAAAAGGUAUGAGGUGGUGCUGAAGCAAGCACUAGCAUAUAUGGUGGCUAACAUACACAAAUGAGAGCGAGAAGAGAAGGCAAAAGCACGAUCGAUAAACUAUGAUCAACAAGUGAUCCUAGAACAACCUAAGUUCAAGCAUAACUCCAACACCGUGUUCACUUCCCGGACCCCACCGAGAAGAGACCAUCACGGCUACACACGCGGUUGAUGCGUUUUAAUUAGGUUAAGUGUCAAGUUUUCUACAACCGGACAUUAACAAAUUCCCAUCUGCCCAUAACCGCGGGCACGGCUUUCGAAAGUUCAAAACCCUGCAGGGGUGUCCCAACUUAGCCCAUCACAAGCUCUCACGGUCAACGAAGGAUAUUCCUUCUCCCAGGACGACCCGAUCAGACUCGGAAUCCCGGUUACAAGACAUUUCGACAAUGGUAAAACAAGACCAAGAAAGCCACCCAGAUGUGCCGACAAAUCCCGAUAGGAGCUGCACAUAUCUCGUUCUCAGGGCACACCGAAUAGGUCAAGCUACAAGUAAAACCAGCCCUCGAGUUGCCUCGAGGUGGCCCCGCAGGCUGCCCAUUUCGGACCAACACUCAGAGAAGCACUGGCCCGGGGGGGUUAAAUAAAGAUGACCCUUGAGUCUGCAGAACCCAAGGGAAAAAAAGGCUAGGUGGCAAAUGGUAAAACCAAUGUUGGGCAUUGCUGGAGGAGUUUUAUUCAAGGCGAACUGUCAAGGGGUUCCCAUUAUAACCCAACCGUGUAAGGAACGCAAAAUCCGGGAACAUAACACCGAUAUGACGGAAACUAGGGCGGCAAGAGUGGAACAAAACACCAGGCAUAAGGCCGAGCCUUCCACCCUUUACCAAGUAUAUAGAUGCAUUAAUUAAAUAAGUAAUAUUGUGAUAUCCCAACAAAAUAACCAUGUUCCAAACAUGGAACAAGCUCCAAACUUCACCUGCAACUAACAACGCUAUAAGAGGGGCUGAGCAAAGCAGUAACAUAGCCAAACAACGGUUUGCUAGGACAAGGUGGGUUAGAGGCUUGGCUUAACAAUAUGGGAGGCAUGAUAAUAAGCAAGUGGUAGGUAUCGCAGCAUAGACAUAACAAAAGAGCGAGCAACUAGCAAGCAAAGAUAGAAGUGAUUUCGAGGGUAUGGUCAUCUUGCCUGAGAUCCCGCAAGAAAGAAGAACGAGUCCAUGAAGAAGACCAACGGACGGAGUCGAGCGAAUCCUCACAAACGCGACGUUAUCGGAGCCAACCCGAAGAAGCAACACCAGAAAGGAGCAAACAACAUAGUAAACAACCACCACAUAACAUGGCAUGAUGCACAACCAAGUAUGAUGCAUGUCCGGUUAAUGAAGUAUGGCAUGGCAAAGUGCACAAACAAUCCUACAAAUUAAGUGGAGCUCAAUAUGCAACGGAGUUGCAUAUUGACGGAACACCACAUCAAUUAUUUAGUUCACUGUCGGUUAGGUACUCAACAAUAUUAAAUGUUGUUUAAACAUGGCAAGAGGUGAAGCAAAAGUAAACUACACAAUCUAAGCAAUUUAAAUGGGGCCGGAAACAUCAAACAACAAUUCCGGUAAAUCCCCAUAUGCAUUUAGCAAUUUAAAGCAAACAACAAUUUAAACAUUAUAAUUGUUGUUAUCAUGAUGCGGAUGACAUGAACAAGUUUUAUGGAUUUUUUAUUAAAAGUAGAUAAAAGCAUUAUGAAGCAUUUGUCACCGUGGUGGAAAGGAAAGGGGUGCCACGGCAACAAUAACGAAAACGGUGCCACGACAGCGUUCCGGUUCCAGUAACUCAAUUGAGAUACCGAUGCAAAUGAGAAGUGUGCGGAUGCGUGCAAAAGAUGGUGGGGCGAUCCCGGAUUCCGGGUGUCCCACGAGUUGGCAGCAAGGAAACAAGUGGCAAAUUGGGCACGGUGCAAACACGGGUAUCUCAAACAUCGCAAGCAUUCGUUCACGGACGUCGUCUCGAGGUUAUACCUUCGAAACGUGCAAGCGGGACAGUUCUCGUUCGGUGCAAAGUAGAGGAAGUAGACGUUCUCACGACGGCGAUAGUGGAAAUAGUCGUUCUCGCACGCUCUAGGGUCGACGAUAGAGGUUCUCGCGAUCUUGGCGAUGGUAGUGGUACAUGUUUAUCGUUGCACGAGUUUCCGUGGACGUUCAUGUCAUUGGUGUCGUGGUACUUGGGGUCUUCGGACUUUCCAGUCCCAUUCUUGCGACGGUAGUUGUUCAUGUUCGUUUCGGAGAGGUACUUGAUGACUCCAACGUCUUCGGGGCGACAGUGGUGGUACACGGUCCACGAGACAUCGAACGUUCGGAGUCCGACUUGCGGGUCUUGCCGACAUGAGGCAUUUUUGUGUAGACGAACUUGUCGCAUCCGAAGGGUCACACUUGUCGUCGUGGGAACUUGUUGAAUCCGAGGUCUUCGAGGGUCGUCGUGGUACUUGACGAUAUCCAGGACAAUCUUGUGACUUGUCGGUCUCGACGAACCGUCGGGGUACUUCGUCUCGGGUUUUGGCAACGGUAGCAUAACUUGCGUCGGUCGUCGUGGUACUAGGGCCCUGAUCUUGGCGUGAUCCAAAAAGAAGACACGAUGUUGCGGAAAGACACGAAAGUUCUCCCGGGGUCAAACACAGGGUCAUGCGCAGCGGUCGAGCUACUGCUGCUCGAUGCAGGGGGCUGUCGUAGGGGAGGUCGAGGUCGCCGGAAGCAGAGGCUGAGACGCACCGGAGGUAGUGGUGCUCGCAGGUGUAGGGCGACCGGUGCUGGGGCUCCUGCUGGGCGCAGAGGACGCCGGGUGCGGGGCGCAGGUGCUCGAGGAGCUCAUCUCCUCGAGCACUCGAGCGAUGGGGACUCGGCGAGGAGGAGGCGCGCUUGCGGCCUGGCGCUGCAGAGGGAUGCAGGAGGUGAGGCAAGGCAUCGGAGGGAGCUUGCGAGGCGGAGCGGAGCAGAGGCCGUCUAGCUGUCGUCAGGACGACACGAGUUGCCGGUGACGAGGAAGAAGCAGGGGCGACGGUAGCCGGCGGGGGCGCAGGCUCGCGAUGGCGGCGGCGGGCCGGCCUGGCACUGCGGGGCUGGCGGCCAUGUGAGCUGCUGCUCCUGUCACAAACGACGACGGCGAGCCGGCGAGAUGAGGGGGCACCGAGAGGAAGGGAGAGGCCAUGGAUCGGGCGAGAGGAGAGAGGAGCGUGGGCGCGGGCGCUGGAGGGAAGGAGAUGGGAUCGUGGGAGAGAUGGAUCGGGCUAGCGGUUCCCUGGCGGCGCGAGGAAACGAGGAGGAGUGGCAUCGUGAGGAGAGGGAGGUUGCGAUCGGCUAGGGUUAGCAGUGGGCUGCGGGUGGGAGCGCGGCUGGGCUUCCAGGGGUCUGCUGGGCCGGCCUGGACCAGGGGAGGUUUGGGCCGGACUAGGCUGCAGAUGGGCCGGCCAGCAGGGCUCUCUCUCUCUCUCUCUCUCUCUCUUAAUUUCUCUUUUCAGCAAAAGAGAUAUGCCAAAAAUAAUUAAGAGAAGAGGCCAUGGAGAAGAACAAAAUUAUGGAACAUUUUUGUAUGACUUUAUGGAAUAUUUCCACCUCAACAAAAAUAGUUUCGACAAGUUAGGAGAAUUUAAAUUCAAACUUAUUUGACUUGAGCCAAAAGAGAUUGAAUGGGGGCUAGGCUAAAGGGGUGUACAAAAAUGUUGAGGGUUUAGGAGGACCCUCGAAAAAUGGAGAAAGAACUAUUGCCAAGGUUUGGAGGUGAAACUAGAAGCAAAAGAACCCAACGGAUUUAUAUUGUGAGUGUGUUGUGGUCGAUUCCUAAAGAAUGGAAUAUUUAUUUUACCUCCAUAUACAUAUUGGGAGAUAUGUUAUAAAGAGAAUUUCACCAUGUGAAUAUCUCUCGAUUUAAAUGGACCGAAGAUUCAUCCGAUUUUAUUUGGUUGAGUUAAGAAAAAGAAAAUGACAUGAUGGUAUGAUAACAUGAUGCAAAGCUGAAUGCAAAGAACCAAACAAAACACAUGACGAAACCCGGAAACCCUGGAAGGCAUCUGAAGCUCCGGUCUUGGGACGUCAUAGUUGCAUGGACAUAAUAAAAUUGGCAAACUAGAUUACUCGAUGAAUAUACAUGCUGAAUUAUAUAUAUUUCUUGUCUAUCCAGUAGCUAAGAAAAAUGAGUGAUCGUGCAUGGAUGUACACCGGUCGCACUAGUCAGAAAGAGAUUACUAAUGAAUGGUUAACAAAAACCUAUGUCCGGUGCAAGAAUUGGGAAAAGAGGACACAAGAGGAAAUGGGCAAACACCUGCAGAAGAGUGGAUUUAUGCCCGAUUAUACAGUGUGGACAUUUCAUGGUGAGUCUUCCCAACAUGCCAGAGCUGAGGUGGUUCGUCGUCGCACCGAAGAGCACGGUACCGGGAUGGAAGACAUGGUGCAAAACUUUGAUGAUGCUCGGGAUUCGGACGAAGAGAUGGAGGAAUCUGCAAAGGCCUUCAAGGAAAUGUUGGAGUCUUCAAAACGUCCUCUUCAUGAGCAAACUAAGCAUUGUUAGCUGGAUGCCAUCUCACAAGUAAUGGCUCUGAAGACUCAAUUCAACUUGGGCAGAGAAUGCUACGACGCGAUGAUGACAGUAUUUAGACGCUUUCUACCCAAAGGCCAUAUACUGCCUGCAAACCUGUACCAGUUAGACAAAAUCCUCCGAGCUCUUAAGAUGUCCUAUGAGAAGAUACAUGCCUGUGAGAAAGGAUGUGCCUUAUUUAGGCUUGAGUAUGCGGACUUGAACUAUUGUCCCAUUUGCAAGUCUUCCAGGUAUAUUGUGGUAGACAACAGUAUUGGUGAGAAGACGCAGACCAAAAUCCCGGUUAAUGUUCUUCAGUGUAUGCCAAUCGUACCAAGACUUCAACGUCUUUUCACGGUCGAAGAGACGGCUAGUAGAUGACAUGGCACAAAAUGGGUAAAAGAACCGAACUAGAUGCAGAUGGGAAUCUGAUGAUGGUACACACAUCGGAUGAUGAAGCGUGGAAGUGCUUCGAUGCAUUAUAUGCGGAAAAAGUAGCAGAUCGAAGGCAUCCUCGAGUCGGCAUCAGCACGGCUAGGUUCAGUGUGUUUAGUUUGAUGGCAACCUAAUACAGUUGUUGGCCCGUAUUUGUAUUUCCACUCAAUCUCCCCUCGGAGAGAUUAUGCAAAGAAAGAACAUUUUCCUGACGUUGAUAAUUCCAGAGCCGUACUAUCCGGGGAAGAAUAUGAAUGUGUACAUGCAACCACUACUACAAAAACAGCUAUAGCCAAUAUGGACACUAAUGACGCACUGUACAUGUGGUGCGUCAUUACUAAAUACUAAUGACGCACCAUGUGUUGGUGCGCCAUUAGUAUGCAAAUACUAAUGGCGCACCACAUCCACGGUGCGCCAUUAGUAAAAAAAAUUAUUUUUUUUCAAAACUACUAAUGGCGCACCGUGGGAGUGGUACGCCAUUACUAGUCCCACGGUGCGCCAUUAGUAACUUGGCCACCACUUCGACCGAAUGCACCCCCCGGUGGACCGCCUUUUCAGUUUCAAAAAAAAAUGAUGGAAAUGUCAAAAAAAAGAAAAUAAGUUUCCCAUGUGAUAUGUGGUCUAGUUGUUGUGAAAAUUUACAAAUAUGAAUCUCGACUUUAUUUGCGAAAUCUCUCGAGAAUUUGUAAAAUGGGCAUAACUUCUGCGUACGAACUCGGAUGAAAAAGUUUUUUAUAUGAAAAAUCAUCUACUCGAAAAGUUACAUCCGAAUUUAACCGGGGGAACCUCGUUAAACAUUUUCAAAAUCCUCAAAAACCUAACAGAAAAAAGAUACGGGGCUUUUAAGAUCUGGAGAGGCAAAAAAAUUCAAACUUACUAAUGGCGCACCUGCCCAUGGUGCGCCAUUACUAUGUUCCCGCCUUCAAAAUUCAAAAUAAGUCAAAAAAAUAAAAAAUAAUAAAGUUACUAAUGGCGCACCUGCCCAUGAUGCGUCAUUCGUAUCUUCCCGCCUUCAAAAUUCAAAAUAAAUAUAAAAAAUAGUAAUGGCGCACCUGCCCGCGGUGCGCCAUUACUAUUGUCGUAUAUAUGGUUGGGCGUGGUCCUCUCCUCCUUACCUCUUCAUUCUUAUCCUCCACUCCAUCUCCUCCUCUCCUCCACUCCAUCUUCCCUUCUCUCCUCCACCAUACUACCCUCCUCCUCUCCGGCGACCUCCUCCUCCUCCUCCUCUCCGGCGACCUCCUCCUCCCUCCUCUCCUUCCCUCCCCUUCCCUCACGGUUUCUCCUCCCUCCUCUUCGGUGAGCUCCUCCUCCCUCCUCUCCGGUGAGCUCCUCCUCCCUCCUCUCCUCCCAUCCCCUCAUGGUUUCUCCUUCCUCCUCUUCGAUACUCCGGUGAACUCCUCUCCGGCGACCUCCUCCUCCUCUCCAGCGAUGUAGGCGAGCGCCUCUCCGGUGACCUCCUCCUCCUCGUCUCCGGUAUACUCCUCUCCGGCAAAAGAACACGGCAAAAGAACGUACAAGAUCCAAAAACAGGAACAAAAUUUGAAAUAAUAUCGUGCCAAAAAACAAGCAAAAAAUGGGCAAAAAAAUCACGAUCCAGAUCCAAAUUCAAAAUUCAAAAAUAGCAAUGGCGCACGAUGGGGGUUAGACGGUGCCCCACUACUAUUUUCCCGCCUUCAAAAUUCAAAAAUACUAAUGGCACACCGUGGCCUAUACUAAUGGCGCACCAGUGGCCUAUACUAAUUUCGCACCAUGGCCUAUACUAAUGGCGCACCAGUGGUGCGCCAUUAGUAAAAAAUACUAGUGGCGUGGUACUAGUGGUGCACCAGUAGUGCGCCAUUAGUAGGCAAAACUGGUGCGCCACUAGUAGGCCUUUUCCUAGUAGUGAACCACUUAUGGACGAAUUGCAAGAAGCUUGAGAUGAUGGGUUCAAGACACACGACGCCUUUAACAAACAGAACUUCAUAAUGCGUGUCUGGUACAUGUACUCGACGCAUGAUUUGCCGGCGUAUGCGCUAUUUGUUGGCUGGUGUGUGCAUGGAAGGUUCCCGUGCCCCACAUGCGAGACAACUCUUGAGUUUCAUUGGUUGUAGGCGGGUCGCAAGUUGUCUUGAUUCGACUUGCAUAGACAGUUCCUGUAUCCUCGCCAUAAGUGCAGGAAAGAUAACAAGAACUUCAUGAAAGGUAGAGUUGUCAGAAACUCUACACCACCUCCAUUGACAGGCCAGGUGACCCUGGAUCAGUUAAACACUCUCAAGCCAUAUCCAGAGAGUCCAGGGUAUUUCAAGGGGUAUAAUUCGAAACACGCCUGGACUCAUAAGACAUGCUUGUGGGAUCUGCCAUACUUCAAAGACCUCCUUUGCCCACACAACAUCGACAUGAUGCGCACUGAAAAAGAAUAUCACUGAGGCACUUUUGGGUGCAUUGUUCAGCAUAGAGGGGAAGUCAAAUAAUAAUACUAAGGCUAGAGUCGAUCAGGAGGCGCUAUGUCAUAGACCUUACAAAACAUGCAAGAACUGAAAGGAAAGCAGAACUGGACGAAGCCAAAGGCAUGGUUCAAUCUUGGAAGGCCAACUAUGAGGGAAAUUAUCUUGUGGGUGAAAAUGCAGUUUAUGUUCCCCGAUGGGUAUGCAGCGAAUCUAAAGAGGGGAGUGAGUCUUGACAAUUUGAAAAUAUUUGGUCUCAAGAGUCAUGAUUGGCACAUAUGGAUUGAGCGGGUAAUGUCGGUGAUGUUGCGUCGCUUCAUCCCUAAGGAUGAAUGGCUUGUACUGGCAGAGCUGAGCUAUUUCUUCCGUGUUCUUUAUGCGAAAGAACUAUCGCUUGCCGUGCUAGAAGAAAUGGAAGAGUUGGCGUCGGAGUUGAUCUGCAAUUUAGAGAAGAUCUUUCCGUCGGGCUUCUUUAAUCCAAUGCAACACUUGAUUUUGCAUCUCCCGGCCGAGGGAAGAUUGGGGGGCGGGGGCGUGCAAAAUUGUUUGUGCUACGCAACUGAGAGGAUGCAGAAGACGCUCCGAACAAAAUGUAAAAAUAAACGUAGAAUUGAAGCAUUGAUGGCCGAGGCAUUCAUUACUGAGGAGGUGGCAAACUUUGUGACAGCACACUACGAAGGCAAAAAUCUUCAUUUGCAUAAUCCGAAGCCUCGGUACAAUGCUGGCGACCAUAAAAAAGGUGGAUCCAACCUCAUCCUAUUCAAAGGGAAUCUCGCACCAGCUGGUGCUUCGAAACCAAUAUCGUUGGAUGUCAAAGAACGGCGGACCAUUUCGUUGUAUAUCUUUGAUAUGUCUCCAACGUAUCUAUAAUUUUUGAUUGUUCCAUGCUAUUAUAUUAUCUGUUUUGGAUGUUUAAUGGGCUUUAAUAUACCUUUUAAUAUUAUUUUUGGGACUAACCUACUAACCAAAGGCCCAGUGCAAAUUGCUGGUUUUUGUCUAUUUCAGUGUUUCGCAGAAAAGGAAUAUCAAACAGAAUGCAAACGGAAUGAAACCUUCGGGGGAGUUAUUUUUGGAACAAACGCAAUCCAAGAUACUUGGAGUGGACGCCAAGGAAGCAACGAUGCGGCCACGAGGCAGGAGGGCGCACCCAGGGGGGUAGGCGUGCCCCCACCCUCGUGGGCCCGUCGUGGCUCUGCCGACCUACUUCUUUCGCCUAUAUAUACUCAUAUACCCCGAAAACAUCCGAGAGCACUACGAAACCCUAUUUCCACCGCUGCAACCUUCUAUACCCGUGAGAUCCCAUCUUGGGGCCUUUUUCGGCGCUCCGCCGGAGGGGGAAUCGAUCACGGAGGGCUUCUACAUCAACACCAUAUCCUCUCCGAUGAUGUGUAAGUAUUUUACCACAGACCUUCGGGUCCAUAGUUAUUAGCUAGAUGGCUUGCUCUCUCUCUUUGGAUCUCAAUACAAAGUUCUCCUCGAUUCUCUUGGAGAUCUAUGUAAUUCUUUUUGUGGUGUAUUUGUCGAGAUCCGAUGAAUUGUGGGUUUAUGAUCAAGAUUAUCUAUGGACAAUAUUUGAUUCUUCUCUGAAUUCUUUUAUGCAUGAUUUAAUAUCUUUGCAAGUCUCUUCGAAUUAUCAGUUUGGUUUGGCCUACUAGAUUGUGAUACGUCUCCAACGUAUCUAUAAUUUUUGAUUGUUCCAUGCUAUUAUAUUAUCUGUUUUGGAUGGUAAUGGGCUUUAUUUUACACUUCUAUAUUAUUUUUGGGACUAACCUAUUAACCGGAGGCCCAGCCCAAAGUGCUAUUUCUUUGCCUAUUUCAGUGUUACGUAGAAAAGGAAUAUCAAACGGAGUCCAAAUGGAAUGAAACCUUCAGGAACAUGAUUUUUGGAACAAACGUGAUCCCGAGGACUUAGAGUGGACGUCAAGCAAUCAAUGAGGCGGCCAUGAGGCAGGGGGCGCACCUACCCCCUGGGCGCGCCCUCCCCCCUUGUGGGCCCCUCGUUGCUCCACCGACCUACUUCUUCCUCCUAUAUAUGUUCACAUACCCCGCAAACAUCCAGGAGCACCACGAAACCCUAUUUCCACCGCCGUAACCUUCUAUACCCAAGAGAUCCCAUCUUGGGGCCUUUUCUGGAGCUCUGCCAGAGGGGGCAUUGAUCACGGAGGGCCUCUACAUCAACUCCAUGGCCCCUCCGAUGAUGUGUGAGUAGUUUACUUCAGACCUUUGGGUCCAUACCUAGUAGCUAGAUGGCUUCUUCUCUCUCUUUGGAUCUCAAUACAAAGUUCUCCUUGAUUCUCUUGGAGAUCUAUUCGAUGUAAUCUUCUUUUGCGGUGUGUUUGUCGAGAUCCGAUGAAUUGUGGGUUUAUGAUCAAGUUUAUCUAUGAACAAUAUUUGAAUCUCCUCUGAAUUCUUUUAUGUAUGAUUGGUUUAUCUUUGCAAGUCUCUUCGAAUUAUCAUUUUGGUUUGGCCUACAAGAUUGAUCUUUCUUGCAAUGGGAGAAGUGUUUAGCUUUGGGUUCAAUCUUGCGCUGCUCGAUCCCAGUGACAGAAAGGGAAACGACACAUAUUGUAUUGUUGCCAUCGAGGAUAAAAAUAUGGGGUUUACAUCAUAUUGCAUGAGUUUAUCCCUCUAGAUCAUGUCAUCUUGCUUAAGGCGUUAGUCUGUUCUUAUGAACUUAAUACUCUAAAUGCAUGCUGGAUAGCAGUCGAUGUGUGGAGUAAUAGUAGUAGAUGCAGGCAGGAGUCAGUCUACUUGUCGCAGACGUGAUGCCUAUAUACAUGAUCAUGCCUAGAUAUUCUCAUAAUUAUUCGCUUUUCUAUCAAUUGGUCGACAGUAAUUUGUUCACCCACCGUAAUACUUAUGCUAUAUUGAGAAAAGCCACUAGUGAAACCUAUGGCCCCCGGGUCUAUUUUCCAUCAUACAAGUUUCCAAUCUAUUUGAUUUUGCAAUCUUUACUUUCAAUCUAUAUCAUCAAAAUACCAAAAAUACAUAUCUUAUUAUUAUCAUCUCUAUCAGAUCUCACUCUUGCAAGUGGCCAUGAAGGGAUUGACAACCCCUUUAUCGCAUUGGUUGCGAGGUUCUUAUUUGUUUGUGUAGGUACGAGGUGACUCGCGCGUGGUCUCCUACUGGAUUGAUACCUUGGUACUCAAAAACUAGGGGAAAUACUUACGUUGCUUUACUGCACCACCCUUUCCUCUUCAAGGGAAAACCAAUGGAGUGCUCAAGAGGUAGCAGAUUGAUCUUUCUUGUAAUGGGAGAAGUGCUUAGCUUUGGGUUCAAUCUUGCGGUGUCCUUUCCCAGUGACAGCAGGGGCAGCAAGGUACGUAUUGUAUUGUUGUCAUCGAGGAUAAAAAGAUGGGGUUUCUAUCAUAUUGCUUGAGUUUAUCCCUCUACAUCAUGUCAUCUUGCCUAAUGCAUUACUCUGUUCUUAUGAACUUAAUACUCUAGAUGCAUGCUGGAUAGUGGUCGAUGUGUGGAGUAAUAGUAGUAGAUGCAGAAUCGUUUCGGUCUACUUGGUGCGAACGUGAUGCCUAUAUACAUGAUCAUGCCUAGAUAUUCUCAUAACUAUGCUCUUUUCUAUCAAUUGCUCGACAGUAAUUUGUUCACCCAUCGUAGAAUUUGCUAUGUUGAGAGAAGCCACUAGUGAAACCUACGGCCCCAGGGUCUAUCUUCCAUCAUACUAUUCUCCUAUUUACUUGCUAUUUCUAUCAUUGUUUAUUUUUCAAUCUCUUUUUCCAAUCUAUACAAUAAAAAUACCAAAAAUAUUUAUCUUAUUAUCUCUAUCAGAUCUCACUUUCGUAAGUGACCGUGAAGGGAUUGACAACCCCUUUAUCGUGUUGGUUGCGAGGUUCUUGUUUGUUUGUGCAGGUACUAGGGACUUGCGUGUUACCUCCUACUGGAUUGUUACCUUGGUUCUCAAAAACCGAGGGAAAUACUUUCGCUACUUUGCUGCAUCACCCUUUCCUCUUCAAGGGAAAACCAACGCAUGCUCAAGAGGUAGCAAUCUUCACCAACCUAACAGAAGUGCGGCCGUGCAUCGAGUAAGUUCUUGUAGUACAUUGUUUCGCAACUUCUAAUUCCUUUGAACUGCUCUUAUUCCCAGAUAUUUUUUGAUACAGUCGAUACAUCACCAAAUUCUUGGAUGGAGCGGUGAUCCAAAAGGAAUCCAUCGAAGAGUAUGAGCUCCUCGCGAAGCAAGGAGGCGGCUUUCCUGGUUUCACCUCUUGGUUCAAACAAACGGUAAUUUCCACUAGACCAUUCUCAUUUCUUCAUCUAAUUUGCGGCUAAUGCAACAAUCCUUUCGUAUUAAACUUGUAGGCUAAUUCAAAGUCUAUGGACGCUGAAUUGAGACAAUUCACUAAUGGUUUUGACUUUAAGGCCCGUUCAUUUGACAAAUUCGACAUCAGCAGGCAUCACUUUCGUACCUAUGGCAAAGAGCUAUUUAUGGCCGACCGAAAGUCUACAAGUUGUUGUGUCUCUGCUAUCGGCGAUGGAGGUAUCGAGUAUUAUGGGAGAGUUGAAGCAAUUUAUGAACUUCUAUUCUAUGGUCAAAACGCACCAAACGUCGUAGUCUUCAAAUGUUACUAGUUCUAGCCGAAGGAGACUAGAAGGACUCAUGAACAUAUAGGGCUAGUCGAAAUCAAACAAAGCACCCAUUUAGAUGUUCCCGAUGUCUAUAUUAUGGCUCAACAAGCGACCCAAGUUUUCUAUCUACUGUGGGAGUGCCAAACUUAUCCAAAUCUGAAUGGUUGGGAUGUCGUUUAUGAAGUGCCACCACGUGUUAGACUACCUCCCCACAAUGAAGAGGAUUAUGAACCUCACAUUAACCCAGACACAUAUGAAGGUGAAUUCUUCCAAGAAACACUCUUUCCAAAAAAACGCUUCAAGAAACGCUUUACUUCACACCAGAACAUUGAAGUAGACAGCGAUAGUGAACCUGACUUCACCCCUGAGCCGGAACAAGAAGAGCCUAAACAAGAAGAGGUUACUGAUGCGGAUGACUUGUCAAUGGUUGAACGAUUACGUAAAGGUGGCCUUCCACAUGUUGAUGCCGCUGAACCCGAUGAGCACUUCAUUGAUGAUAGUGAUGAUGAUGAUGCAUUUAUUGAUCCUGGAGCAUUUAUUGAACCCGACGAUCAAGAUUAUUAUUAGGUAUUCAAUUUUUUAUGUUGUACUUGAUUUAUAUAAAUGCUUGUAUGAUUGUAUGAUUUAUAUAGUUACUUGUAUAAUUUCUUACUUUGUAUGAUUGUUUGUUAUACAUAGUGCCAUGGUCUUGAUAUCCGUCCCCGUCGGCCCUUGCCCGCUUUAUGAUUAAGAUGUGGUAUAUUCUCUAUUAUAACUAUUUGUUGCAUUUCACAUUUAUGACAAUUAUGGCCAUCAAGUUGACAUAGAGAUAUUUUUAUCUAGGAGGUAUGUGAAACAGAAAUUGCAACCGACCCUAUUGUUGAGAAGUUAAAUUUAGUUGAAAAAUAAAAUGAGUAUUUGAAAGAAAGAAUUAGAAGAAUUGAAGAAGAGAAGAUGAAAUUGGAGUUGUAUGUUGCCGAUGUCCUCGAUGAUCACAAGAUGAAGACGAAUGCAAUGCGCUUGAAGAUUAGAAAAUAUGCCAUUGAUAAUGAGGCUUGGUAUCGUUAUGCCGUUGGAUCAAUUAUUACCUUAGUUGCGAUCCUCAUCACAUUUGUUGUGAUGAGGGUAAGUUUUCUCUAGUGUUUUGCUUAACAAAUGCAUACUUAGCUUAUUUUCCUCCUAAAUGGCAUAAUUACCUAAGUUAGAUAAAAAUGAGCCAUACUUACGUAAGUUGGCUCAAAAUGGCAUCAUCACCUAGGUUAGCACAAAAAUGACCUAUACUUACCUUAUUUUCCUCCAAAUUGACAUAAUAAGGUUAGUUGGCUAAAAAUGGCACAAUUACAUAUAUUAGCUCUAAAAUGACACAUAUAAGGAAUAAGAAGAACAAAAACAAGAAAGAGGAGAAAAAGAAAGAAUAGAAGAAGAAAGAGAAGAAAAAAGAAAGAAUAAAAGAAGAAGAAUGAGAAUGAGGAGGAAAGGGAUAAAAAGAUAGAAGAGAAGAAGAAAGAUGAGAAAAGAAGAAGAAGAAAAUUCUUCUUCUUCUAGUCUUCUCUUAUUCUUCUUCUUUCUUCUUCUAGUCUUCUUCUUCUUCUUCUUCCUCUAGUCUUCUUCUUCUUCUAACUUUCUUACUCCCAUUUUUGUAGGUAUGAUUCACUUCAUGGAAGCAGCAUUGAUGGACUGCUAGUGUUUAGUUCUUGUUUUCGUUUGUAUUGAUGAACAAUGUGAAACUAUGUGUGUAUAUAUGGAUGAACUCCAUGAAACUAUGUAUGCAUUGGAUCUUUUAAUACCCUAUGUGUUCUGUUGCAUUGAUGGACUGCUAGAUGUUUGAUACAUGGGCUAUGCUUGAUGUUGAAACUAUACAUAGUGCUAGGACAACACUAUUCUAAUCCCAGGAUUAGAAUAGUUAUUUGGAUCAUAGCGCCCUAUAUAGGAGCCGCAGUAGUGUUCCCGAACUCCAUCGAAAAAAACGAUCUUGUGUCCCGCACCUCCCGUGCCUGAUCCCCACCUCGCUCGCCUCGAUCCCCAACCGGCGACCCCUCCCCCACCCGCCGCCAGUGCUCCGCCCCGCCCCGGACCCCACCCCCCGCUGUAGGUGCCCCACCCCACCGCCGCCUGGCUCCCUGCGCGCCGCUGCCGCGACCACCCGCGCGUCGCCGCCUGGCUCCCUGAGUGCUGCCGCCACGACCACAGGCCCGCCGCCGGCCUGGCUCCAUGCGCGCCGCUGACUCCGACCAUCUGCACGGUGCUGCCCCGACCACCUGCACGCCGCCGCCUGUCUCCCUGUGCGCCGCCGGCGUUGACCACCUGAGCGCCGGUGCCACGCCAAGAUCCAAGCUAGAAGUACACUACAUGUCAGCGUCUGAUCUCCCGUGCUCCUCCCCUCAAGUUCUUCUCUUCCUGUGUCGCCAGAAGCCAGCCAUGGUGAGCAUCGUCCCUCCCCAUCAACUCUCUCCGACCUUCCCUGUCAACUCUCUCUGACCUUCCCCGCACCUCUCCUAGCUGCAGCGCACGGUGCUUUGUGGCAUCCUAGGUUCCUCUCCGAAAACAGCCGUGAGUAGUGCUCCCAUGAAAAUCCUCUUGUGUGUGCAAAGCUAUGCCAUCCAACUAAUAUGGCUAAAUUUGUUUAGCAGUUUUUUCUCUUUGAACUAGAUGACGAACAUGCCCGAACUUAUGGAUGUGUUGCUCAUGUGAAAAAUGUGUUAAAUGAACUUCACAAUCUUGACUGAAGAUGUUUUAAAAAAUGUGUUAACCCCUGCUCCCAUGCAUCGGCGACCAGCCAUCUCCAAUCCUCGCACACACGCCGUAGCACUUGCAUUUCGAUGCUCCAAUGCCUACUGGCACUGCCUGCAUCUUUGUCCUACAAAAAACUCUAGCAAUGUUUAAUUCUUGUGAUUUCUUGCAGCAGUUCAAUAUAUAUUAUACAAGAAGAACAAACUAACAGUAUGUUGCAGAUGUUCUCUUUUGUGAUUGUCGUAGACUUCCAACAGUUUAGAUGUGGGCAAGUCAAACAGAGUUCUCUUUGCUUCCGUCUCACCACCACAACCACGGCAGCAAGGCACACUAUGUCCAUGGCGGGAGAUCGGCACCAAGGUGGCCUGCCAGGGUCAUGGACUGGUUCAGGAAGAUGCUGGUGGGCCUGUUGGCCUUCCCGUCGCGGCCGCCCAAGGUCACCUUCAACGCCAACUCCAAGGGCGGUGGCGAGGACAUCGUGGCUGUGGCACCCAAGAGGCCAUCAUGCAGCAGCUCCAACCUGCAGCCGCUGAACAAGGAGCACUACGACGAGGCCAUCUCCGACUGCGUCGAGUUCUUCCACCGAUUCGCCAGGGUGGAUGUCAGGUCACGGCCGUCCUCGUCGUCCCACUUCUGAAUUCCCAUCGUCGACAACUUUGUGCUAGCUUCAAGCAUAUCCCACUGUGUGUGGGCAUGUGUAUGUGUGUCUGUCAUGUUACUGUGUUCUUUCUUUUGACAUCUGUCAUGUUAGUAUGUUACCGUGUUAGUAAAAUGGACAGCGAGCCAACUGCUGCAGGUCAAUGGUAACAAGUAUCAAAAGAGUUUUGGAUGCAGGAUGUUGCAAAGUCCUAGUCGGCUAGUGAUAACUGUGCUAUAACUUUAUGGUAGGCCGAUCAUAGCUUGGAUUAGUGUAUUUCAUUUUGUAGCUUGAAUUUUGUAACGUGUUAAGUUUAUUGUGCAGAACCUUCAGAAAAGAUACCAAACAAAGUAUGUUAUGGACCUUGUAACUCCUUCCCCUUUUUCCAUUCAUGCAUGUUCUUUCACGUGAUUUGAUGUAACGAAGUUUGUGUAAACCAUAUUGUUUACAUACACCUAAAGCAGUAUGUAUUUUUUAAAGUAAUCUGGAAGUUCAAAUAUUAUUGUAUAGAGAGUUCAAUCAUUGUAUUUUAGGAAGAAUGCAUCUUACAGUUAAAAAAUGCUUAGAGGAAAAGCAUUCAUAAAAAAAGUAGCAAUCCGAUUUUUGGGAGGUUUAAAAUGUUAAAUUCGCACAAGAAAAGAGUGUAGAAAAAGAUGGGCGCCGCAAAAAAUGAUACUAAACAAACAAAUAAUUUGAAGUACAAAUUCGCGGAGUUGGGUAGUUCAAUAAAUAAAAAAUACAAAACAAAAGACUAGUCUUUAGGUUGGACAGGCCCAUGACAAGCUCGUAAAUUUAAAAAUUGUUUUUUAUGGUGGAAAAUAUCCUUUGAUUUCAAUUUUUACGUAGAGAAACAGUGAGCAAAAAAGACCACAAUAAAAAAUGAUGUCAUUUUCCGUGAUUUUACCCGUUUUAUGUAGAGAAACAGUUAGCAAAAAAAGACUAGUCUCCAAGUUGUUCAACAUAAUGUUAUUAUUCACCAAUGCACCGCUUUCUCUCUGGGAGCAGAGAAAGAGAGAAGUUCAUCCUGGCAGCCCAAUGUGGUUCAAUUUGUAUCUUAAAAGAAGACCCUCAAAGUUCAAAAUUAAAUAACAAUACGGUUCAAUUUUUAUUUAGUAAGAAACGAUUUCCCUUGAGACUAAAUAAUCAAGCCACCAAGUUCACAUUAAUAAUAACAAAGCAGUUCAAUAUAUACAAAAAAACUCAAGUUCUUCUUGUUUUAUAUAAAAAGAAAAGUAUGAAGUUCAAUUUAAAAACUAAAAAUACAAAAGGAUUUUCACCGUUUCUAAAUAAAAAAACUCUCGAAGUUCAAAGUAAAAUAAUGGAGCGGUUCGAUUUUUACUAAAACUAAUAGGAUAUUUUCCAUUACAAAAAAAUAAGAAGUCCAAAUUUUACAAAUGGAGAAGUUCAAUGUGAAGAAAAAACUUAGAUUUUUUUCUCGUUGCUAAAGAAUAAAAUGAAGAAGUUCAAAUUAAAAUAAUGGAACAUAUCAAAAGGUUUAUAAAAAUGAUUUCCCCAUUUUCUAAAAAUACCCGAGAAGCCCAUAUUAAAACAACAUCAUGGCUCAAUCUUUACAAAAAAAUNNNNNNNNNNNNNNNNNNNNNNNNNNNNNNNNNNNNNNNNNNNNNNNNNNNNNNNNNNNNNNNNNNNNNNNNNNNNNNNNNNNNNNNNNNNNNNNNNNNNNNNNNNNNNNNNNNNNNNNNNNNNNNNNNNNNNNNNNNNNNNNNNNNNNNNNNNNNNNNNNNNNNNNNNNNNNNNNNNNNNNNNNNNNNNNNNNNNNNNNNNNNNNNNNNNNNNNNNNNNNNNNNNNNNNNNNNNNNNNNNNNNNNNNNNNNNNNNNNNNNNNNNNNNNNNNNNNNNNNNNNNNNNNNNNNNNNNNNNNNNNNNNNNNNNNNNNNNNNNNNNNNNNNNNNNNNGAUGGAGAAGUUCGAUGAUUAUAGAAAACUCAGAUUUUCCUUGUUAUUAAAUAAUGGAAACAAGAAGUUCAAAAAAAAAUAAGAAGUUCAAAUUUUAAAAAUAGAGCGCUUCAAAAUUUCUUAAAAUAGAUUAAGAAAUAAAACCAGGAAGUUCAUAUUAAAAAAUGGAGAAGUUCGAGGAUUAUAGUGAACUCAGAUUUUCCUCGUUAUUAAAGAAUGGAAACAAGAAGUCCAAAAAACAAGAAGUUCAACUUUUAAAAAUAGAGCGCUUCAAAAUUCAUAAAAAAGAUUAAGAAAAUUAGAUUAAAAAUUCAUUAAAAAACUCACAUAUUUCCCCGUAACUGAGUAAUGCAAGGAAUGCAUUUCAGGUGACAUUUAAAAGUAUAGAAAAAUAAAAUCUUAAAAAUGUUUGUUGAAAGAAGUUCAAGUGCUCUAUCCAGAGAAGUUCAAAAAUUGUUGCGAGAGAGGUUCACCUUGUAUUCCAUGUUUGAUUUUUUCCGUAUAAAAAUCUAAUACAAUUCUUUACUCAAAAUAUAAAUAGGUGAAGUUCAUAUUGAAAAAAUAGAGAAGUUCGAAGUAUAUUAAAACCUAGGAUUUACCUGGUCAAAAAAUAAAAAACACAACGCCAUUUUUUGCACUUUUAAAAACAACUCAUAAACGAAAAAAUGGUUGCUAGAAGUUCAAGUGCUUAGUGAGGAAAAGUUCAAAAAAAUUCUUGUGAGAGGUUAACCUUAUAUUUAGAUGUCCAAAAUACGUAAAAAAAUAGGUUGUUUUUUGUGUUUUAAAAUAAUUCUCUCAAACCAGAGAGAAGUUCAAAGUGAUAAUAACUAGAAGUUCACGUACUACAUGGUGUGUAUUUCAUACAAGAAAAAAACAAUAAAGUGAAACAGAAUGAAGUUCAAAUAGACAUGCCCCAGAAGUUCAACUACUUCACGCGGUGCAAAAAACAGCACGUCAAAAACAAAGUGAUGUUCAAACAUACAUACCCCGAGAAGUUCAACUACUUCACGCAGUGCGUUUCCAUUCGCAAUGAACACAGAAAUCAUGAUCUUGUCAUUUCUCUAAUUUUCUUCAAAACAACAGGAAUAUCAUCUAUGUAAGUUCAAGUCCUCGAUCGAAGAAAGUUAAAAAAAUAUUGUGAGAGAGGUUUGUACAAAAAGAAUAUGUUUUGUGUAACACUGACGAAAUGGAUGAGAAAAUUACAAACGAAAAUAUGUCACAGAAGUUCAACGUGAAAACAGCAGGAAGUUCAUCAACUACACUGAAUGAAUUUUAGAUGAAAAACUUUUAAAAUUGUCGCGAGUAUGAAAAGAUGAUCAACAUGGGAAACUUGCGUGCUUACAGCAGCUUUCCAUCGGUAUAUCACCUGCUCAAUUCCAGUGAAUGGAUGGAGAGUUACGAGCAAGUGGAUAGAGACCUACGAGCAAAAAAAUUACGUGAAAAACAGAGUGAAGUUCAGGUACACGCGCCGAGAAGUUCAGGUUCUUCACGCGGUGCAAUUUCGAAGAAUCUGUUUCACGAUAAAGGCAGAACGCAUGAUCCCGCUGUUUUCCAAAUUACUUGAAAACGGCUAUGAAUCAGAGAAAACCAUCAACAUGAAAAAGUUUCGCAUUUUCCGUAACUUUUUAGCGGUAUAUUAUUUGCCCCAUUCCGAUAAAGUUUGUAGAAAUUUCGGCAAAAAUACAUUUUUAACCAUUUUCAAAGCUGACAUAAAACUGUAAUGAAUUAGGAGAAACAAUAUAUACAAAAAAGUUUUGCAUUUCUUCAAGCUUUCCAACGCCAUAUCAUUUGCUGCAUUUGGACGUACAGUUAAAAAAUUAGCUCAAAAAUACGUACUCGGUGGAACUUGUACCAUUUUCUAAAUUACUUUUAAACCAUUCAAAAUUAGAAAAAACUUAUAACAUAAAAAAGUAGCACAUUUUCAUAAGCUUUCCAACGCCAUAUUAUUUGCCUCAAUUGGAUUAGCCGUUUAGAAAUGGCGUCGAAAAUAUGAAGUCGGGUGUUUGGUUUGCGAAAUUUUACGAUUUUUCGAAUUACUCUUUAACCGUAUGGAAUUAGAGAAAACUUUCAACAUGUGGAAGUAACGGUUUUGCAGCAGAUUUCCAACAAUAUAUUAUUUGCCUCAUUCCGAUAAACGGUUUAAAAAUGCGAUCGAAAAUACGAUUCACGUUUUUUAUAUGAAGAAAUAAUGGUUUUCAAAACUGCUCUUAAACAGCUUACAUUUUGCCAAAACUUUAACUUGGGUCAUGAUACUGAUGUCCAUAGCUAUCCAACGGUAUAUCGCAAGCCCCAUUUGGACACCUUUUUAGCUGAAGUUCAACCUAGUACUCGGGGAAGGUCAGGCGCGUUACUCAGGAAGUUCAUGUUGUGAUCAGAAUAUUAUUCUGAUCCCGUGAUCAGAAUAGUGUUUAUGUGUGUGUGUAUAUAUAUGCUGUUGUUCUAAGAAUGAUCAUGAUGCCCUCAUAUCCGUAUUUUAUUUUAUCGACACCUCUAUCUCUAAACAUGUGGACAUAUUUUUCGAUUUUGGCUUUCGCUUGAGGACAAGCGAGGCUUGAGGGAGUUGAUACGUCUAUUUUGCAUCAUGCUUUUAUAUCGAUAUUUAUUGCAUUAUGGGCUGUUAUUACACAUUAUGUCACAAUAGUUAUGCCUAUUCUCUCUUAUUUUACAAGCUUUACAUGAAGAGGGAGAAUGCCGGCAACUGGGAUUCUGGGCUAGAAAAGGAGCAAAUAUUAGAGACCUAUUCUGCACAGCUCCAAAAGUCCUGAAACUUCACGGAAGUAAUUUUUGGAAUUAAUAAAAAAUAAUGAGCGGAGAAAGCACCAGAGGGCCCCCGCACCCUGGCCACGAGGGUGGGGGCCGCGCCCUACCCCCUGGGCGCGCCCCUGCCUCGUGGGCCCCCUAGUGGCCCUCUGAUGCCCAUCUUCUUCUGUAUGAGGUCUUUCGUCCGAUAAAAAAUCAUAAGCAAGCUCAUGGGACAAAACUCCGCCGCCAUGAGGCGGAACCUUGGCGGAACCAAUCUAGGGCUCUAGCGGAGCUGUUCUGUCGGGGAAACUUCCCUCUGGGAGGGGGAAAUGAUCACCAUCGUCAUUACCAAUGAUCCUCUCAUCGGGAGGGGGUCAAUAUCCAUCAACAUCUUCACUAACACCAUCUCAUCUCAAACCCUAGUUCAUCUCUUGUAUCUAAUCUUUGUAUCCAAACCUCAUAUUGGUACCUGUGGGUUGCUAGUAGUGUUGAUUACUCCUUGUAGUUGAUGCUAGUUGGUUUACUUGGUGGAAGAUCAUAUGUUCAAAUCCAUUAUGCAUAUUAAUACCCCUCUGAUUAUGAACAUGAAUAUGCUUUGUGAGUAGUUAUGUUUGUUCCUGAGGACAUGGGAGAAGUCUUGCUAUAAGUAGUCAUGUGAAUUUGGUAUUCGUUCGUUAUUUUGAUGAGAUGUAUGUUGUCAUCCCUCUAUUGGUGUCAUGUGAACGUCGACUACAUGACACUUCACCAUUGUUUGGGCCUAGAGGGAGGCAUUGGGAAGUAAUAAGUAGAUGAUGGGUUGCUAGAGUGAUAGAAGCUUAAACCCUAGUUUAUGUGUUGCUUCGUAAGGGGCUGAUUUGGAUCCAUAUGUUUCAUGCUAUGGUUAGGUUUACCUUAAUACUUCUGUUGUAGUUGCGGAUGCUUGCAAUGGAGGUUAAUCAUAAGUGGGAUGUUUUUCCAAGUAAGGACAGUACCCAAGCACCGGUCCACCCACAUAUGAAAUUAUCAAAGUAUCGAACACGAAUCAUAUGAGCGUGAUGAAAACUAGCUUGACGAUAAUUCCCAUGUGUCCUCGGGAGCGCUUUCCUUCAUAUAAGAGUUUGUCCAGGCUUGUCCUUUGCUACAAAAAGGAUUGGGCCACCUUGCUGCACCUUAUUUACUUACAUUACUUGUUACACAUUACAAAUUACUUUAUCACAAAACUAUCUAUUACCGAUAAUUUCAGUGCUUGUAGAGAAUACCUUACUAAAAACUGCUUAUCAUUUCCUUCUGCUCCUCGUUGGGUUCGACACUCUUACUUAUCGAAAAGGCUACGAUAGAUCCCCUACACUUGUGGGUCAUCAGUGCGACAUUCUAUAACUCAAGAAUUCAAACUGAGGCAGACUAAAAGAGUUAGUGAACGGAAUAUGAAGAAGGAUGACAUAAUUAGAGAAGAUAUUGAAGUUAUAGAUAAAGUCUUCUUAUUGUUAAACCAGACUUGCAUGUGUUGCACUCGAAGAGGCCGGAGUUCAUGCUUUCUUGAGAGAUGAAAUAAGGCUACAUGUGUUGCCAAAAUAAAUGAGUUAUGUAUUAUAUUUCUCUUUUAAAAUUAUUGUUUGUAGAUAUGUAACUUACUGUAUUGACUUUCUUAAUGAAAUUCAGCCAAGCAUUCUGAACAAGUUUCUGUCCUCAGUAAUGUUGUAGCAUGAUCAGAAGGUAAUAUUUUUUGAAUAGCUUGUUUUGUUGAAUCUAUUAAUAUAAUUGUGAUUAUUUGCUGCUUGUACAAAUGAAGGUUCUAUCUGUAACAAUGCAAGUGGGUCAAGUAGAAAAUUUAUUGAUAUAGUUGAAUCAAAUGUUGAACAUAUGGUUGUUUUAACCUAUCCAAAUCUAAUGAAUAUUUUUCAUUGUGAAAAAUACUUUUAGUUCAUAAUUGUUGUGCCGAUGCACUAAGCUUGGUGAACUUAUGUGUGGGACAUGAAGGAGAAAGUAAGCAACACUUUAGAUCCAUAGUGUGCAAAUGGUACUGCAUCAUACAUGAAAGAAAGGCAUGAAACAUGUGCUUAUAUAUAUUUGACUGUACUGAAAAGUUCUUGAGUAUUUAGAGUUGCUUUCAUCAUCUUGGAUGGUCAAAGAAAUUUCAUCAUCCAACGUACCACUUCAGAGGUAUAUUCCAUUAUUCAUGUUUAUCUGUAAAACUAAUUUAUUUCUUCUAAUUAUGGCAAAUGCAGGGAAGAUUCAGCAAUUGCAUCUCUGAUGAUAGCAAUGUACUUUGAUGGCAUUGAAGUAAAAUAAAAACUAACUAAGGUACAUUUGAAUGUUAAUGUUUCAUUCUAAUUUGUUUAUCAGCUCUAUUGCUACUUACAUAAUUGCACAUUUUUUUGUAGUACACAUUUUCUAUUAUACGAGUACUAAUGUUAUGGCAUUUACAAAAAAUGGACUGUAAUAAAGGAAAGCUGCCUUUACAUCUUCAUCAAAUGAUGUAGAAAUUGUAGAUCAACAUUCUUACGCAUGAACUAAAUAUUUACUAUUUGUAAUAAGGAUUACGGUGUUGUGUGUUGACACAUAUAAGUUUGUAUUGAUUAUUUUAAUUAUAUGUAAUUGUAGUAUCUUAGAAUGAUUAGACGUAAUAUUUGAAUUGUAAUGCCAUAUUAAAGAGUUUGAACAAUUUAUAUUAAUUGAUCUUGUUGUCAUGGUGACCCACUUACAGAUACUCAGUACUAACUGAAUGUAUACUACAAGUGUUAACUCACUCAUAGGAUAAAAUAAUUAUAUGUACAUAUUGAGAAGAAUUUAUAGGAUGAGAAACUAUUGAAUUAGUAAAGAUUGUUAAAUAUAAUGUGAACAACAUUUAUAUUUACUAGAAGAUCAGUCGAUUAUAUCAUUGUCAAUUAAAGUACAAUCUUCGUAGAAAAGAUGUGAAAACCUACAAUAUCCCUAGAAUUGAAGGACGCAGACGACAAAGAACUUAUUUAUCAUCGCUCUCUUUGCCGAGCAGGUUUGUCGUCGGUGGCAAACGACAAAGAGCUUUGAUGUCCGCUUUUGGUGCCUUUGCCAUCUGCCAUGGCAGACUGCAAAUAAGCUGAUUCCUGUAGUGCCACCUUGUCCAUGAUAAUCCUAUCAUGCAUUAACGAUGUUUUUGUGGGUUGAACCACUUGGUCGACAACCCGAUUGGGUCAAUCAUUCGCCACCUUUGUAAAUAUGAAGUUAACGUUAAGAAGGCAUGUCAAUAUGUACAAUGGAAAUUGAUUAGCCUCUUUAGUCAUGGGCAUCAAAAUAUUUUCACAAAAAAUAGUCUUAAAAGCUUAGGGUGCUCCACAUGGAGGUCCUCAAACAACUCCCCAACCUCCUAGAAGGUUUGAUAGGCUCGGUUGAGAAGUCAUCCGAUCUAGGCAAUUUAUUAUGAAUACAACUUCGCUCACCCUGUGUUCAGAAAAGAGGGGUUCCAAGGAGCUUGUUUUGACCAUCCAAAACCUAUUGAGAUGUCAUCUAUUGAAUCAUUUAGAGAGAAAUUACUAUAAUUAAUUGGGAGUUCUGAAUAGACAUAUUAUUUGGUAGUAUAAGUCCAUAGGGAAGUCGUGGAGAGAGAGAGAGAGAUGUUGCUACGUAGCUACUACAUCCAAAUGGUAGCCUGAAAAAGACACCACUCAAGUGUAAUCAUGAGAGUGCAUAAUACAACUAUUUAUUUGAGCCGGCUAAUCUAGAUUGGAUCUAAAGGAAGACUUUUUGGAGAUUGGAUCAAUUGUUAUCCUAGUCCAUCCCUUGCAAAGAAAUAUUUAGUGUAUAGCCACCCCUAAAACAUUGUAAUAAUACGCAAAGGAGAUAUAUAUAGGGGAGAAGGCAAUGCCCUCGGACAAGCAGACACGGGUGGGAGUACUAUGUGGGUCAUAUGAUGAACUCACUCGGCAGGGUUGGACACAUGGGUCAGUUGCAUGGACUCCCUAGUGGUUGCCAAGGGUUGGCUUUUGUCAUGUUUCCCUAUCUUUCCUCCUUCAUGUGUAAUCUUUGAAUAUUUUCUCAAAUUUUGUGGUUUUCUUUCAACUAACGAAAACAUGAAUUUUGUUAGCAGUGACUAGUAGGUUAGUCCUAAAGGAAAAAUAUCAUAUAUGAGAAAUUAUUAAACUUUAAAGGAAUAUAUGCACUUCUGGUUGUAGUUGUCAAAAAACAAUAUAAGGGUUAUACAGUGACAAUGUUAGACAUCAGAAAUUUAAUAUAAGCUUCGUUCCACAAAAAUAUGGAAGUCCUACUCUUAUUGUUGAGGAUAUCAAGGAAAAAGAAUAAAGAAGGGUGAGCGAGAACUCCAUUGAAAGGAAAAACUCCAAACAUGUGAACUUAUGAUAGAGAACCUUUUAUUUGCAUCGACAAGAGGUCAAAUUUCCACCGAGAGGCAAGGUUGGAGAAAGUGCUAGCCUAGAACCUAGGCAGUGUUUAAGAACCCUAAGUGUAGCCUAGGUGGAUGUAUAGAAUUGGCUAUCAAGGUAUAUUUGGGGUUAUAUAUGUGUACCAAUAUUAACUUAGAUCAUACAUGUGAGUAAACUACCACAUCUAGCCUUUAGAAUAUGGCCUAGGCCCAUUCGACAAAUCUAUGUAACAUGGCAUGAUUUCUCGCUUGAGUGGAUAAUUUCUUUCUUCCACUCCCUAGAGUUUUGCUUAUGCCCUAGGCGAGGCAUUUGGUCGUUGCCUAACGCCUAAGGGUGUCUAAGCGCCUUCUCGGUGCUACCUUUCCUAGCAUAGCCGAGAGAUCUCUUCACACCACACUUGAGAUGAAAUCCCCUUCCAUAAGAAUGAGAUGCCUUACAAGCUACUACGAGGCAUUUUUUAUAGGCUCUUGGACUUGUACAUAAUACUAGAAAUACUUUUUUUUACUGCAACCAUCAUCGCUCUUGGCAAGGAGGGAAAAUAAGGACACCUCGUAGUCUUAGGGCUUCGUUUUUUUUGAUAUUUUUCUGAAUUUUUGAGGGUAUGUGUCCUACUCAAGGAGGCGAGGAGGCGAUGGCUCUUUGAUGAUGGGAUACGAUUCUCCUUGCCUAGCCCCCAUUCUGACGGUGCUUCUACCAUUGCUAGAGGGAGUGUGAAGGUUUGUCUCAUGGGAUUCGGUCGGCGUUUGUCUUUGGUGGAUCCACAUGGAUCAGGUCUUUGUUCGUCGGUGGUGGAUGUUGUUCUGGUGCACUGGUCCAGUAGUGAUUAACGCGAAGACUUUCCGAUUGUCUACUACAAUAAGAUUUGCCCACCUCCGGUGAGUGAGGGGCAAGGACGGCGGUGCAUCUUCGGCUCGCUACAGUGCUUAUAGUCGUUGCUAGGUGGUCUAUGGAUUUGGAUGUCAUUUUUACUUCUGUUGUUCUUUACAUUACCGUGACAGUUAAUGAAUAGAUUGGAAGCUUUUCCCGUAAAAACACGAAGGGAAACGUUUGGAGACGGUGCGCCGGCCAAAGCUUCGGCCGGUCGCCCGCUACCUCGUGCUCCUGUGUCGAUGGGACCUGGAUCCGCACCCUAUCUGCUGCAGCCCAAUCUCGCAAGCGAGGCCGCCGUCCACCCCCACAUCGCGCCCCUACCCCGCUGUAGCCUAAUCUCGCCGGCAAGGCCGCUCUACCCCCCGCAUCGACCCUCUACCCGCGGCAGCCCAAUCUCGCCGGCGAGGCCGCCGUCCACUGCACGGCCGGCGAUUUCCCCACGCGCAUGACACAUCCACCCCCUACCUACAGUCUUCACGCGCGCGCAUCCUCUGCCCCCUCCUCCCGGGCUGUGUUUGGGUAACCACAAGCUCCAUCGCCGGCGGCCAAGCGCUCCCUGGCCGCCAUGGCUGCCUGCAGCCAUGCCCGGAUCCUCCCGCGUAUACAAGUGUUGCAACCGUCACCUAGAAAAGCUUCAACAACCGUUGAAAAAAGCUUCAACCAUAGACAUAGAAAGCUUCAAUGGCACUGCACAACAAGGGAAAGCUGCAAUCAUUGUUGGAUUUUGCUACUACCGGCAAAGCUUUUUGCUACAUCCAUCAGGCAGAGCUGCGACCUCAUGAAGGACGACAAUGAUUUUUUUGCUGCAACCGUAGCAGGAUUUUGCUACUACCGUUGGAGGUUUUUGCUACAUCCAUGUAAGGCGUAGGUUUUUGCUACAUCCAUUUAAGGCGGAGCUGCGACCUCGCGAAGGCGGCGACGGUGUUUUUGCUGCACCCGUAGUUUGAUUUUGCUACUACUAGUGAAAUUGUUUGCUACAUCCAUUGAGCUACAACGGGUGAGAAGCUACAACCAUUGUGGAAAAAGCUACAACGGGUGAAACAAAAAGCUUUCAACCGCCUGCAGGCGCCGACGUGCUGCACGGGGAUGCUUCAACCAUCUAAAACUUUUUGCUACAUGCGUCAUUCUUUCUUGCAGGGACAAGAGAGAAGCAGAUGUUACAACCGGUGCACAUCGGAGCUACAACCGUCAACCCAAAAUGCCACGACCGAUGGCAUUUUUUGCUGGAACCAGAGAAAGAAUAGGCUUCGACAGACGUGCGUUAUAGCUGCAACCAUACUGAAAAAUGCUACGUCCGGCAACCAAAAAAGCUACACCCGAUUUUGAAAAAAAAAUUCAACUGGAUACGGGGUAGCUGGAGGUCGGCCACCGCACAGCCGAAAAAAGCUGCAACCGGCGUCGAGAAUAGCUACUACCCGCUUUUAAAAAAGCUUCAAACUGAAAACAACUAGAUAACAAUGGCGACCGGCGACGAUGGUGCUGCGUGGCGGUGCUGCGAUGGGCGGAUGGCGAGCUACGACAGCAGGCCGGUGGCGACGCUGGAACCCUCAUCUGGUAGUGCUGCAAUCAGGAGGUGUGACACACGUCGAGAUGCAAGGCAGAGCUGCAUCCGGUGAGCUACGGCGGCCUCAGCGAUCUGUGACAUGGACCGGCCCCCGUGAGCUGCGACGUCGAGCAGGCCCGGCGAGGUGCGACGGGGCGGUCGAGCAGGCCCGGCGAGCUGCGACGGGGCAGCCAAGGGCGCGCACGAGGAGGCUGACCUGCAGAUUUCCUUUUUUCCCUCAUGCAAGGAAGAAGAAGGUAAGGGGGAAUCGUUUUCUUUGGCGGGAUCCAGUGGCCCAGGCGGUCGGAUCCAACGGUUGCUGUGCGACCGGCCCAACAGUUGGGCCGGUGCGCCGACACAGAUCAUUCCCCAAACACGAAAGGUGACAUAUAUGGUUGAUCUAGGGGCACGGUGGAAAGUGGAUUUUAUACUGCAGUAAUGCUCCAAGGUGCUGAUUGACUUCUACUAUAUGACCCGUUUUUGACUUUUACCACUGUCUAUUAUCUUCACAUGUACGAACAAAAAAGUACAUGUAGAUAAAAGUCAUGGGAUAUGUGUGAAAAAUGUUUUUCUACCACUAGUAGAAAAAGGGUCAUUAGUCCCGGUUUAUAAGGGCCUUUAGUCCCGGUUUUCGAACCGGGACUAAAGGGUCGUUACUAAAGCCCCCCCUUUAGUCCCGGUUCUUACACGAACCGGGACUAAAGGCCCUCCACGUGGCCGCUGGCUAGAGCUCCACCAGCUCCACCUUUAGUCCCGGUUGGUAACAUCAACCGGGACUAAAGGUAUUUUUUUUGAAUUUUUUUCUCGAUUUUCAAAUUUCUGAAUUAUUUUAUAAUUUAAUCUCUAAUCACCCACCCCUUGUCACUACUCAAUUUAACCUCUAAUCUCUAAUCACCCCUCAUCAUUCAAAAUCAUCUAACUUCCCGAUCAUCACCCAUCCCUCUCACUACUCCAGCCCGAGCACGCUUAACUUUCGGGUUCUAUUCUCCUUCGUCUCCAAUUCUGCACUUAUUGUUUUCCUAACAAUAGUAAGAUGUCAAUCCUAUUAACCCUCGGGAGUUUAGCUUGAGUAUGAAGUCACACAUUUCACUGUUUGAGUUUGAAACUAUUAUUGUAUAAAACAAUAAUUAUUUAGUAACACUAAUAUUUCUUGAAUAAAUAGUUUGACCACAAUUUGACCAGAUUUGACCAAAAUUCAGAAAAACCGAAAUAAUUAUUUAGUAACACUAAUAUUUCUUGAAUAAGUAGUUUGACCAUUGUUAGUCCACAAUUUGACCAGAUUUGACAAAAAUUCAAAAAAACUGAAAUAAUUAUUUAGUAACACUAAUAUUCUUGAAUAAUUAUUUAAUAACACUAAUACUUCCCGACUGUCUAGUACUGGUGUGCUGGUCCAAUAGGGAUUAACACGACAAUUUCCCGAUUGUCUAGUACAACAAGAUUUGCCCGCCUCCGGUGAGUGAGGGGCGAUGACGCCGGCGCGUCUUUGGCUCGCUACAGUGCAUGUAGUCGUCGCUAAGUGGUCUACAGAUCUGGAUGUAAUUUUUACUUCUGGUGUUCUUUAUACUACCUUGUCAGUCGAUGAAUAGAUCGGAAACUUUUCCAGCAAAAAAGAGGAAAAGUGAUAUAUAUGGUUGGUCUAGGGAGCACCAUGGAAAGUGCCUUUUAUACUGCAGUAAUGCUCCAAGCUGCUCAUUGGCUUCUACUAUAUGACUCUUCUUUGACUUUUACCACACUGUAUUAUCUUCACAUGUACGAACAAAGAGUACAUGUAGAUAAAAAUUAUAGGAUAUGUAUGAAAAAUGAAUUUCUACCUGGGAUCCAUUGUUCUUCGUGCUUGUGCACUUGCUUUUCACUGAUACACAGCGGAACAUAAAGAUGCACUUCCUAACAAGAAGAGACUAAUGCACACCAACGCCCAAAAUAUUGGUAACGCUGUUAGCCGCUAUGCAACCGGUCCGUAAAGUAACUAAAUUAAAAUAGUCUAACUAUAACUCUUCUUUUUACUAGUACAUAAGAAACAUUAUGGUGCCCUAAGAUAAAACAAAAAACACAAUAAAACAUUAUUUAUGUAACAACCAAAAAUAAAACAAUACAACUUAGACAAUACUAGUAAGCGCACCAGAUGACAACGCACGACACGUCGGAUGUGGCAAUUUCAAAGUGUUCGUCAUGUGUACAAGAAAUUUACAUGGUUGUAACGAAACAAUAAAUUAAUAAAAAAAAGUUGAAAGAGAAAGGAGCUAUGACAAUCUUACAGCAAUUUACAGGGGAAAAACAUGAUCACAAAUCAAAACAGCCUUAUACUUCUUCGGUGGCUUAAUGGUUAACCACGUUGCACUUCUUCCUGAUCUCGCCCUGGCUUCCGGUGAGCGGGUUGGCGUUGCCCAUCUUGAUCAUGGAGGCGGCGAAGUCGGCGAAGAACUCGUCCUUGAAUGCUCCGGUGGCAUGGCGCUGGACGUAGGCGCGGGUGAAGGGGUCGGUGAGGAGGGCGCCGUCGGAGUGGAAGAGGCCCCUCCGCUUGCUCACCAGCUUGAAGUAAUCGGUGUCGAAGGUCUUGAAGCUGCCGGGGUCCAUCUCCACGAGUGUGGUGUUGUCGUUGAGGCUGGCACACUUGCUCUUUAGCCGCAUCAUGUACUGCGGCUCCAGCGUGGGGUCGAUGUCGCUGGGGUUCUCCAUGCCGGUGAAGUUGUAGAGCCGGUCGGAGAAGGAGAAGCAGUGCGACGUCCCGAUGGUGUGCCCGGCGGACAAGACGACAAGGUCCUUUGCGUCGAGGUUCACGGCGGCGAAGAGCUGGGUGAGCACGGUGAAGUUGGAGGUCGGGGGUGGCAGAGCGUCGGUCGCGUUGGAAAGGGACACGCUGCCGUCUCGCCGGCCCAGAGGAACUGUCCAGAAUGGACCCUUGCUCUGGAGAAACCAUGAUCGAGCAGCAUUAGAAUUUGGCUUCCACACGUACCGUGUCAUUUGAAAAAUGGCAUAGUAGGAGUACUCUACUCACCAGCCAUACUGCGUCCCUGGCAAUGAGGGCGAGGAUGUCGGCGCAGGAGACGGUGUCGGGGCAGGCCUUCUCCACCGCGGCCUUCACCCUCUCGACAAACCCGAAGCCUCGCAGCGUCUGGUUCGGCUGCGCGUCCUUCUCCGCCGUCUUGUUGGCCGAGUCCAGCAGAACCGAGCCGUCGCACCCCUGCAUUAAUUAAUGGCGGUCACUGGUCAGGCCGCCGCACACAAUAGGGUACGGGCAGGACAGACAACAUGCAUGCAAAUGUAGCUUACCCUGACGAAGCAGUCGUGGAAGUGCAUCCGGAGGAGCGGCCCGGCGAGGCUAGGCGCUAGUGACAGAGCCCUCACCAUCUCCUUCCUCACGACGUCCUCCACGCUGGGGCACGACUCGCUGUAGAACUUGUCGUGCAGCUGCGCCCGCCCGCACGUCGCCGCCACCGCCGCGAGCAGCAGCGCAACCAUCGUCGCAGCCCUGGACGCCAUCUUCUCGGCCAAGAAGCUUGUUUCUUUCUUGGCUAUGCAAGAAACGACGAUGGCUAGUUGAUCCGGAGAAGCUUGAGCUGCUGCUGCUGCUGAUGAACUGGCGCCGGGGAAAUAUAUAGCGCCGGAGUGUCCACACGCCUGCAUGUGGUGGGCUGUCCUCCGGAGCAGCAGGUAAAAUUCCCAUGGUUUAAUGAGUUGUUCCUUGUUUGCACUCUGCGGAAUCUUUGCCGUGGCAGGUACACCGACGGCGCACGGUAUGUAUAAUGGAGGCGGCCGGACAGCCAGACGGAAGCACAUCAUUAGAUGAAUUCACUAAUUUUCUUUAGACAGCAAUCUACUCACUAACUUACUAAUUAGUUAUGAGUUAUCACGGAGAAAACUGCGGUGCCAAGUUGUAAUCAACAAAGGCUACUGGCAAUGAGUGAAUGCCACCUACUGGUAGUUUGCAAGCGUGCGAAUUUCAUGAUGCAUAUAUUUGUACCGGUGCCACAUGCUAUCCUGAAAAUANNNNNNNNNNNNNNNNNNNNNNNNNNNNNNNNNNNNNNNNNNNNNNNNNNNNNNNNNNNNNNNNNNNNNNNNNNNNNNNNNNNNNNNNNNNNNNNNNNNNNNNNNNNNNNNNNNNNNNNNNNNNNNNNNNNNNNNNNNNNNNNNNNNNNNNNNNNNNNNNNNNNNNNNNNNNNNNNNNNNNNNNNNNNNNNNNNNNNNNNNNNNNNNNNNNNNNNNNNNNNNNNNNNNNNNNNNNNNNNNNNNNNNNNNNNNNNNNNNNNNNNNNNNNNNNNNNNNNNNNNNNNNNNNNNNNNNNNNNNNNNNNNNNNNNNNNNNNNNNNNNNNNNNNNNNNNNNNNNNNNNNNNNNNNNNNNNNNNNNNNNNNNNNNNNNNNNNNNNNNNNNNNNNNNNNNNNNNNNNNNNNNNNNNNNNNNNNNNNNNNNNNNNNNNNNNNNNUAAACUAAGCGUGAGUGUAGAAUAGCUUAUUCUACACCCCAGUAACGGUACAUACAAAAUAUAGUAACACAUUAUGUAAAAUAUAGUAAUUUUCGUAAAAAUGUAGUAAAUUAUAAACUUGGGUGAUAAAAAAAAUAUUUUCCAGGCAAUAUACGUACUUACACAAACACUAAUUAGAGGUACCUCGCAAAAUUACCCUGAGACCACUAGGGGCUUGUUUGGUUGUCAUCUACGAAUUUGUCUGCGUUGCACACAUGUCUUAGUUGGGCCUGGCUAUGAGAAAACAGGCAAACGAAAUCUGCAUCUGCACCUCAUUUGGUCGCCCACAUCUAGACUUCCUGCAUUAGGGGAACGGUUUUAGCAUGCUGUUUGGUGUCCUGUAUUGUCUCCACUCAUGCAACUACAUAGUGUUUGAUUGUAUAUAUACACAGGAUAUGAUUAAGAGCUAAUAUCUACGCAUGACAUAACACACAGAGUUACAAUAGAGUUCCUUGGCAGUGUGCCCGUGAUGGUGGCAUUAGUGUAAGCAGAGGGCGAGGAGGCAUAGAGAAAAGACGCCGGCGGCAGUGCCAGGCACAAUAUGGCGUCCAUCCGACAAGGUUGACAACCACAUAUAACACUGGGGACGACAUGACGACAAGGAUGAAAAAUAUGAAGGAGAAAUGCAAUUUGCAUGCCAUGGCCGCGUUAGAGCAACUAUAGCGAACCCCGUAAAAGUCACAAACCCGCAAAAUUAUGGCGAGUAUACGGAUUCGGCCCAAUUUUCUGGCCAGAACAGAGCCCGUAUACUCGACGGCCCGUAAAUAUUUUUACCGCGGCCCGCAACCCUCCCCCCUCCGCCAAGCAAUAUAUCUACGGGUUUGCGGUGCAUAUGCGGGUCGAAACCCUAUCCCCCACUGCCGCGUCUCGCCGCAAUUCCCCACUCCCCUCCUUACAUUUCUCGCCAAUGGUGAGCCCCUUCCACCUCCAAAAGACAUGUGGGGCUGCAUGCGGAGCUUCAGCCACGGCUCUGGGAGUAGCUCCGGCAGGGGCGGCAGCCCCGAGCGCGAGCGGCAUGUCUGCUUGGAUGGCGCGAGGAAGCGCGGGGCGAGGAACUGGACGAACAAGUCUCGAACCGUUGCCGAGCUUCCUCGUUCGUGAGACGGAGGAAUACGACCGUCGGCGCGGGCGUACGCCCUCCUCGGCCGCGGGCUCGUCCUCCGCCGCGAGAUCUUCCCACGCCGCGAUCUCUUCCUCUUCCGGCGCGAGGCUUCUCCUCGUGAAGAGGGAGUGGUCAGAGGAGCCGGUGGAGAUCGAGGUCAUCGCCGUCAAGCAGGAACCGGAGGUGAUCGAGUGACGAGGGGUCAUCGAGCCCAAAGAUUUUGUGGCCGAUUUCGACACGGUGGCGUCCGCCAUUGCCGAGCGGAGCUUAUGCGAGGAGGCGGAGCGCCGGCGCCACGACGACGAGGUCGACGACCUCAUCCUCCAGCAGGCGGUUGCGGCCAACCUUGCCGUGAAGGAGAAGGACGACGAGUGGCGGCGCAUCCGCGAGGAGCAGAGGUCGAAGUUCAUCGAUCUCGUCAACUCCGACGAGGACUGAGCUCCUCCACCGCGUCGUCCUCAGCCGUGAGCUCAUCCAUUUUGGUAUAUCGAUCUCGGCCUCGCCGCCAUGAAUCCCCCCUCCCUCUAGUAGUAGUAAUAGAAUGUAGUAUGUAUGAUAAUGUAGCAUGUGAUGAUGAACUAUGAAUGAUAAUGUAGUAUGUGAUGAAAUAGUGUGGUUGCAAUUUCUCCCACGACAGUAUUAUUCAAAUUAUGCAGUUUCAUAUACGGGUUCUAUUCUGCCACACACGAUUUUGACCCGCAAAACAGUUCUUCAUCGAACUGUAAACGCCUUAUGCGGGUCACGGUUUUACGGGGUCUGCUAGAGUUGCUCUUAGUGCAAGAGGACACAGAGGAGGAGGCCAAAAAGAACAAAGCUAACGACGGCAUCAGUGUAGUAGGACGGGAGCAUGGAGUUAGAGAGGAACAACGCUGGCGAUGGCUUCAGUGUAGCAGAACAUGGGAUAGAAGACAUAGAGGAUCAAUGACCGCUCAAGUGUAGUAGGACGCGGGAGAGGAGGUUGAGAGGAAACGAUGCCGGAGGUGGCGCUAGCGCAACAUCACGCAGCAGAGGAGGCCGAGAGGAACGACACUAACAGUGGCGUCAAUGUAGCAGGACACCUGACUGGAGACCGAGAUUAAGGUCUGUCAUUAACACACAUCGCACAUAUGCAUAUGUAUGUUUUAACAAGGAAGAAUUUACAUCUAGUCUACGAUCAUCGAAACAGAAAAUUUGCAAUACGUAAGUCAUGCGAAACUGCAAGAUGAAGCAACUGGUCAAAGGAAGUUUCAAACGGUCAACCGUGCGCGACAAAUUUAACAAAAUAUGUCCAAAAUAGCUUCAAACAUGAACACGAAAUUGAGCAUUUACGGUUGAAGAAACUACAAACCGGUGACCUGAAUGAAACCAUAACAUUGAUGGUGCAUCUUUUUCAUGUAGAGGUUAUCUCGAAUCGAAGCAUCGUUGUGUAGAUUAGAAGAGAUGACAAAGAAAGAAGAUUAGAGACGAGCUUAAUGGAGGUAGAAGAACAUAGCAGGUAUCCCUCAAGUCUCCUCAGGUGCAACAAGGUCCACCAUGUGCGUUUGAUGUGCCUCAUCUCAGUCUGGCUUGCUAAAAACUGUCGAUUUGACCGUUCCUAGCGGGCCUGACUAGGAGGUGCUUUAAAGUCUGUGCGUUACGGGCCAAACAAUGAAUGUAGAUAAACAAACAUGCCAUUUUCUUCCCACACAGACCUGAUUGACCUAUAUACAGGGUACCAAACACGCCCUAGGUGAUGCCUCUAGGAUUGGAGUUCUAAGUUUCGUAUCAAUGCCAUGUAGCCAACGACCAACCAUGUUUUGACAUUAUGUGACAGGUGCAAAUUAGAAGCUACCAGUAGAAAUGAUUUGGUUUUUAGUGGGAAAACUCUUCUCCUUCAGGUUUUUCUUUCUGUAUACACUCACUUUGUAUGUGAUCUACACUGCAUCAAAUAAAAUACCAACCGAUUUUCAAGACGGCGCAUAUAUAGUUGGAGGGGGUGCCAGGGAGGUUUUUACCCAACGUAGAUGACAACAUAAUCUCCGGAUCGGCCCACCACCUCCUUCGACAUAACACAGUGUCAGUACUAUAUAACUCUACUGUUGCAGAUAGCAUGUGGCACCGGUACAAAUAUAUGCUUCGUGGUCGAUUUCGACGCGGUGGCGUCCGCCAUUGCCGAGUGGAGCUUGCGCGAGGAGGCGGAGCGCCGGCGCCACGACGACGAGGUCAAAGACCUCAUCCUCCAGCAGGCGGUCGCGGCCAAUCUUGCCGUGAAGGAGAAGGACGACAAGUGACGGCGCAUCCGCGAGAAGUAGAGGUCGAAGUUCAUCGAUCUUGUUAGCUCCGACGAGGACUGAGCUCCUCCACCGCGUCGUCCUCAGCCGUGAGCUCAUCCAUUUUGGUAUAUCGAUCUCGGCAUCGCCGCCACGAAUCCCCCAUCCCUCUAGUAGCAGUAAUAGAAUGUAGUAUGUAUGAUAAUGUAGUAUGUGAUGAUGAACUAUGGAUGAUAAUGUAGUAUGUGAUGAACUAGUGUGGUUGCAAUUUCUCUCGCGAAAGUAUUUUUCAAAUUAUGCAGUUUCAUAUAUGGGUUCUAUUCUGCCACGCACGAUUUUGACCCGCAAAACAGUUCUUCAUCGAACUAUAAACGCCUUAUGCGGGUCACGGUUUUAUGGUGUCUGCUAGAGUUGCUCUUAGUGCAAGAGGCCGCAGAGGAGGAGGCCAAAAGGAACAAAGCUAACGACAGCAUCAGUGUAGUAGGAUGCGAGCGGGAGUUAGAGAGGAACGACGCCGGCGGUGGCUUCAGUGUAGCAGAACAUGGAAUAGAAGACAUAGAGGAUAAACGACCGCUCGAGUGUAGUAGGACGCGGGAGAGGAGGUUGAGAGGAAACGACCCCGGAGGUGGCGCUAGCGCAACAUCACACGACAGAGGAGGCCGAGAGGAACAACGCUAACAGUGGCGUCAGUGUAGCAGGACACAGGACUGGAGACCGAGAUUAAGGUCUGUUAUUAGCACACAUCACACAUAUGAAUAUGUAUGUUUUAACGAGGAAGAAUUUACAUCUAGUCUACGAUCGUCGAAACAGAAAAUGUGCAAUACGAAAGUCAUGCGAAAUUGCAAGAUGAAGAAACUGGUCAAAGGAAAUUUCAAACGAUCAACCAUGCACGACAAAUUUAACAAAAUGUGUCCAAAAUAGCUUCAAACAUGAACACGAAAUUGAGCAUUUACGGUUGAAGAAACUACGAACCGGUGACUUGAAUGAAACCAUAACAUUGAUGGUGCAUCUUUUUCAUGUAGAGGUUAUCUCGAAUCGAAGCAUUGUUGUGUAGAUUAGAAGGGACGACAAAGAAAGAAGAUUAGAGACGAGCUUAAUGAAGGUAGAAGAACAUAGCAGGUAUAAAGCUCGCAUCCCUCAAGUCUCCUCAGGUGCAACAAGGUCCACCAUGUGCGUUCGAUGUGCCUCACCUCAAUCUGGCUUGCUGAAAACUGUCGAUUUGAUCAUUCCUAGCGGGCCUGGCUGGGUGGUGCUUUAAAGUCUGUGCUUUACGGGCCAAACAAUGAAUGUAUAUAAACAAAUAUGCCAUUUUCUUCCCACACGGACCUGAUUGGCCUAUAUACAGGGUACCAAACACGCUCUAGCGAUGCCUCUAGGAUUGGAGUUCUAAGUUUCGUAUCAAUGCCAGGUAGCCAACGACCAACCAUGUUUUGACAUUAUGUGACAGGUGCAAAUUAGAAGCUACCAGUAGAAAUGAUUUGGUUUUUAGUGGGAAAACUCUUCUCCUUUGCAGUUUUUUUUCUGUAUACACUCAUUUUGUAUGUGAUCUAUGCUGCAUCAAAUAAAAUACCAACCGAUUUUCAAGACGGCGCGUAUAUAGUUGGAGGGGGUGCCAGGGAGGUUUUUACCCAACGUAGAUGGCAAUAUAAUCUCUGGAUCGGCCCACCACCUCCUUCCACAUAGACAUAGUGUCAGUACUAUAUAACUCUACUGUUGCAGAUACAUUAAUGUCUUUUACUAUAUGUUUGUUCGACUGUUGUGUUUGGCUGCAUGCAUUUUAAUUAUGUAAAGGUCGGGUGUCGUUCAUCAUGCUUUAUAUCCGCUUUAUACUACAUUUGACUUAAUAAAAACACCCACCUCGCAAAAAAAGACUUAAUAAAAACACCCUUUAUUAAAAAAAGGAUGAUUGACCAUGUAGCCCGAGCAAAUUUGUAAUCAAAGUAAAUGUGCUUCAUAUAUAGUUCCGUCUAUUUGACAUAAAAAACAUUGUCUACUUCAAUACAAAUUACAUAUGCUUCACAAGCUUGUUUUUUGUUGUUAUUGAAAUCACCCUUCCGCGAAGAUACCAAUUACUUUCGAAGGGAUAUUUAAUUUUUAUGUUCGUUAAUUGGUACUACCUCCGCCCUGGUUUAUUGGUCCCUUUUGUAAUUUGUGCCAAAUUUUGACAAAAAAAUUAACUAAUAAAAUGUUAAUGCAUGUCAACAAAAAAUAUAUCGUUUGGUUCGUAUUUGAACAUAGUUUUCAAUGAUAUAUUUUUUGGUGGCAUGCAUAAAUAUUUUAUGAGUUAAAUUUAUAGUCAAAAUUUGGCACAGAAUACAAUGGAGACCAAUAAACCAGGACAGAGGUAGUAAUUGGCAUAUCACAAUGAACACUAGGGAGGAUAGAGAUCAUCUGUUCUUCAAGUGCAACUUCAGUACUAGAGUUUGGAACUACAUGCAGAUCUCUUGAACUGAUAACUCUGAUAAGUGUGAGAUUGCUUGCAAGGCCAGGAAAUAAUUUGACAAACCUUUUUUUUUUUGCUGAGGUUGUCUUCACAGCUUGGUGGAAUAUAUGCAUAAUCUGGAACGGAAAAAUAUUAUUGAAUGAAAAGCCCCGUUUUGCUAGGUGGACAGUGGGAUUCACUUGGGAUAUUUAUUUGAUUACACAUAGGAUCAAGGCUACAUAUAAGGAUGCUCUAUUGAGAUGGAUUUCCUAUUUGCCCCCUUUGGUUGUAUUUUCUAUUUUUGGUUCUCAUGUUCCCUCUGUAAGUAAGAUUUUGUUUUCUCUUUCGGCCGAGGCCUUGUAAUCACCUUUGUAUAUCUUUAUAUCUAUGUUUCAAUAAAGAUGAAGCUGUGGUGCUUUGCCCUGCAGGUACAAGUUUCCGAAACAUUGCACUGUGCGUCAAAUUAAUCCAAAAACAUUCUUUUUUACCAAGGUUCCAUUGAAACUCGUCUUUGACUCUUGUAACAACUGCACAACCUCAAACCAAGUUAGAAGUGUUUUCCAUGUCUCAUCUUGGCCCAAGCAAGGUCGUCCUAAACGUCCCGUUGUGGGUGAGGCACUGAAGAAUUGCUCAAAGGUAUCUUGUUUGUUAUAGACAAUACCAAAUAGGAUAUCGGUCACUGAGAGGAACAUUUGUCUAGCCACUAAUCCUUCAAAAUUCUAAUUUGUGAGAUGUCUUUAAUGAUGAAGCUUCCAAAGUGGUAGAAAAAAACUCUCCAUUUUCAUUGGGCUCGCCCUAAAAUGAGAGUCUUCCAUUUAACCCAAGAGAUGGUUUUAGAACGAGCGUAGUUGUUUCACAAGAGGUCUUACCAUACACCUUCCUCGCGAAGACAAAGCUUAAGCAAUAAUUUAAGGAGAAAUGCAAUGUUCUUGGCCUCAACAUCCCAUUUUUUUUCAACCCGCACCUUCUCCUUUCUCCACUUCUCUGCGAAAAAAAAACUGGACUGAAAAUAGUCCAAUAUUUGCAUAAUCCGUAGUGGAAUUUAGUAGAAAAACAACAUGUACAAGACCAUCCUGAUAAGCACAGAGUUAAUACGGACCAACCAUCCACAAAGGACAAAAACUUUCCUUUAAUUCCAACUAAGAAUGUGUUUCUCCCUUCUCUCUACCAUGAUUACUGCAUUCUCGAGCUUCAGAUAAUGAAUUGGAAUCCCCAAAUAGUGAAUGGGGAAUUGGACAUGCUCGUAAAAAAAUUGGUAUAUCGAACUUCAGCUUCCCGGCCAACCUCUAAACAAGCCAACUAGCUCUUAUGGAGGCUAAUUUUAAGGCCCAAAAGUUGCUCAAAUACAGAAACCACUAACUCGAUGUUUUAAGCCUUUUGAAGGUCAUGUUCCAUGUAUAGGAUUGUGUCAUUAGUGUAUUAUAGGAUGGGCAAGUGUACACUAGAUGUGGCACUACCCCACGGAUUUGACCAAUUUCCUUGGCAAGCUCAAUGAGAAUCGUCAAUAUAUCUGCAACAAUAUGAAAUAACAUAAGAGAUAAGCAAUCCCAAUGUCCCAUACCAUUUUCUGUAUCAAAAUAGUGGGGAGUGUCGUCAAGGAACUUAAUGGUACACUAAAAUGAUCAAUUAAGCACGCCAUUUAUUGGAGAAGCAUUACAUCAUGAGUCCCUAUUGAAGAAAAGACCACUUGACUUGUUAUAUGUUGAGUGAAAUUCACCACUAAUCCAUUAACUUAAUAUGAUUGCACACUUUAGACCAACAACUCGGGAAGUGAUCAGUUAAGGCCCUACACUCAUUGAUUUGAUCAAAUAAUCUAAAACUCAAUUUGAUAGAGAAAAAUCUGGCCACAUGGCUGUCAUGUGAGCAUUCCUUUGACCGCUCGGGAACUAAUUCUUUUAUACUAGUCGUCAACCCGUGCGUGCGCACGGGCUAGUAGUUUGGAAAAUAGCUUAGUAGUUUUUUUUGUAAAUAUUGUUAGAAACAAAAGAGGAACUAAUUAUGAAUUAUAAAUUUACACUUGAAAAAUGACACUUUGUUCUUUAAUCAUAUAUUUUAUAUUUAAGUAUAUUUUAUAUGUCAUAUAAGAACACUAUAGUUUGAUUUCUUUGCUCUAAAAAAUGUUAAUUUAUUCUUCAGCAUGUGCAAAUAUCUCCCAAAAACAAUUUUUUCCGAAGAAUUGUUAGGGUUGGAAGAAGCUCAUACAUUUAUUAAGUCUCCCAAGUGUAUUAAUUAUAUAAAUUUACUGUCAGUAAUGUUUUUGAAAUGAAACUACAUUUGUGCGAACAAAAAAUAUUCUUAAGUUUAGAACAAAAACAAACAAACAAAAUUGUUCGAUACUUUCCUAUAUAUAGUGCAUAAUUAUUGAAAUAUGUACAGAGAAGCAUGAUGUGUAUAAUCAUGACAUCCCUCCAAAAAAAUAACUAAACAUGAGCCCAUGAGUUUCUGUCAUGUUUGUUUGUCGAGAAACACAUGAUUUCUUCCUACGUACACAUUCUUAAUUAUCCAAGUCGAAUUUGUUGGACGAUUUUAAACUCUAAACAUCACAAACAUAAUGAAUUUAUUUUCGUCCAAAUACACCUCUAGUAUCAUCUCUUCUAUUUUCCUAAAGGAAAACUCAAUUCCUUGAAUCCCCAGGUAUCAGCCACUUAUUUUUCUAAUCUCAUAAACCAAGUCGGGGUGCUAUGAAAUAUUCAAAUGGUUAUACAUAUCAGAUGCAUCGUGGUGGAUAACUUGGGCCAUGUGAUGCACACUACCUUAGGAAAUGUAAAAACAAAAUGGACUAUAUUUGUUUACAAAUUAUUGAAAAACUUGAGCAAGAAAGAGAAAUAGAGUGGCCAAGAUUAAUAUAUUAUUUUUUGGAAAGACUUAUAUAGUUCUACCAGAAACCUAAUAAUAAUUUGUGAAACAAUUUUCGCUGUUUUCAACAUGCAGCAAUAUUACUUGUUGUUUUCAAUGAGAAGGAGAAACAGUUUUGCAUAGUUAAAUGUCACCUGGCUUUGUAACCCCAAAGGAAUAAGAAUCUACAAAUUAUGAGUAGAAGCAUACAUCCCUACUUAACAAAAGGACACACCAGGUUCAUCAAACAUGGAUGAAAAAACUGAGUGUUGUUAUUGGACAUCAGAAGUCCAUAUCCUAAAAAAUAUGACCAUGCCGAAGGUAAAAUUAGUAUCAUCUAAGCUAGACUAAUUUUAUUUGUCCAGGCUAAUGAUAAUACAUUUUUCAACUACUAAUUUUAUUUGUCCAGGCUACAGCACAACUAACGUCUGCAUUGCAGUAGUAUUUGGGAAACAAAAAAUCAUAUUAUAAUUUGGGACACUGCAGAACGUUCUGAACUAUCGGCAUGCGCGUAUACUGGAUCGUGUAGAAAGGAGAAAUAACCGGCACUUUUGGCGAUGUGGGCACACCGCCAUACUGCAACACAACGCCUUUAAAGUUUUCCCCUGGGAACAUCCAAUUAAUAUUUACAUAUAUGAACUUGUAAGCCCAUUGAUCAUGUUGCACACACCUGUUGUGACCUUCACUCACCUGCCAGUACCCCGACCGGUCGACACCUCUUCCUGCAAGUAGCCACCAGUUCAAUGAUAUAGAAGAUAAAGAAACGAAAUUUACAUCAACUUCGAUAGUCAAAAAAACUCUUUCAUAACACUUCACUUCACAUUACGUUAGUGCUAGACUCAUCUUCAUGACUUGAGCAGUUGCCUAAUUCACUACAAACAAAACAAACCAGCUGGCUGGCAAUAACAUGUGGUGGAAGUGCAGCAACAUUAAAUCUAAACAAACUGCAUUAGUCGAUUCAAACCAUACCAGGGAGCUCAACUGAGAUCAUCAAGAGUUUGUGUGAUCUCUGAUUGAGGCAUGAUCUAGAUGACACGGGGUGGUAAUUAUACUGAAAAUCUGAUUAUCUAUGUAUGCAUCUUUUUAUUCCAUCUAUUCAUCGUCAAGUAUCUAACUAUGCAUACAUCAAUCCUUCCUAUCCAUCAAUUCCAUAUACGUAUCAGCAAGUAGCAUCAAGGUAAUGCAUGGGACAAUGAGAAAAUAUCGGACCUGAGAUUAAAGGGGCUGGAGCAUGACCACCAUAGAUUCCACUUCAUACGCAUCUGCAGAUUAAACUGGCUGGAGCAGGACCAACUUCCCAUAGAAGAUGGUUCUUGGUACUUGGUAUUCAAUGUGUUGGCCGUAAUGGAACUUCGAAUUGUUAUAUAUUUACCUUUGUUUACAAAGCGGUUUUAUUUACAAAGAUGAUGGCGUACACUAUAUUAUCCUUCCACCUGAAUUGCUAGCAUAGAAACAACAGAAGCCUGAAAAGGAAUAUAUUGCAAGUUACAACAACAGUAUUCGUAAAUCAACAUUGACAUAAACCACUCAAUUGAAGAAGAAAUACAGAAAGCGGUAACUCGCAAAUCAGUCGAGUACAAAGAACUGAUGCGCAUUUUUCAAUCAUAUAAAUGUGUAGAAAGGCCUAGGUAGGAAUACGGGAAGGUGUGUAUAUGCAUUAUGUACUUCCUCUAAACACAGCUAUUUUCUAUCAUCCAGGUCACGCCCGAUGGCAAACAUUGCCGCAGUCCAUACAUGUCAUGGGUUUGGCCUAAUUGGGUUUGGAGGAUGCUACAACAUAGAGAUGCAUUCUUGCCACGGUCCCCAUGGUAUGGUGUUGAAUUUGGGAAGCACAUGAAGAGGAGGAAGUGGUGUUGAAUCUACACAUGUGGCCUCAAGUGUUCGUUUCCCAGAUCUUAAUCCACUACUGUUUGCAUUGCUAAUUCACCGUAUUCCAAAAGCUUAGGACACGUUUGGUUGCUACUCAGGUAACGUCUUCAGUUAAGGUACCGGGAAGCUCCGGUUCCCUUUUCUUCUUUAGGAAUACGUGAUGUGCUUGGUUUGGCCGCCCCACUCCCGCUUUUGUAAUCAGCCGCGAUUUGGGUGUUUCCGAGUUUGUGAACCUCCGGAUCGGAAGACACUGCUACGGAAUACGUUGUUGGCGUACCAAAUGCUGGAUGCCGUUUCAGAAAGCGCGGUAGUCGGAAACCGUGACAAUUCUUCCGAAACAAACGCGUCGUUAAUUACUUAGGAAACCAAUCCACAUCCGAUCUGGUCACCUCAAUCCAUUGGAAGCUGCCUCAGGUCAACUUUGUCCCCUUCCUACUGCCGUGCGGAAUUUGCAAAGUACAACACAUUGCUACAAAACAUGAGAAAGCAUAGCAGGGAAGACAGAAGAAGGUCCGACAUUGUUAGGGCAAUCAUCGCCAUGGUCCAGCUCGGCGUUUCUGCCAACUGGACUGACCCGUACAAUCUUUUCACCACCAAAAUAAAGAUCGCAAGUACCUAAUUGUACUACAGCACUCUCUCGAGCGCUCGCAGAAAAACAGAUCACCAUGUACCUGAUUGUACUACUGCGGCAUGUGGAGGCCCUGAGAAAGGAGGCCGACCGAGGAGGCCCGUGCGUGUGGACGAUGGUAGCACCCCUGCAGGAGGGAACAGAUGAAGAUCUCGUCCUGCUCGACAACGCUCAGAUGAUGCCGCUAUGAUGAAGGGAAGGCAUAUGCGUGAGAGAUUGAGCCACAAAGAAAAACAGAAUAUAUUUUGGGGUUUUCCUCUCGCUUUAAAAAAGAGGCAUGAGAGAUUGAACAGGAAGGAAAAAAAAACAAAAACAUGAGAGAUUAGCGGAGCCAUUUAAGAGAGAGAGUUGACGGAUCCUUUUUUUUUUGGGCAGUUGAUUAUUCUGUACGUGCACGCGUGUUUUUUCUUUUGGAGUUUUGCUCUAGCUUUCAAAAGAGGCAUGAGAGAUUGAGUUAGAAAAAAAUAGCAAAAACAGAUGUACACCUUUUUAAUUCGGUCGCACGAGAUAAACGAAAAAAUAGCAAGAAUAGCUUUCAAAAGAGGCAUGAGAGAUUGAGCCAAAAAGAAAAAAAAAGCAAGAACAGAUCUACACCUUUAUAAUUCGGUCCCACCAAAUAAACAAAAAAAGAAAAAAAUAGUAAGAACAGAUCUACACCGUUAUAAUUAGGUCCCACCAAAUAAACGGCUCUUAAUUUCUAAUUAAUGUAGGAAUUUCUAGGAAGUGACAAAUUAUUAUAGGUAUAGAUAGAUAGAUAGAUAGAUAGAUAGGGAUCUAUUUGUAAAUUGGUUAGUUUUUACUCACAAACCAUGCUGAGGAUGUAUGGAGGACAAAUAUAUUAAAAACCUUAAGUUGCAUGGGAUUGAAAGCCACAUCCUUAGAGGUGGCAAACAUCUCGCUAACCGCAUGAACAUCAACUAGUUUGUGUACCAAGAUGCAACCCACUCUAUAUAUUAAAAUUCAAAAAACUAAGCAGCAAAAAUCAUAUGAGAUUAGAAUAAAAAAAUAUUGCUACGAACACUGUUCUACUAUAUUGCAAAACAAUAUAGACAAUGGAGAAUUUUGAAGAAAAGAACAGAAAAAUCGCAUAUCUCAUGCUAUCACAUCAUAGUAUUUUAAGAGCCAUGCAUAAUAGUAUAUGAAGAAUCCCAUAACCGCCUCCUGGGUCGCUCGCCUCCCGGGUCGCUCGCUAGGGCGACUCUAGAGGCCACCAUAAUCCAGUAGCACAACUCAUCUCUCGUGCUCCUCGUGCCGCCUUCGAUGGCGGCGGUGGCGGCGCCCGGCCGUGGAAGGCAGAGGUCUUGCUGCGGGUUUCUCAUGCCGGAGGAGGUGCGGUCGUUCGAGCACCCUGUUUCUUAUGGUGGCACGCAGGUGGUGGGCCGCCGAUCAAGUUGUCAGCAUUGCGCGAGCGGAGAUCUUUAGUGAUCAGGUGGGAUGUGGCUCGUGCAUAGGGGUUCCUUCUCGCACUGGCCAAGUGUUGUUCCUCCGGCAGCCAUCGGACAUGGAGUCGGUCAUGCUGCGCGAAUGGAUGCAUUUCGAUGCCUUUGGGCAGUUUUGCUCGGCUCCUCAGUUGGGCUGCAUCUUGAUGGCUGCUUGGCGUGAGGGUUCUAGUUUGACGAGUGAAUGGGCCAUGGAUGGUGUCUUUGGUGAGGUUUGUGGCACUCCGGCUAAAAACCGUACCUGACCUUUGUUGAUGCUGUUUACCACGUCGCCUUCGGGUGUCGCUAUUCAUCCCCUCACCGAGGAUCUCUAACACCUAUUUCAAUCUUGUGAUCUCGUCUCCCGGUGAAAACCGUAAUCCAGAUUCCCAAAUCGGCGAUGUCGAUAUCCUUUAUGAGGAAGUCAUUACUAGAAUGCAUCGUGUCAGAGACUUGACUUGUUGGAGAACCUCAUGGGGAGUCGUUGGUGGAGGGCCUGCGGUGGCGCGGUUGGUGUGGCUUUCCUGUCUCUCCGGUGCACUGCUUUGGGUGGCUGAGGUAUGGAGGUGAUGCUUGGCGAUGGGUAGCAAUGAUUCUUCCUGGCAGAGUGGCGAUGCCAAGAUGGUGCACGGCAACCGUGUCAGUGAUGCGUUGGUGGUGCCAUGGAGCCAGAUCCUUGACGAAGUUACUGGUUGCAGAUCCCGGUCCUAGCAAUGCAAUGAGGGCUCAUGGUGUAUUAUCUGGCGGCAGGUAGCCAUGCUCAGAUUUACCACUGAUUUGCACUUGCGACGGGGACGCGUGAUCGCCAAAGCGUCCCUUAUGGAGGAUUUUGGUGGCAUUGUUGUCUCUAGUCUGUGGAUAUAUGACAUGCGCCACAUGGGUGUCAAUGCAUGCACCUGGCAAUAAAGGCCGAUUGUGGCGGCUAGAUCGCUUCAUUGGUGUCUGCACAAUUUUGAGCUUGCUUGCUGAUGGCUCUAUAUUUUACACAUUUCUAGAGCUCAUUUGUCGCAUGUUCUCGGCAUACAUCAAGGCAUGUUGAACCAAAUAAAUGUCCAACACAUGAUUACUGAUUUUUACUCUUUUCAUUAUGACAAUUGCCUAUUAUUAUUAUUAUUAUUAUUAUUAUUAUUAUUAUUAUUAUUAUUUGGUUUUUAUUAGAUUCCUUUAUUUUGUUGUGUCUACAGGUGUUUUGGAGCAACCUAGGACCAAACACGAUGAAUAGGCCAAGGUUGAGUUCCUUACAGAGGACUUCCAGCACUCCAACUAGAUUAAGAACUUUGAAAACGUUGUUCGGAUGAGUAAGUUAUCACUAUUUUCCCAGAAGAGGUCAUAACAAAAGACGGCCUCUAGUACAACAAAAAAUGGUCCUACUGGUGGUCGUACCAGGUGCAGAUAGGCCCGAAAGUUGCCUCUCUGGAUGAGAUUCUUCAUCAAUUUCGUCUCCUUUGUUACCUCGUGUUCCUUGGCUAAUAAGGAAGAGUUUGAGAGAGGAUUUGACUCAAGUUGAGCCCUUAAAUGAAGGUGGAGGGUCCACAUCUAUGCAGGAGACCCAAGCAGGCCUUCUAUAUAUUGAAAUGGCAAUAUCAGAGUCUUCGUCGUGUGUACAAGGAAUUAACAUGGUCGUAACGAAACAACAAAUUAAUGAAAGAAAAAGAUUUGGGAGAGAAAGGAGCUAUGGCAAUCUUACAGCAAUUUACAGGGGAAAAAGAUGAUCACGAAUCAAAACAACCUUGUACUUCUUUGGUGGCUUAAUGGUUAACCACGUUGCACUUCUUCCUGAUCUCGCCCUGGCUUCCGGUGAGCGGGUUGGCGUUGCCCAUCUUGAUCAUGGAGGCGGCAAAGUCGGCGAAGAACUCGUCCAUGAAGGCGCCGGUGGCAUGGCGCUGGACGUAGGCGCGGGUGAAGGGGUCGGUGAGGAGGGCGCCGUCAGAGUGGAAGAGGCCCCUCCGCUUGUUCACCAGCUUGAAGUAGUCGGUGUCGAAGGUCUUGAAGCUGCCGGGGUCCAUCUCCACGAGGGUGGUGUUGUCGUUGAGGCUGGCACACUUGCUCUUUAGCCGCAUCAUGUACUGCGGCUCCAGCGAGGGGUCGAUAUCGCUGGGGUUCUCCAAGCCGGUGAAGUUGUAGAGCCGGUCGGAGAAGGAGAAGCAGUGCGACGUCCCGAUGGUGUGCCCGGCGGACAAGACGACAAGGUCCUUUGCGUCGAGGUUCACGGCGGCGAAGAGCUGGGUGAGCACGGUGAAGUUGGAGGUCGGGGGUGGCAGAGCGUCGGUCUCGUUGGAAAUGGACACGCUGCCGUCUCGCCGGCCCAGAGGAACUGUCCAGAAUGGACCCUUGCUCUGGAGAAACCAUGAUCGAGCAGCAUUAGAAUUUGGCUUCCACACGUACCGUGUCAUUUGAAAAAUGGCAUAGUAGUAGUACUCUACUCACCAGCCAUACUGCGUCCCUGGCAAUGAGGGCGAGGAUGUCGGCGCAGGAGACGGUGUCGGGGCAGGCCUUCUCCACCGCGGCCUUCACCCUCUCGACAAAGCCGAAGCCUCGCAGCGUCUGGUUCGGCUGCGCGUCCUUCUCCGCCGUCUUGUUGGCCGAGUCUAGCAGAACCGAGCCGUCGCACCCCUGCAUAUUCACGGUGGUCAGGCCAUAGCGCACAACGGUGUACGGCAGAUACUGAUGCAUGCAAAUGCAGCAUACCCUGACGAAGCAGUCGUGGAAGUGCAUCCGGAGGAGCGGCCCGGCGAGGCUGGGCGCCAGUGACAGCGCCCUCACCAUCUCCUUCCUCACGACGUCCUCCACGCUGGGGCACGACUCGCUGUAGAACUUGUCGUGCAGCUGCGCCCGCGCGCACGUCGCCGCCACCGCCGCGAGCAGCAGCGCCACCAUCGUGGCAGCCCUACACGCCAUCUUCUCGCCAAGAAGCUUGUUCCUUGCUUGGCUAUGCAAGAAACGACGAUGGCUAGGUGGCUAGUUGAUCCGGAGAAGCUUGAGCUGCUGCUGCUCAUGGACUGGCGCCGGGGAAAUAUAUAGCGCCGGAGUGUCCCCACGCCUGCAUGUGGUGGGCUGUCCUCCGGAGCAGCAGGUAAAAUUCCCAUGGUUUAAUGAGUUGUUCCUUGUUUGCACUCUGCGGAAUCUUUGCCGUGGCAGGUACACCGGCGGCCACCGUACGUAUAAUGGAGGCGGACGGACAGCCAGACGGAAGCACAUCAUUAGAUGAAUUCACUAAUUUUCUGUAGACAGCGAUUUUCUCACUAACUUACUAAUUAGCCAUCACGGAGCAAACUGCGGUGCCAAGUUCUAAUCAGCAAAGGAUACGUGCAACAAAUGAAUGCCACCACCUACUGGUAGUUUGAAGACAUGGAAAUAUCACGAUCCGUAUAUUUAUAUCGGCACCACAUGCUAUCCCGAAUCAGCUUUACUAAGUCUCAGUCGAAGCUAUAUUCGUUUGAUCUUGUGUGAAGAUCCGUGCAAUUUCGAUGUGGUCUGAAAUACCUGUAACACCGGAAUUUUGAGCCAGAUUUACAAACUUGAAAAUAAAUUUAAAUUAUGUUACAAUUCAUUGAAAGGUAGUAAUUUUUUAAAGAAUUUUUACAUAUGUCAUCCAAAAUUGCUUUGUUUUUUAGAUUAAAAGCCUUGCCAAUAAUUAUGCUAAUAUUAUGCCUUUGUCGAGGCCCUGGCCCAAAAGACCAGAAGAAUUUAAAUAUCAUGUUUUGAUCAACAUAUAAUUUGAAUAAUGAUGUUUAAAUUCCAAACAUGGUUAAAAUGAUAUUUAUAAAUUUGGGGAUCUAGUUUUUAUAAGUCUCAAGCUUUGUACGUGGUUGGAAUUUUGUAUUCACGAAAAACCAAUGNNNNNNNNNNNNNNNNNNNNNNNNNNNNNNNNNNNNNNNNNNNNNNNNNNNNNNNNNNNNNNNNNNNNNNNNNNNNNNNNNNNNNNNNNNNNNUGUUUGAGGCAAGUAAUUCUGCACGAAAUUCAAUAUUUAAACCCGAAUAUUAAUAUAGAGAUCCUACACCUACGAAAGUCUAGGUAAACCCACCAUAACAAUCAUACAGACAUUCUAGAACACGACAAAGAUAGUUGCCGAGGCAAGAUCUUAAACAUGCCCAUUACCGGAUUGCAUCUUAUUGCUUGGUCAUCUUGUCAUAUGCAUCGACCGUCGCCUAAGAAAACCAUACAUUAUAGAAAAUGGCUUAUAGGUGAACACAAAUUUGUGACGGGCGAGACGUGUGCCCGCCACUGGUAUACCGUUUCAGAGCUGGCCGCGUAAUGCAACCUAAUUGUGGUGAGCAGUAACAAAGGCCCGCCACUGCUUAUUUGUACAUCAGUGGCGAGUGUGACUGUUGCUUGCCACAGCUAAAUUAUGGUAAGCACUCUUACCAGGCACGAAGGAAGUACAUAUUAUACACUUGUAGUAGUGGCCGGUCCAGUCGGCCGCCCGCCAGUGUUGUCCACUUACGUGUAGCGGGCGCCCUGCCGUGCCCGUCACACGUAGACCCACGACACUGGCUGCAGUUUACUUUUCCCCCACCUGAAAAACGGUUUCAAAAUUUGGCAUUUCCCCCGCCCCCUCCCCCCGCGCCUUUCCCCCCAAAUCUCGCCCGACUGGGCGUCGCGCCCCUCGUUGCCGCCUCUCAUCCUCGCCGCUGCUGCGCCCCUCGUUGCCGCCUCUCCUCCUCGCCGCCGCCGCCACACCCCUCGUUGUUGUCGCCCCCUUCGUCGACGUUGCGUCGCGGCCUUCCUCGCGGCCAUGGGCAUGGACUCCUUCUCCAACACUGGAGGCAUCUUGCUUCCGCCGCCACCGCGAAGCUCCUCCGCGAUGGCUACCCCUCCGACCAUUGUGCCCUCCUCCGCCAACAUCGGAUACCUCGCGCCGCCUUCGGACGCAAAGCGAGCCACCUCUCUGGUAUGGUCAAAGUUGUGUUUAGGGUAAAUAAAUAUUUAGCAUUGAUUAAAUUUGAGUAGUGUGCCGUACUAUUAUUGUGCUUACGGUAACUAUGAGUAGAUUAGGAACAUUUUUUAGGUAUUGACAUGAGUGACAAUGUUUUGGCAAAACGUCGAUUCAUUUCCGUUUUGCCGAAUUUCUGGUACUCAUUAUGUCCUCUUUUUAGCAGAGGUCAUGUCGAAUUUUUCUUUCAUUUUUUAACUAGGAUCCAUUGUAGUAUCAUUGGCUUAUAUUUGCAGGUAUUAACAUGAGUGCCAAUGUUUUGGCGAAACGUCGAUUCAUUUCUGUUGGCCUUACUUUGAAAUGUAAGUUCAUUUCUUUAUGCUUGCAAAUAUACACAUGAAUACUUUGAUGUCAAUCUCAUUAAUUUUACAUUGUUCAAUUGUUCCCCGAGACGGCCGAGCUUAUUUCUUCGAUUUCAGGAGAGACCCUAAGAAGCCAUGGACCGAUCUGAAGAAAGUUAUCAAUGCUGCUCUUUUGAUGUGUCAUAAGUCCGACCGUAAGAACAUGCCACAUUCGCAGUACAAAUUUAACACUAGCUUCUAUUGCCGGCAACAACCAAAAGGCAAAACCAUGCACAUGGCUGCUACUGUGCCAUGGUCUUGAUGGAUGACGAUGUGCGUGCAGGACCACUGUUGAGGAGUGAUUCGAUGUUGUAGAAAUGGUCCGAAGAGAAUGAGAAGGAAUUUAAGCGAGCUCACUUUUGGACAGAGCAUGAGCACUUUCAGAGGGUGCUCAUGAAUAUCACCAAUCGCCAUGUAGUAGGGGAUGAGGAGAUGUUCUACUGCAGGGCAGAGAGCCAAGAAGAAUGAGAGAUGAGAAUGAAACAUUGACAUGGCGAUAUACACGCUCCUUUCUAGUCCAGCAAACCGUGAAAAACCAUUAAACUAUGUCAUGACACACUGCUUGUUACCUUGUGAUCUCUAGUUUAUAUGUACGCAUGUCAUAUGUUUAUAUAUUAACCUUGUGAUCUUUUCCAUAUGUAUAUAUUUUGAAUUUUAUUGUCUGCUAAAAAUAAUAGAUGGGACCAUCAGAAGAUUUGUGGGACGGGGUCUCUGCGGCGGACAUGGAGAAGCACUAUCUAUGGACGUGGGAAAAGUAUCGGGCAGAGUACCUCAGGGAGGCGAUGUUAGCUUGGGUUAGAAGUAUUCCAAUGACCCAGUGUUCUCUCCCAGCGAUUGAGAAGAUUGCAGAGAAGUGUUUAGUGACCUUGCGGCGUCCAUCCUUACGGAGGCAACCCUGGAUGAGAGGCUGAGGAUCUGGCCUGGUAUGAGUCCAACCACCAUACCCAUAACCGCUGAGGUUGUUGUGGGCUCUCCGAGAGGCCAAAUGUCCAAUUCCAGAGCAAGCGGCCCGUUGGUCCCCAUUCGUUCCAUCAAGUACUAAUUCAUGUAGUAUGUGCGGCUUCUACUAACAGUCUACGCGUUAAAUAUCGGCUGACACUCAUUGCACUCCAAAACAACUCGUCAAAUCAUUAAUUAUGUGAUGAGCGAUGACAUAUAUAUGCUUAUUAAUGAUUGUAAUGCACUUGUUAUAUUUUGUUUAUAACUACUACUUUUCAUUAAUCUGACAUCAUUGUAAUGUGGUGCGUGUAUGUGAAUCAUGGUUCAAACCCACAUUUAUGUAUCAAAUGCAAUAUGAUGAUAUGAUUGAGGUGCAAUAUGCUGCAAUUCAAUCAAUUCGGCAUGCGGCGGUAGCAGUGACGAGCACAACACACUGUGGUGGGCGGUACAAAAGGACUGCCACUGAUGCGCGAAAUUCCUAUGCUGGGCAACGCGGAAAACUGUGGCGAGCCCGGACAAUCGCGAGCCACUGCUCUUGGGCUACCACUGGCGGGCGGGUGGCCGCCACUGAUGUCGUAUUAGCAGUGGUGGAAGGUCAGUGGCGCGUGCCCCUGAGAGCCUUGCCGGCCACUCCUGGGCUUUUCCCACAUGCGACUGCUAGGCAUUCCUGCAGUAGUGAUAGUUCUCGUUGAAAUGGGUGGUGAGUCUGAUCUCUCACAAGUUGAUUUCGUUCUUAGUAGAGCCGCCGAAGCGUGGUAGCCCUAGAAAAUUCUCGAGAUUAUAUGUUAAUUUUGUAACGCCCCGUCAGGCUAGCCCAAGGCCCCUUUAGCAUAUUGCACGACCAUGUCCAUCAAUCGGGCAUGUGGGCCAUCCAGAAGGAAGGAACUAGCAUCUUGACGAUCAAGGGAAGAAGGCCAGAUAUCCAGGAGGACUCUCCAGCCGCCUUAGCUGACUAGGAUUAUUGUAACCAUAGGCCUUAGUAUCCUUAAUAAGUCAAGGUCAAGCUAGCAGCUAGGGGACCUUACAAUCAACCCUUUGAUACACCUAAGAUUCCAGAGCCCUUAAAAAAACCCCUAAGAUUCUAGAGAUCAUCAGCAUACUAUGUGCACCCCUUCAAUCCAGUACAACACAAGUAAGAGUAGUGCUUUGCCUCCAAAGAGAGGUCUGAACCUAGGUAUGUAUUAUGUUUCCCCUCUGUGCUUUCUGGCUAGUCACGGCACCCUACCGAGGGGUCUACGGGAUUUUACAUUGACAAUAGCACCAGACAUGGAUCGUGCUACUAAGAGUUGACAUCGAGAUUGGAUCCAAACAUCAAUUGUGAUGUCUUCGCUCCUUGCCAGAUCUUCACCUUCGUUGCGAUGAACCUAAUCACAAACUCGGUGGCCAGAUUAAUCCAAUUGACACUUAGGCAGCAGUUCAUAUUCUCUUCUUCGAGAAUCUAGAUACACUGUCGAUGGGCGUGAUGAGCUCGAUCUCUGCAACCUAGCACAAUGCAGGAGCCAGAGCCGAUCUUCAUUAGUCCACCAACCUCCCACUACAUUGCCACCAUCGACUUUUUCCAUGACGUCCUAAUGGAGCACGAGCCAAAGGAAGAGGAAAGCGAUGGAAGUUGCCCCGAAUUGAUACCAACACCUUGCUAGCCUUGGGAGGCAACUUCCAUGUACAUGGUUGAUAACAUAGCCAACGCCGAAGAUGACGCUUUCGACGAGUGCGCACUCGCAACGCGCAUGACACCGGUAGCAAAUACCAACGACGCCUCCAAAAAACUGGAAGCCUGUCGUAAGAAGAUGUAGCACCUGCACUUGCGCCAGCAACAGGAGCGCAGUCGCCUCUUAGAAAGGAAGGCCCAACCGUAGCCUCCAUCAGGCUAGUCCAGAAUAGGGCAGAACAUAGUGUAUUAUCUAAAGAUGUGACCAAACUUGUCGCCUGGGCCCGAGCAAUGCAUACAGCAAUACAUGGAGUUGCACCUGCCAAUUCGGCAAUGUUUCACACCCCGCCAUAAACCUUAUGGUUCCAGUGGGGCAGUGAACGACAUCAAACUCCUAGACGAUCAUCCAGGCCAUGAGAAUUGUUUUUUUAAAAUAAUUUAUAUAUGCAAUAUGACCAGAAAAUGAUUAGUUUCAGGAGGGCCAGCAUUGUACCCCUUUUCUGCAGACUAGGGAGUAGCAAAAAAUAUUUGUGCUUUGCAGGAUUGCAACUCAUGUCCCCAAAGGCCUCAACCAGCUGACCUAGCAUAUGCUUGUGCUAAAAAUAGGUUCAUUAUUUAAUUAAAAAGUCCCACCUCGACUCUUUGCACGAGAAUACAUCAAUUUAUAUAAAUUUAUAAAUUGGAGCUAAUUGAAGAAAAAGGAACAGAGGGAGUGAAUGAAGUAAAUGGAUUUGAGCUAGCAUUGGUGACUUGUACUAGAUAAAUAAAAUUGUUGCAUUUGCAUGGAUGGUUGUGCCAAUAUAAAUUAAUUGAAUUUGUAAUAAAGGCCAGAUUUUGUGAUUGUUGCUAUGAGGGGGAGACCCUAUAAUUAAUGAAUUAAUCCUUCCGGAGUCUACCAAUCUUAUGUUAAUACUCAUUUUUUAAGACUUUCGUGAGAUAACCACAACAAAGGGUGGAAUGGAUUUCAACCUCGGCGUGCGUAUCCCUGCUGACGUCAGGUGGCACCAUCCAGAUGUUGUUGUGUCGCAUGGACAUGUCAAUUACUUCUCCCGUUGCAAUGCACGGGCAUAUAUGCUAGUAAACCUUAUGGUUGCAAUGGGGCAGUGAACGACAUAAAACUCCUAGACGAUCAUCCAGGCCAGGAGAAUUUUGAGCAUGCCAAAAUUUUGCUCCAAACAGUUGUCGUAUAACAAAAUGUUUGUAUAGGAUCGAAGACCAUGGUGGGGACCUCGAACGACAUGCACAACAGACAAGUUCACUCCAUCGAAAUUGAAUGUCCACUCGUCCGCAUAGCCAUGUAGUUGCCAACCUGUCUCCACCGACAUGCUCGCAAAGUCACGCACUCGCCAACCCCGAGAGAACACCAUCGCCGCACUAUCUGCUGGGAAACAUUGUAGAAAACUAAAAAAUUCGCCUUAUGAUCACAAUCCAGGAACACUAUGAAGAUGCAUUAGAGGUAUAGAUUGGAUCGUUACCAACUUAGAGUUGCACUGUAAGAAGAGUUGAUGUAUAUCAUUGAUGAAGUCCCGUGAACCGUUCAUGAAUGAUCCAUCGAGCAGAAGAACGAGCCUAAGAAUAUCCCUCCAUCGUCGGAGGAGCAAAUCCCACUCUUGAGCUAUCUAGCCCCUUGUCACACUUUUCGAUGAACCUGAAAGUUUUCGUUAUGAUCACCGUGUUAUAGAAGACGUUUGAGAAAGCCCAAAGUUUAUUGUUUGGUAUGAAGUGACUACGAUACUCCCAUGGUACGAUGAACUAAAGUAUACAUUACCUCUCCUUGUUAUAUCAAUAGACUUGUGACGAUUACAUGUCAAAGUAUAACAAUCAAGUUGGAUCAAUUCAAUAUGAUCGUUCUUGUAACAUCAUAGUACCAAUGUUGUUUUGGUAUCCUCGUUACUCUUAUCUAAAUACGUAUGAUCAGGAAAACAUGAUUAUCACACAACACUUGAGCUAGUCCUAGGGGCAAAACUAGGAAUCCAAUUUUACUGUUGAUUAUUCUAGACGUGUAUGUGUGUUUCCUCUGAAUCGCAUAUUCAAGAAUGAAAGCAAGUAUAUCAUAGAAUAUAAACUCUUAACUGGAAAUAUAGAAAUAAAUAAUACAAAUAUAAUUGCCUCUAGGGCAUAUUUCCAACAAACUCCCACUUGCCCUAGAGCCAAUAAUCUAGUUACAUAGCUUCUCUAACACCAAUGGCUAUUCAUGUUACUCAUAUUUUGGUCAUCAUAGAGGCUUCGUCAUCAGGUCCAACACAUUCAAAAAAUUGUGAAUCUUGAGUACUUUCACAAAAACUUUAUAUGCUGUCAGAUGAUGUGAUACCUGCGUUCGACAUCCCUAGUCUUCAUGUGGGACCUUGGCUCCUUUUCUUGCGUAACAUCGCCACUAUUAUAACAAUAGAGCUCCAUUGGACUCAACACACUUGAGACCACAACUCUUCAAGAAACUUCUUGAUCUAGACUGCCUCCUUCAAUCCUUCUGAAGCCGCAAUAUAUUCUACCUCUGUCAUAGAAUCUGCAACAAUGUUCUGCUGGAAACUUUUCCAAACCACUGCACCACCAUUAAGAGUGAAAACAUAGCCUGGUUGAGAUUUAUAGUCAUUUAUAUCAGUGAUGAAGCUAUUGUUAGUGUAACCACUUACAACGAUCUCUUCAUAUCCUCCAUAGACAAGAAGAAUGUCAUUCAUCCUUUUGAGGUACUUAAGAAUAUUUUUAGCAGCUGCCCAGUGUUCCAAUCCCGGAUCACUUUGGAACCUUCUACUAACACUUAGCACAUAAUAAACAUCUAGUCUUGUACAUAUCAUAGCAUACAUGAUAGAAUGAAUUGCGGAGGCAUACGGGAGUCCACUUAUUUGCACACGCUCAUCAACAGUCUUGGGAGAUGAUUCUUGCUAAGUGUUGUGCUAUGUGGCAUUGGAAGAAAACCUUUCUUAGUGUUCUCCAUUUUAAGCCACUUUAAAACCUUGUCCAUGUGCGUGCUUUGGCUUAGCACAAUUAGACGUCUUGAUCUAUAUCAAUCGAUCUUAAUGCCAAAUAUAUAAGUUGCUUUGCCAAAGUCUCUCCUCGAAAACAUACUUUUCAAUGAAUGUUUUGUUGUGCUAAGAAACUUUACUUCAUUCCAACAAUAAUAUGUCAUCCACGUAUAAGAUUACAAAUGCUAUAGAGCUCCCACUAAACUUAUUGUAUACACAAGCUUCUUCAUCGUUCUUAAUGAAGCCAAAUUCUUUAACCACUUCAUUAAAAUGUUGAUUCCAACUCCUCGAUACUUGCUUUACACCAUAAAGUGAUCUUUGAAGCUUGCACACCUUACCGUCAUCCUUAGGAUCUAAAAAACCUUCUGGUUGCAUCAUGUAUACAUCCCCAUUAAGAUUUCCAUUUAGAAAAGUCGUUUCGAUGUCUAUUUGCCAUAUCUUGUAACCGAAAUAUGCAUCAAUUGUCAUCAUAACCGCAGACUUUAACAUGGAUACUAGCAAAAAAGUAUCGUCAUAAUCAACUCACUCAAUUUGCAAAAAUCCUUUCACAACUAGUCUUGUUUUAUAGAUAAGUAGGAUUACAAUCCGUGUCGCUUUUUCAUUUGAAGAUCCAUUUAUAUUGAAUGUGUUUUACACACUCUCGGGGAUAUACCAAGUUCCAAACUUUUGAUUCUCGCACAUGGACUCCAUUUCGUUUUUCAUGGCUUUAAGCCAUUCUUUUGAACCGGGCGCCUCCAUCGCUUCUCUAUAGUGCGCAGGCUCAUCUUCUUCUAAGAUGAAUAUUUCAUUAUGAAACAAGUCAGCAGGUUCGCUAACUCUUGCUAACAUACGCGGUUCUGUUACAUGCUUAACUAGAUUUUGUAUAACUGGUGUAGUAAAUUUUGGUUCAAUUGUGUGGACAACUUCCAAAACAAUUUCUGGUUCAUUAGUCCAACUUACUUCCACCGGAGAUUCAGCAAUCUCAUCAAGGUGUACUAUCCUCCCACUCAUGUCUUUAGGUGGAAACUCUUUCUCAAGAAAGUGUCCAGCCCUUGCAAGAAACAAUUUGUCAUCAGAUGGGCGGUAGAAGGAAUACCCAAUAGUUUGUUUGGGAUAACCUACAAAUUAACAUUUGUCUGAUUUGGCAUUGAGUUUAUUUGGUUGUAAAUUUUUCACAUAAGGUUUCACAACCCCAAAUCUUGAGAUGCGACAAAUUGGGUCUCUUCCCAUUCCAUAACUCAUAUGGUGUCGACUCAACAGACUUAGACUGUGCUCUGUUUACUGUGUAUGUUGCUGUUUCGAGAGCAUAUCCCCAAAAUUAUAAAGGCAAAUCGGUUAGAGACAUCAUUAGCCUCACCAUGUCAACAUGGUUUGGUUACACCUCUUAGACACUCCAUUCCUUUGUGGAGUUCCAGGAUGAGUAUAUCCCAAAACAAAUCCAUGAUCACUUAGAUGUUUGUUAAACUCGUGACUUUGAUAUUCGCCUCUGCGCUAUGAUCGUAGAAACUUUAUCUUCUUGCCACGAUGAUUAUCAACUUCGUUCUGGAAUUCUCUAAACUUUUCAAAGGUCUCGGGCUUAUGUUUCAUUAAGUAAAUAUUACUAUAUUUAUUAAAAUGAUCAGCGAAGGUUACAAAGUAUAAACAUCCACCGUGUGCUAGUGUGAACAUUGGACCACCUAUAUCACUAUGUAUUAUUUCCAAUAAUUCACCCCCCGUUAAGGAUGACCCAUGAACGGGGUCUCAGUUAGUUUACCCAUCAAGAAAGCCUCGCAUGUGUCAAAUGAUUCAAAAUCAAAAGACGUUAAUACUCCAUAUUUAUGAAGCUUUUGCAUACAUUUCUUUCCGAUGUGACCAAGACAGCAAUGACACAUGUAAGUAUUAUUAUUAGUCUUCUUAAGAUGUUUAACUUCUAUGUUAUAGACAUCAUUUUCACAUUCAGGAUCCAAAAUGAAAAAGUGACCGAUAAUAGGUGCAAAGCCAUAAAACAUAUCUUUAUAACAAAUUGAACACUCAUUUUUCCGAGACAUAUAAUGAUAACCAUAGUUUAUUUAACAUGAUACAGAGAUAAUGUUCUUAUAGAAAUCAAAACAAAAUAACAAUUAUUAAGUUCUAAGAUAAAUCUUGAAGGUAAACUUAAAGACAUGACUCUGAUAGCUUGAGCAGAGAUCACAUCACCAUUCCCGACAUGCAUCACGACUUCAUUUCCCUAAGAAAACCGAUCUAUACAAUGAGGAUAUUCCACAUAAUCUUACAAAGGUUAAUGUCAAAUGUAUCAUUAAAAUAUAUAAAUUGGUGGCAUCUUACUUCACAAACUGGUUUGAGGUUCUUGUGGCCACAGAGACAGUCGAUAACCCUAAAGCGUAUGGUUUUGAGUCCUAGGGAAUGUAAAGUUUUACAAAGAAAACAUUCAUACAUCAUUAGCGUGGUUUGUAAGAAAGAACAACCAGUUUGCAGAUAAAUCCGUGUAAAACAUAGUUAGUUCACGAGUGGUCAAAGGAGCGUUGUAUGUCAGUCACGUGACCGAAAUUUUCCCUAUCAACCAGAUUUUGGCCAUAUUUGAUCAAAUCAAUGGGUAUAUGUCUUAAACUGAUCACUUUCUAAGUUGUUGGCUUGAAGCAUGCAUCAUUUGAGUUAGUGUAAUGGUGACAAAUUUCACAGUUGUAUGCCUUAUCGAAGUCUACUUUCAAAUGACACCAUCCAUUUUCAUGGUACAAUUCAUGAACAAAUUCAUGGAAGAUCACCACCUUGUCCAUGAUAAUCCUAUCAUGCAUUAAUGACAUUUUUGUGGGUUGAACCACUUGGUUGACAAACCCAUUGAGUCAAUCAUUCGCCACCUUUAUAAAUAUGAAGUUAAUGUUAAGAAGGCAUGUCAAUAUGUACAAUGGAAAUAGAUUAGCCUCUUUAGUCAUGGGCAUUAAAAUAAUUUCACAAAAAAUAGUCUUAAAAGCUUAGGGUGCUCCACAUUGAGGUCCUCAAACAACUUCCCAACCUCCUAGAAGAUUUGCUAGGCUCGGUUGAGAAGUCAUCCGAUCCAGCCAAUUUAUUAUGAAUACAACUUCGCUCACCCAGUGUUUAGAAAAAAAAGGUUCCAAGGAGCUUGUUUUGACCAUCCAAAACCUAUUGAGAUGUCAUCUACUGAAUCAUUUAGAGAGAAAUUACUCUAAUUGGGAGGUCCAAAUAGACAUAUUAUUUGGUAGUAUAAGUCCGUAGGGAAGUCGGGGAGGGAGAGAGAGGGUUGCUACAUAGCUACUACAUCAAAAUGGUAGCCUGAAAAAGACACCACUCAAGUGUAAUCAUGAGAGUGCAUAAUACAUCUAUUUAUUCGAGCUGGCUAAGGCUGGUGCUUGAUGACAUAAUAUCACCGACCCAGAGUGACAUAAUAUCAUGUCUAUUAACAAGACACUGCUCGCACUUCUCGAUCCGCUUGAAGACAUGGAGGUACUUGAAGUCUUGGUCGCUGUUGUCCUAACGAUACAUGGCGGACAUCCGCAACAGCUUCGCCGAGGAACAAAUAGUUGGCCGACGUGCAUGGCGAAAAGAAGUGGGGAACCGGUGUGCCAUACCUGAUCCUUAAUGCUGGCGUCGCUCUCCGGGCGAGCUACUAUCUUCUCGACGAUCACAUGCCAUUUGUUGCACGCCGCCUGGAUGAGCCCCCAAUGGUUCGACAUCGCCUUCGACCCGCGCUGCAUGUAGAUGCCUUUGAAGUAGGGGUCGACGAGCUUGCGCUCGUCGAACUCGGCCUUGAUGCGGUCCCAAUAUGUCUCGAUGCUCUAGUUCAUGCCGGUGAUCGCGUCGAGGCAGACGACUUCCCAUGCUUCGGCGAGGCACUCCUACUCCUUGGACGCCCACUUGAUGCGCGGCUCGCCGGUCCUGGCCGUCCCCUUCUUCUUCUUCUUCUUCUUCUUCUUCCGUUUCCUCGCCGGCGCCGGCUCCUCCUUCUCAUCCUAAUCCUCCUCCUCCUGCUCAUCCGGCUCCUCCUCGCCGUAGUCAAGCUCGCCGUCCAUGUCGCCGUUGAGGUCUACUGUGUCGUCCUGCACAGUGAACCCGGGGGACGCUGUUGGGGAACGUUGCAGAAAACAAAAAAUUUCCUACGGUUUCACCAAGAUUCAUCUAGGAGUUAAUCUAGCAACGAGUGAUCAGAUUGCAUCUACAUACCUUUGUAAAUCACGCGCGGAAGCGUUCAAAGAACGGGGAUGAGGAAGGCGUACUCGACGUGAUCCAAAUCACCGGAGAUCCUAGCGCCGAACGGACGGCACCUCCGCGUUCAACACACAUACGGUCAGCGUAACGUCUCCUUCUUCUUGAUCCAGCAAGGGGGAAGGAGAGGUUGAGGAAGAUGGCUCCAGCAGCAGCACGACGGCGUGGUGGUGAUGGAGCUGCAGUACUCCGGCAGGGCUUCACCAAGCACUAUGGAGGAGGAGGAUGUGUUGGAGAGGGAGAGGGAGGCACCAAAGGCGUGGAUUGAGAGGCCCUCCUUCCCCACUAUAUAUAGGGAGCCUGGGGGGGGGGGCACCGGCCCUAGGAGAUGCAAUCUCCUAGGGGGGCGGCGGCCAAGGGAGGAAUCCCUCCUCCCGAAGGCACCUAGGAGGUGCCUUCCCCCAUUGGGACUCUUUCCUUCCUUAUCUCUUGGUGCAUGGGCCUCUUGGGGCUGGUGCCCUUGGCCCAUAUAGGCCAAGGCGCACCCCCUACAGCCCAUGUGCCCCCCCGGGGCAGGUGGCCCCACCCGGUGGACCCCCGGAACCCUUUCGGUGGUCCCGGUACAAUACCGGUGACCCCGAAACUUGUCCCGAUGGACGAAAUAGCACUUCCUAUAUAUAAUUCUUUACCUCCGGACCAUUCCGAAACUCCUCGUGACGUCCGGGAUCUCAUCCGGGACUCCAAACAACAUUCGGGUUACUGCAUAUACAUAUCCCUACAACCCUAGCGUCACCGAACCUUAAGUGUGUAGACCCUACGGGUUCGGGAGACAUGUAGACAUGACCGAGAUCGCUCUCCGGUCAAUAACCAACAGCGGGAUCUGGAUACCCAUGUUGGCUCCCACAUGCUCCUCGAUGAUCUCAUCGGAUGAACCACGAUGUUGAGGAUUCAGGCAACCCCCGUAUACAAUUCCCUUUGUCAAUCGGUAUGUUACUUGCCCGAGAUCCGGUCGUCGGUAUCCCAAUACCUCGUUCAAUCUCGUUACCGGCAAGUCACUUUACUCGUACCGUAAUGCAUGAUCCCGUGACCAUACACUUGGUCACUUUGAGCUCAUUACAAUGAUGCAUUACCGAGUGGGCCCAGUGAUACCUCUCCGUCAUACGGAGUGACAAAUCCCAGUCUUGAUCCGUGUCAACCCAACAGACACUUUCGGAGAUACCCGUAGUAUACCUUUAUAGUGACCCAGUUACGUUGUGACGUUUGGUACACCCAAAGCACUCCUAUGGUAUCCGAGAGUUACACGAUCUCAUGGUCUAAGGAAAAGAUACUUGACGUUGGAAAACUCUAGCAAACGAACUAUACGAUCUUAUGCUAUGUUUAGGAUUGGGUCUUGUCCAUCACAUCAUUCUUCUAAUGAUGUGAUCCCGUUAUCAAUAACAUCCAAUGUCCACAGUCAGGAAACCAUGACUAUCUGUUGAUCAACGAGCUAGUCAACUAGAGGCUUACUAGGGACAUGUUGGUGUCUAUUAUUCACACAUGUAUUACGAUUUCCGGAUAACACAAUUAUAGCAUGAAUAAAGACAAUUAUCAUGAACAAGAAAUAUAAUAAUAAUCCUUUUAUUAUUGCCUCUAGGGCAUAUUUCCAAUAGUCUCCCACUUGCACUAGAGUCAAUAAUCUAGUUACAUUGUGAUGAAUCGAACACCCAUGGAAUUCUGGUGUUGAUCAUGUUUUGCUCUAGGGAGAGGUUUAGUCAACGGAUCUGCUACAUUCAGGUCCGUAUGUACUUUACAAAUAUCUAUGUCUCCAUUUUGAACAUUUUCACGAAUGGAGUUGAAGCGACGCUUGAUGUGCCUGGUCUUCUUGUGAAACCUGGGCUCCUUGGCAAGUGCAAUAGCUCCAGUGUUGUCAUAGAAGAGUUUGAUUGGCCCCGACGAAUUGGGUAUGACUCCUAGGUCGGUGAUGAACUCCUUCACCCAAAUUGCUUCAUGUGCUGCCUCCGAGGCUGCCAUGUACUCCGCUUCACAUGUAGAUCCCGCCACGACGCUCUGCUUGCAACUGCACCAGCUUACCGCCCCACCAUUCAAAAUAUACACGUAUCCGAUUUGUGACUUUGAAUCAUCCAGAUCUGUGUCGAAGCUAGCGUCGACGUAACCCUUUACGACGAGCUCUUCGUCACCUCCAUAGACGAGAAACAUUUCCUUAGUCCUUUUCAGGUACUUCAGGAUAUUCUUGACCGCUGUCCAGUGUUCCUUGCCGGGAUUACUUUGGUACCUUCCUACCAAACUAAUGGUAAGGUUUACAUCAGGUCUGGUACACAGCAUGGCAUACAUAAUAGAACCUAUGGCUGAGGCAUAGGGGAUGACACUCAUCUCUUCUAUAUCUUCUACCGUGGUCGGACAUUGAGCUGAGCUCAAUUUCACACCUUGUAACACAGGCAAGAACCCCUUCUUAGACUGAUCCAUAUUGAAUUUCUUCAAUAUCUUAUCAAGGUAUGUGCUUUGUGAAAGACCUAUGAGGCGUCUUGAUCUAUCUCUAUAGAUCUUGAUGCCUAAUAUAUAUGCAGCUUCUCCAAGGUCCUUCAUUGAAAAACUCUUAUUCAAGUAGGCCUUAAUGCUGUCCAAGAAUUCUAUAUUAUUUCCCAUCAAAACUAUGUCAUCUACAUAUUAUAUGAGAAAUGCUACAGAGCUCCCACUCACUUUCUUGUAAACACAGGCUUCUCCAUAAGUCUGCGUAAACCCAAACGCUUUGAUCAUCUCAUCAAAGCGAAUGUUCCAACUCCGAGAUGCUUGCACCAGCCCAUAAAUCAAGCGUUGGAGCUUGCACACCUUGUCAGCAUUCUUAGGAUCGACAAAACCUUCCGGCUGCAUCAUAUACAAUUCUUCCUUAAGGAAACCGUUAAGGAAUGCCGUUUUGACGUCCAUUUGCCAUAUUUCAUAAUCAUAGAAUGCGGCAAUUGCUAACAUGAUUCAGACGGACUUUAGCUUCGCUACCGGUGAGAAAGUCUCAUCGUAGUCAACCCCUUGAACUUGUCGAUAACCCUUAGCGACAAGCCGAGCUUUAUAGAUGGUCACAUUACCAUCCGCGCCUGUCUUCUUCUUAAAGAUCCAUUUAUUUUCUAUGGCUCGCCGCUCAACAGGCAAGUCAGUCAAAGUCCAUACUUCAUUUUCAUACAUGGAUCCUAUCUCGGAUUUCAUGGCUUCUAGCCAUUUGUCGGAAUCCGGGACCGCCAUCGCUUCUUCAUAGUUCAAAGGUUCACCGUUGUCUAACAACAUGAUUUCCAAGACAGGGUUGCCAUACCACUCUGGUGCGGAACGUGUCCUUGUGGACCUUCGAAUUUCAGUAGGAGCUUGAUCAGAAGUAUCUUGAUCAUCAUCAUUAACUUCCUCUCUAGUCGGUGCAGGCACCUCAGGAACAUUUUCUUGAGCUGCGCCAUUUUCCGGUUCAAGAGGUAAUACUUCAUCAAGUUCUACUUUCCUCCCACUCACUUCUUUCGAGAGAAACUCCUUCUCUAGAAAGGAUCCAUUCUUGGCAACAAAGAUCUUGCCUUCGGAUCUGAGGUAGAAGGUAUACCCAAUAGUUUCUUUAGGGUAUCCUAUGAAGACGCAUUUUUCCGACUUGGGUUCGAGCUUUUCAGGUUGAAGUUUCUUGACAUAAGCAUCGCAUCCCCAAACUUUAAGAAACGACAGCUUAGGUUUCUUCCCAAACCAUAAUUCAUACGGUGUCGUCUCAACGGAUUUCGACGGAUCCCUAUUUAAAGUGAAUGCGGCAGUCUCUAAAGCAUAGCCCCAAAAAGAUAGUGGUAAAUCGGUAAGAGACAUCAUAGAUCGCACCAUAUCUAAUAGAGUGCGAUUACGACGUUCGGACACACCAUUACGCUGAGGUGUUCCAGGCAGCGUGAGUUGUGAAACUAUUCCACAUUUUCUUAAGUGUGUGCCAAACUCAUGACUCAAGUAUUCUCCUCCACGAUCUGAUCGCAGAAACUUGAUUUUCCUGUCACGUUGAUUUUCAACCUCACUCUGAAAUUCCUUGAACUUUUCAAAGGUCUCAGACUUAUGUUUCAUUAAAUAGAUAUACCCAUAUCUACUCAAGUCAUCAGUGAGGGUGAGAACAUAACAAUAGCCACCGCGAGCCUCAACACUCAUUGGACCACACACAUCAAUAUGUAUGAUUUCCAAUAAGUUGGUUGCUCGCUCCAUUGUUCCUGAGAAUGGAGUCUUGGUCAUUUUACCCAUGAGGCAUGGUUCGCACGUGUCAAAUGAUUCAUAAUCAAGAGACUCUAAAAGUCCAUCAGCAUGGAGCUUCUUCAUGCGUUUAACACCUAUGUGACCAAGGCGGCAGUGCCACAAGUAUGUGGGACUAUCAUUAUCAAUCUUAUAUCUUUUGGUACUCACACUAUGAACAUGUGUAGCACUACGCUCGAGAUUCAUUAAGAAUAAACCAUUCACCAUCGGAGCAUGACCAUAAAACAUAUCUCUCAUAUAAAUAGAACAACCAUUAUUCUCGGAUUUAAAUGAGUAGCCAUCUCGAAUUAAAUGAGAUCUUGAUACAAUGUUCAUUCUCAAACUUGGCACUAAAUAACAAUUAUUGAGGUUCAAAACUAAUCCCGUAGGUAAAUGUAGAGGUAGCGUGCCAACGGCAAUCACAUCGACCUUGGAACCAUUCCCGACGCGCAUCGUCACCUCGUCCUUCGCCAGUCUCCGCUUAUUCUGCAGCUCCUGCUUUGAGUUACAAAUGUGAGCAACUGCACCGGUAUCAAAUACCCAGGAGCUACUACGAGUACUGGUAAGGUACACAUCAAUUACAUGUAUAUCACAUAUACCUUUUGUUUUGCCGGCCUUCUUGUCUGCUAAGUAUUUGGGGUAGUUCCGUUUCCAGUGACCACUUCCCUUGCAAUAAAAGCACUCAGUCUUAGGCUUGGGUCCAUUCUUUGGCUUCUUCCCGGCAGCUUGCUUGCCGGGCGCGACAACUCCCUUGCCAUCCUUCUUGAAGUUCUUUUUACCCUUGCCCUUCUUGAACUUAGUGGUUUUAUUCACCAUCAACACUUGAUGUUCCUUUUUGACUUCUACCUCUGCUGAUUUCAGCAUUGCAAAUAAUUCGGGAAUGGUCUUUUCCAUCCCCUGCAUAUUGAAGUUCAUCACAAAACUCUUGUAGCUUGGUGGAAGCGACUGAAGGAUUCUGUCAAUGACUGCGUCAUCCGGGAGAUUAACUCCCAGCUGAGUCAAGCGGUUAUGUAACCCAGACAUUGUGAGUAUGUGCUCACAGACAGAACUAUUUUCCUCCAUCUUACAGCUGAAGAAUUUGUCAGAGACUUCAUAUCUCUCGACCCGGGCAUGAGCUUGAAAAACCAUUUUCAGCUCUUCGAACAUCUCAUAUGCUCCGUGUCUCUCAAAAGGUUUUUGGAGCCCCGAUUCUAAGCUGUAAAGCAUGCCGCACUGAACGAGGGAGUAAUCAUCAGCACGUGUCUGCCAAGCGUUCAUAACGUCUUGGUUCUGUGGGACGGGUGCGUCACCUAGCGGUGCUUGUAGGACAUAAUCUUUCUUGGCAGCUAUGAGGAUGAUCCUCAGGUUCCGGACCCAGUCCGUAUAGUUGCUGCCAUCGUCUUUCAGCUUGGUUUUCUCUAGGAACGCGUUGAAGUUGAGGACAACGUUGGCCAUUUGAUCUACAAGACAUAUUGUAAAUAUUUUAGACUAAGUUCAUGAUAAUUAAGUUCAUCUAAUCAAAUUAUACAAUGAACUCCCACUUAGAUAGACAUCCCUCCUGUAAUCUAAGUAUAACAUGAUCCGAGCUAACUAGGCCGUGUCCGAUCAUCACGUGAGACGGACUAGUCAACAUCGGUGAACAUCUUCAUGUUGAUCGUAUCUUCUAUACGACUCAUGCUCGACCUUUCGGUCUUCUGUGUUCCGAGGCCAUGUCUGUACAUGCUAGACUCGUCAAGUCAACCUAAGUGUUUGCAUGUGUAAAUCUGUCUUACACCCGUUGUAUGUGAACGUUAGAAUCUAUCAUACCCGAUCAUCACGUGGUGCUUCGAAACAACGAACUGUCGCAACGGUGCACAGUUAGGGGGAACACUUUCUUGAAAUUAUUAUGAGGGAUCAUCUUAUUUACUACCGUCGUUCUAAGCAAACAAGAUGCAAAAACAUGAUAAACAUCACAUGCAAUCAAAUAAUAAUAGUGACAUGAUAUGGCCAAUAUCACAUAGCUCCUUUGAUCUCCAUCUUGGGGCUCCAUGAUCAUCUUGUCACCGGCAUGACACCAUGAUCUUCAUCAUCAUGAUCUCCAUCAUUGUGUCUCCAUGAAGUUGCUCGCCAACUAUUACUUCUACUACUACGGCUAACGCGUUUAGCAAUAAAGUAAAGUAAUUUACAUGGCGUUUCUUAAUGACACGCAGGUCAUACAAAAAAAUAAAGACAACUCCUAUGGCUCCUGCUGGUUGUCAUACUCAUCGACAUGCAAGUCGUGAUUCCUAUUACAAUAGCAUGAACAUCUCAUACAUCACAUAUAUAUCAUUCAUCAUUCAUCACAACUUUGGCCAUAUCAUAUCACAAAGCACUUGCCGCAAAAACAAGUUAGACGUCCUCUAAAUGUUGUUUGCAAGUUUUACGUGGCUGAAAUAGGGUUCUAGCAAGAACGUUUUCUUACCUACGUGAAAGCCACAAUGUGAUUUGUCAACUUCUAUUUACCCUUCAUAAGGACCCUUUUCAUCGAAUCCGCUCCAACUAAAGUGGGAGAGACAGACACCCGACAGCCACCUUAUGCAACUUGUGCAUGUUAGUCGGUGGAACCGGUCUCACGUAAGCGUACGUGUAAGGUUGGUCCGGGCCGCUUCAUCCCACAAUACCGCUGAAGCAAGAUAAGACUAGUAGCGGCAAGAAAGUUGACAACAUCUACGCCCACAACAAAUUGUGUUCUACUCGUGCAAGAGAACUACGCAUAGACCUAGCUCAUGAUGCCACUGUUGGGGAACGUUGCAGAAAACAAAAAAUUUCCUACGGUUUCACCAAGAUCCAUCUAGGAGUUCAUCUAGCAACGAGUGAUCGGAUUGCAUCUACAUACCUUUGUAGAUCACGCGCGGAAGCGUUCAAAGAACGGGGAUGAGGAAGGCGUACUCGACGUGAUCCAAAUCACCGGAGAUCCUAGCGCCGAACGGACGGCACCUCCGCGUUCAACACACGUACGGUCAGCGUAACGUCUCCUUCUUCUUGAUCCAGCAAGGGGGAAGGAGAGGUUGAGGAAGAUGGCUCCAGCAGCAGCACGACGGCGUGGUGGUGAUGGAGCUGCAGUACUCCGGCAGGGCUUCGCCAAGCACUAUGGAGGAGGAGGAUGUGUUGGAGAGGGAGAGGGAGGCACCAAAGGCAUGGAUUGAGAGGCCCUCCUUCCCCACUAUAUAUAGGGAGCCUGGGGGGGGGGGGGCGCCGGCCCUAGGAGAUGCAAUCUCCUAGGGGGGGCGGCGGCCAAGGGAGGAAUCCCUCCUCCCCAAGGCACCUAGGAGGUGCCUUCCCCCUUUGGGACUCUUCCCUUCCUUAUCUCUUGGCGCAUGGGCCUCUUGGGGCUGGUGCCCUUGGCCCAUAUAGGCCAAGGCGCACCCCCUACAGCCCAUGUGGCCCCCCGGGGCAGGUGGCCCCACCCGGUGGACCCCCGGGACCCUUCCGGUGGUCCCGGUACAAUACCGGUGACCCGAAAACUUGUCCCGAUGGCCGAAAUAGCACUUCCUAUAUAUAAUUCUUUACCUCCGGACCAUUCCGGAACUCCUCGUGACGUCCGAGAUCUCAUACGGGACUCCAAACAACAUUCGGGUUACUGCAUAUACAUAUCCCUACAACCCUAGCGUCACCGAACCUUAAGUGUGUAGACCCUACGGGUUCGGGAGACAUGUAGACAUGACCGAGAUCGCUCUCCGGUCAAUAACCAACAUCGGGAUCUGGAUACCAUGUUGGCUCCCACAUGCUCCUUGAUGAUCUCAUCGGAUGAACCAUGAUGUCGAGGAUUCAGGCAACCCCCGUAUACAAUUCCCUUUGUCAAUCGGUAUGUUACUUGCCCGAGAUCCGAUCGUCGGUAUCCCAAUACCUCAUUCAAUCUCGUUACCGGCAAGUCACUUUACUCGUACCGUAAUGCAUGAUCACGUGACUAGACACUUGGUCACUUUGAGCUCAUUAUGAUGAUGCAUUACCGAGUGGGCCCAGUGAUACCUCUCCGUCAUACGGAGUGACAAAUCCCAGUCUUGAUCCGUGUCAACCCAACAGACACUUUUGGAGAUACCCGUAGUAUACCUUUAUAGUCACCCAGUUACAUUGUGACGUUUGGUACAACCAAAGCACUCCUAUGGUAUCCGGGAGUUACACGAUCUCAUGGUCUAAGGAAAAGAUACUUGACAUUGGAAAACUCUAGCAAACGAACUAUACGAUCUUAUGCUAUGUUUAGGAUUGGGUCUUGUCCAUCACAUCAUUCUCCUAAUGAUGUGAUCCCGUUAUCAAUAACAUCCAAUGUCCAUAGUCAGGAAACCAUGACUAUCUGUUGAUCAACGAGCUAGUCAACUAGAGGCUUACUAGGGACAUGUUGGUGUCUAUUAUUCACACAUGUAUUACGAUUUCUGGAUAACACAAUUAUAGCAUGAAUAAAUACAAUUAUCAUGAACAAAGAAAUAUAAUAAUAAUCCUUUUAUUAUUGCCUCUAGGGCAUAUUUCCAACAGACGCGGCAUCGGCAGCCAAGCCUACCGUAAUGAUGUCGUCCAUGUCGGCUUCGAUCGCUUCGGUGUCUCUGAGGUGCGACGCGGAGGCGUCAGAGAAGGGCAGCGCGCCAUGGCAGAGAAGGGGCGUCGGGGAGGAUGAGUAGGCCGGCGACAAGUAGUUGUACGGAGGGUCCUGCACGCCGUCGAAGGCAGGCGAGGGCGCCCGCUGGGCCGGGUGACCAAGGGGGAAGGUGAUGUUGGGGUUGAACCCACCGUGCAUGUCCCCGCCGGCGUAGCUCGAUAAUGGUGAGCAGCCCUAGGGUUGCGGCAACGACGAGAAGCCGGCUGGAGAGCCUACGAUGCGGCCACGAGGCAGGAGGGUGCACCCAGGGGGGUAGGCGCGCCCCCACCCUCGUGGGCCCGUCGUGGCUCUGCUGACCUACUUCUUUCGCCUAUAUAUACUCAUAUACCCCGAAAACAUCCGAGAGCACUACGAAACCCUAUUUCCACCGCUGCAACCUUCUAUACCCGUGAGAUCCCAUCUUGGGGCCUUUUUCGGCGCUCCGCCGGAGGGGGAAUCGAUCACGGAGGGCUUCUACAUCAACACCAUAGCCUCUCCGAUGAUGUGUGAGUAUUUUACCAUAGACCUUCGGGUCCAUAGUUAUUAGCUAGAUGGCUUGUUCUCUCUCUUUGGAUCUCAAUACAAAGUUCUCCUCGAUUCUCUUGGAGAUCUAUGUAAUUCUUUUUGUGGUGUGUUUGUCGAGAUCCGAUGAAUUGUGGGUUUAUGAUCAAGAUUAUCUAUGGACAAUAUUUGAUUCUUCUCUGAAUUCUUCUAUGCAUGAUUUAAUAUAUUUGCAAGUCUCUUCGAAUUAUCAGUUUGGUUUGGCCUACUAGAUUGUGAUACGUCUCCAACGUAUCUAUAAUUUUUGAUUGUUCCAUGCUAUUAUAUUAUCUGUUUUGGAUGGUAAUGGGCUUUAUUUUACACUUUUAUAUUAUUUUUGGGACUAACCUAUUAACCGGAGGCCCAGCCCAAAGUGCUAUUUCUUUGCCUAUUUCAGUGUUACAUAGAAAAUGAAUAUCAAACGGAGUCCAAAUGGAAUGAAACCUUCAGGAACAUGAUUUUUGGAACAAACGUGAUCCCGAGGACUUAGAGUGGACGUCAAGCAAUCAACGAGGCGUCCAUGAGGCAGGGGGCGCACCUACCCCCUGGGCGCGCCCUCCCCCCUUGUGGGCCCCUCGUUGCUCCACCGACCUACUUCUUCCUCCUAUAUAUGUUCACAUACCCCGCAAACAUCCAGGAGCACCACGAAACCCUAUUUCCACCGCCGUAACCUUCUGUACCCAAGAGAUCCCAUCUUGGGGCCUUUUCUAGAGCUCUACCAGAGGGGGCAUUGAUCAUGGAGGGCCUCUACAUCAACUCCAUGGCCCCUCCGAUGAUGUGUGAGUAGUUUACUUCAGACCUUCGGGUCCAUAGCUAGUAGCUAGAUGGCUUCUUCUCUCUCUUUGGAUCUCAAUACAAAGUUCUCCUCAAUUCUCUUGGAGAUCUAUUCAAUGUAAUCUUCUUUUGCGGUGUGUUUGUCGAGAUCCGAUGAAUUGUGGGUUUAUGAUCAAGUUUAUCUAUAAACAAUAUUUGAAUCUCCUCUGAAUUAUUUUAUGUAUGAUUGGUUUAUCUUUGCAAGUCUCUUCGAAUUAUCAUUUUGGUUUGGCCUACUAGAUUGAUCUUUCUUUCAAUGGGAGAAGUGCUUAGCUUUGGGUUCAAUCUUGCGCUGCUCAAUCCCAGUGACAGAAAGGGAAAUGACACAUAUUGUAUUGUUGCCAUCGAGGAUAAAAAUAUGGGGUUUACAUCAUAUUGCAUGAGUUUAUCCCUCUACAUAAUGUCAUCUUGCUUAAGGCGUUAGUCUGUUCUUAUGAACUUAAUACUCUAAAUGCAUGCUGGAUAGCAGUCGAUGUGUGGAGUAAUAGUAGUAGAUGCAGGCAGGAGUGAGUCUACUUGUCGCGGACGUGAUGCCUAUAUACAUGAUCAUGCCUAGAUAUUCUCAUAAUUAUUUGCUUUUCUAUCAAUUGGUCGACAGUAAUUUGUUCACCCACCGUAAUACUUAUGCUAUAUUGAGAAAAGCCACUAGUGAAACCUAUGGCCCCCGGGUCUAUUUUCCAUCAUACAAGUUUCCAAUCUAUUUGAUUUUGCAAUCUUUACUUUCAAUCUAUAUCAUCAAAAUACCAAAAAUACAUAUCUUAUUAUUAUCAUCUCUAUCAGAUCUCACUCUUGCAAGUGGCCGUGAAGGGAUUGACAACCCCUUUAUCGCGUUGGUUGUGAGGUUCUUAUUUGUUUGUGUAGGUACGAGGUGACUCGCGCGUGGUUGUCAGGACCCCGACUCGAUGUCACAUCGAUCUAGCAUGUAACACCUCAUAUCGCUUUGCGGCCUCACGCACGGUAUCCCCACGGGUGUCGCCUUACCUUUGCCCGGGACCGUUUGCGCAUUUUGGCACACGUAUAUGAUGGUGUCGCUAGCAUCCAUAUGAUAAAGAGCCCGGGCUGACAUGGCUAGUCGUAAACCCAAAGUGGCACUAACUUACAGGGACAGGCAUUCAUGACCCAGCAUCGAACGUGUCGGUCAUCAGCGAGUGAAUCCAGGCUGUAGCACUGGGCUAACAGGACUCCGGUGAACCGGGCUGUAGCGGGCUAGCAGGACUCCGGUAUUCAUCGCGUGACAUUUCCCCGAAGGGACAGACACAGGAUCAAAGAAGGACACAUGCCGGCCUGCCUAAGUGUUCCGGAGCAGUAGCAAGCUACCAGGGCUCAGUGGAAGCACUAGGAGACAUUUCCCGGUAAGAGAGGCUACUAAGAAUAAACAACUAGAUAGUCAGAUCCCACACAUAGCAAUACACAUUACACGUACGCAUAACAUGCAAGUAUGUGAUGUACAACAUGGCAUCACAGCAUAACUCAACAACUUAUAUAGAUAAAGGCUCAGAAGAGCCGUCAUAGCAAUUAUUGCAAACAGGGGUCACAAGACCCAUCAUACAGAGCAUACAAGCAACAAGCGGAAGCAUUACAUGUCUGGGUACAGACAUCUACAAAUGAAAAAGGCUGAAGAGCCUGACUAUCUACAACAUCCGAUCAAGAUCGUAGCUGAGGUANNNNNNNNNNNNNNNNNNNNNNNNNNNNNNNNNNNNNNNNNNNNNNNNNNNNNNNNNNNNNNNNNNNNNNNNNNNNNNNNNNNNNNNNNNNNNNNNNNNNNNNNNNNNNNNNNNNNNNNNNNNNNNNNNNNNNNNNNNNNNNNNNNNNNNNNNNNNNNNNNNNNNNNNNNNNNNNNNNNNNNNNNNNNNNNNNNNNNNNNNNNNNNNNNNNNNNNNNNNNNNNNNNNNNNNNNNNNNNNNNNNNNNNNNNNNNNNNNNNNNNNNNNNNNNNNNNNNNNNNNNNNNNNNNNNNNNNNNNNNNNNNNNNNNNNNNNNNNNNNNNNNNNNNNNNNNNNNNNNNNNNNNNNNNNNNNNNNNNNNNNNNNNNNNNNNNNNNNNNNNNNNNNNNNNNNNNNNNNNNNNNNNNNNNNNNNNNNNNNNNNNNNNNNNNNNNNNNNNNNNNNNNNNNNNNNNNNNNNNNNNNNNNNNNNNNNNNNNNNNNNNNNNNNNNNNNNNNNNNNNNNNNNNNNNNNNNNNNNNNNNNNNNNNNNNNNNNNNNNNNNNNNNNNNNNNNNNNNNNNNNNNNNNNNNNNNNNNNNNNNNNNNNNNNNNNNNNNNNNNNNNNNNNNNNNNNNNNNNNNNNNNNNNNNNNNNNNNNNNNNNNNNNNNNNNNNNNNNNNNNNNNNNNNNNNNNNNNNNNNNNNNNNNNNNNNNNNNNNNNNNNNNNNNNNNNNNNNNNNNNNNNNNNNNNNNNNNNNNNNNNNNNNNNNNNNNNNNNNNNNNNNNNNNNNNNNNNNNNNNNNNNNNNNNNNNNNNNNNNNNNNNNNNNNNNNNNNNNNNNNNNNNNNNNNNNNNNNNNNNNNNNNNNNNNNNNNNNNNNNNNNNNNNNNNNNNNNNNNNNNNNNNNNNNNNNNNNNNNNNNNNNNNNNNNNNNNNNNNNNNNNNNNNNNNNNNNNNNNNNNNNNNNNNNNNNNNNNNNNNNNNNNNNNNNNNNNNNNNNNNNNNNNNNNNNNNNNNNNNNNNNNNNNNNNNNNNNNNNNNNNNNNNNNNNNNNNNNNNNNNNNNNNNNNNNNNNNNNNNNNNNNNNNNNNNNNNNNNNNNNNNNNNNNNNNNNNNNNNNNNNNNNNNNNNNNNNNNNNNNNNNNNNNNNNNNNNNNNNNNNNNNNNNNNNNNNNNNNNNNNNNNNNNNNNNNNNNNNNNNNNNNNNNNNNNNNNNNNNNNNNNNNNNNNNNNNNNNNNNNNNNNNNNNNNNNNNNNNNNNNNNNNNNNNNNNNNNNNNNNNNNNNNNNNNNNNNNNNNNNNNNNNNNNNNNNNNNNNNNNNNNNNNNNNNNNNNNNNNNNNNNNNNNNNNNNNNNNNNNNNNNNNNNNNNNNNNNNNNNNNNNNNNNNNNNNNNNNNNNNNNNNNNNNNNNNNNNNNNNNNNNNNNNNNNNNNNNNNNNNNNNNNNNNNNNNNNNNNNNNNNNNNNNNNNNNNNNNNNNNNNNNNNNNNNNNNNNNNNNNNNNNNNNNNNNNNNNNNNNNNNNNNNNNNNNNNNNNNNNNNNNNNNNNNNNNNNNNNNNNNNNNNNNNNNNNNNNNNNNNNNNNNNNNNNNNNNNNNNNNNNNNNNNNNNNNNNNNNNNNNNNNNNNNNNNNNNNNNNNNNNNNNNNNNNNNNNNNNNNNNNNNNNNNNNNNNNNNNNNNNNNNNNNNNNNNNNNNNNNNNNNNNNNNNNNNNNNNNNNNNNNNNNNNNNNNNNNNNNNNNNNNNNNNNNNNNNNNNNNNNNNNNNNNNNNNNNNNNNNNNNNNNNNNNNNNNNNNNNNNNNNNNNNNNNNNNNNNNNNNNNNNNNNNNNNNNNNNNNNNNNNNNNNNNNNNNNNNNNNNNNNNNNNNNNNNNNNNNNNNNNNNNNNNNNNNNNNNNNNNNNNNNNNNNNNNNNNNNNNNNNNNNNNNNNNNNNNNNNNNNNNNNNNNNNNNNNNNNNNNNNNNNNNNNNNNNNNNNNNNNNNNNNNNNNNNNNNNNNNNNNNNNNNNNNNNNNNNNNNNNNNNNNNNNNNNNNNNNNNNNNNNNNNNNNNNNNNNNNNNNNNNNNNNNNNNNNNNNNNNNNNNNNNNNNNNNNNNNNNNNNNNNNNNNNNNNNNNNNNNNNNNNNNNNNNNNNNNNNNNNNNNNNNNNNNNNNNNNNNNNNNNNNNNNNNNNNNNNNNNNNNNNNNNNNNNNNNNNNNNNNNNNNNNNNNNNNNNNNNNNNNNNNNNNNNNNNNNNNNNNNNNNNNNNNNNNNNNNNNNNNNNNNNNNNNNNNNNNNNNNNNNNNNNNNNNNNNNNNNNNNNNNNNNNNNNNNNNNNNNNNNNNNNNNNNNNNNNNNNNNNNNNNNNNNNNNNNNNGGGGGGGGGGGUUAGUCAACGGUGAUUAGCACUAAGCUAAUCACCUGACGGGCCGGCCCCACCUGGCAGGGCUCAGGCGACGGGGGCUCGUCGCCGGCGACCUCUGGACGCGGCGGAGUCCGCGCCACAGGCCACGGGGACGGCGUCUGAGAGCACCGGGGCGUAGCCCGGGCUCUCGCGCAUCUGGUGGGCCAGGUGGGAGGAGCGGGGACGGCCGGAGCUCGCCGGAGCAGAGCUCGGGGCGGCGGCCGGAGUUCGGGCUUGAGCGGGAAUGGGCUGCGGGGCACGGGGAGGCCUCCUGAGGGGCCCGGCGGCACCCUCGUGGCACCAGGAACGCGGAGGGAGGCUUGGUUUGGGCGGAGGCGGGCCGAGACGGCGGCGGCGACGUGGACGGCGGCGAGGGGCUUCGGCCGUGGUGGGGAGCGGCGCUACGGCACGGGAACGGGAGGGAGAAGAGAGGGGAAUGGUGGAGGAGCUCACCGCGGAUCCAGCGAGCGCGAAGGCGAGGUCGGGGAUGCCCGGAAGCUCCCGAAUUGACGGCGAGUACCCACGGCGGCCGGAGGCGAGGGUGGCGACGGCGACGGCUCCACGGGGCUCUCCGGCUUGCGUGGCUCGGCGAGGAAGUAGAGGGGGUCGCGGCGGAGCUCGGGGGCUCUACGGAGGGGCGAGGGAACGGCGGGGAGCGCGUCGGUGGCGAGCUGCGGCGGCGGCGGUGCUUCGGGUGAGAGGGAGAGAGAGCAGGGAAGAGGAGGAGGGCGAGGGAGAGUGAGAACGGUGCGGGGCAGCGCGUGGCGACGUUCCGGACGUCCAGGCGUCGAGGGGAGGACAGGCAGACAGGUGCCGUGGCGGCACGGCGGUGCGCACGCGCCGGCCACACGCCUCUGGCCUCCUGGCGGGAGGUGGAGGACGACUGGCGCUAGCCAGUCGGCUGGGCCGGCCGGCUGGGCCGCACAGGGGAGGGGAGGCCCAGGUAAGUCCUCCUUCCUUUUAUUUCUGUUUUCUAUUUUUUUCUGACAUUUGUUUGAUUUAAUAAAUAUAUCAAAUCAUUUAAUUUUAUUAUGCCAAUUUUUGUAGGGGCUAAUGGUAUUAUUCCAGAACUCUUGUAUAAUUGGCAUAAUUUUUGGACCAUAUUUCAUAUAUAUAGAAAUAUAUUUCCAAUGCAAAUAUUUAUCGAAUUAAUCCAAAUGGCCAAAAUAAAUGUCCAUGGGCUCCUAAAAUAUUGUUUUGAUUUUUAUCUCUGUCCAAUAUUUUUAGAGGGCAUCAUGAGCAUUUUCUUGGACCCUUUUUGGAGAAAUUUUUAUUUGGGUCAUUUUCAAAAAUGAUUCUGAGGGUUCCACCAAUCCUCAUUUCAAAUUUAAAUGAAAUUUAAACAUGAUGCACAAAUGACCAGCUAGUCUAGGUCAUACCAGACUAGGGAUGUGACAACUCGCCCCCACUUGACAGAAUCUCGUCUCAAGAUUCAGGGGUCGACGGAAAGAAAGCGGGGUACUCCAGUCGAAGACGAUCUUCUCGCUCCCAGGUAGCUUCUCUCUCGGAAUAAUGAGACCACUGAACUUUGAGAAACUUGAUGUUCUGACGUCGGGUAACACGCUCUGCUUGAUCAAGAAUGCGAACCGGGUACUCUCGGUAUGUGAGGUUAUCUUGGAGAUCAAGCGUUUCGUGGUCCACUCCGCGGAUGGGAUCCGAGAAGCAACGCCUGAGUUGAGAGACGUGGAAGACAUCAUGAACUCGGGAAAGAUGUGGAGGUAGUUCCAACUGGUAGGCAACCUCUCCUCGUUUAGCGAGAAUGCGAAAGGGACCAAUGUAACGAGGAGCCAACUUGCCCUUGAUACCGAAACGAUGGGUACCCUUCAAAGGAGUAACCCGAAGGUAAGCUUGGUCGCCAAUUUCAUAAGUCAUAUCCUUAUGAUGACGAUCGUACUGACUUUUCUGACGAGACUGGGCGGUUUUCAAAUUCUCACGAAUGAUGCGAACUUGCUCUUCUGCCUCCUGGAUCAUAUCCGGUCCAAAGAAUUGUCUUUCACCGGUUUCUGACCAGUUCAAAGGUGUUCGACAUCUUCGUCCAUAGAGAACCUCAAAAGGAGCUUUCUUGAGGCUGGAUUGGUAGCUGUUGUUAUAAGCAAACUCGGCGAAAGGAAGACAUUUCUCCCAAUCCAUACCGAAUGAGAUAACGCAAGCUCUGAGCAUGUCUUCGAGAAUUUGAUUGACCCGUUCCACCUGACCACUUGACUGAGGGUGGAAAGCGGUACUGAAGGAAAGAUGGGUUCCCAUGGCAGUUUGGAAACUCUCCCAAAAAUGAGAAGUGAAAAGGCUGCCACGGUCUGAAUUGAUCUCUAGUGGGACACCAUGAAGUGACACUAUUCGAGAAAUAUAUAAGUCAGCAAGCUGACUAGCAGUGAUAUUUUCCCGAACAGGAAGGAAGUGAGCCACUUUGGAGAGACGAUCAAUGACUACGAAGAUAGCGUUAUUCCCUCUCUUGGUCCUGGGAAAACCGGUGAUGAAGUCCAUACUAACUUUAUCCCAUUUCCAUUCAGGAAUAGCUAAGGGCUGAAGGGUGCCAGCAGGUCUUUGAUGCUCUGCCUUAACGCGACGACAUACGUCACAUUUAGCAAUGAACUCAGCGAUUUCCCUCUUCAUCCUAGUCCACCAGAACCUCUGGCGUAGGUCCUGAUACAUCUUAGUACUACCGGGAUGAAUCGUGAGAGGGGAUUCAUGCGCCUCCUUAAGAAUCAAUUGUCGCAGAUGUUGAUUCUUGGGAACCACCAAGCGAUUCUCAAAGAAAAUAAUUCCACGAUCAUCCAUAGAGAAACAUCCACCAACUCCCUUCUUAAUGUUUCUCUUGAUCCGAGAAAUUCCUGUGUCUUGCUUUUGAGCAGCGAUAAUCCGAUCUUCAAGAUCAGGUUUCGCCACCAGAGUAGAAAGGAAUCCGCGAGGAGCUAUGUGAAGGUUAAGCUUACGGAAUUCCUCAUGGAGAAGUGGUUGGCCUUGCUGCAACAUGAGAUUGUUGCAAUAAGAUUUACGGCUUAGAGCAUCAGCCAUGACAUUGGCUUUGCCUGGGGUGUAGGUAAUCCCUAGAUCAUAAUCUGUAAUCAACUCCAACCAACGUCUUUGCCUAAGGUUCAGAUCCGGCUGGGUGAAGAUAUACUUGAGACUCUGGUGAUCGGUGUAGAUCUCGCAACGUUUACCAAGGAGGUAAUGUCGCCAGGUCUUGAGUGCAUAGACUACGGCUGCAAGCUCUAGAUCAUGUGUAGGAUAAUUCUCCUCAUGUGGAUGUAACUGUCAAGAUGCAUAGGCAAUCACAUGACGAUCCUGCAUAAGAAUGCAACCUAGUCCCUGUCGUGAGGCGUCGCAGUAGAUAAUAAAGUCUUUUGUGAAAUCCGGUGGCACAAGUAUGGGAGCAGAAGUCAGGCGUCUCUUCAGUUCCUGAAAACUGUACUCACACUGUGGGGACCACUCGAACUUUUUAUCUUUCUUGAGAAGUUCCGUGAGGGGUUUGGCUACUUUGGAGAAGUUUUCAACAAAGCGGCGACAAUAGCUGGCUAGGCCAAGGAAACUCCUAACUUGUUUCACGGUCUCGGGUGGAGUCCAAUCGAGAACGGCUUGAACUCUCUCGGGAUUGACAGCAAUGCCCUUACCAGAGAUUACGUGGCCUAGGUAGGUCACUUCUGGCAACCAAAAUUCACACUUGGAGAACUUGGCAUAAAGGCGGUGCUCUUUGAGUUUUUCUAACACAAGUCUAAGAUGUUCGGCAUGCUCUUCCUCGUUCUUCGAGUAAAUAAGAAUAUCAUCGAGGUAAACCACGACGAACUUAUCUAAGUACUCCAUGAAGAUCGAGUUCAUCAAGCGGGAGAAUGUGGCUGGGGCGUUGGUUAGGCCAAAGGACAUGACGGUGUACUCGUACUGGCCAUAACGAGUGACAAAAGCCGUCUUGGGAAUGUCCCCAUUUCUGAUUUUGAUUUGGUGGUAUCCUAACCUUAAAUCCAUCUUGGAGAAGACUGAGGAUCCAGCGAGCUGAUCAUACAGGUCGUUGAUCCUGGGGAGCGGAUACUUGUUCUUGAUCGUGACCAAAUUAACGGGACGAUAAUCAAUGACCAUCCGGUCCGUACCGUCUUUCUUCUUGACAAAGAGGACGGGGCAAGUCCAAGGAGAAGAACUAGGACGGAUGAAACCCUUUUGCAAGGACUCAUCGAGUUGUUUCUUAAGCUCGGCUAGUUCUAGGGGUGCCAUCUUGUAAGGUCUCCGGGAGAUUGGAGCUGUUCCUGGGAUAAGAUCUAUGACGAACUCUACAUCUCUGUCAGGUGGAACACCUGGCAGUUCCUCUGGAAAGACAUCCGGAAAGUCACGGACUACCGGGAUAUCUUCAAGGUCUGGAAGAGGGCUGGCAUUAAGAGAAUAGAGCUGACGCUUUGCAACUCUAGUAGAGACGGUGACUAACUUGCCAGAUGGGUGUGUAAGCUGAACAGAUCUUGUGUAGCAAUCAAUCUUGGCAUGAUGAGCUGUCAUCCAGUCCAUACCCAAGAUGAUGUUAAUAUCUGAGGACUUGAGGGCUACAAGUGAUGCAAGGAAUACCAGUCUAUCAACAAGGAUUUCAUUACCAUGGCUGAUUCUGGUGGUCUGCCAUCUAGACCCUGGGGUUUGGAUUUCAAGCGGAGUUGGCAUAUCACAAAAUGACAUGUCGUGCAAACGAGCAUAGCCUUCAGAAAUGAAGGAGUGAGAUGCCCCAGUAUCAAAUAGAACUGAUGUUGGGUGACAAUUGACAAGGAGUGUACCAAGAACGACAUCUGGAUCAUCAUGAGCGUCUUUAGCUGAGACGUGAUGCACACAUCCACGUUCAGUGGGGGCUGACUUAACACUGAUCAUCUUGCGUGAUGGCUUAAUACAGCCAACAGUCUUCUCGGGCUGGGGUGGAGCAUAACUAGUCUGAGAGCAGUCACGUGCAUAGUGUCCUGACUUCCCGCAUGUGAAGCAAGUCCCUGAGGUUGGACGGGGACCCGCACUAACAAGCGGUCUACCAGUAGGCCUGGGUGGAACAUACGACUGAGCUGGAGGAGGCACCACAUGAGAUGACCUCGGUGUAUAACCGGAAGGAAGAGCGGAGUUUGGAACCCAAAUCCGGCGUUUCUGGGAACUAGAGCCAGAGGGAGAUCCCAAAUCACGGGUGUGCUUACGAGACUCCUCGUAAGUGAGUUGAGCUGUCUCUGCAUUGAUGGCCUUGUUCACAAGGGCUUGGAAUGUAUCGCAAUGAUGCAUGUGAAGAUCACGACGCAAUUUGGGGUUGAGACCCUUCCGGAACCUAGCCUGCUUCUUGGCGUCCGUGGACACUUCUUCUGUGGCAUAGCGAGCAAGGUUCUCGAACUCUCUGCUAUAAGCAUCAACGGCCAUCUUACUCUGGGUGAAACUACAGAACUCUUCUCUCUUGCGAUCAAGGAGGGCUUGGGGAAUGUGAUGCUCGCGAAAAGCCUCAGUGAACUCCUUCCAGGUAGGAAUCUGGCCAGCUGGAAGCAUAGCCUCGUAGUUCUGCCACCAAAGACUAGCAGGACCUUCCAGGUGAUAUGUGGCAUAAGUGACCUUGUCAUCUUCAGCUACGUUCGCGAAACGCAGCUUAUGGAUGAUGCUACGGAGCCAGUCAUCUGCAUCGAGUGGCUCGAUGGAAUGAUGAAAGGUAGGUGGGUGCAAGCGAAUGAAGUCAUGAAUGGUCACAGACUUGUUGGACUGAUGUGCGGUGUUCUCCUCGAUACGUGCCAACAAGUGGUUGGACUCACGCUUGUUCCUUUCCAUCUCUAGCAUGAACUCUGUCAACGAAGGCUGGUCGGGAGAAUUCUCAUCCCUACCAUCUCCAUGGUUCCGGCUACGAACAAUAGAACUUGAUGACAUCCUGAGAAACGAAAACCAGGGACGGAAUCAGCACCAAUUAUCGACUGUAGAAUGUAGGACAGGGAAUUAGUAUCACUCGAACUCCUAGGGAAAUUCUGGCAGCAUAACGGCAGUAAACUGCUCAGAACGAGACAUCCUACUAAACAUAGGGUGGUAACAUACUUAUCAUCAUCACUCAAGGUUCUGAGAUAGUACUAAACAGACUACACCGGAAGUACUCGAAACUGGGGUAUGACUCUGAUCAACCAGUCCUAUGGAACUACGGAGUAGUAACACGUGAUCCUGAUAGACGGAAGAGAAGCCUAGUUCCUUAACCCCGUCGGAAAGAUAGGAUGACUCAGAUCAGAAGGCCAUGAGGUAAAGAAGUAAAAAGAGCCUUACGUUCCAACCCACAAUCAAUUCCCUUACAUAACUAAAGAAUUUCUAGACUCAACUUCGACCGGUUUGGCUUGGUAAUCCUACAGGCAGUCAGGCUCUGAUACCAACGCUGUCAGGACCCCGACUCGAUGUCACAUCGAUCUAGCAUGUAACACCUCAUAUCGCUUUGCGGCCUCACGCACGGUAUCCCCACGGGUGUCGCCUUACCUUUGCCCGGGACCGUUUGCGCAUUUUGGCACACGUAUAUGAUGGUGUCGCUAGCAUCCAUAUGAUAAAGAGCCCGGGCUGACAUGGCUAGUCGUAAACCCAAAGUGGCACUAACUUACAGGGACAGGCAUUCAUGACCCAGCAUCGAACGUGUCGGUCAUCAGCGAGUGAAUCCAGGCUGUAGCACUGGGCUAACAGGACUCCGGUGAACCGGGCUGUAGCGGGCUAGCAGGACUCCGGUAUUCAUCGCGUGACAUUUCCCCGAAGGGACAGACACAGGAUCAAAGAAGGACACAUGCCGGCCUGCCUAAGUGUUCCGGAGCAGUAGCAAGCUACCAGGGCUCAGUGGAAGCACUAGGAGACAUUUCCCGGUAAGAGAGGCUACUAAGAAUAAACAACUAGAUAGUCAGAUCCCACACAUAGCAAUACACAUUACACGUACGCAUAACAUGCAAGUAUGUGAUGUACAACAUGGCAUCACAGCAUAACUCAACAACUUAUAUAGAUAAAGGCUCAGAAGAGCCGUCAUAGCAAUUAUUGCAAACAGGGGUCACAAGACCCAUCAUACAGAGCAUACAAGCAACAAGCGGAAGCAUUACAUGUCUGGGUACAGACAUCUACAAAUGAAAAAGGCUGAAGAGCCUGACUAUCUACAACAUCCGAUCAAGAUCGUAGCUGAGGUAAUAGCUACUAGUCGAAGUCCACGAGAACACUAGUAAGACCGAAGUCUCCGCUGCAAAAACAUAAAUAAAGCAACAUGAGUACAAAGGUACUCAGCAAGACUUACAUCAGAUCCUAUCAUACAUGCACUUGUAUCAAGAGGGUAACGUGGGGUUUAGUUGCAGCAAGCCAGCUUUGACUCUGUGGCUAUCCUGUUCUACGACUACCAGAAACUCUGAAGGUGAAACAACGUACACGAGUCCACUAAUCACCAUACAAUACACUACUAUGGAUUCAUCCCCGUCUCCCUACGAGAAGGCCAUCCAUAGCACUCACACAUGUCUUGAGCAUUUUAGGGUAUCCACUUCAAGUUGUCUAUGUACCAUGUAAGCAUCCAAGAAGUCCAUAACCGCGGACCCGGCUAUUCGAAUAGAUCAUGUUAACCCUGCAGGGGUGUACUUCUUCACACACGCUCUCGCCACUUACCGCCAUGUACACGUCAUGUAUCUCGGCAACCUUCAAGCGGAAGCCUGGCGAGGGUGUCGGCCACGACCUGACUAACCACACAAGACUCUAGUCCAGGUUUAUCGCCUAUUCGGGUUCCAUCCGCAAGGAGAUCCGGCUGGGGUGUCGCUUACGGCCCCAAACGAUGUGUACAGGGUUCCCGAGCCCACCAACCGGGUGCCACUCGGUACACCAGGCCACGUGUGCCUAGUCUGUCCCAAGCCCACCCUGCCGGGUGCCACUUGGUAGAAAAAUAGCACUACCUACAAACACCAGAAACUAGUUGCGACUCCUGGACAGAGAUCAAGUUGGUUAAUAAGUCGAGAGGGCUUGGAGCGCCCGGAGCCCAAUGUGUGGUAGUAUCGAGUCAUUGGACAACAUACACAGAACUCAGGGCUUAAGGACGGUUCCAGUGAGACAACCCACCAUGUACUCCUACAUGGCCUCUCACCGCUACCUUUACCAAAUCGUGUUCACACACUUCACUCUCAGCAUCAGAACACAUCGUGACACUCCAAUUCAUUCCCAAUGAAUCAGACCUGACACAACUCUAAGCAAUAGCAGGCAUAGCAUGGUAGGAACACAUCAGUGGCUUCAAUCAACUCCUACACAUGCUAGUGGGUUUCAGCUAUUUACUAUGGCAAUGACAGGUCAUGCAGAGGAAUGGGUUCAACUACCGCAGCACAAAGUAGCAGAUGAAUCGUUGUUGUCCUAAUGCAAUAACUGAGAGCAGGAGCGAGAGAGUAGGGUUUUAUCGAAAUGAACAAGGGGGUUUGCUUGCCUGGUAAAACAACAAGGAAGGCACUGCUUCACGGACAGGUACUCUGGAACGUCUCCGGAGCAGGACCUAUCGAGAAGGAACGGUGCCGGCAAUCAAAACACAAUCAUAUGCAGCAAUAUGAUGCAUGAACAUGGCAUGUAGAUGUGAUGCUGCUGAGCUAAUGCAACUAGUGUUCACUUGGUUUGAAGUCCAUUUGAACCAAAGGUUCAAAUGCAUUUCUAAAUUAAGUCUCUUAUAUAUGCCAUAAUGUGUUUUCUCAUAUUCAGUAUGUAUAAGUUGGUUUGUCAUGCAUGAAACUAGUACAGAUGGAAAGAUUGCAUUUUUCUGAUAAUUUUUCAUAUAUAAAUUAUUUCAAUCUGAGCUACGGUUGAAUUUCUAUGAAUUUUUGAAGUUUAAAUCAAUUUCUGGAAUUUUCCUGAUUUAAUUAAAUCCAGAAAUUAUAUACUGCGCCAGCAUGACGUCAGCACGACGUCAGCGGGUCAACGCGGCUGUCCAGGGUCAAACCUGACGUGUGGGACCCACACGUCAGUGACAGGGGGGUUAACAGGGGUUAAUUUAAUUUAACUAAAAGGUUAGGGGGGGUCGGGCCCACUGGUCAGCGUCAGGGGGGGGGUUAGUCAACGGUGAUUAGCACUAAGCUAAUCACCUGACGGGCCGGCCCCACCUGGCAGGGCUCAGGCGACGGGGGCUCGUCGCCGGCGACCUCUGGACGCGGCGGAGUCCGCGCCACAGGCCACGGGGACGGCGUCUGAGAGCACCGGGGCGUAGCCCGGGCUCUCGCGCAUCUGGUGGGCCAGGUGGGAGGAGCGGGGACGGCCGGAGCUCGCCGGAGCAGAGCUCAGGGCGGCGGCCGGAGUUCGGGCUUGAGCGGGAAUGGGCUGCGGGGCACGGGGAGGCCUCCUGAGGGGCCCGGCGGCACCCUCGUGGCACCAGGAACGCGGAGGGAGGCUUGGUUUGGGCGGAGGCGGGCCGAGACGGCGGCGGCGACGUGGACGGCGGCGAGGGGCUUCGGCCGUGGUGGGGAGCGGCGCUACGGCACGGGAACGGGAGGGAGAAGAGAGGGGAACGGUGGAGGAGCUCACAGCGGAUCCAGCGAGCGCGAAGGCGAGGUCGGGGAUGCCCGGAAGCUCCCGAAUUGACGGCGAGUACCCACGGCGGCCGGAGGCGAGGGUGGCGACGGCGACGGCUCCACGGGGCUCUCCGGCUUGCGUGGCUCGGCGAGGAAGUAGAGGGGGUCGCGGCGGAGCUCGGGGGCUCUACGGAGGGGCGAGGGAACGGCGGGGAGCGCGUCGGUGGCGAGCUGCGGCGGCGGCGGUGCUUCGGGUGAGAGGGAGAGAGAGCAGGGAAGAGGAGGAGGGCGAGGGAGAGUGAGAACGGUGCAGGGCAGCGCGUGGCGACGUUCCGGACGUCCAGGCGUCGAGGGGAGGACAGGCAGACAGGUGCCGUGGCGGCACGGCGGUGCGCACGCGCCGGCCACACGCCUCUGGCCUCCUGGCGGGAGGUGGAGGACGACUGGCGCUAGCCAGUCGGCUGGGCCGGCCGGCUGGGCCGCACAGGGGAGGGGAGGCCCAGGUAAGUCCUCCUUCCUUUUAUUUCUGUUUUCUAUUUUUUUUUGACAUUUGUUUGAUUUAAUAAAUAUAUCAAAUCAUUUAAUUUUAUUAUGCCAAUUUUUGUAGGGGCUAAUGGUAUUAUUCCAGAACUCUUGUAUAAUUGGCAUAAUUUUCAGACCAUAUUUCAUAUAUAUAGAAAUAUAUUUCCAAUGCAAAUAUUUAUCGAAUUAAUCCAAAUGGCCAAAAUAAAUGUCCAUGGGCUCCUAAAAUAUUGUUUUGAUUUUUAUCUCUGUCCAAUAUUUUUAGAGGGCAUCAUGAGCAUUUUCUUGGACCCUUUUUGGAGAAAUUUUUAUUUGGGUCAUUUUCAAAAAUGAUUCUGAGGGUUCCACCAAUCCUCAUUUCAAAUUUAAAUGAAAUUUAAACAUGAUGCACAAAUGACCAGCUAGUCUAGGUCAUACCAGACUAGGGAUGUGACAGUGGUCUCCUACUGGAUUGAUACCUUGGUACUCAAAAACUGAGGGAAAUACUUACGUUGCUUUACUGCACCACCCUUUCCUCUUCAAGGGAAAACCAAUGGAGUGCUCAAGAGGUAGCAGAUUGAUCUUUCUUGCAAUGGGAGAAGUGCUUAGCUUUGGGUUCAAUCUUGCGGUGUCCUUUCCCAGUGACAGCAGGGGCAGCAAGGCACGUAUUGUAUUGUUGCCAUCGAGGAUAAAAAGAUGGGGUUUAUAUCAUAUUGCUUGAGUUUAUCCCUCUACAUCAUGUCAUCUUGCCUAAUGCAUUACUCUGUUCUUAUGAACUUAAUACUCUAGAUGCAUGCUGGAUAGUGGUCGAUGUGUGGAGUAAUAGUAGUAGAUGCAGAAUCGUUUCGGUCUACUUGGCGCGAACGUGAUGCCUAUAUACAUGAUCAUGCCUAGAUAUAUCAUAACUAUGCUCUUUUCUAUCAAUUGCUCGACAGUAAUUUGUUCACCCACCGUAGAAUUUGCUAUGUUGAGAGAAGCCACUAGUGAAACCUACGGCCCCCGGGUCUAUCUUCCAUCAUACUAUUCUCCUAUUUACUUGCUAUUCCUAUCGUUGUUUAUUUUGCAAUCUCUUUUUCCAAUCUAUACAAUAAAAAUACCAAAAACUAUUUACCUUAUUAUCUCUAUCAGAUCUCACUUUCGUAAAUGACCGUGAAGGGAUUGACAACCCCUUUAUCGUGUUGGUUGCGAGGUUCUUGUUUGUUUGUGCAGGUACUAGGGACUUGCGUGUUACCUCCUACUGGAUUGUUACCUUGGUUCUCAAAAACUGAGGGAAAUACUUUUGCUACUUUGCUGCAUCACCCUUUCCUCUUCAAGGGAAAACCAACACAUGCUCAAGAGGUAGCAAUCUUCACCAACCUAACAGAAGUGCGGCCGUACAUCGAGUAAGUUCUUGCAGUACAUUGUUUUGCAACUUCUAAUUCCUUUGAACUGCUCUUAUUCCCAGAUAUUUUUUGAUACAGUCGAUACAUCACCAAAUUCUUGGAUGGAGCGGUGAUCCAAAAGGAAUCCAUCGAAGAGUAUGAGCUCCUCGCGAAGCAAGGAGGCGGCUUUCCUGGUUUCAUCUCUUGGUUCAAACAAACGGUAAUUUCCACUAGACCAUUCUCAUUUCUUCAUCUAAUUUGCGGCUAAUGCAACAAUCCUUUCGUAUUAAACUUGUAGGCUAAUUCAGAGUCUAUGGACGCUGAAUUGAGACAAUUCACUAAUGGUUUUGACUUUAAGGCCCGUUCAUUUGACAAAUUCGACAUCAACAGGCAUCACUUUCGUACCUAUGGCAAAGAGCUAUUUAUGGACGACCGAAAGUCUACAAGUUGUUGUGUCUCUGCUAUCGGCGAUGGAGGUAUCGAGUAUUAUGGGAGAGUUGAAGCAAUUUAUGAACUUCUAUUCUAUGGUCAAAACGCACCAAACGUCGUAGUCUUCAAAUGUUACUAGUUCCAGCCGAAGGAGAGUAGAAGGACUCAUGAACAUAUAUGGCUAGUCGAAAUCAAACAAAGCACCCAUUUAGAUGUUCUUGAUGUCUAUAUUAUGGCUCAAUAAGCGACCCAAGUUUUCUAUCUACUGUGGGAGUGCCAAACUUAUCCAAAUCUGAAUGGUUGGGAUGUCGUUUAUGAAGUGCCACCACGUGUUAGACUACCUCCCCACAAUGAAGAGGAUUAUGAACCUCACAUUAACCCAGACACAUAUGAAGGUGAAUUCUUCCAAGAAACACUCUUUCCAAAAAAACGCUUCAAGAAACGCUUUACUUCACACCAGAACAUUGAAGUAGACAGCGAUAGUGAACCUGACUUCACCGCUGAGCCGGAACAAGAAGAGCCUAAACAAGAAGAGGUUACUGAUGCGGAUGACUUGUCAAUGGUUGAACGAUUACGUAAAGGUGGCCUUCCACAUGUUGAUGCCGCUGAACCCGAUGAGCACUUCAUUGAUGAUAGUGAUGAUGAUGAUGCAUUUAUUGAUCCUGGAGCAUUUAUUGAACCCGACGAUCAAGAUUAUUAUUAGGUAUUCAAUUUUUUAUGUUGUACUUGAUUUGUAUAAAUGCUUGUAUGAUUGUAUGAUUUAUAUAGUUACUUGUAUAAUUUCUUACUUUGUACGAUUGUUUGUUAUACAUAGUGCCAUGGUCUUGAUAUCCGUCCCCGUCGGCCCUUGCCCGCUUUAUGAAUCAGAUGUGGUAUAUUCUCUAUUAUAACUAUUUGUUGCAUUUCACAUUUAUGACAAUUAUGGCCAUCAAGUUGACAUAGAGAUAUUUUUAUCUAGGAGGUAUGUGAAACAGAAAUUGCAACCGACCCUAUUGUUGAGAAGUUAAAUUUAGUUGAAAAUUAAAAUGAGUAUUUGAAAGAAAGAAUUAGAAGAAUUGAAGAAGAGAAGAUGAAAUUGGAGUUGUAUGUUGUCGAUGUCCUCGAUGAUCACAAGAUGAAGACGAAUGCAAUGCGCUUGAAGAUGGUGGAUGCAAUGCGCUUGAAGAUUAGAAAAUAUGCCAUUGAUAAUGAGGCUUGGUAUCGUUAUGCCGUUGGAUCAAUUAUUACCUUAGUUGCGAUCUUCAUCACAUUUGUUGUGAUGAGGGUAAGUUUUCUCUAGUGUUUUGCUUAACAAAUGCAUACUUAGCUUAUUUUCCUCCUAAAUGGCAUAAUUACCUAAGUUAGAUAAAAAAUGAGCUAUACUUACGUAAGUUGGCUCAAAAUGGCAUCAUCACCUAGGUUAGCACAAAAUGACCUAUACUUACCUUAUUUUCCUCCAAAUUGACAUAAUAAGGUUAGUUGGCUAAAAAAUGGCACAAUUACAUAUAUUAGCUCUAAAAUGACACAUAUAAGGAAUAAGAAGAACAAAAACAAGAAAGAGGAGAAAAAGAAAGAAUAGAAGAAGAUAGAGAAGAAAAAAGAAAGAAUAAAAGAAGAAGAAUGAGAAUGAGGAGGAAAGGGAUAAAAAGAUAGAAGAGAAGAAGAAAGAUGAGAAAAGAAGAAGAAGAAAAUUCUUCUUCUUCUAGUCUUCUCAUAUUCUUCUUCUUUCUUCUUCUAGUCUUCUUCUUCUUCUUCUUCUUCCUCUAGUCUUCUUCUUCUUCUAACUUUUUACUCCCAUUUUUGUAGGUAUGAUUCACUUCAUGGAAGCAGCAUUGAUGGACUGCUAGUGUUUAGUUCUUGUUUUCAUUUGUAUUGAUGAACAAUGUGAAACUAUGUGUGUAUAUAUGGAUGAACUCCAUGAAACUAUGUAUGCAUUGGAUCUUUUNNNNNNNNNNNNNNNNNNNNNNNNNNNNNNNNNNNNNNNNNNNNNNNNNNNNNNNNNNNNNNNNNNNNNNNNNNNNNNNNNNNNNNNNNNNNNNNNNNNNNNNNNNNNNNNNNNNNNNNNNNNNNNNNNNNNNNNNNNNNNNNNNNNNNNNNNNNNNNNNNNNNNNNNNNNNNNNNNNNNNNNNNNNNNNNNNNNNNNNNNNNNNNNNNNNNNNNNNNNNNNNNNNNNNNNNNNNNNNNNNNUAUAUAUAUAUAUAUAUAUAUAUAUAUAUAUAUAUAUAUAUAUAUAUAUAUAUAUAGGACAACACUAUUCUAAUCCCAGGAUUAGAAUAGUUAUUUGGAUCAUAGCGCCCUAUAUAGGAGCCGCAGUAGUGUUCCCGAACUCCAUCGAAAAAACGAUCUUGUGUCCCGCACCUCCCGUGCCUGAUCCCCACCUCACUCGCCUCGAUCCCCAACCGGCGACCCCUCCCCCACCCGCCGCCAGUGCUCCACCCCGCCCCACCGCCGCCUGGCUCCCUGCGCGCCGCUGCCGCGACCACCCGCGCGUCGCCGCCUGGCUCCCUNNNNNNNNNNNNNNNNNNNNNNNNNNNNNNNNNNNNNNNNNNNNNNNNNNNNNNNNNNNNNNNNNNNNNNNNNNNNNNNNNNNNNNNNNNNNNNNNNNNNNNNNNNNNNNNNNNNNNNNNNNNNNNNNNNNNNNNNNNNNNNNNNNNNNNNNNNNNNNNNNCCACGACCACAGGCCCGCCGCCGGCCUGGCUCCAUGCGCGCCGCUGACUCCGACCAUCUGCGCGGCGCUGCCCCGACCACCUGCAUGCCGCUGCCUGUCUCCCUGUGCACCAUCGGUGUUGACCACCUGAGCGCCGGUGUCACGCCAAGAUCCAAGCUAGAGGCACACUACAUGUCAGCGUCUGAUCUCCUGUGCUCCUCCCCUCAAGUUCUUCUCUUCCUGUGUCGCCAGAAGCCAGCCAUGGUGAGCAUUGUCCCUCCCCAUCAACUCUCUCCGACCUUCCCUGUCAACUCUCUCUGACCUUCCCCGCACCUCUCCUAGCUGCAGCGCAUGGUGCUUUGUGGCAUCCUAGGUUCCUCUCCGAAAACAGCCGUGAGUAGUGCUCCCAUGAAAAUCCUCUUGUGUGUGCAAAGCUAUGCCAUCCAACUAAUAUGGCUAAAUUUGUUUAGCAGUUUUUUCUCUUUGAACUAGAUGACGAACAUGCCCGAACUUAUGGAUGUGUUGCUCAUGUGAAAAAUGUGUUAAAUGAACUUCACAAUCUUGACUGAAGAUGUUUUAAAAAAUGUGUUAACCCCUGCUCCCAUGCAUCGGUGACCAGCCAUCUCCAAUCCUCGCACACACGCCGUAGCACUUGCAUUUCGAUGCUCCAAUGCCUACUGGCACUUCCUGCAUCUUUGUCCUACAAAAAACUCUAGCAAUGUUUAAUUCUUGUGAUUUCUUGCAGCAGUUCAAUAUAUAUUAUACAAGAAGAACAAACUAACAGUAUGUUGCAGAUGUUCUCUUUUGUGAUUGUCGUAGACUUCCAAUAGUUUAGAUGUGGGCAAGUCAAACAGAGUUCUCUUUGCUUCCGUCUCACCACCACAACCACGGCAGCAAGGCACACUACAUCCACGGCGGGAGAUCGGCACCAAGGUGGCCUGCCAGGGUCAUGGACUGGUUCAGGAAGAUGUUGGUGGGCCUGUUGGCCUUCUCGCCGCGGCCGCCCAAGGUCACCUUCAACGCCAACUCCAGGGGCGGUGGCGAGGACGUCGUGGCUGUGGCACCCAAGAGGCCAUCAUGCAGCAGCUCCAACCUGCAGCCGGUGAACAAGGAGCACUACGAUGAGGCCAUCUCCGACUGCGUCGAGUUCUUCCAUCGAUUCGCCAGGGUGGAUGUCAGGUCACGGCCGUCCUCGUCGUCCCACUUCUGAAUUCCCACCGUCGACAACUUUGUGCUAGCUUCAAGCAUAUCCCACUGUGUGUGGGAAUGUGUAUGUGUGUCUGCCAUGUUACUGUGUUCUUUCUUUUGACAUCUGUCAUGUUAGUAUGUUACCGUGUUAGUAAAAUGGACAGCGAGCCAACUGUUGCAGGUCAAUGGUAACAAGUAUCAAAAGAGUUUUGGACGCGAGGAUUUUGCAAAGUCCUAGUCGGCUAGUGAUAACUGUGCUAUAACUUUAUGGUAGGCCGAUCAUAGCUUGGAUUAGUGUAUUUCAUUUUGUAGCUUGAAUUUUGUAACUUGUUAAGUUUAUUGUGCAGAACCUUCAGAAAAGAUACCAAAAAAAGUAUGUUAUGGACCUUGUAACUCCUUCCCCUUUUUCCAUUCAUGCAUGUUCUUUCACGUGAUUUGAUGUAACGAAGUUUGUGUAAACCAUAUUGUUUACAUACACCUAAAGCAGUAUGUAUUUUUUAAAGUAAUCUGGAAGUUCAAAUAUUAUUGUAUAGAGAGUUCAAUCAUUGUAUUUUAGGAAGAAUGCAUCUUACAGUUAAAAAAUGCUUAGAGGAAAAGCAUUCAUCAAAAAAAGUAGCAAUCCGAUUUUUGGGAGGUUUAAAAUGUUAAAUUCGCACAUAAAAAGAGUGUAGAAAAAGAUGGGCGCCUCAAAAAAUGAUACUAAACAAACAAAUAAUUUGAAGUACAAAUUCGCGGAGUUGGGUAGUUCAAUAAAUAAAAAAUACAAAACAAAAGACUAGUCUUUAGGUUGGACAGGCCCAUGACAAGCUCGUAAAUUUAAAAAUUGUUUUUUAUGGUGGAAAAUAUCCUUUGAUUUCAAUUUUUACGUAGAGAAACAGUGAGCAAAAAAGACCAUAAUAAGAAAUGAUGUCAUUUUCCAUGAUUUUACCCGUUUUAUGUAGAGAAACAGUUAGCAAAAAAAAGACUAGUCUCCAGGUUGUUCAACAUAAUGUUAUUAUUCACCAAUGCACCGCUUUCUCUCUGGGAGCAGAGAAAGAGAGAAGUUCAUCCUGGCAGCCCAAUGUGGUUCAAUUUGUAUCUUAAAAGAAGACCCUCAAAGUUCCAAAUUAAAUAAUAGUACAGUUCAAUUUUUAUUUAGUAAGAAACGAUUUCCCUUGAGACUAAAUAAUCAAGCCACCAAGUUCACAUUAAUAAUAACAAAGCAGUUCAAUAUAUACAAAAAAACUCAAGUUCUUCUUGUUUUCUAUAAAAAGAAAAGUAUGAAGUUCAAUUUAAAAACUAAAAAUACAAAAGGAUUUUCACCGUUUCUAAAUAAAAAACUCUUGAAGUUCAAAGUAAAAUAAUGGAGCGGUUCGAUGUUUACUAAAACUAAUAGGAUAUUUUCCAUUACAAAAAAAUAAGAAGUCCAAAUUUUACAAAUGGAGAAGUUCAAUGUGAAGAAAAACUUAGAUUUUUUUCUCGUUGCUAAAGAAUAAAAUGAAGAAGUUCAAAUUAAAAUAAUGGAACAUAUCAAAAGGUUUAUAAAAAUGAUUUCCCCAUUUUCUAAAAAUACCCGAGAAGCCCAUAUUAAAACAACAUCAUGGCUCAAUCUUUACAAAAAAAUAGAGCGCUUCAAAAUUUCAUAAAAAAGAUUAAGAAAAAAAACCAGGGAGUCCAUAUUAAAAAGAUGGAGAAGUUCGAUGAUUAUAGAAAACUCAGAUUUUCCUUGUUAUUAAAUAAUGGAAACAAGAAGUUCAAAAAAAAUAAGAAGUUCAAAUUUUAAAAAUAGAGCGCUUCAAAAUUUCAUAAAAUAGAUUAAGAGAUAAAACCAGGAAGUUCAUAUUAAAAAAUGGAGAAGUUCGAGGAUUAUAGUGAACUCAGAUUUUCCUCGUUAUUAAAGAACGGAAACAAGAAGUCCAAAAAAACAAGAAGUUCAACUUUUAAAAAUAGAGCGCUUCAAAAUUCAUAAAAAAAAGAUUAAGAAAAUUAGAUUAAAAAUUCAUUAAAAAACUCACAUAUUUCCCCGUAACUGAGUAAUGCAAGGAAUGCAUUUCAGGUGACAUUUAAAAGUAUAGAAAAAUAAAAUCUUAAAAAUGUUUGUUGAAAGAAGUUCAAGUGCUCUAUCCGGAGAAGUUCAAAAAUUGUUGCGAGAGAGGUUCACCUUGUAUUCCAUGUUUGAUUUUUUCCGUAUAAAAAUCUAAUACAAUUCUUUACUCAAAAUAUAAAUAGGUGAAGUUCAUAUUGAAAAAAUAGAGAAGUUCGAAGUAUAUUAAAACCUAGGAUUUACCUGUUCAAAAAAUAAAAAACACAACACCAUUUUUUGCACUUUUAAAAACAACUCAUAAACGAAAAAAUGGUUGCUAGAAGUUCAAGUGCUCAGUGAGGAAAAGUUCAAAAAAAUUCUUGUGAGAGGUUAACCUUAUAUUUAGAUGUCCAAAAUGCGUAAAAAAAUAUGUUGUUUUUUGUGUUUUAAAAUAAUUCUCUCAAACCAGAGAGAAGUUCAAAGUGAUAAUAACUAGAAGUUCACGUACUACAUGGUGUGUAUUUCAUACAAGAAAAAAACAAUAAAGUGAAACAGAAUGAAGUUCAAAUAGACAUGCCCCAGAAGUUCAACUACUUCAUGCGGUGCAAAAAACAGCACGUCAAAAACAAAGUGAUGUUCAAACAUACAUACCCCAAGAAGUUCAACUACUUCACGCAGUGCGUUUCCAUUCGCAAUGAACACAGAAAUCAUGAUCUUGUCAUUUCUCUAAUUUUCUUCAAAACGACAGGAAUAUCAUCUGUGUAAGUUGAAGUCCUCGAUCGGAGAAAGUUAAAAAAAUAUUGUGAGAGAGGUUUGUACAAAAAGAAUAUGUUUUGUGUAACACUGACGAAAUGGAUGAGAAAAUUACAAACGAAAAUAUGUCACAGAAGUUCAACGUGAAAACAGCAGGAAGUUCAUCAACUACACUGAAUGAAUUUUAGAUGAAAAACUUUUAAAAUUGUCGCGAGUAUGAAAAGAUGAUCAACACGGGAAACUUGCGUGCUUACAGCAGCUUUCCAUCGGUAUAUCACCUGCUCAAUUCCAGUGAAUGGACGGAGAGGUAUGAGCAAGUGGAUAGAGACCUACGAGCAAAAAAAUUACGUGAAAAACAGAGUGAAGUUCAGUUACACGCGCCGAGAAGUUCAGGUUCUUCACGCGGUGCAUUUUCGAAGAAUCUGUUUCACGAUAAAGGCAGAACGCAUGAUCCCGCUGUUUUCCAAAUUACUUGAAAACGGCUAUGAAUCAGAGAAAACCAUCAACAUGAAAAAGUUUCGCAUUUUCCGUAGCUUUUUAGCGGUAUAUUAUUUGCCCCAUUCCGAUAAAGUUUGUAGAAAUUAUGGCAAAAAUACGUUUUUAACCAUUUUCAAAACUGACAUAAAACUGUAAUAAAUUAGGAGAAACAAUAUAUACAAAAAAGUUUUGCAUUUCUUCAAGCUUUCCAACGCCAUAUCAUUUGCUGCAUUUGGACGUACAGUUAAAAAAUUAGCUCAAAAAUACGAACUCGGUGGAACUUGUACCAUUUUCUAAAUUACUUUUAAACCAUUCAAAAUUAGAAAAAACUUUUAACAUAGAAAAGUAGCGCAUUUUCAUAAGCUUUCCAACGCCAUAUUAUUUGCCUCAAUUAGAUUAGCCGCUUAGAAAUGGCGUCGAAAAUACGAACUCAGGUGUUCGGUUUGCGAAAUUUUACGAUUUUCCGAAUUACUCUUUAACCGUAUGGAAUUAGAGAAAACUUUCAACAUGUGGAAGGAACGGUUUUGCAGCAGCUUUCCAACGCCAUAUUAUUUGCCUCAUUCCGAUAAAUGGUUUAAAAAUGCGAUCGAAAAUACGAUUCACAUUUGUUAUAUAAAGAAAUAACGGUUUUCAAAACUGCUCUUAAACCGCUUACAUUUUGCCAAAACUUUAAUUUGGGUCAUGAUACUGAUGUCCAUAGCUAUCCAACGGUAUAUCGCAAGCCCCAUUUGGACACCUUUUUAGCUGAAGUUCAACCUAGUACUCGGGGAAGGUCAGGCGCGUUACUCGGGAAGUUCAUGUUGUGAUCAGAAUAUUAUUCUGAUCCUGUGAUCAGAAUAGUGUUUAUGUGUGUGUGUAUAUAUAUAGAUGUUGUUGUUCUAAGAAUGAUCAUGAUUCCCUCAUAUCCGUAUUUUAUUUUAUCGACACCUCUAUCUCUAAACAUGUGGGCAUAUUUUUCGAUUUUGGCUUUCGCUUGAGGACAAGCGAGGCUUGAGGGAGUUGAUACAUCUAUUUUGCAUCAUGCUUUUAUAUCGAUAUUUAUUGCAUUAUGGGUUGUUAUUACACAUUAUGUCACAAUAGUUAUGCCUAUUCUCUCUUAUUUUACAAGCUUUACAUGAAGAGGGAGAAUGCCGGCAGCUGGGAUUCUGGGCUAGAAAAGGAGCAAAUAUUAGAGACCUAUUCUGCACAGCUCCAAAAGUCCUGAAACUUCACGGAAGUAAUUUUUGGAAUUAAUAAAAAAUAAUGAGCAGAGAAAGCACCGGAGGGGCCCCGCACCCUGGCCACGAGGGUGGGGGCCGCGCCCUACCCCCUGGGCGCGCCCCCUGCCUCGUAGGCCCCCUAGUGGCCCUUUGAUGCCCAUCUUCUUCUAUACGAGGUCUUUCGUCCGAUAAAAAUCAUAAGCAAGCUCAUGGGACAAAACUCCGCCGCCACGAGGCGGAACCUUGGCGGAACCAAUCUAGGGCUCUGGCGGAGCUGUUCUGUCGGGGAAACUUCCCUCUGGGAGGGGGAAAUGAUCACCAUCGUCAUCACCAAUGAUCCUCUCAUCGGGAGGGGGUCAAUAUCCAUCAACAUCUUCACUAACACCAUCUCAUCUCAAACCCUAGUUCAUCUCUUGUAUCUAAUCUUUGUAUCCAAACCUCAUAUUGGUACCCGUGGGUUGCUAGUAGUGUUGAUUACUCCUUGUAGUUGAUGCUAGUUGGUUUACUUGGUGGAAGAUCAUAUGUUCAAAUCCAUUAUGCAUAUUAAUACCCCUCUGAUUAUGAACAUUAACAUGCUUUGUGAGUAGUUAUGUUUGUUCCUGAGGACAUGGGAGAAGUCUUGCUAUAAGUAGUCAUGUGAAUUUGGUAUUCGUUCGUUAUUUUGAUGAGAUGUAUGUUGUCAUCCCUCUAUUGGUGUCAUGUGAACGUCGACUACAUGACACUUCACCAUUGUUUGGGCCUAGAGGGAGGCAUUGGGAAGUAAUAAGUAGAUGAUGGGUUGCUAGAGUGACAGAAGCUUAAACCCUAGUUUAUGUGUUGCUUCAUAAGGGGCUGAUUUGGAUCCAUAUGUUUCAUGCUAUGGUUAGGUUUACCUUAAUACUUCUGUUGUAGUUGCGUAUGCUUGCAAUGGAGGUUAAUCAUAAGUGGGAUGUUUGUCCAAGUAAGGACAGUACCCAAGCACCGGUCCACCCAUAUAUGAAAUUAUCAAAGUAUCGAACGCGAAUCAUAUGAGCGUGAUGAAAACUAGCUUGACGAUAAUUCCCAUGUGUCCUCGGAGCGCUUUCCUUCAUAUAAGAGUUUGUCCAGGCUUGUCCUUUGCUACAAAAAGGAUUGGGACACCUUGUUGCACCUUAUUUACUUACAUUACUUGUUACUCAUUACAAAUUACUUUAUCACAAAACUAUCUGUUACCGAUAAUUUCAGUGCUUGUAGAGAAUACCUUACUGAAAACUGCUUAUCAUUUCCUUCUGCUCCUCGUUGGGUUCGACACUCUUACUUAUCGAAAAGGCUACGAUAGAUCCCCUACACUUGUGGGUCAUCAGUGCGACAUUCUAUAACUCAAGAAUUCAAACUGAGGCAUACUAAAAGAGUUAGUGAACGGAAUAUGAAGAAGGAUGACAUAAUUAGAGAAGAUAUUGAAGUUAUAGAUAAAGUCUUCUUAUUGUUAAACCAGACUUGCAUGUGUUGCACUCGAAGAGGCCAGAGUUCAUGCUUUCUUGAGAGAUGAAAUAAGGCGACAUGUGUUGCCAAAAUAAAUGAGUUAUGUAUUAUACUUCUCUUUUAAAAUUAUUGUUUGUAGAUAUGUAACUUACUGUAUUGACUUUCUUAAUGAAAUUCAGCCAAGCAUUGUGAACAAGUUUUUGUCCUCAGUAAUGUUGUAGCAUGAUCAGAAGUUAAUAUUUUUUGAAUAGCUUGUUUUGUUGAAUCUAUUAAUAUAAUUGUGAUUAUUUGCUGCUUGUACAAAUGAAGGUUCUAUUUGUAACAAUGCAAGUGGGUCAAGUAGAAAAUUUAUUGAUAUAGUUGAAUCAAAUGUUGAACAUAUGGUUGUUUUAACCUAUCCAAAUCUAAUGAAUAUUUUUCAUUGUGAAAAAUACUUUUAGUUCAUAAUUGUUGUGCCGAUGCACUAAGCUUGGUGAACUUAUGUGUGGGAUAUGAAGGAGAAAGUAAGCAACACUUUAGAUCCACAGUGUGCAAAUGGUACUGCAUCAUACAUGAAAGAAAGGCAUGAAACAUGUGCUUAUAUAUAUUUGACUGUACUGAAGAGUUCUUGAGUAUUUAGAGUUGCUUUCAUCAUCUUGGAUGGUCAAAGAAAUUUCAUCAUCCAACGUACCACUUCAGAGGUAUAUUCCAUUAUUCAUGUUUAUCUGUAAAACUAAUUUAUUUCUUCUAAUUAUGGCAAAUGCAGGGAAGAUUCAGCAAUUGCAUCUCUGAUGAUAGCAAUGUACUUUAAUGGCAUUGAAGUAAAAUAAAAACUAACUAAGGUACAUCUGAAUGUUAAUGUUUCAUUCUAAUUUGUUUAUCAGCUCUAUUGCUACUUACAUAAUUGCACAUUUUUUUGUAGUACACAUUUUCUAUUAUACGAGUACUAAUGUUAUGGCAUUUACAAAAAAUGGACUGUAAUAAAGGAAAGCUGCCUUUACAUCUUCAUCAAAUGAUGUAGAAAUUGUAGAUCAACAUUCUUACGCAUGAACUAAAUAUUUACUAUUUGUAAUAAGGAUUAAGGUGUUGUGUGUCGACACAUAUAAGUUUGUAUUGAUUAUUUUAAUUAUAUGUAAUUGUAGUAUCUUAGAAUGAUUAGACGUAAUAUUUGAAUUGUAAUGCCAUAUUAAAGAGUUUGAACAAUUUAUAUUAAUUGAUCUUGUUGUCAUGGUGACCCACUUACAGAUACUCAGUACUAACUGAAUGUAUACUACAAGUGUUAACUCACUGAUAGGAUAAAAUAAUUAUAUGUACAUAUUGAGAAGAAUUUAUAGGAUGAGAAACUAUUGAAUUAGUAAAGAUUGUUAAAUAUAAUGUGAACAACAUUUAUAUUUACUAGAAGAUCAGUCGAUUAUAUCAUUGUCAAUUAAAGUACAAUCUUCGUAGAAAAGAUGUGAAAACCUACAAUAUCCCUAGAAUUGAAGGACGCAGACGACAAAGAACUUAUUUAUCGUCGCUCUCUUUGCCGAGCAGGUUUGUCGUCGGUGGCAAACGACAAAGAGCUUUGAUGUCCGCUUUUGGUGCCUUUGCCAUCUGCCAUGGCAGACUGCAAAUAAGCUGAUUCCUGUAGUGCCACCUUGUCCAUGAUAAUCCUAUCAUGCAUUAACGAUGUUUUUGUGGGUUGAACCACUUGGUCGACAACCCGAUUGGGUCAAUCAUUCGCCACCUUUGUAAAUAUGAAGUUAACGUUAAGAAGGCAUGUCAAUAUGUACAAUGGAAAUUGAUUAGCCUCUUUAGUCAUGGGCAUCAAAAUAAUUUCACAAAAAAUAGUCUUAAAAGCUUAGGGUGCUCCACAUGGAGGUCCUCAAACAACUCCCCAACCUCCUAGAAGGUUUGAUAGGCUCGGUUGAGAAGUCAUCCGAUCUAGGCAAUUUAUUAUGAAUACAACUUCGCUCACCCUGUGUUCAGAAAAGAGGGGUUCCAAGGAGCUUGUUUUGACCAUCCAAAACCUAUUGAGAUGUCAUCUAUUGAAUCAUUUAGAGAGAAAUUACUAUAAUUAAUUGGGAGUUCCAAAUAGACAUAUUAUUUGGUAGUAUAAGUCCAUAGGGAAGUCGUGGAGAGAGAGAGAGAUGUUGCUACGUAGCUACUACAUCCAAAUGGUAGCCUGAAAAAGACACCACUCAAAUGUAAUCAUGAGAGUGCAUAAUACAACUAUUUAUUUGAGCCGGCUAAUCUAGAUUGGAUCUAAAGGAAGACUUUUUGGAGAUUGGAUCAAUUGUUAUCCUAGUCCAUCCCUUGCAAAGAAAUAUUUAGUGUAUAGCCACCCCUAAAACAUUGUAAUAAUACGCAAAGGAGAUAUAUAUAUAGGGGAGAAGGCAAUGCCCUCGGACAAGCAGACACGGGUGGGAGUACUAUGUGGGUCAUAUGAUGAACUCACUCGGCAGGGUUGGACACAUGGGUCAGUUGCAUGGACUCCCUAGUGGUUGCCAAGGCUUGGCUUUUGUCAUGUUUCCCUAUCUUUCCUCCUUCAUGUGUAAUCUUUGAAUAUUUUCUCAAAUUUUGUGGUUUUCUUUCAACUAACGAAAACAUGAAUUUUGUUAGCAGUGACUAGUAGGUUAGUCCUAAAGGAAAAAUAUCAUAUACGAGAAAUUAUUAAACUUUAAAGGAAUAUAUGCACUUCUGGUUGUAGUUGUCAAAAAACAACAUAAGGGUUAUACAGUGACAAUGUUAGACAUCAGAAAUUUAAUAUAAGCUUCGUUCCACAAAAAUAUGGAAGUCCUACUCUUAUUGUUGAGGAUAUCAAGGAAAAAGAAUAAAGAAGGGUGAGCGAGAACUCCAUUGAAAGGAAAAACUCCAAACAUGUGAACUUAUGAUAGAGAACCUUUUAUUUGCAUCGACAAGAGGUCAAAUUUCCACCGAGAGGCAAGGUUGGAGAAAGUGUUAGCCUAGAACCUAGGCAGUGUUUAAGAACCCUAAGUGUAGCCUAGGUGGAUGUAUAGAAUUGGCUAUCAAGGUAUAUUUGGGGUUAUAUAUGUGUACCAAUAUUAACUUAGAUCAUACAUGUGAGUAAACUACCACAUCUAGCCUUUAGAAUAUGGCCUAGGCCCAUUCGACAAAUCUAUGUAACAUGGCAUGAUUUCUCGCUUGAGUGGAUAAUUUCUUUCUUCCACUCCCUAGAGUUUCGCUUAUGCCCUAGGCGAGGCAUUUGGUCGUUGCCUAACGCCUAAGGGUGUCUAAGCGCCUUCUCGGUGCUACCUUUCCUAGCAUAGCCGAGAGAUCUCUUCACACCACACUUGAGAUGAAAUCCCCUUCCAUAAGAAUGAGAUGCCUUACAAGCUACUACGAGGCAUUUUUAUAGGCUCUUGGACUUGUACAAAAUACUAGAAAUACUUUUUUUUACUGCAACCAUCAUCGCUCUUGGCAAGGAGGGAAAAUAAGGACACCUCGUAGUCUUAGGGCUUCAUUUUUUUGAUAUUUUUCUGAAUUUUUGAGGGUAUGUGUCCUACUCAAGGAGGCGAGGAGGCGAUGGCUCUUUGAUGAUGGGAUACGAUUCUCCUUGCCUAGCCCCCAUUCUGACGGUGCUUCUACCACUGCUAGAGGGAGUGUGAAGGUUUGUCUCAUGGGAUUCGGUCGGCGUUUGUCUUCGGUGGAUCCACAUGGAUCAGGUCUUUGUUCGUCGGCGGUGGAUGUUGUUCUGGUGCACUGGUCCAGUAGUGAUUAACGCGACGACUUUCCGAUUGUCUACUACAAUAAGAUUUGCCCACCUCCGGUGAGUGAGGGGCAAGGACGGCGGUGCAUCUUCGGCUCGCUACAGUGCUUAUAGUCGUUGCUAGGUGCUCUAUGGAUUUGGAUGUCAUUUUUACUUCUGUUGUUCUUUACAUUACCGUGACAGUUAAUGAAUAGAUUGGAAGCUUUUCUCGUAAAAACACGAAGGGAAACGUUUGGAGACGGUGCGCCGGCCAAAGCUUCGGCCGGUCGCCCGCUACCUCGUGCUCCUGUGUCGAUGAGACCUGCAUCCGCACCCUAUCUGCUGCAGCCCAAUCUCGCAGGCGAGGCCGCCGUCCACCCCCGCAUCGCGCCCCUACCCCGCUGUAGCCUAAUCUCGCCGGCAAGGCCGCUCUACCCCCCGCAUCGACCCUCUACCCGCGGCAGCCCAAUCUCGCCGGCGAGGCCGCCGUCCACUGCACGGCCGGCGAUUUCCCGACGCGCACGACACAUCCACCCCCUACCUACAGUCUUCAUGCGCGCGCAUCCCCUGCCCCCUCCUCCCGGGCUGUGUUUGGGCAACCACAAGCUCCAUCACCGGCAGCCAAGUGCUCCCUCGUCGGCCGCCAUGGCUGCCUGCAGCCAUGCCCGGAUCCUCCCGCGUAUACAAGUGUUGCAACCGUCACCUAGAAAAGCUUCAACAACCGUUGAAAAAAGCUUCAACCAUAGACAUAGAAAGCUUCAAUGGCACUGCACAACAAGGGAAAGCUGCAACCGUUGUUGGAUUUUGCUACUACCGGCAAAGCUUUUUGCUACAUCCAUCAGGCAGAGCUGCGACCUCACGAAGGACGACAAUGAUUUUUUUGCUGCAACCGUAGCAGGAUUUUGCUACUACCGUUGGAGGUUUUUGCUACAUCCAUGUAAGGCGGAGCUGCGACCUCGCGAAGGCGGAGACGGCGUUUUUGCUGCACCCGUAGUUUGAUUUUGCUACUACUAGUGAAAUUGUUUGCUACAUCCAUUGAGCUAAAACGGGUGAGAAGCUACAACCAUUGUGGAAAAAGCUACAACGGGUGAAACAAAAAGCUUUCAACCGCCUGCAGGCGCCGACGUGCUGCACGGGGAUGCUUCAACCAUCUAAAACUUUUUGCUACAUGCGUCAUUCUUUCUUGCAGGGACAAGAGAGAAGCAGAUGUUACAACCGGUGCACAUCGGAGCUACAACCGUCAACCCAAAAUGCCACGACCGAUGGCAUUUUUUGCUGGAACCAGAGAAAGAAUAGGCUUCGACAGACGUGCGUUAUAGCUGCAACCAUACUGAAAAAUGCUACGUCCGGCAACCAAAAAAGCUACAUCCGAUUUUGAAAAAAAAUUCAACUGGAUACGGGGUAGCUGGAGGUCGGCCACCGCACAGCCGAAAAAAGCUACAACCGGCGUCGAGAAUAGCUACUACCCGCUUUUAAAAAAGCUUCAAACUGAAAACAGCUAGAUAACAAUGGCGACCGGCGACGACGGUGCUGCGUGGCGGUGCUGCGAUGGGCGCAUGGCGAGGUACGACAGCAGGCCGGUGGCGACGCUGGAACCCUCAUCUGGUAGUGCUGCAAUCAGGAGGUGUGACACACGUCGAGAUGCAAGGCAGAGCUGCAUCCGGUGAGUUGCGGCGGCCUCGGCGAUCUGUGACAUGGACCGGCCCCCGUGAGCUGCGACGGCGAGCAGGCCCGGCGAGGUGCGACGGGGCGGUCGAGCAGGCCCGGCGAGGUGCAACGGGGCGGUCAAGCAGGCCCGGCGAGCUGCGACGGGGCGGCCAAGGGCGCGCACGAGGAGGCUGACCUGCAGAUUUCCUUUUUUCCCUCGCGCAAGGAAGAAGAAGGUAAGGGGGAAUCGUUUUCUUUGGCGGGAUCCAGUGGCCCAGGCGGUCGGAUCCAACGGUUGCUGUGCGACCGGCCUAACAGUUGGGCCGGUGCGCCAGUGCAGAUCGUUCCCCAAACACGAAAGGUGACAUAUAUGGUUGAUCUAGGGGCACGGUGGAAAGUGGAUUUUAUACUGCAGUAAUGCUCCAAGGUGCUGAUUGACUUCUACUAUAUGACCCGUUUUUGACUUUUACCACUGUCUAUUAUCUUCACAUGUACGAACAAAAAAGUACAUGUAGAUAAAAGUCAUGGGAUAUGUGUGAAAAAUGUUUUUCUACCACUAGUAGAAAAAGGGUCAUUAGUCCCGGUUUAUAAGGGCCUUUAGUCUCGGUUUUCGAACCGGGACUAAAGGGUCGUUACUAAAGGCCCUCCACGUGGCCGCUGGCUAGAGCUCCACCAGCUCCACCUUUAGUCCCAGUUGGUAACAUCAACUGGGACUAAAGGUAUUUUUUUUGAAUUUUUUUUCUCAAUUUUCAAAUUUCUGAAUUAUUUUAUAAUUUAAUCUCUAAUCACCCACCCCUCGUCACUACUCAAUUUAACCNNNNNNNNNNNNNNNNNNNNNNNNNNNNNNNNNNNNNNNNNNNNNNNNNNNNNNNNNNNNNNNNNNNNNNNNNNNNNNNNNNNNNNNNNNNNNNNNNNNNNNNNNNNNNNNNNNNNNNNNNNNNNNNNNNNNNNNNNNNNNNNNNNNNNNNNNNNNNNNNNNNNNNNNNNNNNNNNNNNNNNNNNNNNNNNNNNNNNNNNNNNNNNNNNNNNNNNNNNNNNNNNNNNNNNNNNNNNNNNNNNNNNNNNNNNNNNNNNNNNNNNGGGACUAAAGGGUCGUUACUAAAGGCCCCCCCCCCCUUUAGUCCCGGUUCUUACACGAACCGGGACUAAAGGCCCUCCACGUGGCCGCUGGCUAGAGCUCCACCAGCUCCACCUUUAGUCCCAGUUGGUAACAUCAACUGGGACUAAAGGUAUUUUUUUUGAAUUUUUUUUCUCAAUUUUCAAAUUUCUGAAUUAUUUUAUAAUUUAAUCUCUAAUCACCCACCCCUCGUCACUACUCAAUUUAACCUCUAAUCUCUAAUCACCCCUCAUCAUUCGAAAUCAUCUAACUUCCCGAUCAUCACCCAUCCCUCUCACUACUCCAGCCCGAGCACGCUUAACUUUCGGGUUCUAUUCUCCUUCGUCUCCAAGUCUGCACUUAUUGUUUUCCUGACAAUAGUAAGAUGUCAAUCCUAUUAACCCUCAGGAGUUUAGCUUGAGUAUGAAGUCACACAUUUCACUGUCUGAGUUUGAAACUAUUAUUGUACAAAACAAUAAUUAUUUAGUAACACUUUCUUGAAUAAAUAGUUUGACCACAAUUUGACCAGAUUUGACCAAAAUUCAGAAAAACCGAAAUAAUUAUUUAGUAACACUAAUAUUUCUUGAAUAAGUAGUUUGACCAUUGUUAGUCCACAAUUUGACCAGAUUUGACAAAAAUUCAAAAAAACUGAAAUAAUUAUAUAGUAACACUAAUAUUCUUGAAUAAUUAUUUAAUAACACUAAUACUUCCCGACUGUCUAGUACUGGUGUGCUGGUCCAAUAGGGAUUAACACGACAAUUUCCCGAUUGUCUAGUACAACAAGAUUUGCCCGCCUCCGGUGAGUGAGGGGCGAUGACGCCGGCGCGUCUUUGGCUCGCUACAGUGCAUGUAGUCGUCGCUAAGUGGUCUACAGAUCUGGAUGUAAUUUUUACUUCUGGUGUUCUUUAUACUACCUUGUCAGUUGAUGAAUAGAUCGGAAACUUUUCCAGCAAAAAAGAGGAAAAGUGAUAUAUAUGGUUGGUCUAGGGAGCACCAUGGAAAGUGCCUUUUAUACUGCAGUAAUGCUCCAAGCUGCUCAUUGGCUUCUACUAUAUGACUCUUCUUUGACUUUUACCACACUGUAUAAUCUUCACAUGUACGAACAAAGAGUACAUGUAGAUAAAAAUUAUAGGAUAUGUAUGAAAAAUGAAUUUCUACCUGGGAUCCAUUGUUCUUCGUGCUUGUGCACUUGCUUUUCACUGAUACACAGGGGAACAUAAAGAUGCACUUCCUAACAAGAAGAGACUAAUGCACACCAACGCCCAAAAUAUUGGUAACGCUGUUAGCCGCUAUGCAACCGGUCCGUAAAGUAACUAAAUUAAAAUAGUCUAACUAUAACUCUUCUUUUUACUAGUACAUAUGAAACAUUAUGGUGCCCUAAGAUAAAACAAAAAACACAACAAAACAUUAUUUAUGUAACAACCAAAAAUAAAACAAUACAACUUAGACAAUACUAGUAAGCGCACCAGAUGACAACGCACGACACGUCGGAUGUGGCAAUUUCAAAGUGUUCGUCGUGUGUACAAGAAAUUUACAUGGUUGUAACGAAACAAUAAAUUAAAUAAAAAAAGUUGAAAGAGAAAGGAGCUAUGACAAUCUUACAACAAUUUACAGGGGAAAAACAUGAUCACAAAUCAAAACAGCCUUGUACUUCUUCGGUGGCUUAAUGGUUAACCACGUUGCACUUCUUCCUGAUCUCGCCCUGGCUUCCGGUGAGCGGGUUGGCGUUGCCCAUCUUGAUCAUGGAGGCGGCGAAGUCGGCGAAGAACUCGUCCUUGAAUGCUCCGGUGGCAUGGCGCUGGACGUAGGCGCGGGUGAAGGGGUCGGUGAGGAGGGCGCCGUCGGAGUGGAAGAGGCCCCUCCGCUUGCUCACCAGCUUGAAGUAAUCGGUGUCGAAGGUCUUGAAGCUGCCGGGGUCCAUCUCCACGAGUGUGGUGUUGUCGUUGAGGCUGGCACACUUGCUCUUUAGCCGCAUCAUGUACUGCGGCUCCAGCGUGGGGUCAAUGUCGCUGGGGUUCUCCAUGCCGGUGAAGUUGUAGAGCCGGUCGGAGAAGGAGAAGCAGUGCGACGUCCCGAUGGUGUGCCCGGCGGACAAGACGACAAGGUCCUUUGCGUCAAGGUUCACGGCGGCGAAGAGCUGGGUGAGCACGGUGAAGUUGGAGGUCGGGGGUGGCAGAGCGUCGGUCUCGUUGGAAAUGGACACGCUGCCGUCUCGCCGGCCCAGAGGAACUGUCCAGACUGGACCCUUGCUCUGGAGAAACCAUGAUCGAGCAGCAUUAGAAUUUGGCUUCCACACGUACCGUGUCAUUUGAAAAAUGGCAUAGUAGGAGUACUCUACUCACCAGCCAUACUGCGUCCCUGGCAAUGAGGGCGAGGAUGUCGGCGCAGGAGACGGUGUCGGGGCAGGCCUUCUCCACCGCGGCCUUCACCCUCUCGACAAACCCGAAGCCUCGCAGCGUCUGGUUCGGCUGCGCGUCCUUCUCCGCCGUCUUGUUGGCCGAGUCCAGCAGAACCGAGCCGUCGCACCCCUGCAUUAAUUAAUGGCGGUCACUGGUCAGGCCGCCGCACACAAUAGGGUACGGGCAGGACAGACAACAUGCAUGCAAAUGUAGCUUACCCUGACGAAGCAGUCGUGGAAGUGCAUCCGGAGGAGCGGCCCGGCGAGGCUAGGCGCUAGUGACAGAGCCCUCACCAUCUCCUUCCUCACGACGUCCUCCACGCUGGGGCACGACUCGCUGUAGAACUUGUCGUGCAGCUGCGCCCGCCCGCACGUCGCCGCCACCGCCGCGAGCAUCAGCGCAACCAUCGUCGCAGCCCUGGAAGCUUGUUUCUUUCUUGGCUAUGCAAGAAACGACGAUGGCUAGUUGAUCCGGAGAAGCUUGAGCUGCUGCUGCUGAUGAUGAACUGGCGCCGGGGAAAUAUAUAGCGCCGGAGUGUCCACACGCCUGCAUGUGGUGGGCUGUCCUCCGGAGCAGCAGGUAAAAUUCCGAUGGUUUAAUGAGUUGUUCCUUGUUUGCACUCUGCGGAAUCUUUGCCGUGGCAGGUACACCGACGGCGCACGGUAUGUAUAAUGGAGGCGGCCGGACAGCCAGACGGAAGCACAUCAUUAGAUGAAUUCACUAAUUUUCUUUAGACAGCAAUCUACUCACUAACUUACUAAUUAGUUAUGAGUUAUCACGGAGAAAACUGCGGUGCCAAGUUGUAAUCAACAAAGGCUACUGGCAAUGAGUGAAUGCCACCUACUGGUAGUUUGCAAUCGUGCGAAUUUCAUGAUGCAUAUAUUUGUACCGGUGCCACAUGCUAUCCNNNNNNNNNNNNNNNNNNNNNNNNNNNNNNNNNNNNNNNNNNNNNNNNNNNNNNNNNNNNNNNNNNNNNNNNNNNNNNNNNNNNNNNNNNNNNNNNNNNNNNNNNNNNNNNNNNNNNNNNNNNNNNNNNNNNNNNNNNNNNNNNNNNNNNNNNNNNNNNNNNNNNNNNNNNNNNNNNNNNNNNNNNNNNNNNNNNNNNNNNNNNNNNNNNNNNNNNNNNNNNNNNNNNNNNNNNNNNNNNNNNNNNNNNNNNNNNNNNNNNNNNNNNNNNNNNNNNNNNNNNNNNNNNNNNNNNNNNNNNNNNNNNNNNNNNNNNNNNNNNNNNNNNNNNNNNNNNNNNNNNNNNNNNNNNNNNNNNNNNNNNNNNNNNNNNNNNNNNNNNNNNNNNNNNNNNNNNNNNNNNNNNNNNNNNNNNNNNNNNNNNNNNNNNNNNNNNNNNNNNNNNNNNNNNNNNNNNNNNNNNNNNNNNNNNNNNNNNNNCUAAACUAAGCGUGAGUGUAGAAUAGCUUAUUCUACACCCCAGUAACGGUACAUACAAAAUAUAGUAACACACUAUGUAAAAUAUAGUAAUUUUCGUAAAAAUGUAGUAAAUUAUAAACUUGGGUGAUAAAAAAAAUAUUUUCCAGGCAAUAUACGUACUUACACAAACACUAAUUAGAGGUACCUCGCAAAAUUACCCUGAGACCACUAGGGGCUUGUUUGGUUGUCAUCUACGAAUUUGUCUGCGUUGCACACAUGUCUUAGUUGGGCCUGGCUAUGAGAAAACAGGCAAACGAAAUCUGCAUCUGCACCUCAUUUGGUCGUCCACAUCUAGACUUCCUGCAUUAGGGGAACGGUUUUGGCAUGCUGUUUGGUGUCCUGUAUUGUCUCCACUCAUGCAACUACACAGUGUUUGAUUGUAUAUAUACACAGGAUAUGAUUAAGAGCUAAUACCUACACAUGACAUAACACACAGAGUUACAAUAGAGUUCCUUGGCAGUGUGCCCGUGAUGGUGGCAUUAGUGUAAGCAGAGGGCGAGGAGGCAUAGAGAAAAGACGCCGGCGGCAGUGCCAGGCACAAUAUGGCGUCCAUCCGACAAGGUUGACAACCACAUAUAACACUGGGGACGACAUGACGACAAGGAUGAAAAAUAUAAAGGAGAAAUGCAAUUUGCAUGCCAUGGCCGCGUUAGAGCAACUCUAGCAAACCCGUAAAAGUCACAAACCCGCAAAAUUAUGGCGAGUAUACGGAUUCGGCCCAAUUUUCUGGCCAGAACAGAGCCCGUAUACUCGACGGCCCGUAAAUAUUUUUACCGCGGCCCGCAACCCUCCCCCCUCCGCCAAGCAAUAUAUCUACGGGUUUGCGGUGCAUAUGCGGGUCGAAACCCUAUCCCCCACUGCCGCGUCUCGCCGCAAUUCCCCACUCCCCUCCUUACAUUUCUCGCCAAUGGUGAGCCCCUUCCACCUCCAAAAGACAUGUGGGGCUGCAUGCGGAGCUUCGGCCACGGCUCUGGGAGUAGCUCCGGCAGGGGCGGCAGCCCCGAGCGCGAGCGGCAUGUCUGCUUGGAUGGCGCGAGGAAGCGCGGGGCGAGGAACUGGACGAACAAGUCUCGAGCCGUUGCCGAGCUUCCUCGUCCGUGAGACGGAGGAAUACGACCGUCGGCGCGGGCGUACGCCCUCCUCGGCCACGGGCUCGUCCUCCGCCGCGAGAUCUUCCCACGCCGCGAUCUCUUCCUCUUCCGGCGCGAGGCUUCUCCCCGUGAAGAGGGAGUGGUCGGAGGAGCCGGUGGAGAUCGAGGUCAUCGCCGUCAAGCAGGAACCGGAGGUGAUCGAGUGACGAGGGGUCAUCGAGCCCAAAGAUUUCGUGGCCGAUUUCGACGCGGUGGCGUCCGCCAUUGCCGAGCGGAGCUUACGCGAGGAGGCGGAGCGCCGGCGCCACAACGACGAGGUCGACGACCUCAUCCUCCAGCAGGCGGUUGCGGCCAACCUUGCCGUGAAGGAGAAGGACGACGAGUGGCGGCGCAUCCGCGAGGAGCAGAGGUCGAAGUUCAUCGAUCUCGUCAACUCCGACGAGGACUGAGCUCCUCCACCGCGUCGUCCUUAGCCGUGAGCUCAUCCAUUUUGGUAUAUCGAUCUCGGCCUCGCCGCCAUGAAUCCCCCCUCCCUCUAGUAGUAGUAAUAGAAUGUAGUAUGUAUGAUAAUGUAGCAUGUGAUGAUGAACUAUGAAUGAUAAUGUAGUAUGUGAUGAAAAAGUGUGGUUGCAAUUUCUCCCGCGAAAGUAUUAUUCAAAUUAUGCAGUUUCAUAUACGGGUUCUAUUCUGCCACACACGAUUUUGACCCGCAAAACAGUUCUUCAUCGAACUGUAAACGCCUUAUGCGGGUCACGGUUUUACGGGGUCUCCUAGAGUUGCUCUUAGUGCAAGAGGACACAGAGGAGGAGGCCAAAAAGAACAAAGCUAACGACGGCAUCAGUGUAGUAGGACGGGAGCAUGGAGUUAGAGAGGAACAACGCCGGCGAUGGCUUCAGUGUAGCAGAACAUGGGAUAGAAGACAUAGAGGAUCAAUGACCGCUCAAGUGUAGUAGGACGCGGGAGAGGAGGUUGAGAGGAAACGAUGCCGGAGGUGGCGCUAGCGCAACAUCACGCAGCAGAGGAGGCCGAGAGGAACGACACUAACAGUGGCGUCAAUGUAGCAGGACACCUGACUGGAGACCGAGAUUAAGGUCUGUCAUUAACACACAUCGCACAUAUGCAUAUGUAUGUUUUAACGAGGAAGAAUUUACAUCUAGUCUACGAUCAUCGAAACAGAAAAUUUGCAAUACGAAAGUCAUGCGAAACUGCAAGAUGAAGCAACUGGUCAAAGGAAGUUUCAAACGGUCAACCGCGCGCGACAAAUUUAACAAAAUAUGUCCAAAAUAGCUUCAAACAUGAACACGGAAUUGAGCAUUUACGGUUGAAGAAACUACAAACCGGUGACCUGAAUGAAACCAUAACAUUGAUGGUGCAUCUUUUUCAUGUAGAGGUUAUCUCGAAUCGAAGCAUCGUUGUGUAGAUUAGAAGAGAUGACAAAGAAAGAAGAUUAGAGACGAGCUUAAUGGAGGUAGAAGAACAUAGCAGGUAUCCCUCAAGUCUCCUCAGGUGCAACAAGGUCCACCAUGUGCGUUUGAUGUGCCUGAUCUCAGUCUGGCUUGCUGAAAACUGUCGAUUUGACCGUUCCUAGCGGGCCUGACUAGGAGGUGCUUUAAAGUCUGUGCGUUACGGGCCAAACAAUGAAUGUAGAUAAACAAACAUGCCAUUUUCUUCCCACACAGACCUGAUUGACCUAUAUACAGGGUCCAAACACGCCCUAGGUGAUGCCUCUAGGAUUGGAGUUCUAAGUUUCGUAUCAAUGCCAUGUAGCCAACGACCAACCAUGUUUUGACAUUAUGUGACAGGUGCAAAUUAGAAGCUACCAGUAGAAAUGAUUUGGUUUUUAGUGGGAAAACUCUUCUCCUUCAGGUUUUUCUUUCUGUAUACACUCACUUUGUAUGUGAUCUACGCUGCAUCAAAUAAAAUACCAACCGAUUUUCAAGACGGCGCGUAUAUAGUUGGAGGGGGUGCCAGGGAGGUUUUUACCCAACGUAGAUGACAACAUAAUCUCCGGAUCGGCCCACCAUCUCCUUCGACAUAACACAAUGUCAGUACUAUAUAACUCUACUGUUGCAGAUAGCAUGUGGCACCGGUACAAAUAUAUGCUUCGUGGUCGAUUUCGACGCGGUGGCGUCCGCCAUUGCCGAGUGGAGCUUGCGCGAGGAGGCGGAGCGCCGGCGCCACGACGACGAGGUCAAAGACCUCAUCCUCCAGCAGGCGGCCGCGGCCAAUCUUGUCGUGAAGGAGAAGGACGACAAGUGACGGCGCAUCCGCGAGAAGUAGAGGUCGAAGUUCAUCGAUCUUGUUAGCUCCGACGAGGACUGAGCUCCUCCCCCGCGUCGUCCUCAGCCGUGAGCUCAUCCAUUUUGGUAUAUCGAUCUCGGCAUCAUCGCCACGAAUCCCCCAUCCCUCUAGUAGCAGUAAUAGAAUGUAGUAUGUAUGAUAAUGUAGUAUGUGAUGAUGAACUAUGGAUGAUAAUGUAGUAUGUGAUGAACUAGUGUGGUUGCAAUUUCUCUCGCGAAAGUAUUUUUCAAAUUAUGCAGUUUCAUAUACGGGUUCUAUUCUGCCACGCACAAUUUUGACCCGCAAAACAGUUCUUCAUCGAACUAUAAACGCCUUAUGCGGGUCACAGUUUUAUGGUGUCUGCUAGAGUUGCUCUUAGUGCAAGAGGCCGCAGAGGAGGAGGCCAAAAGGAACAAAGCUAACGACGGCAUCAGUGUAGUAGGAUGCGAGCGGGAGUUAGAGAGGAACGACGCCGGCGGUGGCUUCAGUGUAGCAGAACAUGGGAUAGAAGACAUAAAGGAUCAACGACCGCUCGAGUGUAGUAGGACGCGGGAGAGGAGGUUGAGAGGAAACGACCCCGGAGGUGGCGCUAGCGCAACAUCACACGACAGAGGAGGCCGAGAGGAACAACGCUAACAGUGGCGUCAGUGUAGCAGGACACAGGACUGGAGACCGAUAUUAAGGUCUGUUAUUAGCACACAUCACACAUAUGAAUAUGUAUGUUUUAACGAGGAAGAAUUUACAUCUAGUCUACGAUCGUCGAAACAGAAAAUGUGCAGUACGAAAGUCAUGCGAAAUUGCAAGAUGAAGCAACUGGUCAAAGGAAAUUUCAAACGAUCAACCAUGCACGAGAAAUUUAACAAAAUGUGUCCAAAAUAGCUUCAAACAUGAACACGAAAUUGAGCAUUUACGGUUGAAGAAACUACGAACCGGUGACCUGAAUGAAACCAUAACAUUGAUGGUGCAUCUUUUUCAUGUAGAGGUUAUCUCGAAUCGAAGCAUCGUUGUGUAGAUUAGAAAGGACGACAAAGAAAGAAGAUUAGAGACGAGCUUAAUGAAGGUAGAAGAACAUAGCAGGUAUAAAGCUCGCAUCCCUCAAGUCUCCUCAGGUGCAACAAGGUCCACCAUGUGCGUUCGAUAUGCCUCACCUCAAUCUGGCUUGCUGAAAACUGUCGAUUUGAUCAUUCCUAGCGGGCCUGGCUGGGUGGUACUUUAAAGUCUGUGCUUUACGGGCCAAACAAUGAAUGUAUAUAAACAAAUAUGCCAUUUUCUUUCCACACGGACCUGAUUGGCCUAUAUACAGGGUACCAAACACGCUCUAGCGAUGCCUCUAGGAUUGGAGUUCUAAGUUUCGUAUCAAUGCCAGGUAGCCAACGACCAACCAUGUUUUGACAUUAUGUGACAGGUGCAAAUUAGAAGCUACCAGUAGAAAUGAUUUGGUUUUUAGUGGGAAAACUCUUCUCCUUUGCAGUUUUUUUUCUGUAUACACUCAUUUUGUAUGUGAUCUAUGCUGCAUCAAAUAAAAUACCAACCAAUUUUCAAGACGGCGCGUAUAUAGUUGGAGGGGGUGCCAGGGAGGUUUUUACCCAACGUAGAUGGCAAUAUAAUCUCUGGAUCGGCCCACCACCUCCUUCGACAUAGACAUAGUGUCCGUAUUAUAUAACUCUACUGUUGCAGAUACAUUAAUGUCUUUUACUAUAUGUUUGUUCGACUGUUGGUGUUUGGCUGCAUGCAUUUUAAUUAUGUAAAGGUCGGGUGUCGUUCAUCAUGCUUUAUAUCCGUUUUAUACUACAUUUGACUUAAUACCCACCUCGCAAAAAAAGACUUAAUAAAAACACCCUUUAUUAAAAAAAAGGAUGAUUGACCAUGUAGCCCGAGCAAAUUUGUAAUCAAAGUAAAUGUGCUUCAUAUAUAGUUCCGUCUAUUUGACAUAAAAAACAAUGUCUACUUCAAUACAAAUUACAUAUGCUUCACAAGCUUGUUUUUUGUUGUUAUUGAAAUCACCCUUCCGCGAAGAUACCAAUUACUUUCGAAGGGAUAUUUAAUUUUCAUGUUCGUUAAUUGGUACUACCUCCGCCCUGGUUUAUUGGUCCCUUUUGUAAUUUGUGCCAAAUUUUGACAAAAAAAUUAACUAAUAAAAUGUUAAUGCAUGUCAACAAAAAAUAUAUCGUUUGGUUCGCAUUUGAACAUAGUUUUCAAUGAUAUAUUUUUUGGUGGCAUGCAUAAAUAUUUUAUGAGUUAAAUUUAUAGUCAAAAUUUGGCACAGAAUACAAUGGAGAUCAAUAAACCAGGACAGAGGUAGUAAUUGGCAUAUCACAAUGAACACUAGGGAGGAUAGAGAUCAUCUGUUCUUCAAGUGCAACUUCAGUACUAGAGUUUGGAACUACAUGCAGAUCUCUUGAACUGAUAACUCUGAUAAGUGUGAGAUUGCUUGCAAGGCCAGGAAAUAAUUUGACAAACCUUUUUUUUGCUGAGGUUGUCUUCACAGCUUGGUGGAAUAUAUGCAUAAUCUGGAAUGGAAAAAUAUUAUUGAAUGAAAAGCCCCGUUUUGCUAGGUGGAGAGUGGGAUUCACUUGGGAUAUUUAUUUGAUUACACAUAGGAUCAAGGCUACAUAUAAGGAUGCUCUAUUGAGAUGGAUUUCCUAUUUGCCCCCUUUGGUUGUAUUUUCUAUUUUUGGUUCUCAUGUUCCCUCUGUAAGUAAGAUUUUGUUUUCUCUUUCGGCCGAGGCCUUGUAAUCACCUUUGUAUAUAUUUAUAUCUAUGUUUCAAUAAAGAUGAAGCUGUGGUGCUUUGCCCUGCAGGUACAAGUUUCCAAAACAUUGCACUGUGCGUCAAAUUAAUCCAAAAACAUUCUUUUUUACCAAGGUUCCAUUGAAACUCGUCUUUGACUCUUGUAACAACUGCACAACCUCAAACCAAGUUAGAAGUGUUUUCCAUGUCUCAUCUUGGCCCAAGCAAGGUCGUCCUAAACGUCCCGUUGUGGGUGAGGCACUGAAGAAUUGCUCAAAGGUAUCUUGUUUGUUAUAGACAAUACCAAAUAGGAUAUCGGUCACUGAGAGGAACAUUUGUCUAGCCACUAAUCCUUCAAAAUUCUAAUUUGUGAGAUGUCUUUAAUGCUGAAGCUUCCAAAGUGGUAGAAAAAAAACUCUCCAUUUUCAUUGGGCUCGCCCUAAAAUGAGAGUCUUCCAUUUAACCCAAGAGAUGGUUUUAGAACGAGCGUAGUUGUUUCACAAGAGGUCUUACCAUACACCUUCCUCGUGAAGACAAAGCUUAAGCAGUAAUUUAAGGAGAAAUGCAAUGUUCUUGGCCUCAACAUCCCAUUUUUUUUCAACCCGCACCUUCUCCUUUCUCCACUUCUCUGCAAAAAAAAAACUGGACUGAAAAUAGUCCAAUAUUUGCAUAAUCCGUAGUGGAAUUUAGUAGAAAAACAACAUGUACAAGACCAUGCUGAUAAGCACAGAGUUAAUACGGACCAACCAUCCACAAAGGACAAAAACUUUCCUUUAAUUCCAACUAAGAAUGUGUUUCUCCCUUCUCUCUACCAUGAUUACUGCAUUCUCAAGCUUCAGAUAAUGAAUUGGAAUCCCCAAAUAGUGAAUGGGGAAUUGGCCAUGCUCGUAAAAAAAUUGGUAUAUCGAACUUCAGCUUCCCGGGCAACCUCUAAACAAGCCAACUAGCUCUUAUGGAGGCUAAUUUUAAGGCCCAAAAGUUGCUCAAAUACAGAAACCACUAACUCGAUGUUUUAAGCCUUUUGAAGGUCAUGUUCCAUGUAUAGGAUUGUGUCAUUAGUGUAUUAUAGGAUGGACAAGUGUACACUAGAUGUGGCACUACCCCACGGAUUUGACCAAUUUCCUUGGCAAGCUCAAUGAGAAUCGUCAAUAUAUCUGCAACAAUAUGAAAUAACAUAAGAGAUAAGCAAUCCCAAUGUCCCAUACCAUUUUCUGUAUCAAAAUAGUGGGGAGUGUCGUCAAGGAACUUAAUGGUACACUAAAAUGAUCAAUUAAGCACGCCAUUUAUUGGAGAAGCAUUACAUCAUGAGUCCCUAUUGAAGAAAAGACCACUUGACUUGUUGUAUGUUGAGUGAAAUUCACCACUAAUCCAUUAACUUAAUAUGAUUGCACCCUUUAGACCAACAACUCGGGAAGUGAUCAGUUAAGGCCCUACACUCAUUGAUUUGAUCAAAUAAUCUAAAACUCAAUUUGAUAGAGAAAAAUCUGGCCACAUGGCUGUCAUGUGAGCAUUCCUUUGACCGCUCGGGAACUAAUUCUUUUAUACUAGUCGUCAACCCGUGCGUGCGCACGGGCUAGUAGUUUGGAAAAUAGCUUAGUAGUUUUUUUUGUAAAUAUUGUUAGAAACAAAAGAGGAACUAAUUAUGAAUUAUAAAUUUACACUUGAAAAAAUGACACUUUGUUCUUUAAUCAUAUAUUUUAUAUUUAAGUAUAUUUUAUAUGUCAUAUAAGAACACUAUAGUUUGAUUUCUUUUCUCUAAAAAAUGUUAAUUUAUUCUUCAGCAUGUGCAAAUAUCUCCCAAAAACAAUUUUUUCCGAAGAAUUGUUAGGGUUGGAAGAAGUUCAUACAUUUAUUAAGUCUCCCAAGUGUAUUAAUUAUAUAAAUUUACUGUCAGUAAUGUUUUUGAAAUGAAACUACAUUUGUGCGAAUAAAAAAUAUUCUUAAGUUUAGAACAAAAACAAACAAACAAAAUUGUUCGAUACUUUCCUAUAUAUAGUGCAUAAUUAUUGAAAUAUGUACAGAGAAGCAUGAUGUGUAUAAUCAUGACAUCCCUCCAAAAAAAUAACUAAACAUGAGCCCAUGAGUUUCUGUCAUGUUUGUUUGUCGAGAAACACAUGAUUUCUUCCUACGUACACAUUCUUAAUUAUCCAAGUCGAAUUUGUUGGACGAUUGUAAACUCUGAACAUCACAAACAUAAUGAAUUUAUUUUUGUCCAAAUACACCUCUAGUAUCAUCUCUUCUAUUUUCCUAAAGGAAAACUCAAUUCCUUGAAUCCCCAGGUAUCAGCCACUUAUUUUUCUAAUCUCAUAAACCAAGUCGGGGUGCUAUGAAAUAUUCAAAUGGUUAUACAUAUCAGAUGCAUCGUGGUGGAUAACUUGGGCCAUGUGAUGCACACUACCUUAGGAAAUGUAAAAACAAAAUGGACUAUAUUUGUUUACAAAUUAUUGAAAAACUUGAGCAAGAAAGAGAAAUAGAGUGGCCAAGAUUAAUAUAUUAUUUUUUGGAAAGACUUAUAUAGUUGUACCAGAAACCUAAUAAUAAUUUGUGAAACAAUUUUCGCUGUUUUCAACAUGCAGCAAUAUUACUUGUUGUUUUCAAUGAGAAGGAGAAACAGUUUUGCAUAGUUAAAUGUCACCUGGCUUUGUAACCCCAAAGGAAUAAGAAUCUACAAAUUAUGAGUAGAAGCAUACAUCCCUACUUAACAAAAGGACACACCAGGUUCAUCAAACAUGGAUGAAAAAACUGAGUGUUGUUAUUCGACAUCAGAAGUCCAUAUCCUAAAAAAUAUGACCAUGCCGAAGGUAAAAUUAGUAUCAUCUAAGCUAGACUAAUUUGAUUUGUCCAGGCUAAUGAUAAUACAUUUUUCAACUACUAAUUUUAUUUAUCCAGGCUACAGCACAACUAAUGUCUGCAUUGCAGUAGUAUUUGGGUAACAAAAAAUCAUAUUAUAAUUUGAGACGCUGCAGAACGUUCUGAACUAUCGGCAUGCGCGUAUACUGGAUCGUGUAGAAAGGGGAAAUAACCGGCACUUUUGGCGAUGUGGGCACACCGCCAUACUGCAACACAACGCCUUUAAAGUUUUCCCGUGGGAACAUCCAAUUAAUAUUUACAUAUAUGAACUUGUAAGCCCAUUGAUCAUGUUGCACACACCUGUUGUGACCUUCACUCAUCUGCCAGUACCCCGACCGGUCGACACCUCUUCCUGCAAGUAGCCACCAGUUCAAUGAUAUAGAAGAUAAAGAAACGAAAUUUACAUCAACUUCGAUAGUCAAAAAAACUCUUUCGUAACACUUCACUUCACAUUACGUUAGUGCUAGACUCAUCUUCAUGACUUGAGCAGUUGCCUAAUUCACUACAAACAAAACAAACCAGCUGGCUGGCAAUAACAUGUGGCGGAAGUGCAGCAACAUUAAAUCUAAACAAACUGCAUUAGUCGAUUCAAACCAUACCAGGGAGCUCAACUGAGAUCAUCAAGAGUCUGCGUGAUCUCUGAUUGAGGCAUGAUCUAGAUGACACGGGGUGGUAAUUAUACUGAAAAUCUGAUUAUCUAUGUAUGCAUCUUUUUAUUCCAUCUAUUCAUCGUCAAGUAUCUAACUAUGCAUCCAUCAAUCCUUCCUAUCCAUCAAUUCCAUAUACGUAUCAGCAAGUAGCAUCAAGGUAAUGCAUGGGACAAUGAGAAAAUAUCGGACCUGAGAUUAAAGGGGCUGGAGCAUGACCACCAUAGAUUCCACUUCAUACGCAUCUGCAGAUUAAACUGGCUGGAGCAGGACCAACUUCCCAUAGAAGAUGGUUCUUGGUACUUGGUAUUCAAUGUGUUGGCCGUAAUGGAACUUCGAAUUGUUAUAUAUUUACCUUUGUUUACAAAGCGGUUUUAUUUACAAAGAUGAUGGCGUACACUAUAUUAUCCUUCCACCUGAAUUGCUAGCAUAGAAACAACAGAAGCCUGAAAAGGAAUAUAUUGCAAGUUACAACAACAGUAUUCGUAAAUCAACAUUGACAUAAACCACUGAAUUGAAGAAGAAAUACAGAAAGCGGUAACUCACAAAUCAGUCGAGUACAAAGAACUGAUGCGCAUUUUUCAAUCAUAUAAAUGUGUAGAAAGGCCUAGGUAGGAAUACGGGAAGGUGUGUAUAUGCAUUAUGUACUUCCUCUAAACACAGCUAUUUUCUAUCAUCCAGGUCACGCCCGAUGGCAAACAUUGCCGCAGUCCAUACAUGUCAUGGGUUUGGCCUAAUUGGGUUUGGAGGAUGCUACAACAUAGAGAUGCAUUCUUGCCACGGUCCCCAUGGUAUGGUGUUGAAUUUGGGAAGCACAUGAAGAGGAGGAAGUGGUGUUGAAUCUACACAUGUGGCCUCAAGUGCUCGUUCCCAGAGCUUAAUCCACUACUGUUUGCAGUGCUAAUUCACCGUAUUCCAAAAGCUUAGGACGCGUUUGGUUGCUACUCAGGUAACGUCUUCAGUUAAGGUACCGGGAAGCUCCGGUUCCCUUUUCUUCUUUAGGAAUACGUGACGUGUUUGGUUUGGCCGCCCCACUCCUGCUUUUGUAAUCAGCCGCGAUUUGGGUGUUUUCGAGUUUGUGAACCUCCGGAUCGGAAGACACUGCUACGGAAUACGUUGUUGGCGUACCAAAUGCUGGGUGCCGUUUCAGAAAGCGCGGUAGUCGGAAACCGUGACAAUUCUUCCGAAACAAACGCGUCGUUAAUUGCUUAGGAAACCAAUCCACAUCCGAUCUGGUCACCUCAAUCCAUUGGAAGCUGCCUCAGGUCAACUUUGUCCCCUUCCUACUGCCGUGCGGAAUUUGCAAAGUACAACACAUUGCUACAAAACAUGAGAAAGCAUAGCAGGGAAGACAGAAGAAGGUCCGACAUUGUUAGGGCAAUCAUCGCCAUGGUCCAGCUCGGCGUUUCUGCCAACUGGACUGACCCGUACAAUCUUUUCACCACCAAAAUAAAGAUCGCAAGUACCUAAUUGUACUACAGCACUCUCUCGAGCGCUCGCAGAAAAACAGAUCACCAUGUACCUGAUUGUACUACUGCGGCAUGUGGAGGCCCUGAGAAAGGAGGCCGACCGAGGAGGCCCGUGCGUGUGGACGAUGGUAGCACCCCUGCAGGAGGGAACAGAUGAAGAUCUCGUCCCGCUCGACAACGCUCAGAUGAUGCCGCUAUGAUGAAGGGAAGGCAUAUGCGUGAGAGAUUGAACCACAAAGAAAAACAGAAUAUAUUUUGGGGUUUUCCUCUCGCUUUAAAAAAGAGGCAUGAGAGAUUGAACAGGAAGGAAAAAAAAACAAAAACAUGAGAGAUUAGCGGAGCCAUUUAAGAGAGAGAGUUGACGGAUCCUUUUUUUUUGGGCAGUUGAUUAUUCUGUACGUGCACGCGUGUUUUUUCUUUUGGAGUUUUGCUCUAGCUUUCAAAAGAGGCAUGAGAGAUUGAGUCAGAAAAAAAUAGCAAAAACAGAUGUACACCUUUUUAAUUCGGUCGCACGAGAUAAACGAAAAAAUAGCAAGAAUAGCUUUCAAAAGAGGCAUGAGAGAUUGAGCCAAAAAGAAAAAAAAAAGCAAGAACAGAUCUACACCUUUAUAAUUCGGUCCCACCAAAUAAACAAAAAAAGAAAAAAAUAGUAAGAACAGAUCUACACCGUUAUAAUUAGGUCCCACCAAAUAAACGGCUCUUAAUUUCUAAUUAAUGUAGGAAUUUCUAGGAAGUGACAAAUUAUUAUAGGUAUAGAUAGAUAGAUAGAUAGAUAGAUGGAUAGAUAGAUAGAUAGGGAUCUAUUUGUAAAUUGGUUAGUUUUUACUCACAAACCAUGCUGAGGAUGUAUGGAGGACAAAUAUAUUAAAAACCUUAAGUUGCAUGGGAUUGAAAGCCACAUCCUUAGAGGUGGCAAACAUCUCGCUAACCGCAUGAACAUCAACUAGUUUGUGUACCAAGAUGCAACCCACUCUAUAUAUUAAAAUUCAAAAAACUAAGCAGCAAAAAUCAUAUGAGAUUAGAAUAAAAAAAUGUUGCUACGAACACUGUUCUACUAUAUUGCAAAACAAUAUAGACAAUGGAGAAUUUUGAAGAAAAGAACAGAAAAAUCGCAUAUCUCAUGCUAUCACAUCAUAGUAUUUUAAGAGCCAUGCAUAAUAGUAUAUGAAGAAUCCCAUAACCGCCUCCUGGGUCGCUCGCCUCCCGGGUCGCUCGCUAGGGCGACUCUAGAGGCCACCAUAAUCCAGUAGCACAACUCAUCUCUCGUGCUCCUCGUGCCGCCUUCGAUGGCGGCGGUGGCGGCGCCCGGCCGUGGAAGGCAGAGGUCUUGCUGCGGGUUUCUCAUGCCGGAGGAGGUGCGGUCGUUCGAGCACCCUGUUUCUUAUGGUGGCACGCAGGUGGUGGGCCGCCGAUCAAGUUGUCAGCAUUGCGCGAGCGGAGAUCUUUAGUGAUCAGGUGGGAUGUGGCUCGUGCAUAGGGGUUCCUUCUCGCACUGGCCAAGUGUUGUUCCUCCGGCAGCCAUCGGACAUGGAGUCGGUCAUGCUGCGCGAAUGGAUGCAUUUCGAUGCCUUUGGGCAGUUUUGCUCGGCUCCUCAGUUGGGCUGCAUCUUGAUGGCUGCUUGGCGUGAGGGUUCUAGUUUGACGAGUGAAUGGGCCAUGGAUGGUGUCUUUGGUGAGGUUUGUGGCACUCCGGCUAAAAACCGUACCUGACCUUUGUUGAUGCUGUUUACCACGUCGCCUUCGGGUGUCGCUAUUCAUCCCCUCACCGAGGAUCUCUAACACCUAUUUCAAUCUUGUGAUCUCGUCUCCCGGUGAAAACCGUAAUCCAGAUUCCCAAAUCGGCGAUGUCGAUAUCCUUUAUGAGGAAGUCAUUACUAGAAUGCAUCGUGUCAGAGACUUGACUUGUUGGAGAACCUCAUGGGGAGUCGUUGGUGGAGGGCCUGCGGUGGCGCGGUUGGUGUGGCUUUCCUGUCUCUCCGGUGCACUGCUUUGGGUGGCUGAGGUAUGGAGGUGAUGCUUGGCGAUGGGUAGCAAUGAUUCUUCCUGGCAGAGUGGCGAUGCCAAGAUGGUGCACGGCAACCGUGUCAGUGAUGCGUUGGUGGUGCCAUGGAGCCAGAUCCUUGACGAAGUUACUGGUUGCAGAUCCCGGUCCUAGCAAUGCAAUGAGGGCUCAUGGUGUAUUAUCUGGCGGCAGGUAGCCAUGCUCAGAUUUACCACUGAUUUGCACUUGCGACGGGGACGCGUGAUCGCCAAAGCGUCCCUUAUGGAGGAUUUUGGUGGCAUUGUUGUCUCUAGUCUGUGGAUAUAUGACAUGCGCCACAUGGGUGUCAAUGCAUGCACCUGGCAAUAAAGGCCGAUUGUGGCGGCUAGAUCGCUUCAUUGGUGUCUGCACAAUUUUGAGCUUGCUUGCUGAUGGCUCUAUAUUUUACACAUUUCUAGAGCUCAUUUGUCGCAUGUUCUCGGCAUACAUUAAGGCAUGUUGAACCAAAUAAAUGUCCAACACAUGAUUACUGAUUUUUACUCUUUUCAUUGUGACAAUUGCCUAUUAUUAUUAUUAUUAUUAUUAUUAUUAUUAUUAUUAUUAUUAUUAUUAUUAUUAUUAUUUGGUUUUUAUUAGAUUCCUUUAUUUUGUUGUGUCUACAGUUGUUUUGGAGCAACCUAGGACCAAACACGAUGAAUAGGCCAAGGUUGAGUUCCUUACAGAGGACUUCCAGCACCGGACUUGCGCACUUCGGAAGCUAAAAAAAGUGAGACUUUUUCCAAAUCAUUAUAUAAUACAAGUGGUACGUCGGUGUCGUUCUCAUGAUUUCAACUAGAUUAAGAACUUUGAAAACGUUGUUCGGAUGAGUAAGUUAUCACUAUUUUCCCAGAAGAGGUCAUAACAAAAGACGGCCUCUAGUACGACAAAAAAUAGUCCUACUGGUGGUCGUACCAGGUGCAGAUAGGCCCGAAAGUAGCCUCUCUGGAUGAGAUUCUUCAUCAAUUUCGUCUCCCUUUGUUACCUCGUGUUCCUUGGCUAAUAAGGAAGAGUUUGAGAGAGGAUUUGACUCAAGUUGAGCCCUUGAAUGAAGGUGGAGGGUCCACAUCUAUGCAGGAGACCCAAGCAGGCCUUCUAUAUAUUGAAAUGGCAAUAUCAGAGUCUUCGUCGUGUGUACAAGGAAUUAACAUGGUCGUAACGAAACAACAAAUUAAUGAAAGAAAAAGAUUUGGGAGAGAAAGGAGCUAUGGCAAUCUUACAGCAAUUUACAGGGGAAAAAGAUGAUCACGAAUCAAAACAACCUUGUACUUCUUCGGUGGCUUAAUGGUUAACCACGUUGCACUUCUUCCUGAUCUCGCCCUGGCUUCCUGUGAGCGGGUUGGCGUUGCCCAUCUUGAUCAUGGAGGCGGCAAAGUCGGCGAAGAACUCGUCCAUGAAGGCGCCGGUGGCAUGGCGCUGGACGUAGGCGCGGGUGAAGGGGUCGGUGAGGAGGGCGCCGUCAGAGUGGAAGAGGCCCCUCCGCUUGCUCACCAGCUUGAAGUAGUCAGUGUCGAAGGUCUUGAAGCUGCCGGGGUCCAUCUCCACGAGGGUGGUGUUGUCGUUGAGGCUGGCACACUUGCUCUUUAGCCGCAUCAUGUACUGCGGCUCCAGCGAGGGGUCGAUAUCGCUGGGGUUCUCCAAGCCGGUGAAGUUGUAGAGCCGGUCGGAGAAGGAGAAGCAGUGCGACGUCCCAAUGGUGUGCCCGGCGGACAAAACGACAAGGUCCUUUGCGUCGAGGUUCACGGCGGCGAAGAGCUGGGUGAGCACGGUGAAGUUGGAGGUCGGGGGUGGCAGAGCGUCGGUCUCGUUGGAAAUGGACACGCUGCCGUCUCGCCGGCCCAGAGGAACUGUCCAGAAUGGACCCUUG
rnacentral:lncRNA from 1 species